rnacentral:lncRNA from 1 species
UCACCUGCCCUGUGUAGCUCUGUGAUGCUGGGUGUGUUUAUAGUUGUUUGUACCAUAACUGACCGAGCAACUAGCUAGGCUAGAUCAUUCGAGUGCCAUGCUUUGAGAGGUCAUCACCUUAGCCAAAGAAGCAUCACCACAAAUCACAACUCUAAGCAAAGCAAGAGGAGUCCCACAUCGGAAAACUACAAGAGAUGAAGACUCCUCCUCACCUAUAAAAGAAGACUGCUCUUUCCUUAGAAGAGGAUCCGGGUCUUGGAUCUAGACUCUUAGGCCUUGGACUCUCUCUUCUAGAUCACUAGACUGGGCUUCUCACUUGUUAUCUUUAUAUUUGGGUCUAAUCCCCUUGUACAAAUGUAAACAAACAUUAUCAUAAUGAGAACACCCUUCUCCGUGGACGUAGCCCAUCAUUCGGGUGAACCACUUUGAGCAUCAACAAUAGUUUUGAGUUUCCUUGCAGCAAUUGGUUUCGAUGGUAGACAUGAAAUUCUUAUCAAAUCAACAAAAUGUUCCGCUUCAGGAAAACGUGUUGUCUGCCAAUCGACGUUUUCUGUUCCUUCCCUAUAGAAUGUAGUACUGAACACAAAGAAAGACUACUUAUUGAAGGCUUAUUAGUAGAAGCAAAAUAUUUAUCUGCGACAAAAAGGUGCUUCAGAAUGAAGAGUGGCAACUGAUUUUCAAGCAUCCGCAAGUCAACCAAUACUGAUACACAUCCAUGGCCUAUAAAAUAUGUAGUCAUCCUCAUCUCCAAUUUUUUCCUCACUGCACUUCAACAAAAACUCAAUAACGAAGACGGCAUCCACUAGAAUGAUUUUUAGAAAGUCUUCACUGCUAUACUCAAUCGGUUCUGCAUAACAACUUCUUAGUCUUGCUUCUUGGUCCCGUAGUUUCUUCUUAAGAAACUCCAAUGUUAUCGUGGUUCUACGUAGAAAACUUCGUAGAUACCUCUUUUUGUGAUAUUCCAUACCAUUUAAGUGUUCCUUUCCAUGGUGAAGUGGGCCUAUAGAGACUACCUGAGGUGUGUAGGCUUCAUCAUCGUUUCCCUGACGUAGUCGCUUAGGAACUCUGUAGAUACACCGCAAAGGGCACAAGGAGAAGCUAUCCAAUUCCUGCAUCAAAUCGUAUGGCAUACUUUCCUCCUGAUCAUCAUGCACAGCGAUUCAAAUAUUUCAUUAUGAACGUUGGAAUUAGAGCUUCAAAGCAAACUUUUGAAAAGAAUAAAAAAACAAAUGACAAAUCAAAGUAGAUGGUUAGAAAAUCUAGUCACUUAAAGCGACUGUCUAUGGACACUCUCCCUUUGUAGCCCACGUGUCCUUAAGUAUUCUGGAGAAACAUUAAAAAAAAUAAUUACGUUACGGCAUCACAUUGUUCACCAACUUUAGUGAUACCAACUUACGUGGCAGAUGACAUAGCAUCUUUUCUUAAUUAUUUAAUCCAAUUUUUUUUUUAACAUUUAUAAAUUUUUUUAAAAAUAAAUCUGAUGUGCCCUCCCUUCAUCCUAAGAUCUGCCAUGGCCUCUGUGCUUCCACAAAUAUGUCAUGGUUUCCGUCUAAUCAAAGGAAAAAAAAAAACAUAUCCAAAAUUUUUCACACUUAACAUAUAUACUUAUCGUUUGUUUGCAUCUAUAUAUAACCAGUUUAGAUUUUAUCAAUGUUGCAAACAAAAAAAGUUGAGAUAUUUAUAGGCCCUCCUUGAAACAACUAGUACUAGGAAGCUAUAUGGGGUUUUCUACGUUAUGUGGAGCUUCAUUGCUGCAUCCUUCCACUUCCAUUAUGUGUUGUUCUGAUUGUAAGUGAUGAGGGUAUUAUUGGCACGAUAAUAAACAAAUGUUUCAAUCAUUACAUACAUUUCAAGAUGGUUCCUUCAAAAAUUUAGAAAACAUGCAUCACAAAAUGCGAAAUCGUACAAUAGAUAGGUUGAGAAGAUCCACACAUUGCAAAUUGCAAUUAUACAUUCCUAUCCUCCUAUAAAUAGGUCAAUCUCUCUCUCUCUCUCUCUCAAAAUCGACAAAUUUUCAUGUCAAUAAGAUAAGAGAUCUCAUUGCAAGUGACUUGUAGAUGAAGUGGUAAAGAACAAAAAGUCAUAUUCUUCCAAUCAAAACGAAGAAAAAAAAGUACGUAAAACAUCAUAUAAGAAAAUGGAUAUGUGGAGAUGGGUUUAUAUAUACAACACAGAAGAAAGAUUGUGUAUUGAAAAACAAAGCAAAAAAGGAAGUGAACUCACACCUUCUAUGUAUUUAAAAACAAGAAGCAAGUUGUGUUUUUGCCUUUUGGCGGCUCAACACACAGAUUACUUUCUCCUGAGCGGAUAGAUGUAGUAAUAAAUUCUCUUAAUACAAUCAAAGCACAAUGAUGUACUAUAUAUAACAAGUUAUGAUUCCACCCUUAUCCUUCCGUGACCAUUAACAUAUGGUGCAUACAAGUCUAUGGCAGAACUUCGACUUGGAAUAUUGGCUCUCCAAAGACCUGUAGAAGACAAAGAUCUUGACCUAAGAUAAAGACCCAAGUAGACCUUCCUUCUAUAGUCAUGCACAUUCUAAGGAAAGAUAACCACAUUCAUGCAUGUAAGAAAGUUGAUUUCUUCCAAUUUUUUUAUUGUAUGGUCGCGAUUGAUGCCUGUAGAUACACGGUAGAAAGUUUGUGCCCACUUCAUAGUUGUUUCAUGUUUUUUUGUUUUGAAAGCAACUAGAGAGUCCCCACGCAACUCUUGAGGAACUUCUAAGAGGACCCAAAACAAGGUGAUUCUUACUUUCCCAUGACUGUAUCAGCCUUAUCAGAGACGACUCUGUCGAUAUUAUCCUUUUAAGUUAUUUAGCUCUUGUGCUUCCAAUCAAAACAUUGCGAAACAAAGACCAAAUUUCCAUUAAGAUUGAAAGAAGUAACCUUUUUUGAUUCAAUCCUUGUACAAUUUGUCUGAGGGAGAUUUGAACACAGUAGCUCAUAUUGGUUAUAAAAAAAAUUUCUUAGACAGGAUCCUGCAUUUGCACAUAUGUGAGAAGCCGGUCGACUAACCUUCUCACAUUCUAUUCUAUACAUGCGGGAUCCUUUGUAUAGCUAUGGGUAUCGAAUAUACACCUCAAGCAAAGACAAACAAAUAAACCAAGCACAGCACAAUAACAGUAUUCAAUGUAGGAAGAGCUCAUGGGGGUUCUUGCUAGCGAGGAAAGCCUUGCGUCUCUCUAGGGUUUUCUUCUUCCACGUCCAGCUGCCGUCUUAAUGGGUUUCCAUCUACCACUCAUCUUUGGUCUUCUCAGUGUAAGCUUUUUUUUUUUUUUUUUAGUACAAGAGGGGAGGGGGAUUUCUCAAUGUAAGCUUUGCAAUUUGAUAAUUAAUAUUUCCAAUAUCUCAUUGUUAGUAAAAUACGGAAGGGGAAAAGUAUGAAUAAAAUACGUACGUGUUUUAUUCGACAAAAUUUUGACAAGAUACAACUGAAAAGUUUGGCUACUAUAUAAUAUUUUUAAUAUAUAUUAUUUUUAUUCAAUAAUAUGUGAAUAAUAGGUGUAUAAUAUAUGAAUUUUGUAUGUAUCAUUCAAAAUCUUGUUAAAUUUUUUUUUUUUAAAUGUGAAAAAUAUGUACGCACAUAUAUAAAACGUGUAUUGUACAUUUAGUUUUUUAAAAACUUGUAUUUUACUGAAUCUUUAAAUCGUAUAUGGAAAAUGGAAGAAUUAUUAAAAAAUACAUACAUAUACGUGUAUAAUACGAGUAUUAAACAGAAAAAUGUGCUAAGUACUUAUCUUUUAAUUUAAUAAUUCAUUUCAUUUUGUGAUCUCAUACGUAGUAAUGAGAGUUCAAAUUAAUGUUGCAGCUGACGAUGGUGGCUCUGGCAAGCCAUGCUGCUCUCCCAGUACCUCAACUUUACUGGAACUCUUUCCUGCCAAACACACAAAUGCCAAGAGCCAUCAGUCAACUUCUAUAGCCUGGUUUCUAUUAAGGGACUUUUCGAGAGCUUAUCAUCUACCUAAAUUUUACUCAUGUGACGUAAUUUUAAAAGUGAUUUGAUCCUUCGGCGAAGUAAAAAAGAAGGGCACUCGAAUAGGCAUGCCAUUUGGUAUUACCCACCUAAUUUCUUUUUAAAUUUUAGUAACUGAUUUUUAAGAUUAGAAAAUGGGAAAAUUUCAAAACCGAAAAACUUGUUUCACUAAUCAUGUGGCCUUCCAAGUGCUCAAGGUUAAGCCAGGAACCGUUCCUAUCUGCCAUUUCCUUCCCAACUAUGAUCAUGUUGUCUGGGUUCCAACCCACAAAUCUACAUCAGUACCUGAACUAAUCAGUUCUGCGUGAAUGUUCAUUCAUGGCAACAUUGGGCUAAGUAUUUGAAUUUGUAUGCAUAUAUUGGAUAAGUUUGAGAUGGCAGUGGCUUGGGUGUGGAGAGGAAUUGCAUGGGUGUCGGCUGAGCUUGAACAAGUUUGGGUGUGCUGAGUGUUUCCAUGGGUGUGUUUCUGAACAUGGUUAUUCGAUUUGUGAUAGUUUGAUUAGUUUGGGCUCAAUUUCUACAGAACUUGUCUCAAGCCUAGAUAGUUGAUUCUUAAGUUUAUCAGGAUAAAAAAAUAAAAAAAUCUUAAGUUAAGCCCAAGGCGCCGAACUUGGACUUCUCACCAAACUUGUGAAUAAAUUGAAAUAUUUAAUAGAAGCCCAAGAUUUCUAAAGCACAUAAUAUCUACAAAAAUCUACAAAAUGUUAUACUUUACAAAUUUCCUAUGUGUACCAAUUUCUACUAAAAUUAAUUUCUCUGUGGUGCUGAGAUUCAUCAUAAUUUUAGUAGAAAUUGGAAGUUUUCAUCAUUUUUGCUUUAAGUCUCUCCUCCACUCACUAAUAAAGAUUACUCAAGUGAGUUUACAAAACAUUUUUUUUCUACUCUAUCCUGAAGACUACACUUCUUCUCAAAAGUUUAGAUCACUUCACAUCUUGUAUAUGUGAAAACUAAUGCAAAAAGUUGAAACUUUAUCAUAAAACCUCGACAAAAAUUAGCUUUGCUUAAAACGUUAAAUUUGGAUUCGUUGAUUUUAAUGUCAAUUUGACACUUCAUAGAAAUUUUUACAUACAUGUGUUAGUGUUUGAUCACUUCACUUGUUACUUACUAUAUUUAUUCCAUGCUGCAAGACUCCAAGCAACCAUGAGAAUUCAUCAAAGGCAAGAAUCCCCUCUGGAACCCUUCAAUUUCAUGCUUUGUUCUUCCAUCUUCCUCCUUUCUCUCUCUCAAAACCCACAUCCAGAGAGAGCAAGCAUCAUCUCUCAUCUCUGGAACCCUUCGAUUUCAAGCAUUGUUCUUCCAGUGCUUCCCAUUUUCUCUUCUGUCAAAUCACCUAGGAGCUUGACGAAGCUUUCAUCAAGUUGCUGGAAAUAUGCUAAAGCCACCCAUGCUGCCAUCUUCUUCCUCUCUUUCCAUAAACACACAUCCAAAGAGCAAGCUUCAUCUCUCAUCCUCUAAACCUUUGCAAUUUCAAGCCUCAUUCCUCUAUCUUCUCCCAUUUUCAGCGGUAGUGAGAACGAUUUCUGCUUGUGCAUGGGAAGGAUUGUGACUCAGAUGAGGAGGAGAUGGUUUGGAGUGGGGUGAGGCAGUUGGACAGAGCUCUUGGACUUUUCAAGUUUGUAUGGGAAAGAGCAGGGAUGAAAGAAGCUUUACAACUGCAAGGGCAUAUAUGGUGCGUAGGGGCUGAAGGCAGAACACUUACAUAUAGAGGAAACACAUUUUUUGUCCAUGGGAUUCAUUUUUGACAAACACUUGUCUUAGAAUAUGAGUUCAAAUUUCAAAACCUUUUUUUUUCUUUCUGAAAUCAGGAUCAGUGUGGAGAACUAGCAAGGAUUGGAGAAACAGAUUUUUGGGCGUCACUUGACCACAGAUUGUUGAUUGCUCAAAAGUGUAGAAUUGGCCAUCUUAAAUGUCAAAAUGAUUUAUCAAUUGGGGUUUUUUUAGAAACGUAUUUAUGUUUGUCAAUAGAGACAGAAGACAGAGAACAUAAACCUUUCUCAGCAAAUUGAAAUUCUCAGUGCAUGCUCUGUUCUUCCAUGGCUUUCAAACCUUCUCUGCCCUUGUAAUGUUCCAAUCGAGGGUAAUAACAUUGCUAGUUUUCUAUGACAUCCUAUUUCUAAUGCAUGUCUACUCUUGUAAUGUUCCAGUCUAGGGUAAUAACACUGCUAAUUUCAUAUGACAUCCUAUUUCUAAUGCAUGUCUACCCCUGUAAUGUCCUAGUUUAGGGUAAUAACACUGCUAGUUUACUAUCAUGUUGAUUAAUUCUUGUCAUGUUGCUAUUUCUAAUACAUGUCCAACAAAGAAAAGAUGAAGAAAGAACAAACCAGACCAACUCAAAAUAAGUUGAGCCCAAAUAGUUAAUACUAUUAUGUCAUAGAAGUACGUUGUUAAUACUCUGUAAUAGAAGUACAUUGUUAAUACACUGUCAUAGAAUUACAUUGUUAAACAAAAAUAAGAUCCAUAACUGAAAUAGUAAUAAAAGAUAAAUCGAUCAUCAAAAAUACAUUUCAAAAAUCAACUAAAAUCCGAAGAGAAACACAUAAUUGAAGCAAAACAUCAAAAAUCUAAAGUCCAAACCAAACAACGACGACGACGACAAUGAUGAUGACAAUGACAAGAACGACGUGGUGAAGAGGAGUAGAGCUCGAAGAUGAGGAGUAGAGCUAAGAGCAUUUGAUCAGGGUUCGUUCGAGGUCUCGAACAAUCAAAAAAAAAAAAUCAAUAGAAGCAAGAUUUUAGAACAAGAAUCGAAGGUGAAAUAUUGAAAAUUGUAGAUUAAAGAUGAAGAAUAUAGUUGGACCUGAGACUGAGCUUCAAUGGAAGCUCCUCUUGCUCCAACACCAGAGAAAGCACCAACAAGAAAGGAGAAAAUAAAUAUGAUUUGGAUUUUUGGCAGAUCUGGUUUUUUGGCAGAUUUGUUUUUUUGGCAGAUCUGAUUUUUUUUUCUCUCAAAUUCAUAAUGCAAGGGCAAUAUAGGUAUUUAACACACACAAAUAAACUAAAAAACAGCUAUUAAAUUGAAAAUUUUGACAGCUGUCAAUUUUGGGAUUUUUUUUGGGUGUGUUUAUAGUUUUUAAAUAGUAUAGGGUUUCUUUAUAAGACUAUGUCUAAGAUUGGGUAUAUAAUUAAAUUUAUAUUAUUAAAAAAAAAGGACCCUAGUAAAGCCGUGCGACGAUACUCCUUUUAUAUAUUAUAUGAUAUAAAUAUUAUAAUAUAUUAUCUAAUACUUGGAAUAUUUACUCUAAAAUAAACAAUAUAUUAGGUUCUUUUUAUCUACAAAUUGACCAUUAAACUUCUUAAUCACUCUUAUACUUCAAUUAAAUCUACUAGGUUACAAUAUUUGCACUAAAAACUCCUAAUUGUUUUUUCUUCUCUUUCUCUUGCUCUUUUGUUUAACUUAAGCUGAAGUUUUUUAAUUUUUUUCCCUCCAUUUUUACAUGUAUGAGUAGGGUACUUUAAUAUUGGGAUUUAUGAACUUUUUUGUAUUUCUUCUCUAUGCUGGAAUAUAAAUUAGAGAUAUUUAGUCAUAUACCCAUUCUUAGCACUAAUAUUAUAAAUAAAUCCUAUAUCAUUCAAUUCCUAUAAACAAACCCAAAAAAAAUCCAAAAAAUAAUAGUUGGCCCUAUUGAAUUUAAUUUUGAUUAUUAAAUUACUUUGAUACCCUAUUGAGUGUUUUGAGAUUUUUUUAUGAGAUUUUGGAGUUGAGUUUGUUUUAAGAAAUCAAUGGCAAUUUUGUAAUUUAAAAAAAGUUAAAAGGCUUUUUGUUAUGUUGUAAAUAGGUUUCGAGUGUGUUUCUAAAGUCCAUUUCAUAUAGGUUUUUUUAUAUAUAAUAAUUUGAGCUCCUAUAUUGGGUAUAAUAGUGAAUCUCCAUUUAUUAACUUUUGAGUCUUUAAUAGUGUAGAUGAUGAGAUUAAUAUUCAACCAUUUUAUAAUAUGAAAUUAAGGACAAUCAUGAUUGUAAUGAAUGGAUUAUUAAUCAAUAUGAAAUGAUAUUAUGAAGUAGGCUAAAUCGAGUAGUUAGUAUCGUAUUAACUUAUUAACCGAUUAGCGCUUGAGCCCCCUAAUUCAAAUUAUUUUAUAAAAUUUUGUGAAGGGCCCCUUCUAAUGCAAAUUCCUGGCUGCGCCACUGCCUAUAGCAACUUGGUAAUGUGUGUGAAACACCCCCUCCUUUUGUCGUUUAGACUAUCGGUUCGCUUGUAUUAAUAAAAUAAAAAAUAAAAUAAAAGAUAAAAUUAUAAAUAAAACAAAACACAUAUUAAAGCCUAACUGUUAAUAAUGGAUCCAACAUAAGAUCCAGCCCAAGCCCAUGAAUAAAGCCCCCGAAAACGGUUGGACCCAAUUUUAAACACGUUAAUGCGUUAUAGGUUUUUUCCCGGCAAACCGUUGGUCUCUCCACCUUCAGCUUUACACGAGCGGCAUAGUCUCUUUCGUCAUUUUCUGUACCCAAUAGAAGUGUAGGCAAGCUUUUGAUCUUGGCUCUCCUGUGCUUGCAUCUUACCUGUUUUAUUGCCGAGUAAGCCGUCUCAAAUGGUUGGUCGUUCAGUUCAUAUUUGAAAGCAACAAAUUGCACGCCAUGUGUUCGAUGUAUUGUCUUACCGAAUUCAAUGCCCUUUUACUAUUGCAGUUUUAACUUCGGAGCGUCAACUUGAAGGGUUAUUUGAGGUUUUUUUUUUCCGAGGUCACAAUGGCCUGUAGACAUGUAGACAGGUUAAUACAUGGUGCAAGGCAUCUAAUGGCUAAGCGAAAGGGAGCUGUCCAUUUGAAUGGGAUGCUACAUCAUUGCUCAGAGGAGUCUCAUGGAGAGCCUAUGCCCCGAGAAUGGUAUCAAAAGGAAUUCCCCAAGUUAACAAAACUAUCCCAAUUGUUAAAAAAUGUCGAUUUGGUUGAUGGAAGGCUUGUUAACAUCAGUGAUGGUUCAAUUAUCAUGGAUGACCGUAUUGAACACAGAAUGCUUACUUUCAAGUCACUUGCCAGGGAAUUUAUUGGUUCUCCAUUAGUUCAGCAAACGUUAAAGAAUGAUGUCGUGGCGUUGUCAGGUGGUAGAAUCUGUAAUCAAUUUGUGUGUUUCAGUAAACCAAAUGAAAGAGAGCCCAUGGUUGUAAAAACACUCUCCGUAGUAAGUGGCUUUCUGAACAUCACUGCUCAACAAAGACAGUCAGUACGUGUUACAUUAUCUCCACAGAUUACACAGCACCGCAUAUGGACUGGGACGCUUGAGGAGGUACUGAAUGGAUUGAAAUCUGAGUUGGAAUAUUUAGAUCAUCGGUGCCCAAGCAAAGGGACGAAGAUGGGACAGCAGAUAGUUGCUAGCUGUCUGAAGUUCUUGGCUGACACAUCCACAUCCAUUUCAUAUGAACAUGAUUGCUCUUCAUGGACGCGCCUAUCGCCUGCAAAAGUUACAGACUCUUCUGGUUUGCAAAAAUGGGAAGAUGUUCUCGAGAUGUUCAACGACCUCAUUGAUUGUUUGAAAAAUGAAAGGGAGUUACUUCUUUACGUAGCGAAGCUUAAGGUCUUGAAAGAGGGGCUGUCUCAGAUCAAGGAUGUGUUGACUGAUAGAAAUAUAGGACACAAGGAAGUUCGGCAUCAAGAAAGCCUAGUGCAGAAGAAGCUGACAAAGACAUUGGGUCAUUCGUCCAAGUGCCUGUUCACACUUAUGUUAUAUUACCUCUUUGGGCAUGUUAGAGAUAUUGAAGUGGACGUACGUGGCGGCAUUUAUAGCAGCGGUAGUGAGAACGAUUUCUGCUUGUGCAUGGGAAGGAUUGUGACUUCAGAUGAGGAGGAGAUGGUUUGGAGCGGGGUGAGGCAGUUGGACAGGGCUCUUGGACUUUUCAAGUUUGUAUGGGAAACAGCAGGGAUGAAAGGAGCUUUACAACUGCAAGGGCAUAUAUGGUGCGUAGGGGCUGAAGGCAGAACACUUACAUAUAGAGGAAACACAUUUUUCGUCCAUGGGAUUCAUGUUUGACGAACACUUGUCUUAGAAUAUGAGUUCAACUGCAAGGGCAUAUAUGGUGCACGGGUUUUCUAUUUUAUUUGCAGCUUCAUCAAUUCCUUCCAUUUUCCUCCUGAUCAUCAUGCGCGGUGAUUCAAAUAUUUCAUAAUGAACAUUGAAAUGAGAUGCUACAAGCAAACUUAUGAAAAGAAACAGAAUAUACCAAAAAGACAAAUCAAUGUAGAUGGUUUAGAAAAUCUAAACAUUGCAAUUAUACUCCUUUGCCCAACUUCUAGGAGCAAACGUACACAAAGACCUUAUUGCUUCCAACUUUUCCAACAGAAUUUCGUAUGAAUUGCUCCAAGUGAAAUCCGUAUGAAAAAUCGGUAGUUGGAUUUUCAUCCUUUAAUAAGAUUAUUUAACUACUAACAAAAAAAAUCUUAUUACUUGAGCAAGUAAAAUACCAUUCCAGGUUUCUCCUAGUUCUAUAUGCGCUUAUAAUUGGUAUACUCUAUAAAUACCAUAAUCUGAAUUUCUCUGUUUUGAUUACUUUAAUUUAUUACUUAUGUUUUAAUUAUUGUUUACUUAGUGAAUUAUUAGUAUUUAAGAGAAGGCCCUCCAUCGAUUAGGCACCACGUGUCUAUAAUAAGUAAAGCCGUCCGGCUAUACUUAAAAAAAAAAAAUCGUAGUAUAGCCGACCGGCUAUACUAUUUAAUACAAAGGUAUAGCCGCGCGGCUAUACUAUUUAAUAAAAUAAAAAACAAAAGAAAAAGAAAAAUGACCCUCCUAUUUGCAUUAGUUUGCACUUUAUAGAUAUUAAUUUGCUAGUUUCAAGAUAUCCAAAGUAGAUAUUAGACUUUCACUAUAUAAUAUUUCAAUAUAUUUUUUUUUAUAACAUGUGUUGUUCUUAUUCAAUAAUAUGUUGAGAAUUAUUUGUAUAAUACGUGAAUUUUGUGUGUCUUACUGAAUUUUUCUAAAUACGUGUAUUAAACGUUACAAAUACAUACACAUAUGUACAACACGACUAUUGUACGUUUGCUUUAUAAAAAAAAAAGUGAGAUGUGUAUAGAAACAAAUGUAUUAUCAAAAAAUAUAUAUGUGUAUAUAUAUGUAAAAGCCUAUAGCCUCUCACCUAUACUAUUUAUUAAAGACAAUUUAAAAAUUACAACAACAAAAAAACCAGUACAACCACAACGCUAUACUAUUUUUUUAAAAAAUAGAAAAAAUAUCAAGUACUGCACAGCGCAAAGGCCCAGUGUAAAAUAGUAUAGCCAUACGACUAUACGUUUUUAAGAAGAAUUUAAAAAACUGAGUAUAGCCCACUGGCUAUACUAAUUUUUAAUAUAAAAAAAGGACCAUCCAUUAGGCGCCACGUGUCAACAGAAGUUUAUUUUUUAAAAAAAAAUUAAAAAACACGGAGUAUAGCCGGGCGGCUGUACUAUUUUUUAUUUUAAAAAGAAGACAGUCCAUCGAUUAGGGGCCACGUGUCAAUAAUAAGUACGGCCGCUCGGCUCUACUAUUUUUUGACUAAUUUUUUUUAGAAAAAUCGUACUAUAGCCGCCCGGCUAUACUAUUUAAAUACAUUAUAUUUAAAAGGUAUAGCCGCACGGCUAUGUGUUGGAUAUUUUGAAACUAGCAAAUUAAUAUCAAUAGCCGGUCGUAACCUAUGCUGUCCACGUCACUCAUGUUUUACCAGCGUUAAAGUAUCCACAAUGAGCUCCCUAAACCAUCUCUUUAGACAAAUUUUAGGGAGGAAUUGGAAAAGUAUAACUCCAACCAUGCUCCCAAUCCACCAACUAAAAUAGGGAGACCUCUUGGAGCUCCUAAAUCUGAGGAGAAGGAAAGGACUCUUAGUGACUCCCUAUAAUUUAAUGUUGCUUUGUUUUAUGCAUAUUUUAAACUUUUUAUUAAAUCAAAUUAUUUUUUUAUAUUAUUUUGUAUACAGAUGGACCAAUUAUAUUAAAUAAAAAAUAAUUAAAGUAUUUAUGACUCUCUAAACUAGGGAGUAUGAUUAGAGUUCAAAUUUUAUAAAAAGCUCUUAAAAUAGCUUUUAUGUGUUUUUAGCUAAAUUUUAACUAAAAAAUAGGGAGCAUGAUUGUAGAUCAUCUUAUAUACCUUAAUUUGAAGAUUCUUUAUUUGGGUUUCUUUCGAGACAAAAACCAUAUCCACAAUUAGCAGACAUCUUUGGCUGUUCUUCACAAUUGAGGGACAAUGAAGAAGACAUAAGGGAGAGGCUGCCAAAUACUUAUCACCUUAGCCACCACCAACACCACAAGACCAAUAUGUGUAGGCCAGGAGGCUCUCCAAUUUUAACAUAUAUAUUAUAAAAUAAAGAUUAUUGCUCCAUCCUCCAUGCACUUGCAUGCCCUCUUACAAAGUGUGAAGUAGAUUUUGUAUGCUUAAAGUCAUUGACUAGAGCUGAAACAUGGUUAGCUGGAUUUAUAAGAUCUUUUGUUUUCUGGGAAUUUUCAGAAUCAAGGAAAAUCAAGUAAAAUUAAUAAAGCAUAAUGGAAAGGGAAAAGAUCUAGAGGAUGCAUUGUAGGAUUGCUCAUGCCAAUAAUUGUACCCUCUAAAUAUAUAGGGACAUAUAUUUUUUUUGUUUUCAUGACACGUCGUCCUAAAAUUUUGGCUCCUAGCGGGCUCUCCACCCCUUCUCGAUUGAAAACCCAUUGUGUUAAUCUUCAAUCCUGAACGAUGCAUCUAAAACUCAAGUGUCCCAGGCCAAUUAUUGCUCUCAUACCACUUGUUGCAAUGCACAUCCACCCAUUCUUAGGGAAAGAUACCCAUCGAUAUUAUCUCAAAUUUAACCACUUUAGUCCAUUAUGAUUAACUAUGUAUUUUAUGGACGAAUCCAGUUGUGAGGUUUUAUACCCAAUUAGAUCGACCAAUACAGAGGUCACAGGUGGACUAAAAAGCUCCAUCGGUAGGGGAGUGUUUGACACCCUUUACUGCCGAGCGCAACACAAGACCCCUUACAGGAACUUGCCUGCUAGGACACAUGGAGCCACCACAACUAAUAUCAACAGUCCCACAUCGAAGUUUAACAUAACAUGCACACUCCCAAGACUUAUAAAGUGGGCACAAGUCCCAAAAAUAGGGGAACUUGGACUUUCGGCAAUUCAGCCAUUACUCUGUCCAGAUUACUAUACACUUCGUACUUAUUUUUACUUGAGCAUUGGAGAGCCUUCGGCUGGUACCACACCGGUGCCCAAGGGCUUACCGAGCAUUCUCUAUCUUGCAAAUUGAUAGCUCUACCAAAGCCCAGAAAGAGCUGAAGGUCAAUACAUCACUAAGUUGAGCCCAAAAGUGCUAAACCGCAUCAAAAAUAUAUAUAGAUUGAAAAAAUAAAAUAAAAAUCAAUCUAUUAUCAUAGGGUUAAUCUUUUUAUUAGUCCCCUAACUUUGACCAAAUUUGCAUUUGAGUACCUCAAUUUCCAAAAUGGUACCCACAGUCCCGCAACUUAAGUUUCGUUUGGAUUACUAGUCCCAUCGUUACUUUUGUCAAUUUUUUCGUUACAUUUAGGGGUAGAAGGGUCUUUGCAUGUUGGUUUUGAGGGACAAAAAAGACUUUUACUCUUUUAGAAUCUCUGAUACGAGUAUAAUGGACCAGAGUACGAACCAAAGAAGAACGAAAAAGCAGAAGAAGGGUGAAAAGACGAAGCUUUCAUACGAAAAGGUUUCUGCAGAAGCUUUCAGACAAAAGCAAAAAAGUUGAAGAGUUUGAGUUGAUUUUGUUUGGGUCAUUGUGUAUUUAGGUCGUCUGGGUCGAUACAUGUUGGUUAUCUCAUUGUGGAGUCAAUAGGUGUUGUCGACAACUUUGAUAGAGUUUGAAUUCAAGACUUCUGGAGACCUCCCUCCCCUCCAUAUACAGUAUGCGAUGCUAAUGGAAGUACUAGAAAUGCUUUUUUUAUAUGUUAAUUGAUUUUUGUUGUUUUGGAAUUCUGUCUGUGUCUGCUCGAAUUGUGCAGCAAUUAAGGGUUUUAUUUUUGUCUCUCUUUUGGGCAAAUAAAAAACUGUUUUCUUUUGUCUUUAUGUCAACAUUGAACGCAUACCUUUUGUUUUGUUCAAACAUUGAGUGCAUACUUGGUCCUACUAUCCUUGGUUGAAUUUAAGGGUUUGUGGUCCUAUUGGUUUGAUAUAUGUGAAUUGAUUGCACAGUUGCACACACUAGUACAUUUGGUGGUCCUACUGGUAGAGAUUUGUGGUCCUACUGGUAGGGUUUAGUUUGAUUUGUCUUUAUUCAGGUGAGUAGAGAUUUUAGAAAUUGGUGUUGAAUUUACUGAAUUGAGAUUAUUGCUUCAUUUGCAGAUAAGGGUGAGUUCUGCAGUUUCAAAAUUCACCAUGGGGGUGUUGUAUAAGAUGAGGUGUAUAAGGGGGGGGGGGGGGGGGGGGCAUUUGCUUAUUUGGACAACGUGUGGAUAAUUAUCUAUCACUCUUGGAUUUAAGGAAAAUAGGUAUAGCGUUAGGAUAUGAAGUGGACCUUACUAAGAAGGAGAUAGGUUUGCAAAUAUAUUGUAAGAUGUAUGACAGUAAUGGUGAAGCUAUUGUAAAGUUCAUUGACAAUGACAAUGUUACAUGUGAGAUGGUUGGCUGCAUAACAAGUAACAAAGUGUUAGUGUUAUACUAUAUUGACAAAAAAACAAGUGAAAAGACAUGGACUCAAAAAUCUGUGGAAUGGCCUAGUUUGCAGAGUGAAGAAUACAACUAUGCGAGAUUUAAUGAAGACCACAUGAAGGAGGUUAAUGAGCCUUUAGAUACUGAUGAGCAUGUUGUUUCGCUUGGAGAUUGUGAAGCUGCAGUUGAUGAAGAAGAAGAAGAAGGGUCAGAGUUUGUGGAUAGUGAUUAUGAGUUUAGUGAAGAUGAGGAGGCAAACAAAGGUUGUAAUGUAGACAUCAAUAUGCCUUGUGAUGAAGAAGUGAAUGUUGAGACUGAAACACAAGGGCCAGGAGAGAUUUCUGAUGAUGGGGCAGAUUCUGAUACUUUAUAUUCUGAUGGGAACACCUCAGAUGAUGAGAAUACUAGUCGACAUGUGACAAAAAAGCAGAGGAUUAGCCUACCAAAGUUCAAGCAAUAUAGGAGAGCUACUGACCUUAAAAAUCUAGAGUUUUAUUUGGGGAUGCAAUUUGUAAAUCGGGAGCACUUGAAAGAAGCAAUAAAGGAGUAUGCCAUUGUAAACGGAAAGCUGCUGAAAUUUGAUAAAAAUGACAAGAGGAGGGUGAAGGUCAUGUGUCGUGGAUCUAGAAAUUGUGCAUUUGUUCUUUAUGCAUCUAGGAUUGAUAAAGAGGAAUCCACUUUUGUAGUAAAGGCUAUACAUGCUGAACAUACAUGUGGCAGAGUAGACAGGUUGAGAUAUGCUAAUUCAACAUGGAUUUCAAAAAGAUUUUGUGAUAAGAUGAGAAGAAAUCCUAAUUGGAAUGUGGGGCAACUUUAAGGUAAGGUGAGGGAACACUAUGCAAUGAAUGUUACACAGAACCAAGUGUAUAGGGCAAAAAAAUUGGCUAAGAAGGUCAUUCAAGGUUUGUACAAGGAACAAUAAGAGAGAUUAAGGGAUUUUGCAGAGCAAAUUAAGAAGACCAACCCUGGAAGUACUGUGGUAAUUAAAACUGAACUAGCAGGUGAUGAUGCAUUGUUUGAAUGGAUUUAUAUUUGUUUAGCUGGUUUUAAAAAGGGUUUCGUAGAAGGCUGUAGGCCUGUCGUAGGGGUUGAUGGGUGCCACUUAAAAGGACCCUGCUCAGGGCAGAUCUUAACUGCAGUUGGUGUUGAUGGGAACAACGGUAUGUUCCCAUUGGCCUAUGCUGUAGUUGAAAUAGAAAGCAAAAGUAGUUGGAUAUGGUUUCUAGAACUCUUAAUUGCAGACUUGGGGAUCCAAAAUGGUUUGGCAUGGGUGUUUAUAAGUGAUAAACAGAAUGGGCUAAUUCCUGCUAUGCAAACAGUUUUACCAAAUACUGAACACAGAAUGUGCGUGAGACAUUUGUAUAACAACUUCAGAGGCCAGCACACAGGACUUGCUCUUAAACAUUUGCUAUGUGCUGCUGCAAAGGCAACCACAUUGCCUUGGUGGGAACCAGAGAUGGAUAAUCUGAAAAAGGAGGAUGCAGAUGCUUGGAGGUGGUUAAUUGAGAAGCCUGCGAAACAUUGGUCAAGAUCUCAUUUUGCAACACACUAUAAGUGUGAUUUGUUGUUAAAUAACCUAUGUGAAAGCUUCAAUGCAACCAUUAUUAAUGCAAGGGAUAAGCCAAUCCUAACAUGCCUUGAGAGAAUAAAGAUGUAUAUUAUGAUUAGGAUGGCUAAUAGAAGGGCUUCUUGUCAACAUUGGAGGUAUACUGUUGGUCCUAGAAUCUUCAACAUAAUAGAGAAAAAUAAGUUGGCAUCAAGUCAAUGCAUACCAAGGUUGGCUGGGGAGAAGAAAUAUCAAAUAAGUCAUAUGUAUGAGGGAGAAUUUGCUGUAGAUCUAAGAGCAAAGACUUGCUCUUGCAGAAGAUGGGACUUAUGUGGGAUUCCUUGCCCACAUGCAAUUUCUGCUAUUUUCCAAAGAAGUGAAGACAUAGAGGAUUAUGUGGAUAAAUUGUACAAGAAAGAGGCUUACUUAAAAACAUAUGGUCCUAUCAUUAGACAUGUUCCUUUCAUUGACCAAUGGCCAAGGAGUUGUUUACUUGUAAUUAAGCCUCCCAACUUCAGAAUCCAACCUGGAAGGCCAAGGAAGGUGAGGACACAAGAACCAGGGAAGGUGGAAAUACCAGCUCCAGUACCUUCAAAUCCAAAACCACCGAACUGGAAACCACAACCUGCAAGGCUCCAGCUCUCCAAGGGCAAGCCGAAGCUCUAGCUCCCCAAGCUUAGGCUCCAGCUCCUCAAGCCUAAACUCCAGCUCCCCAAGCCCAAGCUCCAACUCCCCAAGCCCAAACUCAUGCUCUCCAAGCCAGGCCCAACUAGUAAGUGAUAUUGAACCAAGUCUGAUUUGUCAUUCAAUAACCUCAAUGUUUAUAACUGAAACUGAAACUUUGCUUAUAGGUGGCAGCAACCAGGGAUUGUAGAGGUAGAGGGAGAAUGAGAGGCUUAGGAAGAUCAUCAUCUCAACCUUAAGCCCAAGCUCAAGUCCAAGUCCACGCCCAAGUCCAAGCCCAAGGCCAAACUGAAGUCUUUUCUGCAAAUAUCCAAGCAAGGGCAGUAAUUGGACCAAAUCAAAUGGUCUAACAUGUAAGUGAUAUUUGAAGAUGGUUUGAUAUUCACAUGUUCUUAUGUCAUUUGUAUAACAUCAAUCACAUAUGUGAACAUUUGCUUGUAGGUGACAGCAACUAGGGGUGUACAAGUAGAGGGAGCAUGAAAGGCUUAGGAAGAUCAUCAUCUCAACCUCAACCUCAUGCAUUACCUCCAAAUAUCCAAGAAAGUGCACUAAUUGGACCAAAUCAAAUGGCCCAACUUGUAAGUCAUAGUUGAAUAUGGUUUCAUACUCACAUUUUCUUAUGUCAUUUGAAUAACCUCAAUCACUUCUGUCAAUGUUUGCUUAUAGGUUGCAUCAACUAGAGGUGGUAGAGGGAGAGGGAGAAUGAGAGGCUUUGGAAGAUCAUCAUCUCAACCAGUAAGCAAAGGCUCUAUCACUAGAACAACCAAUGGUGCAUCAUCUUCACAGCCACCAAGAUGAAUAGUGUUUUGUAACGGUUUUGGGGAUACCUUUUGGGACUUAAACUAUGUUGUGACUGCUAUUUUAGGGAUACCUUUUGAUAUUUGAACAUGGCUAUUUUGAUAAUUAAGUGUCUUUUGUACUCUGUUUGAGUAACAAGUUAUCAUUUUGGAACAUGUGGUGGAUCUGGGCAUGUAUUAAACAUGUCAUAUGAUUGCACUUUCCCAAAAAAGGCUCUAUCUGUGAACAUUUGAAUUUGUAAUGAAUGUAAGUUUCACUCUUCUGCUUAUGUGAAAGGUUGCUCUACUAUUUCAUGUGCAUUUGUAUGCCUUAAUUUGAACAAGUCUUGUAUGCAGAUUGAGGUCAAUGAAUCUGGAAUUACAACAUUGCAAAUAACCAAAGUUUUCAAAAUCCAUAAGCCUUUUGCAUAACUAAUAACAUUACAAGAUUGCAUAACUAAUUUCGGGAAUUACAUUAGCUCCAAAAUGGGUUUCACUGCCCUUACUCCCAUACAUUUUCCAGACAUGUUUGACACCAUGAUCAUCACCAUCACAAUGGCCACAAAUAAAACACAAGCACCCAUACUCAUCCUACAUUCUCUUUGUCGAUGCCUCAUCAUAUUGUCUUCCAGCAAAAGUCUAAGCCUUCUGUUGUCUCUGAUUGCAUAAUCCAACUCCUUAUUUUUUUCAAUUAUGCCCUCCAUUUCCAAGUUUCAAGCUUCUAAGGAUUGAAGUGUGUUGACCACAACAUUUUUUCUCUCUUCUGUCUCCCUCAUUUCAGUCUCCAUCAUUCUUAUUCUUCUAAGCAGACCAGGCACCACAUUCUUCCCUCUUGUACAUGUCUCCUUGUCCAACCACCUAAAAUAAUGCUCUCCAACUCUGUUUUUCUACUUCAUUAUUAUCAAAUUCUUCAUCACAACAAAAUCUGAACAUAAUACCAAUUUUGUGCAUAAACCCAAAAAUCUAAAAUUGUUUACCUGGUUGUUGUCACAAGCCUCAAAGCGUCUUCCUGGAUUCAUGUCCGUCCAUGAAGUCCUUAAUUUGAUCAAACUCCCACAAUGACAAUACUUCACUGAUUUGGGGCUUUGGUUAGAUUCCAUUGAUGAUGUUUGAGACAUAUCACUUGCCAUCCUUUGAACUAAUUUGCUCUCCAAGCUUCCAAACUUGACGAUUCCAACUUUUACUCAGCCAAUAUGCGAGCUGCAGAAGCGGAUUGCAACUUUUAGUUCUUUAGGUUUUCAACGGCAGACUGUCGAAGGUCUAUUUCAGAGGGAAGGCAAGUUGUAGAAGGGGGAUAAUAAACCAACCUGAAAAGACCCAUCUAUCCCUAAAUGUAACGAAAAAAUUGACAGAAGCAACGGCGGGACUAGUAAUCCAAACAAAACUUAAGUUGUGGAACCGUGGGUACAAUUUUGGAAAUUGAGGUACACAAAUGCAAAUUCGGUCAAAGUUGGGGGACUAAUAAAACGAUUAACCCAUUAUGAUAUAUAUUAUAUAAAAUAAAUAUUGGGUAAAUUACUCAAAUGGUCCUCAAACUUAUACUCGAUUUACAUUUUGGUCCCUCAAUUAUUAUUUGUUCAAAUGGUCCAUCAACUCUAUAUUAUUCUCUCCAUUGGUCCUACCGUUAUAUUUUGUCAAUAUUUCUGUUAAAUGUGAGGGCAAAUUGGUCAUUAUAUAACUAAAAUUAGGGUAAAUCUAACAGAAAAUUAGACGGUAGGAAUUCGGGGCGGUUCAUGUCAAAAAGCUAAUCAGAGGGGCGAAAUUGACAAAUAAAUUUAAUACAAUGGCUAAAUUGGUUGAAAGAUUAAUUCAAGAUGUAGAUUUCAACAAGUGUGAUAAUUCAUGGGGGUAUUCGGUAAUUUACUCCUUUUUUCCCCCUUGAUCUUCCGUAUUCAAGUAAUGGAAAUGUGUUCCACAUUUUCCAUUUAGUUGAUUAUAGAAAAGGAAGAGCAAACAUGAGUUAAGCCCAAGGCACUGAACUUAGGGUCAGUUUGGCAUUGCUGUGCUGUGAAAAUAAUCGUUGUCAGAUUUGCUAUGAGAGAAAAUAGUUUGGCGUUUGGUAAAAUUUUUGUUAAAAGUAUUAUUAGUAUUUAUUUUACACAUAAUCAGAAAAUAAUUGCCGCAUAAUCAUUAAAUUCAGCGCCUCUUCGAAACUGAUUCUUGCAUAAUCAGAAAAUGAAAGCACAUCAUUAGCUGCUUUCCUUUAUAACUUUCUCUCACAGCAAUUUUUAACAAUAGGUGAUUUUCUCACAGUUUACCAAAUGGGUUGGGCUUCUCAAAAUUAAAAAAAAAACACUUAUCACCCCAAAUAAACAAUGCCAAACGGGCACUUAGACUUCUCACCAAGUGAGGAAGAAAAAUAUGACAAAUUGAUAUAUUUAAUACAAGCUCAAACUGUGCACAAAUUAAUAUAUGCAAUGGAAGCCCAAGAUUAUUUCUGAAGCACAUAAUUUCUGCAAAAUCUACAAAGUGGUGGGAGGCAGACCAACAAAAAAAAGUAGCGAAGGCUUAUAACUCUGGUAAAACAAGAGUGACAACUGAAGAUUUUUGGGUUUCUUUAAUUGGUUAAGUUUAUAUACCUUCAUUUGAAGAUUCUUUAUUUGGGUUGCUUUCAAGAUGAAAACCAUAUCCACAACCACAACCACAACUGGCAGACAAUCUUUGGCUGUUCAUCACAAUUGGGCGACAAUGAAGAAGACAGAAAUUGGAGUAAUGUAUGUUACCAGCAAUCCACGAGAAACUGACGUCUGCAAGCUUUCGUAAUAUAAGGAGGAUGGGGAGGUUGUGCAAUACUUAUCACCUUAGCCACCACCUACACCACAAGACCAAUAUGUUGUAGGCCAGGAGGCUUUCCAAUUUUAAUAUAUAUAAAAGUAACGUAAAAAAGAAAUUAAUGUAGGGUAAAGUAGAAUAGAAAAGAGAAUAAACAAAAUUAAUAAAAAAAAAUUUUAAAAAGUAAAAGGGAGUGUAAAUGGAGAAAAGAGGAAUGGGGAAAUCAGCUCCCUAUAUAUAUAUAUAUAUACAUGGAUUGAAAAAUUAAAAUUAAAAUAAAUCUAUUAUCUUAUAUAUUAUAAAAUAAAGAUUAUUGCUCCAAGGAAAUGAGAUCUUUUGUUUUCUGGGAAUUUUCUGAACCAAGAAAUAUCAAGUAAAAUUAAUAAAGCAUAAAUUGGAAAGGGAAAAGAUCCAGAGGAUGCAUUGUAAGAUUGCUGAUGCCAAUAAUUGUACUCUCUAAUUAUACAUGGACGGGCAUUCAAAUCGGCAAAUCGGAAAUUCGAGCCGAACCACAAAAAAAAAAACCGAGUUGACCAAAAAGUCAAAAACCAAUCAAAAACCAAACCGAAUCGGUUUGGACUGGUUUUGGAUCCAGUUCUAUGUCUUCAAAAACUGAACCAGGCGGAACCGAACCAAUCAAAUUUAAAAAUAUAUAAUUUCAAUAUUUAUUUAUAUUCAAUGCUAUAUUUUUAAUCUCAUAACUAAUAUUUAUACAAGUUCAAUUUCAAAACAUCUAUCUUUUCUAGCUUUAAUAUUUAUUUUUAUAUGAAAUUAAAUAAUUUAUUAAUUUUCAAGUCAAAAAAAUAAAAUUUUAGUUGAAAUUUGUAUUAAAAAAUUAAUUUUAAUAAUCCAGUUCAAAACCAAAUCGGACCGGAACCUAAUCGAAACUGGUUCAACCUGAACCAGACAGUUUUUGAAUUUUUUUUGUUAAAACUGAACCGAACCAAACUGGAUAAAUAGUAUCGGACUUUGUUCUAAUUUGAGACAAAAACCGGUCCAAACCGGACCGUGCCCACCCUACAUGGACAUAUUUUUUUUGUUUUCAAGUCUUAGAUGACAUGUCGACCUAAAAUUAUCGUUCCUAGCGGCUCUCCACCCCCACUCAACCUAUUGUGUAUUAUUAUUUUCAAUAUUAUCUCAAAUUUAACUACUUAUGUCCAUUAUGAUUAGUCAUCUAUUUUAUGGACCAUCCAGCUGUGAGGUUUUAUCUCAAAAACCUUCAGUAACUUUUUCCCGCUUGCAACAAUUGUAUUUGAUUCAGAAUUAUGUCCUAUAUUGGUGGGUGGAGUGUUACUUCUGGGUACCCCUCAUCAUUCGUCUAUAAAAUGGUGAAGCCAGUUGCUACUGUUACCAUAAGAUCCAGCUCCGACUUUCUUUAAUUUCUUGCUUCAUAUCCACUAGCUACAUCUGUUGCCGAGUUAAUUUCAGUCCUAAUGGGGUUUCAUCUCCCACUCAUCUUUGCUAUUCUCAUUGUAAGCUCUGCAAUUUGAUUAACUUUUCCAUUCUCUCUCAUUGUACUUUAUAUAAUCCUCUCCGAAAGUGUCGUCCACUAAUUAAUUACACUUUGUGAUUUUAUUUUAAUUAGAGUUCAAAUUAAUGUUGCAGCUAGCAGCGGUGGCACUGGCAAUCCAUGCUGCGCAACCAGCACCUCAACUUUACUGGAACUCCGUCCUGCCAAACACACAGAUGCCAAGAUCUAUCAGUGAACUUCUGCAUCCUGGUUUGUGUUAAGCCAUUUAGAAUCUUAGAUAUUUUUUCUACCUGCCAUUUUACUGAAAUGUGUUCCGACCACAUAUUUAUCGGUUAACUACUGUUUUCCAAUUUAUUAUUAACCUCGACAAAAGUUAUUACAUGAGUAAUUAUAGUAUGGUACUAGAGUACGUACGGCUAAAAGACUUACGGAAAUGUGUUCCGACCACAUAAAAGACUUACGGAAGGCUGGUGAGUUCUCCAAGUUUUCUAAACGCAGUGCCUGUUGGAAGAACCUGUAAGAGAGUUCAAUUAUUGAAGGCUCCCCAGUCUGAGCACCUGUGAGAUUGUAAAGAUCCUCGAGAAUGAAAAAUGGCAGCUGAUUUUCGAGCAUAAGCAUGUCAGGCAAUAUAUUUUGUUGCACCCAUGGUUUUUUAAAUAUCCAAGCAUUAUCAUCCGGCAAUUUUUCUUCCUGAAAUUUUUCUUCGGAUUUAUUCCUCAACAAUAGCUCAAUGACAAAGGCGGCAUCAACUAGAAAGAUAUUCACAAAAGCGGCAAUGUUAAACUUCUUAGUGUCUUCAUAAUAAUGACGGAGUUCAACUUCUCUCUCCUUUAGGUACCUGAGUUUGUGAUCUUCCAUGGCUUCUAAGUUUUUGCUGCCAUGGUGAAGUGGGCCUAUUGAGACUACUUGUGGUGUGUAGGCCUUUUGUUUUACGUUCCGUAGUCGCUCAGGCACCCUGUAGAUAUUGCAGGCAGGGGACAGGGCACGCAAGUUUGUCAACUGAUUUUCCAUGGAAGUUGCUUGGUUUUCUAUGUCAAAAGAAGCUUCAUUGCUGCUUUCUUCCACUUUCUUCCUCCGCAUUAUGUGUUGUUCUGAUUGUAAGUGACGAGGAUGGUGAUGAUUCUAGACACCAUAAUCAACAAAUGUUUCAAUCAUAAUUGACAUUUCAAGAUGCUUCCGACAAAAAAUUAGAAAACAUUCAUCACAAAAUGCGAACUCAUACAAUAGAUGGGUUGAGAAGAUCCACACAUUGCAAUCAUACAAUCCAAUUGCACAGGGAUUACUCCCUAUUCUCCUCUCUCUCUAAAAAAGAUUUUCAUAUCGAUAACAUCUUAUUACAAGGGAUUUGUAUAUCAAGUGGUGAUGAACAGAAAUUCAUAUUCUUUCAAUCAAAAUAUACAAAUUUCGAAAAAGUUUGUUUGUUUUAUUUUUGGAGGAAAAAAAUCUGAGCAUAUAUAGAUGCAUAUUAUACGUAGACCUAAGGUGAAAACAUACCAGAUUUUUACUCCAUUUUUCAUGAGGUUUAAGUUCUUGAUGUAUAUAUUUAUCUCAAGUGUAACAUCCCACAUUGAUCAACGGAGAGGGGGUGAUGUGCCUUAUAUGUACAUGCCAGCCUCCAUCUAGCACGAGGCUUUUUGGGAGCUCAUUGGCUUCGGAGUCAUAGGAACUUCGAAGUUAAGCGAGUUGGAGCUAGAGCAAUCCCAGGAUGGGUAACUCAUUGGGAAGUUGCUUGUAAGUUCCCAGAAAUAAAACCGUGAGGGCAGAUAGGGGGCCCAAAGCGACCAAUAUCGUGCUACGGCGGAACCGAUUCUGGGAUGUGACAAUUUGGUAUCAGAGCCACUCUGCCGUGUGGUGCGAGUGUGCCGACGAGGAUGUCGAACCCUUGAAGGGGGUGGAUUGUAAUAUCCCACAUUGACCAACGAAGAAUGGGUGAUGUGCCUUAUAUGUACAUGCCUGCCUACAUCUAGCACGAGGCCUUUUGACAGCUCACUGGCUUCAGAGUCAUAGGAACUCCGAAGUUAAGUGAGUUGGUGCUAGAGCAAUCCUAGGAUGGAUGACGUGACAUCAAGAAUUUAUAUCCUCCCUUUUAGAUCUCAUGUUCCAGUCAAAACAUAUAGAAACAAACGAAACAUAAGAAACUAAAAUCUUGUUUAUACCCAUCCUCCCACCCACCCACGGCCAUCCACCCCUACUGAAAGGACCCGCCCCCAAUUUUCUCAAAACCCGAGACGAACCCUUUGGAAUUCCUGACAUCACCCCGAUGCCAGGCCCACUUACUAAAAACUGAGACUUCCUGCCGAAAUUUCGGCAGAGUCUCCCCUAUAAAUUGGACAUUUCCCAAAAUUUCAACCUGCAUAAAAACGCAUUUAAUAUUCCCAACUGGCAGCAUGCACAAUAUAAUUUCAUGCAAUUCACACAAAUGGCCUUCGGCCUUUCAAUAAUUCCUAUCCAACUACCAAACCAUUCAAAUACAAAUUAUGACUAAUAUUUAGUCUGCGGCUGCACCUAAUAACCUUAGGCUGCCUACGUACCCUCCUUGAGGGAUCAAGCCACACGUAGUUCUUCCCUAAAACCCAAUUCCACACUUGGGCGAUACCUUAUUUCAUUUCUCUGGAUUUCAUAUAAUCUCCCCAUACGCCGGUACAACCAACGCCACGUAUGGGGCCUGUCAACACGCCGGAUAACCUACGCCACGUGCGACCAUGCCAUACUAUCAUAAUAUCUCCCCAUACGCCGGUACAACCAACGCCACGUAUGGGGCCUAUCCCAACGCCGGAUAACCUACGCCACGCGGGACCUCAAUAUUCAUAUCACAAAUCUCCCCAUACGCCGGUACAACCAACGCCACGUAUGGGGUCUGUCGACACGCCGGAUAACCUACGCCACGUGCGACCUCAACACAAUAUCACAAUAUCUCCCCAUACGCCGGUACAACCAACGCCACAUAUGGGGUCUGUCUCAACGCCGGAUAACCUACGCCACGUGAGACCUGAACAUCAUAUUACAAAUCUCCUCAUACGCCGGUACCACCAACGCCACGUAUGGGGCCUGUCCCAACGCCGGAUAACCUACGCCACGUGGGACCUAACUUUUACUUGGUGGUGCUUGUAGUGAAUCCAAAAUCCGGGGAGGUACCUAAAGUAGUGCGUAUAGCACUCCAAACUGACACUCUAGACUCUGUUGUACCCUUGUACAACCAUAUAUAAUUAUAGUUAUAUAAAUUAAUUCUAAUAUUGUGUAACCCUCCACAAUAAUCUAGCUCCCGAUAAUCCCCCCCUUAGAAAGGUGAGAUUACUCCGGGAGACUCACGGUCAACCAAGGGUCAAACUACUCUAACCCUGGUCAACCGGACCUGCAGAACCCACGACCUCCAAUUUCUGAUCCGAAAGUCUCUAUGGGUUCUACUAGGUAUAGGACACUUGUCCUGCAAGUUUGGUUCAGAUCGGACGGUCGGAUUUCUCACGAUCGCACGAUCUGACGGUUAAUAUAAAAUAUAAACUUUAAAAUUAUUAUUCGGAACAUCCGGGGCUCCGAUUCACGAUCUGUAAAUUCCUACAUGAUCCUAGAAAUACCUUGAUUAACAUAUAUUAAAUUUGGGACCAUCCAACGGUCCCAACCUAUCGAACCCGGAUAACAUACACUAUGCGAUUAUCUGUUCGAUAGUCAAACGACGUCCGAAUUGAGAUCCGCGAAAUCCUACGCACUCGUGACAACCUAAGGAUCUCAUCGGAACACAUCGCUACUUUUUAUACAGUGCCCACGCGCCGCCGCACGCUCCGGCAGCGCGUGGGUGCCCAAAGCGAUAACGCUUCGCCGGAAAAUCUCAACAUCUCGGCUCCAAACUCCUACCCUAGGUAUAACACCCUAUUUGGAGCCACUUUUGUUCUUGGACCUACCCCAAAAAUUGGCCGGAAAUGGCCGAUCACGGCGGCCGAAGUUCGGCCGAUUUUCAAUUCGAAAAUCGAGUUGUCUACGCUAAGAAUCGAUCUAAUCCUACCCAACAGGCAGCUAGAGCAUGAAAAAUAGGUGAGAAACCAUACCUUGCUCGUCGGAUUUGGUGGCCGGAGGAGGGAGAUCGAGCUCCUUGAAUUUUGGGUUAAAAUCGGUCGGAUUUUUGCAUUUUCCGGCGAGCACAGGUGGUUCCGGUGGCUGAGAUCGGUCGGGAUGGAAAGAGGAGGAUGGCACGGUUCUUUUGGGACCGGUGCCACCCCGAGUGGUGGCCGGAUGCGGCGACGGCGGCCCAAAAAACCGCCGCUGUGAACAGUAACAGGGGGGGCUGUUCUGCGCGCAGGGGAGAGAGAGAGAGAGAGAGAGAGAGAGAGAGAGAGAAAAUCUGAUUUUAUAAAAAAUCCCAUUUCAAAAUAUUUACGAUUGUGCCACUGGACUUCUUUUGACCAUAUCUCUCUCGUUACAACUCCGAUUCGAGCCCACUACGUGUCUGUGAACUCGUCUCAGUACGACCUAUCCAAAAAUAUAAGUCACGGUCCCAAACUCUCUCUGGUUAAAAAUAUGACUAAAAUACCCUUAAAUAAUUAAAUAAUUAAAUGAGGGUAAAAUUUGGGAAAAUUUGGGGUCGGGGUGUUACACCUACCCUCUAUCUCCAUUAAAUCUACAAGUAGCUCAUCAAUUUAUCCACUAUCCCAAGUUCAAUAUACAACCCAACAACCAUCUUACCCAUCUUCUCAUUGAUCUUCCACCCAGCAUCCAACACUAUCUUCAUAAACUCUUUACCCUUUAAAAUAAAUAUGGCAAUAAACUAAAAAUUCUGAUUUAACGCAUGUUUUGCUCAUAAGAGAACUAAAACCUAAAAAUUCUAUACUCUUACACAAAAAAUAAAAAAUAAAAACUAAAAUUGAAAUGGUUAUCAAACAAACCCUUAUAUUACAAAAAACACUGUAAGGGAGGUAAAUAGUACGUUUACAGAGUUUAAGUGUAAUAAAGGAAUAAAAACAUGCCCAGAGGAUUGAUAAGUGAUAUCAAUUCUUGAAUAUACAGAACGUAAAAUAAAGCAACACGUAAAAAAUUAUUUUAUAUGGUAAAACUCCAUCUCUGGGGAAAAUCCAUGGGACUUCUUAGUCCAAAACAAAUCCAUUAUAGAACGAUGAUUAUAAGAAGUACUCACACACUUAUCCUAAACACAUUCUAGAUAAUGUUUAUUGACCUCUUCGUAACUCAACUUCUGUCUCGGGAUGAUCUUUCGACACUCUUUAUGUUGAAUGCAAUAUUGGUCACGGUUUCUUCAAGCUCGUCAGAGUUCUUCCAACUCUCCUAAUAUUGAAUUCGAUACUAGUCACGAUUGAUUCAAGCUCAUCGUAGAAAAACCGUCACAAUGGUCUUGGUGCCCUCAACCGUAUGAGUCAUUGAACAUGCAAAUGAAUACAAUAUGAAUGAUAAAAGUGUUUGAUAAAUCACCGAGUUAUGGAACACUUGAUGAUUUAUCUCAAAUAAAAACUCAGCUUUCCAAAAUUUAUGAAUUGAAAAUAUGAUCGUUAAUGCUCUCUAAACAAAGAAGACAAAGGUCUUAUUUUAGACUUUUUCUUUACAAGAAAGAAAAUAAGUUGGAAACCAAAUCUCCAAUUUCCAAGGCAAAAUCACAAAAGUAUCUUUUCUAGAGAUUGGUCACAUGUAGUCCAACCAAUAGGAAAUGAGAUAUUUAAGAAAGGAAGAUUUUGAUCAAUAUCAAUAUCAAAUGAAUUCUUAUACGCCUAGUCAACUAUUAAGGGUAUCUUGACUCCUUGAUAUUUUGAUAUGAUUGAAACAUGAUUUCCAAGUUAGAAAAUUAAGGGGAUGUUAAAACAUGAAAGUAAUAGGAGAAACAAAUUUAUUUGGACCAAAAUUGCCUAAAAAGAAAACACUCCUAAAUAAACUUCAAUUCACUUUAGUAAAACAUGAUUGAAUCGUUCGUUAAAACAAUUCCCUAAUAUACAUGCAUGAUAAUGACAUCACUUACUCCUGAAUCAAAUUGUCACGCCCCGGACCCGGGGGUUGAUGGAAAUUCCGCGCCCGGUGCGUAAGAAAAUAAAAAGUAAAAUAAAAUAAAAAGAAAGCCGAAACAAGGUGCUAAAUGAAAACUAUGAGAGAAUAUUUGUUUGUGGGAAUUUUCUGUGUAUUCUUCUCCUUGUAGGAGGUCAUAUUUAUAAUACAACGAAACCUGAAUGGGCAAGUAAAUAAUAAAUUCCUAAAUCUAUUUGCAGUAGGAAAUCAGGAAUUAAAGUAAAUCAAUUACAAUUAUAAUAGGAAUUCUUGGUGUGUAAGGAAAGUAAAUCAAUAUCCACAAGUCAAGCCAACACUCCCCCUCACGUUGGUGCAUAGAUGUCGCCAAUGCCCAACUGAUCUAGUGAAUUGUGGAAUGCUUUACUGGAAAUCGCCUUUGUCAAAAUAUCCGUCAAUUGAUCCACGGAUUUCACAAAAGGAAACUGAAACACUUUAGCCUCAAGCUUUUGUUUGAUGAAGUGUCGAUCCACCUCAACAUGUUUUGUACGGUCAUGCUGAACCGGAUUCUGUGCAAUGGCUAUAGCAGCCUUGUUGUCACAAAAGAGAUUCAUUGUGGAUGUAGGUUUAUACCCAAGUUCAGUAAGCAACUUUCUUAACCAAAGAAGUUCACAAAUCCCUUUAGUCAUGCCUCUGACCUCGGCUUCUGCACUGGAUAAAGCUACUACAUUCUGUUUCUUGCUUCUCCAUGUCACCAAAUUACCUCCCACGAAUGUGAAGUAACCCGAUGUGGAUUUUCUAUUUGUUACAUUACCUGCCUAAUCUGCAUCUGAAUAACCAUCAAUAUUUAGAUGACCAUGCUUUGAGAACAUAAGUCCUUUUCCAGGUGCAGACUUCAAAUAUCUAAGUAUCCGAAGAACUGCAUUCAUAUGGUCUUCACUUGGAGAGUGCAUAAAUUGACUGACAAUGCUCACUGCAUAAGCAAUGUCUGGUCGAGUAUGUGACAAAUAGAUCAAUCUUCCCACUAAUCUUUGGUAUCUUUCUUUGUUAGUUGGAACUUGAUCCGGAUAUUCUCCAAGAUGAUGAUUCUGAACAAUAGGAGUGUCCGCAGGUUUACAAUCUAGCAUUCCUGUGUCUGUCAACAAGUCUAAGACAUAUUUCCUUUGAGAGAGAAAUAUGCCUUGCUGCGAUCGAGCCACCUCAAUUCCCAAGAAAUACUUGAGUCCACCUAGAUCCUUCAUCUCAAACUCCGUAGCCAGAUAGCCUUGUAGCUGUGAUAUUUUCUGUUUAUCAUUCCCAGUAAUAAUCAUAUCAUCAACAUAGAUUAUUAAUGUUGUUACCUUCCCUUUUCGAUGUUUCAAGAACAGAGUAUGAUCUGAGUUGCACUGUUUGAAACCAUUGUUCUUCAUUGCCAUGGUGAACCGUCCAAACCAUGCACAUGGUGACUGUUUCAAUCCAUACAAUGCUUUUCAUAACCUUCAAACUGUUCCAGUCUGAGUAGUAUUAUAUCCAGGAGGAAUGUCCAUGUACACCUCCUCCGUGAGUUCGCCAUGUAGAAAAGCAUUCUUUACAUCAAACUGGUGUAGUGGCCAAUCCAAAUUAGUUGCAAGGGACAAUAAGACUCUGGGUGUUUAACUUUGCAACUGGAGCAAAGGUUUCUUCAUAGUCUAUACCAUAGGUCUGUGUGUACCCUUUUGCCACAAGUCUUGCCUUGUAUCGCUCGAUAGAUCCAUCUGCAUUGUGUUUUAUAGUAAACACUCAUCUACAUCCGAUAGUCUUUUUUCCUCGGGGUAUAGUCUCCAAUGUCCAAGUCUGAUUUUUCUCAUUGGGCUUUCAUCUCCUCUUUUAUAGCUUGGACCCACUUAGGAUCUUUCAAUGCUUCAGAGACCUUGGUUGGAAUAUGGAUAGCAAACAACUGAUACACAAAAGCCUUGAGUAGUUCAGACAGCUUCUCAGUGGAUACAUGAUUUGCAAUUGGAUACUUGGAUGUCUUGCCAAUAUCAGGUGAAUAACGGUUUGGUGGCUUCCCACGAUUUUGCCUGAAAGGUAAUUGAUAUCCAAUAGUUUUAUCAUCUAAAUGCAAAGUCUAGUAGGAGUAGUUACCUCAAGGAUAUUCUCAGGAGAUUGGUCUGUUGGUACUGUUGAGUUAGAGCGGGGGUCUUCAUCUUGUUGUUCUGUAUUGUCUGUAGGUGUGAGACUCGGAUCAGAAAUAUCUUCACAUGGAUCAGGUGGGUCAGGCAAUUGAUCGCUAUGAAUGGGCGAUUGGUCACUUUUCGACAGAGAGUAAUCUCGUGCUCCAGACUCAGAAUGAUCAAUCAUUUCUAUACAAAGGAGAAUUUCUUUAUUUUCCAAGUCGCUCCAAUUAUGCUCUUCACUUCGUAUCUCCCCCUGAAGUGUAGAAUUGGAUGAUGGGUCAUGGAAGAACAGCUUAGAUUCCAGAAAGGUCACAUCCAAAGUGACAUAGGUUCGUUGGGUAGGAUGGUGAUAACAGCGGUAGCCUUUCUGAUGAGUGGCAUAACCCACAAAAAUACAACAAAGCGCACAUGGAUCAAGUUUGCUACGUUGAUUUUUGUGGAGAUGAACGAAAGCCACACAUCCAAAGAUUCGAGGUGUGAGUACCAAAACAGAAGGCAGAGGUCUGUGUUGUGCCAGCACCUGUAAGGGAGUUUUAAAGGUCAGUACACUAGAAGGCAUGCGGUUGAUCAGAUGAACUGCGGUGACAAUAGCAUCAUCCCAAUGAUGGCGAGGACCAUGAGCGUCAAUCAGAAGCGGGCGGUUUCAAGAAGAUGUCGAUUCUUUCGUUCAGCAACACCAUUUUGUUGUGGUGUCUGAGGACAAGUCGUCUCAUGGAUAAUUCCAUGUUGUUGGAACUAAUUCUGAAAGUCAUGAUUGACAAAUUCUCCACCAUUGUCUGAGCGAAGAAUCUGAAUUUGAGCAUUAAACUGAGUUUUCAUCUGUUUGUGGAAGGACUGAAAAUAGGAAAACACUUCGUUUUUAUUUUUCAGCAAAUAAAGCCAUGUCAUCCGUAUACAAUCAUCGAUGAAUGUGACAAACCAUCGAACACCAGAAGGAGCAGUGACAGGAGAAGGUCCCCAGACAUCAGAGUGAAUUAACGUAAAUGGAGUAGUACACUUGUUCGUACUCAACGGGUAAGGCACACGGUGACUCUUGGCCAAAAUACAAGUAUCACAUGUGAAGUCAGAGUCCUUGAAACCUGAGAAUAAAUCUGGUAUAAGAUGCUUCAUAUAACUAAAAGACGGAUGUCCCAAUCGACGGUGCCACAACCAGAUUUGCUUUUGUUUGCUAUCAAAGGGAUGUGUCACGCUGUUAGCCAUGCGAGACUGAAGUCAUCGACAUAAUAUAGCCCCCCUCUCUUAGUACCACGACCAAGAAUCUCCUUAGUGUGAAUAUCCUGAAACAAAUAAAAACUCGGGUAAAUGAGUACACAACAAUUCAAUUGUUCAGUAAGCUGACUAACUGACAACAAUUUAGUGGAUAAAGAUGGAACAAGUAAAGUAUUAGACAGUGUGAGAGAGGAUGAGAGUGCAACAGUGCCAGCCCCUGUCACAGGAUAAGUAACACCAUUGGCAUUUGCAAUACAGGGUCGUCGAGGUUGUGUAGUAUUCAGAAAAUCAUCAGGAUCAAACGUCAUAUGAUCAGUUGCACCGGAAUCAAUUAUCCAGCUCCUCGAAUCAAUCUUAUCGGAAGUAUGAAAUCCAUAACCAGUACCAUUACUGGUCAAAUUGCAUUGUCCUUGAUCUGUAAGAGUAGCCCACCAAUUGGGGUAGCCAUGCGAUUUAAAACAAGUCUCAAAAGUGUGUCUCGGAUCACCACAAUAUGCACAAGCUGGUCCAUGUGUCGGGGUCGUUAGUCUAGAAGUCAUAAUCUGUGCAGCGGAAGAUGCAUAGGAUACAGGUUGAGUAGGAAUUGGGAUUGGAAUCUGAGCCUGAGUCGGGGACGGAGUCGGAGUCGAAAUCGAGAUCAGGGUCUGAAUCAGAGACAAAUUCGGGGUUGGGGUCGUCAUCGGAGUGGGGUCGGGGUCAUCUUCGGAGUCGGGGUCGGGGUCGUCAUCGUCAUAGUCGGGGUCGGGGUCAGGGUCGUCAAAAGAGGAUCUUGAUUCUGAAUCGGAUUCGGGGUCAAAGUCUGCAUCUGUAGGAGCGGAGCCAUCUGGGCACUCAACUCAACGAUGGUGGGUGGAGAAUGAGAGAAGGAGUCGGUGGUGCUACCUCCAUGAGGGUUGAAAAAAUCAUCAACCCCCAUAGCAGCGGUGGGGGUUUGAAACUAGAGUCAGCAAUUCCAAGAUUACCGCUCUGAUACCAUACUAAAAUAUGAAAACUAUGAGAGAAUAUUUGUUUGUGGGAAUUUUCUGUGUAUUCUUCUCCUUGUAGGAGGUCAUAUUUAUAAUACAACGAAACCUGAAUGGGCAAGUAAAUAAUAAAUUCCUAAAUCUAUUUGCAGUAGGAAAUCAGGAAUUAAAGUAAAUCAAUUACAAUUAUAAUAGGAAUUCUUAGUGUGUAAGGAAAGUAAGUCAAUAUCCACAAGUCACGCCAACACAAGGGUUUAAAAUAAACCUCUCUUAUAAAAUAGCUCCAAAAUCUUACAACUUUACAAGAAAUAAAUAAAGCUUUAUCAUUCUUAUCUAAUUAAGCCUCAACUUGUUUAGUCCUUGUCUUGCCCACUAAUUCGUCUGAAAAAUUAAAGGGACAUGCAUGAGACCUUACCACAGUAGAUUGAUAUAACUAAAAUUAUCAUAAACAUAGAAAUAUAUAAGUAUUAUUAUAAUAGGAUUCAUAAUAAUUAAUAUAAAAGUAUAACAACAAUAUUUACGUAUACGUACCAAGAUAAUUACACAUAUAAAUAUAACCAAUAUAUAUUUAUAUAUAUUUUAAAAUACGGGUCUUCACACAAAUGCCUUUCGCUGGUCAAGCCACAAGUCUGUGUUUUGGGGAUUGCUGAGCUGCAUCAAUCCUGCCAAUGUCAAUUCUGCCCCUAGGCUCUCUCAAAGCACGUUUACAACCUAUGCUAACAUAUACUAGAGUUUGUGCUAGUAUCUAGAAAAUGCCAACACUAAUUUCGUAACACGUAGAAAUUGUUAGAGAUUGGAAGUUUUUAUCAUUUUUUCUUCCAAUCUCUCCACCACUCACUAAUAUAGAUUACUCAUGUGAUGAGGUUAUAAAACCUAUUUCUCUACUCUCUCAUUUGUUAUUUACUUUUUUUUUCCUUGGAAAUAUGUUCCGCCAACGUGAGAAAGAAAAAUAUGCACAAAUUGAUAUAUUUAAUAGAAGCCCAAGAUUUCGGAAGCACAUAAUUUCUACAAAAAUCUACAAAGUGUUCUACUUUACAAACUUCAUAUGUCUACCAAUUUCUACUAAAAUUAAUUUCUCUGUAGUGCUCAGAUUCAUCAUAUGUGUAUCCUUAAUUCUAGUGAAAAUUGGAAGUUUCCAUCAUUUUUAUUUUCUGAGAAUUUUCUGAACCAAGGAAAGGGAAAAUAUCUAGAGGAUGCAUUGUAGGAUUGCUCAUGCCAAUAAUUGUACCCUCUAAAUAUAUAAAGGGACAUUUUUUUUUUUUUUUCAUGACAUGUGGUCCUAAAAUUAUUGUUCCCAGCAGGCUCUCCACCCUUCUCAAAUUUAAGUGGUCCAUUAUGAUUAAUCAUGUAUUUUAUGGACCAUCCAGCUGUGAGGUUUUAUCUCAAAAACCUGCGGUACCUUUCUCCCACAUGCCACAUGCAAAUGAAUUUAAGUGAGAGAGGCAGUGGGAAGUAAUUAAGCUCUAUAUUGGUGGGUGGAGUGUUACUUCUGGGUACCCCUCAUCAUUCGUCUAUAAAAUGGUGAAGCCAGUUGCUACUGUUACCAUAAGAUCCAGCUCCGACUUUCUUUAAUUUCUUGCUUCAUAUCCACUAGCUACAUCUGUUGCCAAGUUAAUUUCAGUCCUAAUGGGGUUUCAUCUCCCACUCAUCUUUGCUCUUCUCAGUGUAAGCUCUGCAAUUUGAUUAACAUUUCCAUUAUCUCUCAUUGUACUCUAUAUAAACGAAAGUUUUGCGUUCCUAUAAUCCUCUCUGAUUUUAUUUACCACAUAAGUGUCGUCCACUAAUUAAUUACACUUUGUGAUUUUAUUUUAAUUAGAGUUCAAAUUAAUGUUGCAGCUAGCAGCGGUGGCACUGGCAAUCCAUGCUGCGCAACCAGCACCUCAACUUUACUGGAACUCCGUCCUGCCAAACACACAGAUGCCAAGAUCUAUCAGUGAACUUCUGCAUCCUGGUUUGUGUUAAGCCAUUUAGAAUCUUAGAUAUUUUUUCUACCUGCCAUUUUACUGAAAUGUGUUCCAACCACAUAUUUAUCGGUUAAGUACUGUUUUCCAAUUUAUUAUUAACCUCGGCAAAAGUUAUUACAUGAGUAAUUAUAGUGUGGUACUAGAGUACGUACGGCUACAUAUUCACAAAUGUGUCACUCACUCUUCAAUCGGCUGACCACUUAUUUUCCAUUAUGGCGUGGAUAUAUAAUUUGCAGACUCCAAAAAUGAAGAAAAGAGCACAAAUGACGUUGGCAAACCUGAAACUUUCCCAUUGGGCAAUAAACGUUACUACAGUCAAAAAAGGUAUGGAAGAGGCAAUAAAAGUUACCGCAGUCAAAAAAGGUAUGGAAGAGGCAAUAAAAGUUACUCCGUUCAAAAAAACUAUGGAAGAGGUGCUUCUCCAUCUGACAAUCAACUACUCCAUUAUAAAGACUUGGCUAUUUUCUUCUUGGAGAAGGACAUGAGCCCUGGCACAACAAUGAAGUUCCAAUUCCCUAGAAAUUCAAACACGGCUACUUUCUUGCCGCGAGAAAGCGCUCAAUCGAUCCCCUUCUCCUCUAACAAACUACCAGAAAUUUUCAACCAUUUUUCAGUGAAGCCAACAUCUGAGGAAGCCAAAACAAUUAAGCAAACAAUCGAAGAGUGUGAAGCUCCAGGCCUUAAGGGAGAGGAAAUAUAUUGCGCCACAUCUUUAGAAUCAAUGGUUGAUUUUAGCACUUCGAAGCUUGGAACAAGAAACGUUGAAGCAAUCUCGACGGAGGUAUUGGAAAAAGGAGGCACCAUGUCCAUCCAAAACUAUACAACAAUGCCGGGACUGAAGAAGUUGGCAGGUGACAAAGUCGUUGUGUGUCAUAAGCAGAACUAUCCCUAUGCUGUGUUUUUCUGCCAUGCAAUAAAACAUACAGCAGCUUAUGCUCUCUCCCUGAAAGGCGAUGAUGGGGAGAAGGUUAAAGCAGUAACCAUCUGCCAUCUAGACACAUCAGAAUGGGACCCAGAGCAUAUGUCCUUCCAAAUCGUCAACGUUAAGCCCGGAACCAUUCCCAUCUGCCAUUUCAUUUCCACUGAUGCUAUUGCCUGGGUUCCGAACCACAAAUCUGCAUGAUCAUCACUUAGCACUGUACGUAUAAUUAUCUCCUUACUUAUUUCUGCCUCUUCAUCAUGUGGUGUAAGAUAUAUGAUGAGAUGAAGUUUUUGGGAUUAGUGGUUGGGUUGCCUGAAAAACACAGAUUACAGAAACUGCUUGAAAUUAACCCGAUCAUGUUUUCUCUUGUAACUAUAUAGACUUCAACUUGUACUCAUAAUAAAGCAUGCUAUAUUUAUGAAGAGAUAUUAAUCUAUAUAUAUUUUUUAUAUAUGCUUUGGCUUUGUGGUUCUACCCAAUGUUUGAGUGUUGAAUUGUUACGUUGGAAUAGGCUGCUAAUGCAUGUAGUUAGAGAAGCCUUCAUUUAUAUCAAAGUCCUCAAACUAUCAAGAACUAAUGUAUCCAGAAACAUAUACCAAGACGCAAAACAACAUAUUUUCCAUGCUCUGUCUGUAACACCAAAGCAAACUUCCUUGAUCACAAAAGGAUCAAAUUCCAGUACUAAUCUAAUCCAUCAUGUAAAGCAUACAAGUGCCUCCCUAAAUACUAUACUCUUUUUGUUAUUUCCUACUAUACUAUUUAAGUUUGCAUACUCAUAUAGCAUAUGCAAACACAAUUAGAAAUUCUACAAGAUACAAACAACCCCCUCAACUUUGACCAGUGUGUCAAUUUAGUUCUUGAAAUUUAGAUUACAAAGCAAAAUCAAAUCAUACCAUGAAACACAAGCGACUUAAACCUCCAGGCAAAUAGAUAUUAUGAACAUAUAUAGCAAUUUAUAGAACAAUACAUUAAUCCAGAAGAAAUAUUAUGAAAUGAAAAGAAUAAAAAGUAGAAAAACACAAGGAAAGGAAUUUGCACCUGCUCACUUGCAGAUUGCUUUCUCCGGCCGUAGAUGUAACAGAAAUUUUCUCUUAAUAAUACCACAAUGAUCGGGUAAUUGUAAGAACAAGUUGAUUUAAAAUUCCUUGACCCAAAAAAAAAAAAAGUUGAUUUAAAAUUCAGGUCAACCCAUAGAUUUCUCCCCUUUUUCUUCUUCAUCUCGUGGGGCUUGUCUUCUUCUUGAGGAUUGUAUAGGCCAAGGAAAUGCUUUGAGUUAGUUUUUACGCUUUUGCGUUUUGGGCCUUGGAAGUUGGGACCCAAACCAACUUCACAAAAAGAAAACGCUCAGACUAUAAUGAAUGGAAAGUUAUAAGGGGUAAGUUAUAAGGGGUUCACUUUAUAGCCAUCAGAUCAAUCCAAGGGCUGGGGAGAAUUGAGAUAAAGUUUUAAAAUCGGGUAGGUGAGGAACCCAAACCCGAAUUGAAUAUCCAGCACGUCCGAAAAAGAAGAAGAAGAGGCAAGCACGUCCGAAAAAGAAGAAGAAGAGGCAAGUUCGAAGUUUGAACAGAAAAAACUCAUCUCUUUAAAACCCAUAGCUCUGAGAAACGGUUGAAGGCAACGGUUAACGACGGUUAAAGGCAACGGUUGAAGCCACUCCGUUCUCCAGACCCUGAAAAAGUAUUUAUUUUGAGUAGAAGGGGCAAAGGUGUGGAUUCCGAAACAGUGAAGGGGCGAAGCAGUGGAAGGGGGAGGAGAGAAGCCGUAUUCGUUGGAAGUGGUAGGUUCCAUUUGUGGAGCAAAGCAACACAAAGACCCCGCACAGACACCUUGCGAUUGUUCAAUAACCAGCAUUUGGUGAGUAAUUUAUGGAAUUUGAGUUUAGGGUUAGAGUAAUGGUUUUCCCCAAUUUGUACCAUCAAUUUUGUUGGAUUUGGCAUCUCUUCUUUGUGCUUCAGUUGCAUGUUAAUUUUUGCUUGGGUAUAUGUUAAAAAAAGAAUGAAAAUCAAGUCAAUAACAAGUGAAUAACAUGUCAAUAAUGAUAUGAAUAAGAUAAUGGUGUUGAAUUGGAGGAGGCCCUCAAAACAUUCCACAUUUGAAGCAGUGCAUAGUGCAGAUUAUCUCUCUGGCGCUAGAAUAUAUAUAUAUUUUGAAAUAAAUAUGAUUUCCUUUGUUACUAAAUUUGCCUGAGAAACAUGAGAACAGAUAAUAAUAAACUCAUGAAUAGAAGUGCAAAGCAUUUGAUGAGUAAUUUAUGGAAUUUGAGUUUAGGGUUAGAGUAACGGUUUUUCCCAAUUUGUACCAUCAAUGUUGUUGGAUUUGGCAUCUCUUCUUUGUGCUUCAAUUGCAUGUUAAUUUUUACUUGGGUAUAUGUUAAAAAACAAAUAAAAAUCAAGUCAAUCACAUGUCAAUAACAUCUCAAUAACAUGUUAGUAAUGAUAUGAAUAAGAUAUAAUGGUGUUGAAUUGGAGGAGGCCCUCAAAACCUUCCACAUUUGAAGCAGUGCAGAGUACCUCUCUGGCACUAGAAUUUAUAUAUUUUUUUAAAUAAAUAUUAUUUCAUUUGUUACUAAAUUUGCCUAUGAGAAAUGAGAACAGAUAAUAAUAAACUCAUGAAUAAAAGUGCAAAGCAUUUGAAAUAAAGGUUGAUCUAUGACAAUUGUGGCUGACAGAAGAAAAAGCUAGAAAGAAAGAAGGAUGUGGCAAUUGCUUAGCAAGCAGAUAGCAGAGUAGAUGCUUUGCUUUGCUUCCUUCCACUAUAUUAUUUAUUUAUUUAUUUUGUGUUGUGUAUGAGAUGACAAUAAUUGUCAUGUGUGUGAAGUGCAGAACUUGCCUAGAUUGCACUCACACUCACUCAUGCAUCAACCAUUGAUUCGAAUUUGGAUCCAUGAAUAAAACACAUGAAAUUGUUUGUAAUUCACAUAAUCAUUGCAUUAACAGGUAUUUGCACAAAAUUUUUCAUAUUGCUUUGAUGAUGUUAAAGCCUGUGAUCAGUAAUCCCUAUGCUUAUGUACUUUGUAAAAUUUGUAAUGUGCCUGGUUGACUAGUUGUGUAAAUACCAAUGUGAUUGUGCAAAUACGUGGUAGUAUAUGUGUUCAUGUUAUUUCAUCUUGUAUUUCAGGAAAUGGGAUCCAAUGUGGAGCUGGUAUGGCCAGAGUCAGAGGCAUAUUCGUCACGGGUGAACAACUGCUCACAUGCAAAUUCAUCUCUAGCUGCAAUUCGAGCGAAGUUGAGUGCGGAACAAUUAGAACAAUUCAAGACAUCAUGCUUUGGCCAUCUUCUGAAUAUAGAUAAGAUUCAGUUUAGCGGGCAGAUUGUGCAUGGGGUUGUGUUGCGUAGAGUAGCGGGGCAGGGUGUGAAAGACUUGGAUGGACUGAGUUUCUUAAUAGGGUGUGACGUUGCUCAGUUCACUCGUCAAGAUUUCUGUUUGAUCACAGGGCUUCGUUUUGGGGAAGUGCCUGAAGUUUCCAGUGGAGAGAGUGAUGAAAUUAGACUUCAGAAAAGAUAUUUUAUAGACGAAUGAAUUACAUGCAAUGCUUUAGAAUAAACAUUUUUGAGGUGCACAGAGGAAGAUGACAUCUACAAGCUAGCUCUUGUUUACUUUGCUGAGUUAGUGGUUUUGGGAAGGGACAAACAUUUGAACAUCAAUCUAAAUUACCUGACCCUUGUAGAGGACUUAGAUGCGUUCAACAGGUAUCCGUGGGGUUCGGUGUCCUUUGACAAAACCAAAGACAGUCUAUUUUCUGCACCAACAAAGUAUGUGAAAAGCUUUGAAAAUGAAGAGGGAAGAGGGAAGGGGAAAAGUAAGGUAACAGGAACAAGCCGGAGAAAUGAAAAGGGCAAGAAGGAUAAGCAUGGUGAAGUGCAAAGGGGUGGUUGGAGUUUUAAAGGUUUCACGUAUGCUUUCCAGGUACAUGGUAAUAAUGUUCAUGUCAGUUAUGUCUUGUUUUUCUUUAAAACUUAAAUAAUGACUUUUGUCCUGUGAAUUGUGUAGAUUUGGGUAUAUGAAUUAAUUGCUAGAAUGGCAGACCUGAAUUACUGCAAGGUUGUUGAUCCGACAGCUGUCCCGCGUAUUUUGCGAUGGAGAACUACUACGUCUGUUCCUGAGAUGAGAAAGUUGAACAAUUAUUUUUUCCAGAGCAAAGAGGUUUGGUUUGCAGCCCUUAGAACUAUUUAUAAGAUUUAAUGAAAUUAUGAAGUAGAAUGAUUGAAUAUGACUCUUGUCUGUAUUCUGAAACAGUCAGUUCAGUUGCGGGCGCUAUGUCCGAGUGAAGAGGAAAUGAGACAACCAUAUUGGAGUUGGCCACAGGAUCGCCCUGCUGUUGUCUCGGCAGAGUCAAUUCCUUCUUCAUGUGCUGACCUUGAUGAGUUGAACAAGGUGGUAAGCUUGUUGAGGUCCGAGUUGUUUCAAGUAAAGUUGGAAAAAGACGUCCUUGAGUUAAAGGUCAUACGGAUGGAAAAACUUUUGGACCACUGUUUAGGUCCUCAAUUUGAGCAGGAAGUAAGGAGGGACCUAGCUUUACUGAAAGAGAGGACGAAUCUUUGUGUCAUCUCACAUCUAUUUAAGGGAAGUGAGGAAAUGGAUGACAUUCAAUGGGAUGAAGGGCCAAGUAACAGAAAUGAGGGAGAGGAAAAGGAAGAUGAAGGGAUUGAAGGGGGUGAAGGGCCAAGUAAUAGAAUUGAGGGAGAGGAAAAGGAAGAGGAGGGGAUUGAAGGGGGUGAAGUGCAAGGAAAACCAAGUGAGGUAGAGGAAGCUCAAAGGAAAAGAAGUGAAGGAGAGCAAGUGAAAAUAAAAAGCAGUAAGGGAGAGAAAACGCAAAGAAAGAGCAGUGAGGGAGAGGAAGUGAAAAGAAAAAGCAGUAAGGGAGAGGAACUGCAAAGGAAAAGCAGUGAGGGAGAUGAUCCGCAAAGAAAAAGAAGGGAGGGCAAGGAAGUGAAAAGACAAAGAAGUGAGGAAAAGGAAGUGUAAAGAAACCAAUGUGAGAAAGAAGAUAAUGAAGUUAUGUUGCUUGGCGAUGACAUUGGCGAGAGCACAGAGGGGACAAAGGUUGAGUUUAGUCUCGGGGACAUUGAUUUGGAUCAACCUACAGCUGUGCUAUCUCAGUUGAAUGUUUGGUUGAAUGAUAAAGGUAAAGCUGUGGAACAAGGGGUCCAAUUACGGAAGAGGAAGAUGAUCAUUCCUAUGUGGAAGAUCAUUGAAGGUAGUGAAUUGGUUUCAAAAACUUUGGCAGAGACAACCGGACUUCAGAUGUUAGACCCAACGAAGGCGAUUCUGUAUGAUGAUCUGGUGAAAUUGCUGAAACUUUGUUGGGAAUGGCGCCAUAACCCAAAGUAAGUCCCUUGUUUUUUGAGAUAAAAGGCAUGAGUGUAUAUAUUUUUUAAUUGUUGUGUUCUAAAACUUUUUUAUAUUCAUAGUUUGGUGAUGCAAUUUGGCAACAUGGAAGCUGAGAUUGAAUUCUUCGCUUCCCUCAUCAAAGCUGAUGGUUGGCUGAAAGGAGAUGUAAGUUUAAUUGAUUAUGCAUUUGUUUUAAUGUACAUAGAUUAUGAGAUUGACAAGAAAAACAUGUUGCAGCACAUUGAUUUGGGGUUGUAUCUCAUCCGGAAGCGACAACAAGAGUUGGAGGAAGUAGAAAUAUCGGACUGGACAAUGACCGAUGUAUUUUUUAUGGUAUGUCAUGGGCCUUGACCAAGUGCUGUUAAUAAUUACAAAUUAUCCAUACUUGUUUUGUGGAGGUGUUUAACCAUUGAUUGUUUUCUAUUUCACAGAAUCACAUUCGUACUUGCUUUGCGGAUAAUAAAAGAAAAAAAGAGCAGGUUUGGUGGAAAAUUAGAAACAGUUUACUGAACGUUGUAAAUGGCAAGGUUCCGGCGUGUGAGAUGGAUUGGCAGAACAUAUAUAAGGUGUAUGCCCCUUGUAUGUUGACGAAGUACAAGCAUUGGGUGGCUGUAAUGAUUGAUCUAGUUUUGUGUGAAAUCCAAGUGUACGAUUCAAAGGUUUCACUUAUUCCAGAUGAGAUCUUAAAGGAAGAACUCGCCCCGCUUUCAAUUACGAUUCCAAAUCUUCUCAACACCAUCGACUUUUAUGAAGAAGGUGUUUACGUAAACAAUUGCAGCCGAGAUUGGUGGUGUCCGUGGCCAAUAGAGCGUGUGGAUGUUCCACAACAGUCUAAUCAGUAAGCACAACUUUUUAUUUAAUUUUAUUACUUUAAAUUGUCAAUUACGUUAGAAUGUCAUUAGUUGAAUUGAUCGAGUUCUUGUUUUGCUUCAGAGGCGAUUGUGGCAUGUUCGUGUUGAAGUACAUUGAGCUUUUGGGCGCUGAGAUUCCGUUAGCUACUUGCACCUCGGAGAACAUGCCCUUUUUUCGGUUGAAAUUGGCUGCAAAGAUAACACGGGGAGAUGCUUACAUGCCAUGAUAUUGGUUGAACUUGGUUUAGGUACAUGAUGAUUAAAUAGGUUUUGGGAAUGUCCAAUUUCAAACUCAUGUAAAUACACAAUAGAGACCUACGGGUCCUUUUCGAAUUCUACCUCUGCUCCUCUAUUCUUCUUCGUCUUUCUCAAUCUUAGUGUAUUUUUGUACAUAAUUUGAGGUUUAAGUUAUUGGACGAUAACAAUUAGAACCAAAAUAGUGGCAAAUAUUAUAGCGGAUGCAUGCUUUCAUUUUGAUUAGUGUGAUACUACGCUACAUUUAUUCUCAUAUUGUGCUAAAUGUAUAUGGAGUUGGAUGCAGAGCAUAGACAGAAAAAUGAAGAAACUGAAAUGGAGAUGCUGAGGCUUGGUGAGGAGAAAAGUAAAUGGAUCUGUAAAUCUAUUGCACGUAGGCAAUCUAAAUGGAUAGGCAGAUGAGUUUUUGAAGUUAGACACUUGUCAUUCCCAUACAUAGAAUGUGCCUAUGGAGUGUAAAGUAUUUUUGGAUUUAAUGAAACAAACUUCUGUGUAAUAUUAGCCUAACUCCUUCACGACAUUUACAUAACCUUAACCAACUGCAUUGAAUUGGGAUUUAAAGACUGCAUAUGUGAAUUGGGAUUUGAAGAUGGCUUUUUAAGUGUAUUACAUCAUUGCAAAGUGAUAUGUCAUCGUUUAUGCAAGCCACCAUUAAUCGCAAUAGGUUGCAUCUUAAUAAGGUAAUUCUGUAAGGGGAAUAAGCGGCUAUGGCCUCGCCUCUAAUGUUUUAUUCAACCAUGCCCUCUUUAUAGAAACACAUGAAAAAAUGUCCCCAGGUGCAAUGCUAUAAAAACUUCCAGUUGGUUCUGUACCGCCCCUCGGGUUUGAAUCCCUCUCUCCUUUAUAAUCGGUUAAUAAAUUCAUUGAUUUUCUUUUUUUUAUUGGUUUUGGGCAGCUCAGUAGCAUAAAAGUAAUGUAUAUUGGUGCGUCUAUAUUGCAUGUCUGUUGCGUCUAUAUUGCUUCUCUAUUGUGUGUAUAUCUUACAUUUAUUGUAUGUGUAUUGAUUGUUUAUUGCUUACGAAGGAAAUAAACAACAAUACACAGGCAACAGACAAACAAUAUAUACACAACAGACAAACAAUAUACACACAAUAGAUACGCAAUAUACAUACAAUAGACAUGCAAUAUACACACAAUAGACAUGCAAUAUACAUCCGUCCCCAAUUACACAAACCAUAAGGAAGUCGUAUUGAAUAGGAAAUUAAACUUAACAGUUGUUCUUCCUACUAAAAGAAAGAAUAAGGUCCGUUUUCCCCCUUAAAUCUUACUUGAGUGGUACUUGUGCCCCCAAUAAACAUCCAAUAUUGGAGCAAUAACAUUCGAUAUACAUGCAGCAAACAAUCAAUAAACCUUUAAUAAACAUUCAAUAUCGGUUCAAUAACAUGCGAAAUACAUGCAGUUAAUAAUCAAUAAACCUUCAAUAAACAUGUAAACAAUCAAUAAACUUUCAAUAAACAUUCAAUAUCGGAGCAAUAACAUGCGAAAUACAUACAGUAAACAAUCAAUAAACCUUCAAUAAACAUUCAAUAUCAUGCGAUUUAUAUGCAGUAAACAAUCAAUAAACUUUAAGUAUACGCAAAUAAACAAUCUAUAUACACUAAAUAAUUAUGCAAUUUUCAAAAAAAAAAAUGUAUUGUCUUGUUAUUGCAUCGUAUUGGCCCUGUAUUGUGAUUUUAUCGUCUUCGUAUGAUUUUAUUUUUUUAAAGUAAGUCUUGGAAAGUUUUUGCUGGGUUUCAAACAAAUAAAUGCUUUUGUUUAAAUUCAAUGCCAAUCCACUUAUUUCAAGAACAAAAAUUACAAAAUGGGUUUGAAAACUCAUUGGUGGUGCGUGCAACAUGUCUUUUUGGGGAGAAAUUUCACAAUCCUUGAAACCGUGCACUUAAUUGAUCAUUAAAAGAACAAAUAAUAUGACAAUUGAUACAACUAAUAAAACUAAUACCAAGUCCUUAAUGGACUUCAGCAUAUUCAGCACUGUAGCAUCAUACGUGUCAUCUUGAUGUUCUGCUUCAGCGGAGGUUACAUCAACCCAUUCGAAUCCAUUGCAACUGGUGGAUCCCUAAUUGCAGGCAUCAUAUAUGCAAAAUAAUUCUGUCAGAGUUAGACAUAGGUUUUUUUUCCCCCACACACAUAUUCUUGAAAUGAAAACUUACAUAGGAGGUUAGACACUUCCAAAAUGGCUUCCCUCGAUUUUUAUCUGAUUUUGAAACCCGAACCACCAUUGUAGCUCCACAAUACUGACACCUUUUUGUUUGAGCAGGAGAUGAAGACGAAGACAUGUUGAAUCUUCUCACUUGUACCUCUUCUCACUCAGAUCUUCUCACUGAAACCUCUUCGGACUCAUACCUUCUCACUCAUAGUUCUCAGUCAUACCCCUUCACUCAUAACCCUAAAUUUCUCACUCAGCUCUCUCUCAUCUCUGCCCAAAUCAAAUUAUAUCCUUCUUUGCUGUGUGUGGGUGGGUUGGUCACGAUCUGGACACCUGUACCGUCAGAAUUGUGACAUCUUUUACCCCGAAAAGCAAUAUAAUAUUUCACUACCAAAUAUUAAUCUGAAAAUUGAGGGGACACUGCUUGAAAUAUAUUAUUUUAUUUAUAUUUCAUUAAGACAACUAGUUGGAUAAGAAUCCAUCAUCAUUGGUUUCAUUUUAAUAACAUUACUAGUGGUAGUUUGGUGUGGGAAAAUGAAAAAGUAUAUGAUGGGACCUUCUGUGACUAGUCAGUAAUCCAUCACAUUUGUAUCAAUGAAUUUGAUGGUGGGAAAAUCCUAAAAAUGGCUAUGCAAAUAGGUUAUUAAUUGAAUUUUUGACUGUCUGACUCUCUAUGCAAUUUUAUGACGUUUUCCCUUCUUUUGUCUCGAGUUUUAGGGUGUCGGGUUCAGUUUCUUUAAAAACGGUCAACUUGGAAAAACCCCAAGUGGAAACACCUUUUAAAAACACUAUAAACAGAGGCUAAAACAAAACCAAAACCCCAUAUAUUCUCAUUUCUGCCCUCUUCCACUCCUCAAAUCGUUCCAUUCCAAAAACAUUUCAAUGAAUUCGAAACAUUUCACUACACUCGGAGGAAAGAGAAGGAAGCAUCUCCAUUUGGAUAUGCCCCAAGCCUUCAUCCCGGAGUUAGCUUGGUUUAAAGUGAUGUUAUACGUGGCAACCCAAUCAUCGGAAGAUCUCUUCCGUAUGGCAUCUGUGUGCCCAUUGUUCCAUACUUUGGCAAACACUCCACAAGUGUGGAACACCAUUUCAGUGGCAAAGUACCCAAACCAUCCUAGCUGGUACCGUGCCAAUCCUGCGGUCCAGCAUUUCUUGCAACAAUGCAGGGCUUGCGAUAACCCUAAGUCGAUAUUUAGAGAAGCAUUCGAAGUGUUUUUUAAGCAGGGUAACGUGGAAGCAUUGUAUGGGAUGCGCAUUACAGCCACGGCAGGCCAUAUAGAAGCGGCAUAUCUAGUUGGACUACUUGACAUGUCCGGAAUUGGUCAGUCAAAAGAGGAUGCAUUAGAAUUCUUGUGUUCUUUGAAUCAAUGUAACAACAUUGAUAUGAAAGGAACCAGGGAUGCUUUGAGACAAAGAUUAAGCCGACCAACAGUUGCAAGACAUAUCCUAGAUAUGUUUGACUAUGGGAAGAUUAAGUUCAAUCACUGCAGCCCUUGUAACAACAAUGAAUGGUGUUUUGUUAUUCAAGGCUGGCCUACUGAAGAAAAGAUAAAUCCUGCCUUCUGGACUUGUUGCAAUCGAUGCAAAUGGCACCGUGAGAGUAUUUUUUGGUUCAAGGUGAUGCGUGUGUAUGUUGUGCGAGGGAAUCCAUACCCUUAUAAUUAGUUGUAGUAUGUUUUUACGGUUUUUAUGCAUUGUGGACUUGCUUCUCUUCAGUUCUAGGUUCGCUGGCUACGUUGUACAAAUGUUGUUUAAAUGUGGGGUUUUAAUCUAUUUUGUCUGGUAUUUGUGCUGUCAUAAACCGUUUUAUAUAUAAAUGUAUAAUAUAUAUUAUAUAGCGGAAUUAUUACUGACAUCAUAGACGGCUACGAAUGACAUUUUACUGACACAGAUAUUUUGCACAACUGCAAUCUUAAUAUUUGGUAAACGAAAAGGCAUGCAUGGAGUAAAUAGGUGUCUUUUCACCAGUGCUUGGGAAUGACAUUUUCCCACUGAGCAUAUCCCAAAUGAUUUGGUUACAAGUUUCUUAAGCAAAACUUGAAUAGUGAAUGACGUUGAAUAAUUUUUUCCUAAUGUUGUAGAAUAGAUGACUUGUAUAUUUCCAUUUUAUUUUUCAAAACAUCCCUUAAACCUAAAAAAUAAAAAAAUUAACAAAUUGAAGAAGAGAGAAACCGAUUAGCACCAGAAAUGGCCUAUUCGCACGGAAAAUAAAAAUUAAAAAAAAAAGUUGGAGUAAAUAUAAUUAACAAAUGGACAGGCUAAAAAGUAAUAUAAUAAUAAUAAAAAUAAUUUAGGAUAAUAAUAAAAUACUAAUGUAACAUAACCAUGAAACAGGGAAUUCAGUAGGAAGAUGAAAUCUCAAUAAGUUCGUAGCAAUUUUCGAAACAUUAUUGGGAUUUUUGUGUAUUUAGUUAUGAAUUUUCCAAGAAAAAGUAAUAAAAUAAUAAUUUAGGGUAAAAUGCAAGGAUGUGGCCAUGUUGACUGACGUACACUUGUGCAAGUGAUGAAAGUUGACGGGCUGAGAUCGUGCCAGGUGUCCUCUUGCAAUUAUUUUGGCUUUUUUAGUGCAAAAAUCUUUGAAAAAAGGUAAUAAAUAGUAGGUCUUGUGACGUUAUAAAACUAGGGGAACCUAUAAAUCAUCCGUCUCGCAAUGAAAAAAUCCAAAUUAUUUUAGAUAACUCACUUUCCUCUUAACCCUAAGUAUUUAUGUUUGUUAACUUUAACUUCAAUAACCUACUUGAACAAUCAUCUCCCGUUAAUGUUCGGAAUUAUUUUUUUAAAAUGUGUAACCAUGUAUCGGGGAAUUCAACAAGGGAGAUUGAGUGUCAAUGAGUUCGUAGCAAUUUUCGGAUCAUUUUUCUAAUUUUUGUGUAUUUAGUUAUGAAUUUUCUAAGAAAAAGUAAUAAAAUAAUAAUUUAGGGUAAAAGGCAAGGAUGUGGCCAUGUUGACUGACGUACACUAGUGCAAGUGGUGAAAGGUGAUGGGCUGAGAUCGCGCCAGGUGUCCUCUUGCAAUUAUUUUGACUUUUUUAGUGCAAAAAUCUUUGAAAAAAGGUAAUAAAUAGUAGGAAAAUCCUAAAAAUGCCCCGAAAAUUACUCGGACCUCCUUGUGAUGUUAUAAAACUAGAGGAACCUAUAAAUCAUCCGUUUCGCAAUGAAAAAAUCCAAAUUAUUUUUACAUAACUCACUUUCCUCUUAACCCUAAGUAUAUAUUUUUGUUCACUUUAACAAUUAUAUUUCCUUAAUAUUCGUUAUAUAAUUUGUAAUAAUACAAGAAUUAGUUUCCUUUCAUAUAUAAGGAUGUAAAAUAAUUUGUUUUGUUAUAAUAAUGUACAUAUAUAAUAAUUGCACAUGCUUUGAAGCCAUCAUUGCAACUACGCCUAGAGCUUUGAACACGUCAGAGGUAUUCAAUAAGUUGUCCAUAUGACGCCGCAUUGGGAAUCAGUAAUAUAUUUUCUAUCAUGUCCAAUCACAUAAAAUAAUGCCAUACUUUUUCUGAAAAACCUCACACAAGUCAAGCAAUUUUAAAAUAUUAGUGAAUAUUUGUCCUAGUCUAUAUGAGUGAUUAUAUAUUCAGUCUGCAUUUUUUCACAGUAUAUGUUAACUUUCAGAGGGAUUCCACAAACAUAUAAUAUAAAGAAAGAAAGAAAUAGUAGGAGAUGAACCAGUACAAAAAACAAUAUAUAAAUGGUACAUAAUAAUUCCAUAACCUUGUCACAAACGCACUCACAAAUGCUUUUCCAUAAACCUUGUCCUAACAUAUAAUAAAUAAAGGCAACAUUGCAUAUGAUGCAACCAUGUCCAAAUCUGAUACGUGAUCACAAAAAAAUGGACAUGGCAGCAACAUAUGACUGAAGUAGAUGAGCUCUUUGCAUCUUGUGUUAUCGUAAUUAAAGACAUCAAAAGAUUAAGGUUGAAAUCUUCCAUAGUAGUAAGCAUCAAAAUAGGUUUGAAGCAGAGUUUAACGAAAAUUCCAAUUCCACUUAUUGGCCUCUGCUCAAACACGAGAACCAAAAUGGUUACUUCCCUUGCUGAGUAUAUUUGUUAACGUCGGAAACAGUAACAGAUGACCAAUCAAACCCGGGUACGACGAGUUUUGCAUAGGAUCGGAAGUAGUCGAAUCCAGCUUGCAUCACACGCUUCUUUGACUCCACUGCAUUAGAUGAGUUCUUGUAUUUUUGAACAGCUACACUCCGAAGUCGUUUGUGUCUACGCUUCAUGCACUGCAAAUUCGCCCUAUCCAGAUUGGCCUGCCUUUUGUCAUCUUCAAUUUGGCCUUCAACAAAUUCCAAACGUGCCCUUGGCCUUUGGAUUUCAUCACCAAGUUGAAGAUGCCUCUCCUUCCAAAAAGCAAGAACUCUUUCAGAUUCAAAACUUCCAACAAAAUGGUCAUUCUGUCUAGGAAUGUGACAUUGCUUGUCUAGUGACUCACUUGCGUUUCGAAGGCAGUCUUUGUUUGGAGGGGUGUUUAUUAUGCUCACAUCAAACUUGGUUAGUAAAUCCAUUUUAUGGGGGGAGUGAGUUUCUAUGGAGGAGAGAGUUUUAGUAGAUGGAGACAGAUUCGGUGAAGGAGUGAGUUUUGUGUGGAGGGAGAAUUUCUAUGAAAGGAGUGAUAGUAAUAGCAAUAAAAGGGUUCCCGCCAAAAAAUAUUUGGUUGACAAUGUAUAAAUUAAUUUUUGGUCUGAUACAAUCUAAGUUUAAUCCUAACUAGUUUGGUUGAGUUCACUAACUAGAUGUCACUUCCAUUGAGUUUCUUUCAACCACUAUCAGUGGUGUAAGGAGAGUGUGAGGUUGACAUGCUUGAAAAGCAAAACCUGACACCUCUUUUUUUAAAAAUUGAAAGAAAGUACAUAUGUUGACUACACACAACCUUUGGUAUGUUGGUCUAUAAACCUAUGUUCCCUUUCUCAAAUGAAAUUGCAUAUGCAAUCCUCAUCCUCCCAAAACAAAUAGGAUUAUUCAAGCAUGUCAACCUCUUCAGGCGCCAACAACACAAUCGAAGAUGACAAAUUGGAGUCGCAGGUUCUAUUUCCACAUUGUACUCACCGACCCCUUCCUUUUUCAACAUCAUUUGGGAGUGAGGGGGACUCCGAUGAUCCAUUAGAGGCAAUACAUGCAGUCAGUAGCAAGCUGGAUUAUAAUUCCAAACUGAUCAAUUCAUGGCACGAGAAAUGUGUUGAAGACGAGGCCAUUUUGGCUGAUCUUAACAUUAGAGUGAACAAAGGGUUCUCCCAAAAGAACAAGUACUUGAAGCUGAGUCAUAAAAGGAAGCUGAAAGCUGAGGAGUUGGAUACAGUAAUAAAUGAUGAAAUUAAAGGUUGUUUGAUGAACCAUAUGCGAUGCAAAGAGCAUCAUAGUGAACUGGAGUUGGCAUUCAACGAAGGAUUUUUAAAAUUUCAAGCAUUUGCGGCAACUACUCAUACAAGUUAUAAUUGGGACUAUGUGUCCCCUGAUGCUGUGAGAGAGAUACUAGACGAUGAUGGUGACAUGAAUGAGCAUAAGCACGUCAAAGCUGCUCGGAAGAAGCCGACCGAUACGACUAAGUGAUUGCGGCUACCGUUGUUCAGUUGGUUGAGGGUGAUCAUGGUAUUGCACAAAUUAGAAGUAUAUUCCCUUAAUGUCAUUAUCUAAUUUAAAAUAACACAAAUAUCAGUUUCAUUUGCUUCAUAUAUAAUUAUUGGGACUAUGUAUUGCAAGUCAUCAUGUGUUCCUUCUGUCUAACAUUAUAUUUUGCAAAUAUCGAAAUAUUAUUCAAUAAGCAGUCAAUAUCACAGCAAGUUGGGAAUCAGUAAACCCCCAUUAUCAUGUACAUUCACAUUAAAGAGCUGGUGUACUUUUUCUCAAAAAACUGACACGUGAGUCAUAAGUAACAUAACAUGUGCUAUACAUUGUUUAGUGAAUGGUUUAUGAUUUAUUUAUAUAUAAUAAAAUUCCAAAUAUUGCUGAAUAUUUAUUUCGUCUAUAUCACUGGGGACAUGAGUGAACAUACGCAUGUGAGACCUGCUAAGAAGAAGCUGACCAAUACGACCGAGGGAUUGUGGCUACCAUUGUUCCGUUGGUUGGGGAGAUCGUGGUAUUGCUAAGAGGGAGCACAUAAUAUGUUUUGCAAUCAAAUUUUCUUUUGUGUGUGGAAUUUUCUUUUAUGUGUGGAAUUAUGAGUAGUUCAAAUGUUAGUGUACCCUUUAAUAUUCUCCAACAGUUCAAAAUGUGAUUAGCUGAAUGUACUUUUUUACACGCUGCUUUCUAAUCACUCUGUUCCAACAAAAGGCUUUAAGUAUCCUUCAGUUACAAAUGUUUACAAAAUCGUGCCCCUAAUAACCAGUCGAGCUUAGAUCUUAAUAACCAGUAAAACACUAGAACAUAACAUUCGGAAAAAGUGAGUACUGUUGGAAAUCAUUACUGGUAAUGGAAACAACAGCUGGCUGCUGGAAAUGCUGCAUUAGCAUGUGAUAUAAUCAAUGAAUCUCUGUUAAAACAUAAUUCACCAUAAACUACCCAUUUUACAUGGUAAAAGUCAUUGCUUCUUCACAUAACUCAAAAUUUGAUACUUUAUCAAAUGUCUAUGAAAAUUUCUAAAUAGGGAGAAGACGUAAAAUUAACAUGUGUCCAAAUUUCAUGCAAGAAUGAAACCAAGCAAAUUUUCAUUUCAAUUACCAGUGGACAUAGUAAGAGCUCAUGGGUGGACAUGAACAAAAUAAUAAUAAUAAUAAAAACUGAAUCUAGAAAACUUCACCUGAUCAUUAGUCUUCAUAACAACCGGAUUUCGUCUAAUAGAAACAUAAAUCAUUCAGUUGGUCCGUGCAUCCUGUCAAAUUCGUCGAAUAAUGGGUCACUACGAUCUAUUGGAGUUGAUUCGUCAUUGUUCGAUGGUGAUGUCCUGCAUAAACAUCAAACAAAAGCACAUAAAAAAUUUACCUAUUCAAAUUUUAGGUGUUAUUAUAAAUAGUGUUAGCAUCUUACGGUGUGUUCAAAUUUCUUGAGCAUUGUCUUCUAUCAUGGCCAAUGUGUCCACACUCCCGACAGUGUCUAAUCCUUCGCUUCAUUGCCUUUUCCUUUGCUCCCGUUACUCGUUUCGACCUUCCUUUGCACCUCACUCUCUUAGGGUCUUUCAUAUAUUGUGUUUGAGAGCUGGACUCUCCAACUUCGUUAUUACUUGGUCCAUCCUUCAACAACUUCAACUUCACCUACAAACUUUUUAGAGUCUCUGACAGUAGCUCACAUCCUUCUUCACUCAUUAAUGCAUCCUCAACCACAUCUGAAGCAAGUCGAGACAUUGUACUCCGCUUUAUUAAAAGACCAGGAUUUGCAGAGUCUUUAAUUUCGUUGCCAUUUGCAUCUGACACCAAUCCAGAUUUCGCAGUUUUCUUCCACCUCUUCAAAAUAUAUUUAUCGGGCAUAUAUUCAAUCUGGUCCCUUCUGAACAAUGCUAAGAUGUGCUUGCAAAUAAUUCCAACAAAUUCAAAUCUUUUGCAGCUACACGAUGCGUGGUCAGAAUCUUUGACAUAUACAACUUCUGCCACUCUUGUUUCCCAAUUUUUCCUUUCGCUCACGUUAAAGACAACUUUAGAAGCAUCCUCUGUUUUGAGCUCUAGGAAACAUGCUGUACUUUGUAUUAGUUCUUGCUCAAACUUUUGAAACAUUGUCCUUGUGUACAAGGUAGCCAUUUGUUUGUUUAUUGGCAUCGGUAGAAUACAUUGAGCCACUUCAAAUGCAUCUAUGUGAUCAGCAACUAACUCUUUUUGACGUUGAUGAGAAAGUGCCCUCUCAAAUCGUAUUAUGAAAUCCAUCAACGAAUUUCUCUUUGAUAUGUAUUGCUUGAAAAAACCAUGAGAACCUUCCGCUAUUUGGCUGCUUGAUAUUCCAGCGGCAAAAAAUUGUCGUGCGUAGGCUGGAACCCAAGAUUCCCUUAAAUCAAACAUUGAACUUAGCCAUGGAUGGUCAGUCAAACCAGCCUUUGUAACCACAAUAUUCCAUUUUGCAUCAAACUCAUCCUUAUUGUCAGUAUCCCAUAUGACUUUCUGAAAUUCACUCCAAUACUCCUUAUAAGCAGAAUGUGGUAACUUAACAGAGAACUUUGAUGUGAUGUGCCAUAUGCAAAGUCGAUGAAAUGUAGUCGGGAAGGCUAUUGAAAUCACUCUGGUCAUUGCCGCAUCUUGAUCUGUAAUGAUCAUUUUAGGUUCGCCACCUGGCAUGGGUUUCUUAAACUCCUCAAACAUCCAAAUAAACGACUCAGUCGUUUCCUUGCUAAAAAAUGCACAUGCUAAGACAAUUGUCUGACCAUGGUUAUUAACUCCCAACAUUGGUGCAAAUGUCAAGUCGUAUCGAUUCGUGUUGAAUGUGGUAUCGAAUACAACAACAUCUCCAUAAAACCCGUACGCCCGUCUAGAAGUUGCAUCUGCCCAAAAAAAUCGACUAAACUUGUCAUGGCCAUCUCCCUCAAUCUUGAAAUAAAAAGCCUCAUUUUUUUCUGUUCAGCCAUAAAAUACUCGGUCACUAGUUCAACAUCGUGGUUCCUCAGCUUCCCAUUCACACUACAUUCAAGAUUGUAGAUAUCUUUUUUGAUAAAUCUGAUUUUAUCCAUUCCUCCGGAUUGCACCUCGAAAAUACUUACCUUCUGAUGAAUGAGAAUAUUAACUGAACCCAACUGUUUUGUGAGUACUUUUGUAGAAUCUGAAAUACGACGGUGUGAUCUUAAUAAAUGCAUUCUUUCUGAGGGUGUCAUCUUAUGAUUGUGUCCCUCUGCAAAAAGAGAGAUGGUAUACUUCUUGCUCCCAUUUGCCUUCACAACUACAAUCUUAGCUUUGCAAUUGCAUCUACUUAUUCCCCGUUGUCUUUUUCUCUCUCAAGUUUCAUCUCUCAUGUAUGCACCUUGUUUGCAACAUACAAAUUCUUUCCUCAAAAUCUCUUUCUUAUUUUUCCCCCAAAAGCUGGAAUGAAGUCGAAUACCAAAGCCAGCCAAGAAUGCAUAUCUAUUAUAGAAAUUGUAAACGAGGUCAAGCGAGUCGAACUUCAUCCCAACUGCUGGUGUUUCCUCAUUUCUUACUUCAGGAAUAUAAACCCUCCCAUUAGCUGUUACACAGUCAUCACUCUCUGAGCCCCCAGACAUUUUAUCUACAUAUAUUAUUGAUCCACUUCUAUAUUACUGCAUAGCAAAUAUUAAUUCAUUAAUCAGUCAUUACUGCAUCACAACAUAUCAAUGCAUUCCACUUACACAAAACAUUGCCCAAAUUGACACAAAACACACAUAGCCUAACUUGUUGGAUUCCGAUUACACAAAACGCAAGCAAAAUUUAAUAAUAGUUACGUCAUCUCUUGUGAAAUAAUCUGGAAAAAAUAACAUUAGAACCAACAUGUUCAACUAAGAACACAAAUGUAAUUCAAACCACCAAUUACAGAACUUCACCCAAUAUCCUCUCCAAAUGCUUACUCCUAAUGUCAUUAAGCCUAAAUUUAGGAUCUUUUACCUACAUUUCAUAAUUUUCCACCCCCACCAAAAACAAUCAACUAAGUAUAUUGAAUAUUCAUAAAGAAAGGACACAUUAUUGACUCCACCAAUGACGCAUUAUUGAUGCCACAAAUGACGAAUUUCCCACCCUCACAAAAAAUAAACCAAAGCCAAUAAAAUCAAUCCAGCAAGUGAACUUACCUCUCAAAAUCAAUCGGGAGCUCCGAAGUCAGUCAGCUUGAGAGAAUGUGGUGGACAUUAGAGAAGACUCUUUGGUAUUUGAGACUCCAUCUCUACCAAAAUUGAGGAACAACUGCUGCUGCGGCAUCUAGCUACAAAAAGAGAUAUGCUACUUUACUUUCAUCUGGAAUCUUGUCUGCUGAAUGAAAAAGAGAAGGGGUUUUCACUUGAGCCAUAAAAUCAAAACAGGGCAACAGCUAGGUAAGAGCCAUUAAUCGCAAUACCGAGGAUACCAUAGAUCGCAGGCCUCCCAAGAAGCUGAUGACAAUGGAGUGACUAUAGGGUUUGGGAGCUUUGGAUCCUUCUAAUUGUGGGUUUUCUUUACAUUCAAAAAGAGAGGAUUAUGUUCUUGAGUUUUUCACAAAGAGGGAAAGAGGGAAAGAUGAGACUGAAGUUGGGUUUCUAACGGGUUAGAUUUCAACCCGAUUCUACAUGCACCCUUUUUAAAAACUCACCGUUGGAUGAAAUCCAACGGCUCUUACAUACCCCUCAAAAACACCCCUUAUAACUUUCCACUCACUAUAGAAGCUCCCAAAAGAAAACAGAUUUGCCAAAAAUCAAAUUUUAAGUCUCUCCUACGAUCGAAAUUUGGAUUUGAUGAACUAAAGUGGUUUUACUUUCUCCAUCAGUGUUUGAUGACUUAAUUUGUUAUUUACUUUUUUUAAAAAAACUUUAUCUUAUAUAUAUUAGUUUUCUUUUUUCCUUCAUAUUCACCACCUUUAUGUUGCUUAAGUAUUUCAGUCUUAACGGGUUUCCAUCUACCACUCAUCUUUGCUCUUCUCAGUGUAAGCCUUUUUUUUAAGCAUAAGAUUAGAGGGGAGGGGGGGGAGGGGGAUUUCUUAAUGUAAGCUUUGCAGUUUCAUAAUUAAUAUUUCCAAUAUCUCACUGUUAGUAAAAUACAAAACAUGAAAAGUAUGAAUAAAAUACGCACAUGUUACUAAUUUAUUGAGAUAAAAUACCAUUUUGCCCCUAGAAUAUUUUAUUAGGUUUAAAGUUGACUUUUUGACCAGGAAGGAAUUUGGGUAUUUCGACUAUAUCGUUGCAUAGAGCACGACGAGGUGAUUCCAUAGACACGUGGUAGGCUCGAAUCGGAGUUGUAAUGAGAGACAUACGAUCAAAAUACCUUCAGUGGCAUAAUCGUAAUUUUGGCUUAAAGGGUUUGAUAAAAUAUGAUUUUUCUUUCUUUCUCUCUCUCUCUCUCCCCGCCCAGUCUCUCUCUCGUGACGGCAGUGAUAGCCGGCCACAUUUUGGCCAGCCGUGCUCUCGUCCGGCCACCAAAGCUGAUGGGGCCGGUACCAAAAUGAUCAGGCCACCAUCCUUUUCCAACCUCAGCCAGGCCCCGCCGCCAGCAGUCGUGGUUUUGCCGGAAAAUGGAGAAGAAGCGGCCGGUUUUGUUCGAACUUCUCCGACUUCGUUCUCCCUCCUCUGGCCACCGAUUCCGAUGAAUGAGGUAUGGUUUCUCACCUACUUUUCAUGCUCUAGCUGCCUGUUGGGUAGGAUUCGAUCAAUCCCUAGUGUAGGUGGCUUGAUUUUCGAAUUGGGUUUCAGCCGAUUUUGGGAUCUCGAUUCCAGCCCCUUUCGAUCAGUUUUUAGGGUAGGUCCCAGAACAAAAGUGGUUCCAAAUAGGGUGUUAUACCUAGGUAGGAACCUUGAGCCGUGAUUUUGAGAAUUUUCUACGAUGCCUAAUCGCUUUGGACACCCACGCGCUACCGGCACGUGGGCACUGUAGAAAAAGGGCAUUGUGUCCCGAUGCGAUCCCCUUGUUGUCUUGAGUGCAUAGGUGUGCUCGGAUUUCAAUUGAAUACCGUUUGAGUCUCGAACGAAUAUCACAUAUUGUGCGUUAUCCGGAGUCGAUAGGUUUGAACCGUUGGAUAGUCUUAGAUUUAUAAUAUGUUAAUCUAGAUAUUCUUAGGAUCAAAAAGGAUUUGACGGAUCGUAAAAUGGAGUCCCGGAUACUCCGAAAAUGCCAACCCUAGGGCUAGGUUCCUAGUAACCGUCCGAUCGUGCAAUCAUGAGCAAUCCGACAGUCCGAUCCGGACCAAACUUGCAGGACGUGUAUCCUAAACCUUGUAGAACCCAUAGGAACUUUCAGAUUAGAAUUUGGAGGUCGUGGGCCCCUUGGGCCCGUUUGACUAAGUUUGGGUAGUUUGACCAUUGGCUGAUCGUGAGUCUUCAAAGGUAGUUUUACCUUCCUAGGAGGAUUAUAAAGACCCUAGUGACAGGUCUUGAGCGUUGUUGAGCUAUGUUGACUAGGUUUAGACUUUUAGAGUGUUUAUUAUUAUCGUAGGAAACUCUUGGAUAUUAUUUUAAUAAUUGAAAUUAUGAAAUUUAUGUUUAUGUGCAUGAUCGUUGGUCUAAAAAUAGCAUUAUUUUCCUGAUAAAAUUACGUUGCAGUAUACUAUAGAAUGGUAUCACUAAAUGGGGAUUACCUCUAUUAUUAGUUUAGAUAAUUAUGAGUAUGUCAGUUUGAAGUGCUAUACGCACUACCCUAAGUACCACCCUGUGAUUGUUAGGUCCCAUGUGGUGUAGGUUAUCCAGUGUAAGGACAGACCCCAUACGUGGCUUCAGAUGUUCUGAAGUAUUGGGGAGAUUAUGUGAUGGUUUUGUCACACGUGGCGUAGGUUAUCCGGCGUGUUGACAGACCAUAUACAUGGAGUUGGAUGUUCCGGCAUAUGGAGAGAUUUUGUGAUUGUUAGGUCCCACGUGGCGUAGGUUAUUCGGCGCGAGGACAAACCCUAUAUGUGGCUUUAGAAGUUCCGGCGUAUGAGGGAGAUUAUGUGAUGGUUAGGUCACACGUGGCGUAGGUUAUCCGGCGUGUUGACAAACCUCAUACGUGGUGUUGGAUGUUCCAGCGUAUGAGGAGAUUUUGUGAUUGUUAGGUCCCACGUGGCGUGGGUUAUCCGGCGUAAGGACAGACCCCAUACGUGGCUUUGGAUGUUCCGGCGUAUGGGGGAGAUCAUGUGAUGGUUAGGUCACACAUGGUGUAGGUUAUCCGGCGUGCUGACAGACCCCAUACGUGGCGUUGGAUGUAACGACCCGGUCCUAAAUAAAUUAGUAAAUAUUAAUUUAUUCAAAGAAAAUACCAUUUUGCCCAUAGAAUAUCUUAUUAGGUUUAAAGUUGAUUUUGUGAUCGGAAAGGAAUUUCAGAAUUUCGACUAUACCGUUGCGUAGAGCACGACGAGAUGAGUCCGUAGACACAUAGUGGGCUCGAAUCGGAGUUGUAACAAGAGAGAUACGAUCAAAAUACCCUCAGUGGCAUAACCGUAAUUUUGGCGAAAAGGGUUGAUAAAAUCAUAUUUCUCUCUCUCGGCCGGAAAUCCCAGUUGACAAAAUCCCGGCCGGAAACCUUGAAUUUCAGCCACAGCUUCGACUGGUUUGAACAGGGUUUUUCCCGGCUUUGCCCCAUCGCCUCCGCCGCCCAAUUCUGGUGAAACAGGUAUGGUUCCUCACCUAUUUUCCGAGAUCUAGCUGCUGUUGUGUAGGAAUUGGACAAUUUUCGUGUUUAGGAACUCGAUUUAGAAUUUUGGUUUUGCCCGAAUUUUCAAAGUGAAAUUUCGGCCACUUCUGCUAGUUUUUGGGGUAUGUCCAAGAACAAAAGUGGUUCCAAAUAGGGUGUUAUACCUAGAGUAGGAACCUUGAGCCAUGAUUUUGAGAAUUUUCGGCGAUGCGUAAUCGCUUUGGAAGCGCGUGGGCACUGUUGAAAAGGGGCAUUGUGUCCCGAUGAGAUUCCCCUGUUGUCUUUAGCGCGUAGGUGUGCUCGGAUUUCAAUUUGGAUACCGUUUGUGUCUUGAACGGAUAUCACAUAGUGUGCGUUAUCCGGGUUCGAUAGGUUUGAACCGUUGGAUAGUUUUGAAUUUGAUAUAUGUUAAUCUAGGCAUUUCUAAGAUCGUGUAGGAAUUCACGGAUCUUGAAUCGGAGCCCUGGAUGUUCCGAUUUAAUAACUUAAAGUUUAUGUUUAUAAUAACCGUCAGAUCGUGCAAUUGUGAGCGAUCCGACCGCCCGAUCCAGACCAAACUUGUUGGACGUAUAUCCUAAACCUUGUGGAACCUAUAGAAAUUUUCGGAUUAGAAUUUGGAGGUCGUGUGCCCCAUGGGCCCGUUUUACCAAGUAUGGGUAGUUUGACCCUUAGUUGACCAUGAGUCUUCCGAGGUAGUUUUACCUUCCUAGGAGGAUUAUAAUGACCCUAGUGACAGGUCUUAACCGUUGUUGAGCUAUGUUGACUAGGUUGAGACUUCUAGAGUGUUUAUUAUUAUUGUAGGAAAUUCUUAGAUAUUAUUUUAAUAAUUGAAAUUAUGAAAUUUAUGUUUAUGUGCAUGAUCGUUGGUCUAAAAAUAAUAUUAUUUUCCUGAUUAAAUUACGUUACAGUCUACUAUAGACUGGUAUCACUGAAGUGGGAAUACCUCUAUUAUUAGUUUAGAUAAUUGAGAGUAUGUCAGUUUGAAAUGCUAUACGCACUACCCUAAGUACCACCCUAUGAUUGUCAGGUCACCCGUAGCGUAGGAUUUUCUGGCGAGAUGACAUACCCCAAUUGUGGCGUUGGAAUUUCCGGCGUAUGGAGAGAUUAUAUGAUUGUCAGGUUACGCGUGGCGUAAGAGUUUUCGGCAUUAUGACAGACCUCAUACGUUGCGUUGGAAUUUCCGGCGUAUAAGGAGAUUAUUUGAUUGUCAAGUCACCCGUGGCGUAGGAUUUUUCGGCGGGAUGACAGACCUCAUACGUGGUGUUGGAAUUUUUGGCGUAUGGGGAGAUGAUAUGAUUGUUACGUCACAUGUGGCGUAAGUUAUUCGACGUGCUGACAGACCCCAUAGGUGGCGUUGAAAUUUCCGGCAUAUGGGGAGAUGAUAUGAUUGUUAGGUCACACGUGGCGUAAGUUAUCCGGCGUGCUGACAGACCCCAUACGUGGCGUUGGAAUUUCCGGCGUAUGAGGAGAUUAUGUGAUUGACAGGGAGAUGAAUAAAGGUAUUGUAUGUGUUUGGAAUGGGGAUUUAGUAGGAAGAACUACGUGUGGCUUGAUCCCUCAGUGAGGGUAUGUAGGUAGCCUAAGGUUAUUAGGUGCAGCCGCGGACAUAGAUGUGAUUGUGUUAGGAGGUUAAAACCUCGUAUGUUGGAAUUGGAAAAGUUAGAUGAUGUAUGUUGUAUUUAGUAUUCAUAAUUCAUAUUUGAGUUUAUUAUUUGCCUUGCUGAAAGCAAUAUGUGACUCAAGAGCUUUGUGGGUAGUUUGGGAUAUUAAAUGUGUUUUAUGCAGGUUGAAAAAUUUGGGGAAUGAUCAAUUUACAGGGGAGACUUUGCCGAAAUUUCGACAGAAAGUCCCGGUCUUUAGUAAGUGGGCCCGGCAUCGGGGUGAUGUCGAGAAUUCCAUAGGAUUCGUAUCGGGUUUCGGGAAAUCUGGGGCUAGUCUUGUCAUUGGAUGUUCCGGCGUAUGGGGAGAUUUUGUGAUUGUUAGGUCCCACGUGACGUAGGUUAUACGACGUGAGGACAGACCCCAUACGUGGCUUUGGAUGUUCCGGUGUUUGGGGAGAUUAUGUGAUUACUAGUGAGAUGAAUAAAGGAUUGUUUAUAUUGGGAAAAAUGUGUUUGUAGAAAGAAUUACGUGUGGCUUGAUCCCUCAGUAAGGGUACGUAGGCAGCCUAGGGUAGUGGUUAGGUGCAGCCGCUGACUAAACGUUAUAAUGUUGUUUUUAGGUUUGAUUAUAUGGUAUUAUGGGCCGAGGCCCCUGGGACUAUUGGUUAUAAUUCAUAGAUGGUAGUUGAUGCAUGCUAGAAAUUUGUAGGAAGUUAUUUCAUGUGGAUUGCAGUGGUACUCGUAAAAUUUAUUUGAGUUCCUGAAUUGCAUUGUUAGUAUAUUAAUUGACUUAAGAGUACUGCUAGUAGUUCUGCCUUGAUUUAUUUGAAGGUUGGAGGCCUUGUCUGUAAACUGUGUGCAAUUACAUUGUGUGUGCUGGCAGUUGGCUUUUUAAAUUGUGAAUUUUGUGCAUGUUGAAAUUUGGGAAAUGUUCAAUUUACAAGGGAGACUCUGUCAAAAUUUCGAUAGAAAGUCUUGUGCCCUUAUUCCUUUUUCGGAAAAAGGAUAUAUAGCUUUAGAAGUGGGCCCGACAUCGGGAUGAUGUCGGGAAUUUCGACAGAAUUCGUCUUAGGUUUCGGAAAAUUCGGGGCGGGUCCGAAAAAGUUGCUUCAGUUUUGGCAAGUAUCGGAAAAGACCAAAAUUUUCCGACUUUAUUAUUACUAGAAACAAAGUCGAAGUAUUCACCAAUCAUGUGGCCUUCCAAGUGCUCAAGGUUAAGCCAGGAACCGUUCCUAUCUGCCGUUUCCUUCCCAACUAUGAUCAUGUUGUCUAGGUUCCAACCCACAAAUCUACAUUGGGCUAUGUAUUUGAAUUUGUACUAAAGCGUGAUCUAUAGUAUGCAUUUAUUAGAUAAGUUUGAGAUGGCAGUGGCUUGGGUGUCCGCCGAGCUUGAACAAGUUUGGGUGUGCUGAGUGUUUCCAUGGGUGCGUUGAUGAUCAUGGUUAUUAGAUUUGUGAUAGUUUGGGCUCAAUUUCAACAGAACUUAUCUCAAGCCUAGUUAGUUGAUUCAUAAGUUUAUCAGGAAAAAAAAAUGAAAAAUGAAAAAUGAAAAAUGAAAAAAUCUUAAGUUAAGCCCAAGGACUUCUCACCAAAGUGUGCAUAAAUUGAAAUAUUUAAUAGAAGCCCAAGAUUUCUGAAGCACAUAAUAUCUACUAAAUUCUACAAAGUGUUAUACUUUACAAACUUCCUAUGUGUACCAAUUUUUACUAAAAUUAAUUUCUCUGCGGUGUUGAGAUUCAUCAUAAUUUUAGUAGAAAUUGGAAGUUUUCAUCAUUUUUGCUUUAAGUCUCUCCUCCACUCACUAAUAAAGAUUACUCAAGUGAGUUUACAAAACAUUUUUUUCUACUCUCUCCUGAAAACUACACUUCUUCUCAAAAGAUUAGAUCACUUCACAUCUUGCAUAUGUGAAAACUAAUGUAAAAAGUUGAAACUUUAUCAUAAAACCUCGACAAAAAUUAGCUCUACUUAAAACGUUAAAUUUGGAUUCGUUGAUUUAAAUGGCAAUUUGACACUUCAUAGAAAUUUUUACAUACAUGUGUUAGUGUUUGAUCACUUCACUUGUUACUUACUAUAUUUAUUCCAUGAUUCUCCCUCAAGUUAGGUAAAUAUUAUUAUCAAACAUUUCAAUUCAUUUGUGAUCUUUCUUGUCCAUCUUUUAAUGUACCCUGAAAUCCAUUAGCCACAUAUGAUGACCAAAAUCCAUACGUUCCUAUUUUUAAUGUAUGUUUACUCCCUAUAAUGUUCCAGUCUAGGGUAAUAACACUGCUAGUUUCAUAUGACAUCCUAUUUCUAAUGUGUAUCUACCCUUGUAAUGUUCCAGUUUAGGGUAAUAACACUGCUAGUUUACUAUCAUGUUGAUUAAUGCUUGUCAUGUUGCUAUUUCUAAUACAUGUCCAACAAAGAAAAGAUGAAGAAAGAACAAACCAGACCAACUCAAAAUAAGUUGAGUCCAAAUAGUUAAUACUAUUAUGUCGUAGAAGUACGUUGUUAAUACUCUGUAAUAGAAGUACAUGGUUAAUACUCUGUCAUAGAAUUACAUUGUUAAACAAAAAUAAGAUCCAUAACUGAAAUAGUAAUAAAAGAUAAGUCGAUCAUCAAAUCUUAAAAUACAUUUCGAAAAUCAACUAAAAUCCGAAGAGAAACACAUAAUUGAAGCAAAAGAUCAAAAAUCUCAAGUCCAAACCAAACAACGACGACGACGACAAUGAUGACGACAAUGACGUGGCGAAGAGGAGUAGAGCUCGAAGAUGAGGAGUAGAGCUAAGAGCAUUUGAUCAAGGUUCGUUUGAGGUCUCGAACAAUCCGAAAAAAAAAAAUCAAUAGAAGCAAGAUUUUAAAACAAGAAUCGAAUGUGAAAUAUUGAAAAUUGUAGAUUAAAGAUGAAGAAUAUAGUUGGACCUGAGACUGAGCUCCAAUGGAAGCUCCUCUUGCUCCAACACCAGAGAAAGCACCAACAAGAAAAGAGAAAAUAAAUAUGAUUUGGAUUUUUGGCAGAUUUGAAUUUUUGGCAGAUCUGGUUUUUUUGGCAAAUUUGAAUUUUUGGCAGAUCUGUGCAGAUUUGUUUUUUUGGCAGAUCUGAUUUUUCUCUCUCAAAUCCAUAUUGCAAGGGCAAUAUAGGUAUUUAACACACACAAAUAAACUAAAAAACAGCUAUUAAAUUGAAAAAUUUGACAGCUAUCAAUUUUGGGUGUGUUUGUAGUUUUUAAAUAGUAUAGGGUUUCUUUAUUAGACUAUGUCUACGAUUGGGUAUAUAAUUAAAUUUCUAUUAUUAAAAAAAAAGGACCCUAGUAAAGCCAUGGGACGAUACUCCUUUUAUAUAUAUUAUAUGAUAUAAAUAUUAUAAUAUAUUAUCUAAUAUUUGGAAUAUUUACUCUAAAAUAAACAAUAUAUUAGGUUCUUUUUGUCUACAAAUUGACCAUUAAACUUCUUAAUCACUCUUAUACUUUUAAUUAAAUCUACUAGGCUAGGUUACGAUAUUUGCACUAAAAACUCCUAAUUGUUUUUUCUUCUCUUUCUCUUGCUCUUUUUUUAACUUAAGCUGAAGUUUUGUAAUUUUUUUUCCCUCCCUUUUUACAUGUAUGAGUAGGGUACUUUAAUAUUGGGAUUUAUGAACUUUUUUUGUAUUUCUUCUCUAUGUUGGAAUAUAAAUUAGAGAUAUUUAGUCAUAUACCCAUUCUUAGCACUAAUAUUAUAAAUAAACCUUACAUCAUUCAAUUCCUAUAAACAAACCCAAAAAAUAAUAGCUGGCCCUAUUGAAUUUAAUUUUGACUAUUAAAUUACUUUGAUGCCCUAUUGAGUGUUUUGGGCUUUUUUUUAUGAGAUUUUGGAGUUGAGUUUGUUUUAAGAAAUCAAUGGCAAUUUUGUAAUUUAAAAAAAAUUAAAAGGCUUUUUGUUAUGUUGUAAAUAGGUUUCGAGUGUGUUUCUAAAGUCCAUUUCAUAUAGGUUUUUUAUAUAUAAUAAUUUGAACUCCUAUAUUGGGUAUAAUAGUGAAUCUCCAUUUAUUAACUUUUGAGUCUUUAAUAGUGUAGAUGAUGAGAUUAAUAUUCAACCAUUUUAUAAUAUGAAAUUAAGGACAAUCAUGAUUGUAAUGAAUGGAUUAUUAAUCAAUAUGAAAUGAUAUUAUGAAGUAGGCUAAAUGGAGUAGUUAGUAUCGUAUUAACUUAUUAACCGGUUAGCGCUUGAGCCCUCUAAUUCAAAUUAUUUUAUAAAAUUUUGUGAAGGGCCCCUUCUAAUGCAAAUUCCUGGCUGCGCCACUGCCUAUAGCAACUUGGUAAUGUGUGUGAAACAUCCCCUCCUUUUGUCGUUUAAACUAUCGGUUCGCUUGUAUUAAUAAAACAAAAAAUAAAAUAAAAGAUAAAAUUAUAAAUAAAACAAAACACAUAUUAAAGCCUAACUGUUAAUAAUGGAUCCAACAUAAGAUCCAGCCCAAGCCCAUGAAUAAAGCCCCCGAAAACGGUUGGUCCCUCAAUUAAAUUAUUCGUUCAAAUGGUCCAUCAACUCUAUAUUAUUCGCUCCAUUGGUCCUACCGUUAUAUUUUGUCAAUAUUUCUGUUAAAUAUGAGGGCAAAUUGGUCAUUAUUUAUCCUAAAAUUAGGUUAAAUCUAACAUAAAAUUAGACGGUAGGAAUUCGGGGCAGGUCAUGUCAAAAAGCUAAUUAGAGGGGCGAAAUUGACAAAUAAAUUUAAUACAAUAGCUAAAUUGGUUGAAAGAUUAAUUCAAGAUGUAGAUUUCAACAAGUGUGAUAAUUCAUGGGGUAUUCGGUAAUUUACUCCUUUUUUUCCCCUUGAUCUUCUAUAUUCAAGUAAUGGAAAUGUGUUCCACAUUUUCCAUUUAGUUGAUUAUAGAAAAGGAAGAGCAAACAUGAGUUAAGCCCAAGGCACCGAACUUAGGGUCAGUUUGGCAUUGUUAUGCUGUGAAAAUAAUCGUUGUCAGAUUUGCUGUGAGAGAAAAUAGUUUGGCGUUUGGUAAAAUUUUUGUUAAAAGUAUUAUUAGUAUUUAUUUUACGCAUAAUCAGAAAAUGAUUGCUGCAUAAUCAUUAAAUCCAGCGCCUUUUCGAAACUGAUUUUUGCAUAAUCAGAAAAUGAAAGCACAUCAUUAGCUGCUUUCCUUUAUAGCUUUCUCUCACAUCAAUUUUUAACAAUAAGUGAUUUUCUCACAGUUUACCAAAUGGAUUGGGCUUCUCAAAAUUUUAAAAAAAUCACUUAUCACCCCAAAUAAGUAAUGCCAAACGGGCACUUAGACUUCUCACCAACGUGAGGAAGAAAAAUAUGACAAAUUGAUAUAUUUAAUACAAGCUCAAACUGUGCACAAAUUAAUAUAUGCAACGGAAGCCCAAGAUUAUUUCUGAAGCACAUAAUUUCCGCAAAAUCUACAAAGUGGUGGGAGGCAGACCAACAAAAAAAAGUAGCGAAGGCUUAUAACUCUGGUAAAACAAGAGUGACUUGGACAGAAUAAUGUUAUGUCGUACUGAAGAUUUUUGGGUUUCUUUAAUUGGUUAAGUUUAUAUACCUUCAUUUGAAGAUUCUUUAUUUGGGUUGCUUUCAAGAUGAAAACCAUAUCCACAACCACAACCACAACUGGCAGACAAUCUUUGGCUGUUCAUCACAAUUGGGCGACAAUGAAGAAGACAGAAAUUGGAGUAAUGUAUGUUACCAGCAAUCCACGAGAAACUGACAUCUGCAAGCUUUCGUAAUAUAAGGAGGAUGGGGAGGCCGUGCAAUACUUAUCACCUUAGCCACCACCUACACCACAAGACCAAUAUGUUGUAGGCCAGGAGGCUUUCCAAUUUUAAUAUAUAUAUAUAUAUAUAUAUAAAAGUAAAGUGACAAAGAAAUUAAUGUAGGGUAAAGGUAGAAUAGAAAAGAGAAUGAACAAAAUUAAUAAAAAAAAGUUUUAAAAAGUAAAAGGGAGUGUAGAUGGAGAAAAGAGGAAUGGGGAAAUUAGCUCCCUAUAUAUAUAUAGAUUGAAAAAUUAAAAUUAAAAUCAAUCUAUUAUCUUAUAUAUUAUAAAAUAAAGAUUAUUGCUCCAAGGAAAUGAGAUCUUUUGUUUUCUGGGAAUUUUCUGAACCAAGAAGAAUCAAGUAAAAUUAAUAAAGCAUAAAUUGGAAAGGGAAAAGAUCCAGAGGAUGCAUUGUAAGAUUGCUGAUGCCAAUAAUUGUACCCUCUAAUUUUAUACAUGGACGGGCAUUCAAAUCGGCAAAUCAGAAAUCCAAGCCAAAUCGCACAGGAAAAAAUCGAGUUGACCAAAUAGUCAACAACCAAUCAAAAACCAUACCGGACCAGUUUGGACCGGUUUUGGAUCCAAUUCUAUGUCUUCAAAAACUGAACCAAGCGGAACCGAACCAGUCAAAUUAAAAAAUAUAUAAUUUCAAUAUAUAUUUAUAUUCAAUGCUAUAUUUUUAGUCUCAUAACUAAUAUUUAUGCAAGUUCAAUUUCAAAACAUCUCUCUUUUCUGGCUUUAAUAUUUAUUUUUAUAUAAAAUUAAAUAAUUUAUUAAUUUUCAAGUCAAAAAAAUAAAAUUUUAGUUGAAAUUUGUAUUAAAAAAUUAUUUGAAAAAAAUUAAUUUUAAUAAUCCAGUUCAAAACCAAAUCGGACCGGAACCUAAUCAAAAUCGGUUCAACCUGAACCGGACAGUUUUUGAAUUUUUUUUGUUAAAACCGAACCAAACCAAACCGGACAAAUAGUAUCGGAUUCGGUUCUAAUUUGAGACAAAAACCAGUCCAAACCGGACCGUGCCCACCCUAUUUUUUUUGUUUUCAAGUCUUAGAUGACAUGUCGACCUAAAAUUAUUGUUCCUAGCGGGCUCUCCACCCCCACUCAACCUAUUGUGUAUUAUUAUUUUCAAUAUUAUCUUAAAUUUAACUACUUAUGUCCAUUAUGAUUAGUCAUGUAUUUUAUGGACCAUCCAGCUGUGAGGCUUUAUCUCAAAAACAUUCAGUACCUUUUUCCCGCUUGCAACAAUUGUAUUUGAUUCAGAAUUAUGUCCUAUAUUGGUGGGUGGAGUGUUACUUCUGGGUACCCCUCAUCAUUCGUCUAUAAAAUGGUGAAGCCAGUUGCUACUGUUACCAUAAGAGCCAUCUCCGACUUUCUUUAAUUUCUUGCUUCAUAUCCACUAGCUACAUCUGUUGCCAAGUUAAUUUCAGUCCUAAUGGGGUUUCAUCUCCCACUCAUCUUUGCUCUUCUCAGUGUAAGCUCUGCAAUUUGAUUAACAUUUCCAUUAUCUCUCAUUGUACUCUAUAUAAACGAAAGUUUUGCAUUCCUAUAAUCCUCUCUGAUUUUAUUUACCACAUAAGUGUCGUCCACUAAUUAAUUACACUUUGUGAUUUGAUUUUAAUUAGAGUUCGAAUUAAUGUUGCAGCUAGCAGCGGUGGCACUGGCAAACCAUGCUGCUCAACCAGCAGCUCAACUUUACUGGAACUCCGUCCUGCCGAACACACAGAUGCCAAGAACUAUCAGUGAACUUCUGCAUCUUGGUUUGUGUUAAUCACUUUAGAAUCUUAGAUAUUUUUUCUACCUGCCAUUUUACUAAAAUUUGUUUGACCACAUAUUUAUCGGUUAACUACUGUUUUCCAAUUUAUUAUUAACCUCUACAUGAGUAAUUAUAGUAUGGUACUAGAGUACGUACGGCAACAUAUUCACAAAUGUCUCACUGAAUCUUCAAUCGGCUGAUCACUUAUUUUCCAUUAUGACGUUGAUAUAUAAUUUGCCGACUCCACAAAUGAAGAAAAGAGCACAAAUAUCAUGAAUGCUGUUGGGAAUGGAAAGCCAACUGACCACAAGGGAAAACCUGAAAUAAACGCAUUGUUUAGCGGAUACACAAUUCAAGUACAGUAUGCAGGAGUUCCUAAUUCUGACAAUCAACUCCAGUAUUAUAAAAACAUAACUAUUUUCUUCUUGGGGAAGGACAUGCGCCUUGGCGCAACAAUGAACUUCCAAUUCCCUAGAAAUUCAAACACGGCUACUUUCCUGCCACGCGAAAGUGCUCAAUCAAUCCCCUUCUCCUCUAACAAACUAUCAGAAAUUUUCAAACAUUUUUCAGUGAAGCCAACAUCUGUGGAAGCCAAAACAAUUAAGAAAACAAUCGAAGAGUGUGAAGCUCCAGGCAUUAAGGGAGGGGAAAGAUAUUGCGCCACAUCUUUAGAAUCAAUGGUUGAUUUUAGCACUUCCAAGCUUAGAACAAGAAACGUUCAAGCAAUCUCGACUGAGGUAUUGGAAAAAGGAACUGCCAUGUCCAUGCACAAGUAUACAACAAUGCCGGGACUGAAGAAGUUGGCAGGUGACAAAGUCGUUGUGUGUCAUAAGGAGAACUAUCCCUAUGCUGUGUUUUUCUGCCAUGCAAUAAAACAAACAGCAGCUUAUGUUCUCUCCCUGAAAGGCGAUGAUGGGGUGAAGGUUAAAGCAGUAACCAUCUGCCAUCUAGACACAUCAGAAUGGAACCCAAAGCAUUUGGCCUUCCAAAUCCUCAAAGUUAAGCCCGGAACCAUUCCCAUCUGCCAUUUCCUUUCCACAGAUGCUAUUGCAUGAACAUCACUUAGCACUGUACGUAUAAUAAGCUUGCACCCCUGUAUAAUUAUCUCCCUACUCUACUUAUUUCUGCCUCUUCUGUUGAGAUUUCAAUCAGAACUUGCACACACAAUGCAUCAGCUCACACAAAACCAGAUGAAUUUAAGAAAACAGAAAAAUGCAGAGAAAGAAUGGAUUGGCUACUCAGUAAUGCUCAAAGGUUCGUUGCUAUGCACAAAACAUGGCAGUGCACAAUACUCUCAUUUCUAACGGAACCAUUCCUUUUUACAAUGCUGAGAAUGUGAUCUCAGCCUUACAAUUGAUCCAGCAAUGUAAGCUGGACACUUGUCUUAAAUCUGAGUCAUAUAAGUUUCAUCCAACCAAAAUAUUACAUCUGUGAAAUAAAACUUAAACCAGCAGGAAUUUAUAAUUCGACAUUCCCUUCUAAAUUGUUGACUGGUUUAACACCAAGUAGACCUCUUAAGUAAUUGAAUCGAUCCUUAGACAAAGCUUUAGUGAAUAUGUCAGCUGCUUGCUCUUCGGACUUGCAGUAUCUUAGAUCCACCACACCUUCUUGCAAAGCAUCUCGAAUGAAAUGGUAUAUGCGGUUAAUGUGUUUGGUCUUUUGAUGGAAAACUGGAUUCCUUGUCAUUGCAAUGGCAGAGGUGUUAUCUACCAUUAAUGGAGUUGCCUCUGUUUGCUAUUCUCCAAAGUCUUCAAGCACAAACUUCAACCAUAUAGCUUGAGUAGUAGCUUCACUUACACUAACAUAUUCAACUUCAGUUGUGGAGAGAGCAACACUGGGUUGCUUGACAGAUGCCCAAGAUGACACGCCACUUCCAAAUGAGAAAGCAUAUCUAGAAGUGCUCUUCAUGUCAUCUUGACUCCCACUCCAGUCACUGUCACAGUAUCCAAUUAAUACAACUUCUUUUCCCUUCUGGUAUUCAAUACCAUAAUCAAUUGUGCCUUUGAUAUACCUCAACACCCUCUUAGUUGUUCCAUAGUGUUUCUUUUAGGACAAUGCAUGAAUCUAGCUAAUAAGCUAGCUGCAAACAUUAUGCCAGGCCUUGUAGCUGUUAAGUACAACAAACUUCCCACAAUCUGCCUAUAUUCAUUCUCAUCUGCUGGAUCACUUCCAUCUGCUUUGCAUAAUUUCUCACUUGCCACCAGAGGAGUGCUAACAGGUUUACAUUGUUUUAAGCCAAACUUGCUUAACAGAGUCAAAGCAUAUUUCUUUUGACUUAUGAAAAUACUCUUUUCAGUUUGAAUCACAGCCAUACCAAGAAAAUGAUACAAAAGACCUAAGUUAGUCAUUUCAUACCUUCUCAUCAUCUUAGACUAAAAAUCUGCAAUCAAUUCUUCACUGCUUCCUGUAUACACUAUAUCAUCAACAUAUAUCGAUACAAUGAGUGUUCUAGAGUUUUCCUUGGUCUUGCAAUACAGAGUUGCUUCACUAGAGCUCCUUGUAUAACCGCAGUCAAUAAGAUACGAGUUUAUUUCCUCAUCCCAUGCUCUUGGCGCCUGUUUUAGACCAUACAGAGCUUUCUUUAGUUUGUACACUUUGUCUUUAGAGUUCUUAAUCACAAAACCAUCUGGCUGGUCCACAUAUACUUCUUCCUUAAGCACACCAUUCAGAAAAGCAGACUUGACAUCCAAUUGAUACAACUUCCACCCCUUUUGAGCUGCCAAUGCAAUAAAAGUUCUAAUGGUGUCUAAUCGGACUCUGCACCCCUCUCGAUUGAAAACCUAUUGUGUAAAUCUUCAAUCCUAAACGAUGCACCUAAAACACAUGUUGCAAUACACAUCCACCCAUUCUCAGGCCAAUUAUUGCUCAUAGUGGGCUCCCGACCCCCUCUCAAAUUUAAGUGGUCCAUUAUUCUUAACCACAUAUUUUAUGGACCAUCCAGCUGUGAGGUUUUGUCUCAAAAACCUUCGGUACAUUUCUCCCACAUGCCACAAUUGUAUAUUCACAAUUACGUCUGAUACAUCACAUCAUGCCACUUGCCUCAAAUGAAUUUAAGUGAGUGAGGCAGUUGGAAGUAAUUAAGCUCUAUAUUGGUGGGUGGAGUGUUACUUCUGGGUACCCCUCAUCAUUUGUCUAUAAAAUGGUGAAGUCAGUUGCUACUGUUACCAUAAGAGCCAGCUCCGACUUUCUUUAAUUUCUUGCUUCAUAUCCACUAGCUACAUCUGUUGCCAAGUUAAUUUCAGUCCUAAUGGGGUUUCAUCCCCCACUCAUCUUUGCUAUUCUCAGUGUAAGCUCUGCAAUUUGAUUAACUUUUCCAUGCUCUCUCAUUGUACUCUAUAUAAACGAAAGUUUUGUGGUCCUAUAAUUCUCUCUCGAUUUUAUUUAGUACGUACUUAAGUGUUGUCCACUAAUUAAUUACACUUUGUGAGAUUUGAUUUUAAUUAGAGUUCGAAUUAAUGUUGCAGCUAGCAGCGGUUGCACAGGCAAACAAUGCUGCUCAACCAGCACCUCAACUUUACUGGAACUCCGUCCUGCCAAACACACAGAUGCCAAGAUCUAUCAGUGAACUUCUGCAUCCUGGUUUGUGUUGAGCUCUUUAGAAUCUUAGAUAUCUCUUCUACCUGCCAUUUUACUUAAAUAUGUUCGACCACAUAUUUAUCAGUUAACUACUGUCAUUACAUGAGUGACACAUAUUCACAAAUCGGCUGAUCACUUAUUUUCCAUUAUGACGUUGAUAUAUAAUUUGCAGACUCCACAAAUGAAGAAAAGAGCACAAAUGACGUUGGCAAACCUGAAACUUUCCCAUUGGGCAAUCAAAAUUACUCCAGUCAAAAAAAUUAUGGAACAGGCAAUAAACGUUACUGCAGUCAAAAAAGGUAUGGAAGAGGCAAGAAACGUUACUGCGAUCAAAAAAAGUAUGGAAGAGGUGCUUCUCCAUCUGACAAUCAACUACUCCAUUAUAAAGACUUAGCUAUUUUCUUCUUGGAGAAGGACAUGCGCCCUGGCACAACAAUGAAGUUCCAAUUCUCUAGAAAUUCAAACACGGCUACUUUCUUGCCACGAGAAAGCGCUCAAUCGAUCCCCUUCUCCUCUAACAAACUACCAGAAAUUUUCAACCAUUUUUCAGUGAAGCCAACAUCUGAGGAAGCCAAAACAAUUAAGCAAACAAUCGAAGAGUGUGAAGCUCCCGGCCUUAAGGGAGAGGAAAUAUAUUGCGCCACAUCUUUAGAAUCAAUGGUUGAUUUUAGCACUUCGAAGCUUGGAACAAGAAACGUUGAAGCAAUCUCGACGGAGGUAUUGGAAAAAGGAGCCACCAUGUCCAUGCACAACUAUACAACAAUGCCGGGACUGAAGAAGUUGGCCAGUGACAAAGUCGUUGUGUGUCAUAAGCAGAACUAUCCCUAUGCUGUGUUUUUCUGCCAUGCAAUAAAACAUACAGCAGCUUAUGUUCUCUUCCUGAAAGGCGAUGAUGGGGAGAAGGUUAAAGCAGUAACCAUCUGUCAUCUAGACACAUCAGAAUGGAACCCAGAGCAUAUGUCCUUCCAAAUCGUCAACGUUAAGCCCGGAACCAUUCCCAUCUGCCAUUUCAUUUCCACUGAUGCUAUUGCCUGGGUUCCGAACCACAAAUCUGCAUGAUCAUCACUUAGCACUGUACGUAUAAUUAUCUCCUUACUUAUUUCUGCCUCUUCAUCAUGUGGUGUAAGAUAUAUGAUGAGAUGAAGUUUUUGGGAUUAGUGGUUGGGUUGCCUGAAAAACACAGAUUACAGAAACUGCUUGAAAUUAACCCGAUCAUGUUUUCUCUUGUAACUAUAUAGACUUCAACUUGUACUCAUAAUAAAGCAUGCUAUAUUUAUGAAGAGAUAUUAAUCUAUAUAUAUUUUUUAUAUAUGCUUUGGCUUUGUGGUUCUACCCAAUGUUUGAGUGUUGAAUUGUUACGUUGGAAUAGGCUGCUAAUGCAUGUAGUUAGAGAAGCCUUCAUUUAUAUCAAAGUCCUCAAACUAUCAAGAACUAAUGUAUCCAGAAACAUAUACCAAGACGCAAAACAACAUAUUUUCCAUGCUCUGUCUGUAACACCAAAGCAAACUUCCUUGAUCACAAAAGGAUCAAAUUCCAGUACUAAUCUAAUCCAUCAUGUAAAGCAUACAAGUGCCUCCCUAAAUACUAUACUCUUUUUGUUAUUUCCUACUAUACUAUUUAAGAUUUAAAAUUCAGGUCAACCCAUAGAUUUCUCGCCUUUUUCUUCUUCAUCUCGUCGGGCUUGUCUUCUUCUUGAGGAUUGUAUAGGCCAAGGAAAUGCUUUGAGUUAGUUUUUGCGCUUUUGCGUUUUGGGCCUUGGAAGUUGGGACCCAAACCAACUUCACAAAAAGAAAACGCUCAGACUAUAAUGAGUGGAAAGUUAUAAGGGGUAAGUUAUAAGGAGUUCACUUUAUAGCCAUCAGAUCAAUCUAAGGGCUGGGGAGAAUUGAGAUAAAGUUUUAAAAUCGGGUAGGUGAGGAACCCAAACCCGAAUUGAAUAUCCAGCACGUCCGAAAAAGAAGAAGAAGAGGCAAGCACGUCCGAAAAAGAAGAAGAAGAGGCAAGGUCGAAGUUUGAACAGAAAAAACUCAUCUCUUUAAAACCCAUAGCUCUGAGAAACGGUUGAAGGCAACGGUUAACGACGGUUGUUGAAGCCACUCCGUUCUCCAGACCCUGAAAAAGUAUUUAUUUUGAGUAGAAGGGGCAAAUGUGUGGAUUCCGAAACAGUGAAGGGGCGAAGCAGUGGAAGGGGAAGGAGAGAAGCCGUAUUCGUUGGAAGUGGUAGGUUCCAUUUGUGGAGCAAAGCAACACAAAGACCCCGCACAGACACCUUGCGAUUGUUCAAUAACCAGCAUUUGGUGAGUAAUUUAUGGAAUUUGAGUUUAGGGUUAGAGUAAUGGUUUUCCCCAAUUUGUACCAUCAAUUUUGUUGGAUUUGGCAUCUCUUCUUUGUGCUUCAGUUGCAUGUUAAUUUUUGCUUGGGUAUAUGUUAAAAAAAGAAUGAAAAUCAAGUCAAUAACAAGUGAAUAACAUGUCAAUAAUGAUAUGAAUAAGAUAAUGGUGUUGAAUUGGAGGAGGCCCUCAAAACAUUCCACAUUUGAAGCAGUGCAUAGUGCAGAUUAUCUCUCUGGCGCUAGAAUAUAUAUAUAUUUUGAAAUAAAUAUGAUUUCCUUUGUUACUAAAUUUGCCUGAGAAACAUGAGAACAGAUAAUAAUAAACUCAUGAAUAGAAGUGCAAAGCAUUUGAUGAGUAAUUUAUGGAAUUUGAGUUUAGGCCCAGGAAAUUCCUUGACCCCAAAAAAAAAAAAAAAGUUGAUUUAAAAUUCAGGUCAACCCAUAGAUUUCUCGCCUUUUUCUUCUUCAUCUCGUCGGGCUUGUCUUCUUCUUGAGGAUUGUAUAGGCCCAGGAAAUGCUUUGAGUUAAUUUUUGCAUUUUUGCGUUUUGGGCCUUGGAAGUUGGGACCCAACCCAACUUCACAAAAAGAAAACAGAUUUGCCAAAAAUCAAAUUUCAAGUCUCUCCUCCGAUCGAAAUUUGGAUUUGAUGAACUAAAGUGGUUUUACUUUCUCCAUCAGUGUUUGAUAACUUAAUUUGUUAUUUACUUUUUUUUUAAAAAACUUUGGCUUAUAUAUAUUAGUUUUCUUUUUUCCUUCAUAUUCACCACCUUUAUGUUGCAUAAGUAUUUCAGUCUUAAUGGGUUUCCAUCUACCACUCAUCUUUGCUCUUCUCAGUGUAAGCCUUUUUUUUUUUUUAAAGCACAAGAUUAGAGGGGAGGGGGAUUUCUCAAUGUAAGCUUUGCAGUUUCAUAAUUAAUAUUUCCAAUAUCUCACUGUUAGUAAAAUACAGAAAAAGUACUAAUAACAUAUGCACAUGUUACUAAUUUAUUGAGAUAAAACACCAUUUUGCCCCUAGAAUAUUUUAUUAGGUUUAAAGUUGACUUUUUGACCAGGAAGGAAUUUGGGUAUUUAGACUAUAUCGUUGCGUAGAGCAUGGCGAGAUGAGUCCGUAGACACAUGAUUGGCUCGAAUCAGAGUUAUAAUGAGAGAGAUACGAUCAAAAUACCCUCAGUGGUAUAACCGUAAUUUUGGCUUAAAGGGUUUGAUAAAAUAUAAUUUUUCUUUCUUUCUUUCUCUCUCUCUCUCUCUCUCUCUCUCUCUCCUCUCUCUCACGACGGCAGUGAUAGCCGGCCACUUUUUGGCCAGCCAUGCUCUCGUCCGGCCACUAAAGUUGACGGGGCCGGUACCAAAAUGACCGGGCCACCAUCCUUUUCCAACCCCAGCCAGGCCCCACUGCCAGCAGUCGUGAUUUUGCUGAAAAAUGGAGAAGAAGCGGCCGAUUUCGUUCGAACUUCUCCGACUUCGUUCUCUCUCCUCCGGCCACCGAUUUCGAUGAAUGAGGUAUGGUUUCUCACCUACUUUUUAUGCUCUAGCUGCCUGUUGGGUAGGAUUCGAUCAAUUCCUUGCGUAGGUAGCUUGAUUUUCGAAUUGGAUUUCGGCCGGUUUUGGGAUCUCGAUUCCGGCCACUUCCGGUCAGUUUUUGGGGUACAUCCCAAAACAAAAGUGGUUCUAAAUAGGGUGUUAUACCUAGGGUAGGAACCUUGAACCGUAAUUUUGAGAAUUUUCGGUGAUGCCUAAUCGCUUUGGACACCUACGCUAUGCCUGCGUGUGGGCACUAUAGAAAAAGGGCAUUGUGUCCCGAUGCAAUCCCCUUGUUGUCUUGAGCGCGUAGGUGUGCUCGGAUUUCAAUUUGGAUACCGUUUGAAUCUCGAACGAAUAUCGCAUAUUGUGCGUUAUUCGGGGUCGAUAGGUUUGAACUGUUGGAUAGUCUUAGAUUUAUAAUAUGUUAAUCUAGACAUUCUUAGGAUCGAAUGGGAUUAAACGGAUCGUAAAACGGAGUCCCGGAUACUCCAAAAAUGCCAACCCUAGGGCUAGGUUCCUAGUAACCGUCCGAUCGUGCGAUCGUGAGCGAUCCGACCGUUUGAUCCGAACCAAACUUGCAGGACGUGUAUCCUAAACCUUGUAGAACCCAUAGGAACUUUCGGAUUAGAAUUUGGAGGUCGUGGGCCCCUUGGGCCGUUUGACUAAGUUUGGGUAGUUUGACCCUUGGCUGAUCGUGAGUCUUCAGAGGUCUUGAGCGUUGUUGAGCUAUGUUGACUAGGUUUAGACUUUUAGAGUGUUUAUUAUUAUCAUAGGAAACUAUUAGAUAUUAUUUUAAUAAUUGAAAUUAUCAAAUUUAUGUUUAUGUGCAUGAUUGUUGGUCUAAAAAUAACAUUGUUUUCUUGAUAAAAUUACGUUGCAGUCUACUAUAGACUGGUAUCACUAAAUGGAGAUUACCUCUAUUAUUAGUUUAGAUAAUUAAGAGUAUGUCAGUUUGAAGUGCUAUAUGCACUACCCUAAGUACCACCCUGUGAUUGUUAGGUCCCAUGUGGUGUAGAUUAUACAGCGUCAGGACAGACCCCAUACGUGGCUUUGGAUGUUCUGGCGCAUGGGGGAGAUUAUGUAAUGGUUAGGUCAUACGUGGCGUAGGUUAUUCAGCGUGUUGACAGACCCUAUACGUGGCGUUGGAUGUUCCAGUAUGGAAAGAUUUUGUGAUUGUUAGGUCCCACGUGGCGUAGAUUAUCCGGCGUGAGGACAAACCCCAUUCGUGGCUUUGGAUGUUCCUGCGUAUGGGGGAGAUUAUGUGAUGGUUAGGUCACACGUGGCGUAGGUUAUUCGGCGUGUUGGCUAACCCCAUAAGUGCCGUUGGAUGUAACGACCGGUCCUAAAUAAAUUAGUGAAUAUUAAUUUAUUCAGAGAAAAUACCAUUUUGCCCAUAGAGUAUUUUAUUAGGUUCAAAGUUGACUUUUUGAUCAGAAAGGAAUUUGAGAAUUUCGAUUAUACCGUUGCAUAGAGCACGGCGAGAUGAGUCCGUAGACACGUGGUAUGCUCGAAUCGAAGUUGUAACGAGAGAGAUACGAUCAAAAUACCCUCAGUGGCAUAACCGUAAUUUUGGCAAAAAGGGUCGAUAAAAUCAUAUAUAUAUAUUUUCUCUCUCUCUCUCUCUCUCUCUCUCUCUCUCUCUGCGAUAUUGUCCCUCUCUCUCUUUGAUUCACUGCCAUCUGCCCACGGCAGGACUUGAGACUGGUCACGUUUGAACCGGCUCGAUGUCCCGAUCACGUCGCACCCAAAAUGCAAAUGGAAACCUUGAAUUCCAGCCACGGCUUCGACUGGUUUGAACUGGGUUUUUCCCGGCGUUGCGCCACCGCCUCCGCCGCCCAAUUCCGGUGAAACAGGUAUAAUUCCUCACCUAUUUUUCGAGAUCCAGCUGUUGUUGUGUAGGAAUUAGACGAUUUUCAUGUUUAGGAACUCGAUUUAGAAUUUAGGUUUUGGUCGAAUUUUCAAAGUGAAAUUUCGGCCACUUCCGCUGGUUUUUCGGGGUAUGUCUAAGAACAAAAGUGGUUCCAAAUAGGGUGUUAUACCUAGGGUAGGAACCUUGAGCUGUGAUUUUGAGAAUUUCCGGCGAUGCGUAUUCGCUUUGGACACCCACGCGCCGACAGCGCGUGGGCACUGUAGAAAAGGGGCAUUGUGUCUCAAUGCGAUCUGCUUGUUGUCUUGAGCUCGUAGGUAUGCUCGAAUUUCAAUUUGGAUACUGUUUGAGUCUCGAACGGAUAUCGCAUAGUGUACGUUAUCCGGGUUUGAUAGGUUUGAACCAUUGGAUAGUUUUGAAUUUGAUAUAUGUUAAUCUAGGCAUUUCUAGGAUCAUGUAGGAAUUCAGGGAUCAUGAAUCAGAGCCCCGGAUGUUCCGAUUUAAUAACUUAAAGUUUAUGUUUAUAAUAACUAUCAGAUCGUGCGAUCGUGAGCGAUCCGACUGUCUGAUCUGGACCAAACUUGCAGCACGUAUAUCCUAAACCUUGUGGAACAUAAAAAAAUUUCGGAUUAGAAUUUGGAGGUCGUGGGCCCCGUGGGCCCAUUUAACCAAUUAUGGGUAGUUUGAUCCUUGGUUGACCGUGAGUCUUCCGAGAUAGUUUUACCUUCCUAGGAGGAUUAUAAUGACCCUAGUGAUAGGUCUUGACCGUUGUUCAGCUAUGUUGACUAGGUUGAGACUUCUAGAGUGUUUAUUAUAUUAUUGUAGGAAACUCUUAGAUAUUAUUUUAAUAAUUGAAAUUAUGAAAUUUAUGUUUAUGUGCAUGAUCGUUGGUCUAAAAAUAAUAUUAUUUUCCUGAUAAAAUUACGUUGCAGUCUACUAUAGACUAGUAUCACUAAAGUGGGAAUACCUCUAUUAUUAGUUGAGAUAAUUGGGAGUAUGUCAGUUUGAAAUGUUAUACCCUAAGUACUACUCUAUGAUUGUCAGGUCACCCGUGGCGUAGGAUUUUCCGGUGAGAUGACAGACCCCAUACGUGGCGUUGGAAUUUCCAACGUAUGGAGAGAUUAUAUGAUUGUUAGGUUUCACGUGGCGUAGGAUUUUUCAGCGGGAUGACAAACCCCAUACGUGGCAUUGGAAGUUUCAGCGUAUGGGGAGAUGAUAUGAUUGUUAAGUCACACGUGGCGUAGGUUAUUUGGAGUGCUGACAGACCCCAUACGUGGCGUUGAAAUUUCUGGCGUAUGGAGAGAUGAUAUGAUUGUUAGGUCACUUUGGAUGUUCUAGCGUAUUGGGAGAUUAUGUGAUUACCAGUGAGAUGAAUAAAGGAUUGUUAUGUUAUAUUGGGAAAAACAUGUUUGUAGAAAGAAUUACGUGUGGCUUGAUCCCUCAGUAAGGGUACGUAGGCAGCCUAGGGUAGUGCCUUGGUGCAGUCGCUGACUAAACAUUAUAAUGUUGUUUUUAGGUUUGAUUAUAUGGUAUUAUGGGGCAAGGCCCCUAGGACUAUUGGUGAUAAUUCAUAGAUGGUAGUGGAUGCAUGCUAGAAAUUUGUAGGAAGUUAUUUCAUGUGGAUUGCAGUGGUACUCGUAAAAUUUAUUUGAGUUCCUUAAUUGCAUUGUUAAUAUAUUAAUUUACUUAAGAGUACUGCUAGUAGUUCUGCCUUGAUUUAUUUGAAGGCUGGAGGCCUUGUCUGGAAACUGUGUGCAAUUAGAUUGUGUGUGCUGGCAGUUGACUUUUUAAAUUGUGAAUUUUGUGCAGGUUGAAAUUUGGGAAAUGUUCAAUUUACAGGGGAGACUCUGCUGAAAUUUCGGUAGAAAGUCUUGUGCCCUUAUUCCUUUUUGGGGAAAAGGAUAUAGUUUUAGAAGUGGCGAUGUCGGGAAUUUCCACAGGAUUCGUCUCGGGUUUCGGGAAAUUCGGGGCGGGUCUGAAAAAGUUGUUUCAGUUUUGGCAAGUAUCGGAAAAGACCAAAAUUUUCCGACUUUAUUAUUACUAGAAACAAGGUCGAAGUAUUUACCAAUCAUGUGGCCUUCCAAGUGCUCUAGGUUAAGCCAGGAACCGUUCCUAUCUGCCGUUUCCUUCCCAACUAUGAUCAUGUUGUCUGGGUUCCAACCCACAAAUCUACAUUGGGCUACGUAUUUGAAUUUGUACUAAAGCGUGAUCUAUAGUAUGCAUAUAUUGGAUAAGUUUGAGAUCAGUGGCUUGGGUGUCCGCUGAGCUUGAACAAGUUUGGGUGUGCUGAGUGUUUCCAUGGGUGUGUUGAUGAUCAUGGUUAUUAGAUUUGUGAUAGUUUGGGCUCAAUUUCAACAGAACUCAUCUCAAGCCUAGAUAGUUGAUUCUUAAGUUUAUCAGGAAAAAAAAUUAAAAAUUAAAAAAUCUAAAGUUAAGCCCAAGGCGCCGAACUUGGACUUCUCACCAAACUGUGCAUAAAUUGAAAUAUUUAAUAGAAGCCCAAGAUUUUUGAAGCACAUAAUAUCUACAAAAAUCUACAAAGUGUAAUACUUUACAAACUUCUUAUGUGUACCAAUUUCUGCUCAAAUUAAUUUCUCUGUGGUGCUGAGAUUCAUCAUAAUUUUAGUAGAAAUUGGAAGUUUUCAUCAUUUUUGCUUUAAGUCUCUCCUCCACUCACUAAUAAAGAUUACUCAAGUGAGUUUACAAAACAUUUUUUUUCUACUCUCUCCUGAAGACUACACAUCUUCUCAAAAGAUUAGAUCACUUCACAUCUUGUAUAUGUGAAAACUAAUGCAAAAAGUUGAAACUUUAUCAUAAAACCUCGACAAAAAUUAGCUCUACUUAGAACAUUAAAUUUGGAUUCGUUGAUUUAAAUGGCAAUUUGACACUUCAUAGAAAUUUUUACAUACAUGUGUUAGUGUUUGAUCACUUCACUUAUUACUUACUAUAUUUAUUCCAUGAUUCUCCCUCAAGUUAUGUAAAUAUUAUUAUCAAACAUUUCAAUUCAUUUGUGAUAUUUCUUGUCCAUCUUUCAAUGUACCCUGAAAUCCAUUAGCCACAUAUGAUGACCAAAAUCCACACUCUGUUGUUUGCAAACGUUCAAUAUACGACUUGCAUCCACAGUCCUGACCCAAAUGAAAUGCGGAAACUGUCAAGCUAACUGUAGGGAGGACUAUAUUUGAUUUUACCUUAAAGACUGAUCCGAAACCACCUUCUCCAAGUUUAUUGUUGUUUGAAUAGUUUUUGGUUGCACAAACAACAGCGGCCAAGUCAAAUAAUGGCAAUUCCAGAUCUUCCUUUUGGCCGGGCUUCAGUUCUCCUGUGAAGUACGUAGUGAAGUAAAUAAUGUAGCAUGGAACCUUAGCUUAGAAACCAGAGAGGCAACAGCAAAAAUUUUCUAUAGAACUGAACCUACCUAUCUUAGAAAAUGAAGGGGCAGAAGAGUAGAAAAUCAAAUAGCUUACCAUAUUUUUGUUGCUGGUUCUUCCUCACAUAUAAUAGCAGGGUAAGGCCCAGGGUCAGCAGUCCAGUAGACAACACAGUACUGGUUACUAUGAUCUUUGUAUUGUGUCCUUGAUCUAGGAAUGAAGUAUUUGAAAGCAGAAGAUUGAGGAGUCAGAAAUUCAUAAAGAAAAAAUCUCUACUUUUUAUCAUCCAACGAACAAUUAAUGCUAGUUUCUGAGACAGUUCUAAAGAAAUAUUUUUCUAACAAUGUCAAAAGUUUUCUGGCUCUAUCUUGUUUCUAAUCAUGUCACUGUUGGAAGAUUUCUUUCUUCUUUUUUCCUUGGUGGCUUUUAUUUUUCUUUCAAACUUUGUUUUAAACAGCAAGAUGAUUCCAUACCUAGUUCUGACGAAGCCAUUCUUAUGUAAAUAUCUUGCCCAUUUAUAUUGGAAUAUCUUAUAUCAACCAGAUCGCUGAACCACAGCAAGGACCCCCUUCCUCCAUCUCGGAUAUCCAAAUUUGAAAAAGCGGCGCAGGAGCAGUUGUUCAUGCACAUCAUCUCACAUUCCUUGAGGUUCAUAAUUGUGUUAUACUAGGAUUGUUCUGUACUUUAUUUCACCCCAGUGUACUUCUUAAAGAUGUCUCCACUGCAAUUCAGUUGGCUCUUUCUCACAGAUCUAUAUGACCAAUCCACCAAGUCCCAGUCUUGUUGAAAGUCGGUAUAAAUCCUUUCAAGCAGCUACGUACUGGGGACUUGUCAAUACAACAUGCACCAUUCGGACCACAUAUUCCAUAUUUGUCGCAGAUAUCAGUCGUUGCUCUUAGAUAAACAACCCAACCUUGGUUUCCAUCACUCCCGAUGUAGCUCAGCCCAAAUCCAUCUUGAGUUAACGCCAGCCUGAAAAGAGUUGAGCUGUUGAGAAGCUUAUAACCAUAAUAUACUUCAUCAUCAUUAUCCAACACAAAAUCAUAUGUUGGAUUUAAAUUAUGCAUCCCACUAAAUUGGAUUCCAUUCCAUGGUGCAGUCCGAUAUUUUAUAACAGAACCCUCCCUCAGAAUUAAUUCAUGGUACCCAUAAGGACCAAGUUGAUAUGGGUAAUGUCCUUGAGAAGGAUCCUGGGGGCUUUUCCAGGGUGUAAGAUGCCAAUUAAAACCUGUGAUUUUGUUCCUAACAAGCUUCAUACCUGGUAUUAAUGUAUCUCCUGGGUAAUCAAAACUCUGCCAUAAAAUAUUAUCAGAGUCAUUACGACCAUUGCCAUCUAUCACAACAAGAUUUCCGGAAUCCAAAAUCUGUGCCACUGGAUUCUAUGAAGAACUUGAUGUGUUGGAAGACCUGUAGUGUUCUUUGUUGAAUAUUUGGAUUGCAAAGGGAGCAAGAAAUGUACUGAGAGAGAAAGAGAGAGAGAGAGAGAGAGAGAGAGAGAGAGAGAGAGCAGUGAGCCUUAGAUUGUUCUAACAGUUUUCUUACUCUGCAUGAACAUAGCAGCAGAGCUUAUAUUCCUUCAUGACUGUUACAUGUUCUCUCUUACAUCAGUAGAUUCAAAUCUAACGGUUUGUAAUAGUAAGCCAAUGUGAGUAUGACACAUGGCAAUACACAGCUGUCCUAACAGCUGGGAAUUCAAAACAGACUCUAGCAUUGCACCUGGCAUAUAAGCACAAGGCACUCAGCUAACACAAAGAUUAAAAACAGAUUGAAUAUAAACUGACAUAGAACUUACUAACUAAUCUGAAAUUAGCUAGACAGUUUACAUUUUAACACUCCCUUCUAAAGUGCUAGCUGAUUUCACUCCAAGCAUUCUCCUCAAAUAGUCAAACCUGUCUUUGGGAAGAGCUUUGGUGAAGAUAUCAGCAAUCUGCUCUUCUCCUUUGCAGUAGAGCAGUUCAAUCACUUCUUCUUGUAUUGCAUCUCUAAUAAAAUGAAACUUCCUUUUAAUAUGCUUGCUCCGUUGAUGAAAAACAGGAUUUUUAGCCAUUGCUAUGGCUGAAGUGUUGUCACAAAACACAGUUGUUGCAGUGGUCUGUUCUUCCCCAAAAUCUUCAAGAACAAACCUGAGCCAAAUGGCUUGUGAUGUAGCUUCUGCUGCACUCACAUACUCUGCCUCUGCAGUAGAGAGAGCCACACUGUGUUGUUUGACUGAUGCCCAUGAAAAAGCACCACUUCCAAAUGAAAAUGCAUAUCCAGAAGUGCUUUUCAUAUCUUCCUCAGAUCCACUCCAGUCACUGUCACAGUAACCAACUAAGAGUGCAGAUUUUCCUGUCACAUACUCAAUUCCAUAGUCAAUUGUGCCUUGUAUGUACCUUAGAACCCUUUUAGCUGCCCCAUAGUGCAUCUUAGAAGGGUUAUGCAUGAAUCUUGCAAGCAGGCAGGCAGAGAACAUGAUAUCUGGCCUGGUUGCAGUAAGGUACAGCAGGCUGCCUACAAUUUUUCUGAACAAACUUUCAUCUGCAGCAUCACUUCCAUCCUCUCUUUUCAAUUUAUCAGUAGCCACUAAUGGAGUGCUUACUGACUUGCAGUCUUUGAGUCCAAACUUAUCCAAGAGAGUGAGAGCAUACUUCUUUUGAUGAAUGAAGAUGCUCCCUUCAGUUUGUGUUACUCCCAUACCAAGAAAAUGGUGGAGUAAACCCAAAUCAGACAUCUCAUACUUGCACAUCAUUUCAGCUUUGAAUUCUUUCAUCAUUUCAUCUCUACUUCCUGUGUACACUACGUCAUCUACAUAGAUUGACACUAUUAGUGUUCCCACCUUCCUUUGUUCUCACAUAGAGAGUGGCUUCACUUGGACUUCUGUGAAAACCACACUGAUUCGAGUAGGUGUCAAUUUCACUAUACCAGGCCCUUGGAGCCUGCUUCAACCCAUAGAGGGCUUUUCUUAACCUAUACACCUUAUCCUCAUCAUCUUUAACCACAAAACCAUCCGGUUGAUCAAUAUAAACUUCUUCUUCAAGGACACCAUUUAGGAAGGCUGACUUGACAUCCAAUUGCCAUAGUUUCCAGCCUUUCUGAGCAGCAAGAGCUAUGAGAGUUCUAAUGGUGUCUAACCUUGCUACAGGAGCAAAGGUUUCAUUGAAAUCAAUCCCUGGUUUUUGUGUGUAUCCCUUGGCAACAAGUCUUGCUUUAUGUUUUUGAAUGGAGCCAUCAAGAUUAAGCUUAAUUUUGAAUAUCCACUUCACUCCCACAAUUGGUUUACUACUUGGCCUGUCAACCAAUUCCCAACUGGAGUUUUUCUCUAUCAUAAGUAUCUCCUCAGUCAUAGCCUUCCCCCAAGCUUCAUCUUUGACUGCUUCUUCAAAAUUUUCAGGUUCAAUGAUGCUCAUCUUGCAUUGAGCAUACACUUCACUCAAACUCUUCCAUUUCUUUGGGGUGUUAUCAUAAGUUUCUAAUGGAGCAGAGUCUUGAGUAGCAUGCACAUCAUUACUUGUUUGUGUUUCCAUAGGAGACUGUACAAUCUGUUGCUGUAACAGAUUUGGUUAUGAAUCCAAAUCUGAUACAAUUGAACUUACUCCAUCACCCCAAGACAUAGGGAUUUGCAAUGCCUCAUUGGUUUCCCAAUUCCACAUUGCUUCUUCAUCAAAAAUAACACUCCUAGACAGCUCAAUCUUUUGAGUUCUCAAGUUGAGCACUCUAUACCCCUUUUCACAUACACCAUAUCUUACAAAUACUCCCUUCUCACCUGUGUCUUCCAGCUUGUGCCUUUUCUGUGUGGGGAUGUGAAUAUAGCAUAGAGAACCAAAUAUUCUCAAAUGCUUGACACCUGGUUUUCUUCCACCGAACUUUUCAAAUGGAGUGGAAUUGUCCAGUGCACUUGUAGGACAUCUGUUCUGCAAAUAUACAGCUGUAUUGACAGCUUCUGCCCAAAACUUCAAAGGGAUUUUCUUCUCAUACAUCAUGGCUCUUGCCAUUUCCAUCACAGUACGAUUCUUUCUCUCUGUAACUCCAUUCUGUUGUGGAGAGUAGCCUACUGNNNNNNNNNNNNNNNNNNNNNNNNNNNNNNNNNNNNNNNNNNNNNNNNNNNNNNNNNNNNNNNNNNNNNNNNNNNNNNNNNNNNNNNNNNNNNNNNNNNNNNNNNNNNNNNNNNNNNNNNNNNNNNNNNNNNNNNNNNNNNNNNNNNNNNNNNNNNNNNNNNNNNNNNNNNNNNNNNNNNNNNNNNNGGUGUGGUCAUCAAUGAAGGUGAGGAAAUAUCUGUUCCCUCCAAGAGUGAUGGUCUGCAUUGGACCACAAAUGUCUGAGUGAAUCAGUUCUAGAGGUUGAGUGGCUCUCCAAGCUCCUUCCUUAUCAAAAGAGCUUCUGUGAUUCUUGCUUUCAGCACAACCUGAGCAGACCUUCUCAUGUUCUUGUAAAUUAGGCAUUCCCUGAACCAUAUCUCUCUCUUGUAACAACUUCAAACUAAUAUAGUUUAGGUGCCCAAAUCUUCUGUGCCACAGCCAGGAUGUUUCUCCAACUGUUGCUCUGUUUGCCAUAGGAGGAUUAACAUAGUCAAGAUUUAAAGGAAAACAUUUGUUUCCCUUCAUUGGCACUCUUGCAAUGCAAUCUUCCAACUGCCUAUCUCCAUAGAUAUCAACUGCAUUAUCACCAAAUACAAGCCAAUGCCCAUGUUCUAUCAUUUGACCUACACUUAGCAAAUUUUCAUCUAAACUUGGUACAAUCAUGAUUUCUUUGAUAUAUCUAGUCACACCCUUCAUUUCUAUAGCCAAAGUCCCUUUGCCUAUUAACUGCACUAGAUCACCAGUCCCCAUUUUGACUUUACUCUUCAUACUUUUAUCAACAUUUACAAGUAAUGACUCAUGGGAAGUCAUGUGAUUGCUGCAUGCACUAUCAACAUACCACAUAUUCACAUUCUUUCCAAUUGUUGCAGCAUGACAUGCAUAGAACAUAAUGGCAGGUUCAGUUACCUGAUUUGCAAUGUUAGCAAGUUUCCCUGCCUUGUUUGCUUGGUCACAGUCCUUAACAAAAUGACCAAAUCGAUUGCAGCCAUGACACUUUGGUUUUCCUUUAAACCAACACUCACCAUAGUGUAACUUCUCACAAUGUUUGCAUUUUCCAGAUUUGUCUCCUUGACUUGGUUUUCCCCCUUGAUUGGCACUGUUUUGGGGUUUAGAAUCCCAUUUCUUAUCCUUGGACUUCCAAUUCUUCUUUGAUUUAUUAGAGCCAGAACUAGAACUUGAUUGAGAUCCUUUUGAGUUUAUGCUCAUGCUGCUGAAAGCUUUCUCAGUGGUGCUUUCUGCAUGUCUGUCAAGGCGCUGAGCAAAACCUCUUAAUGCUGCAAUUACCUCCUGCACUUCAAUGGUUUCAAUGUCUCUAGUUUGCUCAAUCACAUAGCAGACUGGAUCAAAUUCCUUGGUUAAGCUUAUUAGCAGUUUUUGAACUAUCCUCCCUUUGGUCAGAUCUUCCCCAUAUCCCUUCAUCUGAUUUACAAGCUCAAGUAACCGAGUGAUGUAUCCAGACAAGAUCUCAUCAUCCUUCAUCCUGGUGUACUCAAAAUCUCGACGCAGACCCUGCAACAUGAUGGAUCUGACUUGCUUAUCACCAUGAAACUCCUGAUGCAAGAUAUCCCAAACACCUUUUGAGGUUUCUUCAUUUGAGAUUCUGGGAAAGAUGUCAUCUGAAACAGCACCUUGGAUAAUACCAAGAGCCUUAGCAUCUUUCAUCAACAAGGACACCAUCUCUGAAUCUGAUGACCCUUCUUUAUCAGCUUUUGAAUCUGGAACUUGAAGGCCUUUCUCAACCAAAUUCCAGAUUCCAUGAGAUUUGAAAAUUGUUCUCAUUCGAAUCUUCCAAAACUCAUAGUUCUCCCCAUUGAAUAUUGGAGCUCUAAGAUCACUCCCUCCUGACCCAGCCAUCUGAGACCAGACUCAAUGAGUUGAGAGUAGGAAAUUUCCCGUUGGAUUUCCAGACUCAGCUCCCACAGCUUCAACGCCCUCUAUCCAGAUCCAACCUGCGCACCUGAUACCAUGUUGAAUAUUUGGAUUGCAAAGGGAGCAAGAAAUGUACUGAGAGAGAGAGAGAGAGAGAGAGAGAGAGAGAGAGAGCAGUGAGCCUUAGAUUGUUCUAACAGUUUUCUUACUCUGCAUGAACAUAGCAGCAGAGCUUAUAUUCCUUCAUGACUGUUACAUGUUCUCUCUUACAUCAGUAGAUUCAAAUCUAACGGUUUGUAAUAGUAAGCCAAUGUGAGUAUGACACAUGGCAAUACACAGCUGUCCUAACAGCUGGGAAUUCAAAACAGACUCUAGCAUUGCACCUGGCAUAUAAGCACAAGGCACUCAGCUAACACAAAGAUUAAAAACAGAUUGAAUAUAAACUGACAUAGAACUUACUAACUAAUCUGAAAUUAGCUAGACAGUUCACAUUUUAACAUUCUUAUGGUCGGCAGGGACAAGAAUUCCAGGGCUGCUCAACUUGAAUACACCUGAUGAACCAGUGAGGGGUGUGUUUCUUUUAGUCUGCACUAUAUAUGCAGGGUCUGACUCUAAUUAGAAGAUAAUUGUAUUAAUUUGGUAAAGCUUUGUCUGUAACUGUCUCGCACCUUAAAAAAAUUUCACAAUUAGCAGCAUUGGCAAUACUUGAUUAGAAAGCAGAAACCCUACAGUAUAUAGUUAAGUUGAGUAGCUGGGAAGACAAUUAGUAAGCUUUCAAUACUAAAGUUGAAUAUUGGGGAGACAAAUUACUAGAGCUUCAAGUUCAGAUAAAUAGGAUGAAUUUCUCUUAAGGGAUCCCCUUUCACUGUAGCUUGGAGUAGAAUUCAUUUUGACACAAUAUCAAUUAUCAAUGUAAACACGUUACUGAUGCACUAUUGACAAUAUCGAUGCACGUCAUAUCAUAUUUGUGGGAGUAAAUUUCCUCACGAGAAUAUUUGGUUCAAAAGAUUCCCCUUUUUUUUUUUUUUGCCGCCUCUUUCUCCUUGCAAAAUAGAACAAAUAAGAGGACCACACCCGGGGGGUGUUGGCCAAAGGCCCUCCGAUGCUAAAUUAGUUCAAGUAUUUGUAAGAAAAAUACUAGCUAACUAGGGUACAGAGGUGUAUUUAAGGUGUAAACCGGGCAGCCGAAGUCUUAUGUAAAAGAGAGAGAGAAAGGAGGUGGCUAGCGUUUGAGAGGAAUUUUCUGCAGAGUUUUUAGUAGAGAUUUCAGACGUACCUCAACCAUUGUGUGUGGCCAUCUUUUUAUAGUGGUCUUGGAGGCUAGGGUUUCAGAGGAAUAAUUCCGUAGAUGGAAAGGAAUUAUUCCUCCCCUAUUUGGAAUUGAUUUGAUUAAUUAGGGAUUUGAUUUAUUAGGGUAAAUCAAAUCCCUAAUUGUGGUAGGUAUCAAAUCAAAUCCUUUUUUAAUUAGGUAACUCCUCAUUUAAUUGGGAAUUGUGGUAGGAAUCAAAUCAAUUCUCAACCUAAUUAGGUAACGUUCAAUUUAAUUGGGUAAUUCCCAAUUAAAUUGAGUAACUCCCAAUUAGGUUGAUUAAUUCCCAAUUAGAUCAAAUAAUCCCCUAAUUGAAGGAAUUAUUUGACCUAGGGUCUGAUUUAAUUCGAUUCCCACAAAUGCCCCCCAGCUUCUGCAUGGUGCAUGGUGGCACGUAGGAGAUGUAAAUUAUCUGUUGGGCUGUCCAGCUGUAACUGGGCUUCCUUCGUGGACCUGGGCUCCCGAGUAGAGGAGGUGUUUGACUUGCCAAUUUUAUGAACACCCAAUUGGAAAGGGUUUGAGAUUCCUUGUAGGUCAAGGAAUUUUGCUCCUUAUAAAUGUAGGGCUCCUCCAAAUUAUUCUCGACAUCAGAAAUCUACUCCUCCAAAUUUGUUAGUGAGAGAGAGAAGACUUUGGAGAAUUUUUCAGCGUGCUUGAGACUUCAUCUUUGCAGCCCAUCCAAGGUAAUUUGAUAGGAAGAAUUUUAUUUUGAGUUGCUAUGACUUUUGGCAGCAAGCUGUGAGACUAAGGGCAUGUCUUGAGGUGCGCGCUAGGGCUUUAGGCAUGGCAAGAGACUCGGAAAGGCUAGCAGGUUCGUUUCCACCUACGCUGGGCUCAAGGAGAAGGCAACAGGGCUUCAGGCCUUGUGGAUGAAGUGGGCUUUCGCUGGGAGCAAGAGGCCUGGAGCUGAGGCAAGGAGACAAUGGGCCUGGUACGAGGUGUGGGCUGAGCAUGCCAGCUUUGGAGCAAGGGGGCCAGGACGACUGCUGGGCAGGAGGUGCGCUGGGCUGCAUGCGCGAGCUGCGCCGAGUGCUGGCUGGAGGAGCGAGCUGGGCUGCGCGCUAGGCCAUUCAUGCUGGGCUACUUCCGUUUUUUUUUUGUUUUUUUUUAAAUUUUAUUUGCUGUUGCUGCUUUUUUUUUUGUUUUUUUGUUUUUUUUUUGUUUGGUAUUCUAACUCGUAAUUUUUUUUUUCUUCUUACAGCUACUUGUUGAUCAACCAUGUCUUCCGGAGAUGGUAGCAAGGCUCCAAGCUCUUAGGUCCUUUUGUAUUUAUGGGGAGGCUCCAUAGUGCAUGGCAAGAAGUUUGUGGUCAACUUGCAUCGCGUCACGACUUAUGCUCAGUUCCAGAAGUGGCGGGCCACUUAUGCGUCUGCCAUUCCAGAUGACGUGCUGGUCAAGCUAUUGAAAUCUCAAACUGAUAACGAGCCUUUGGUGGACGUGAGUGAUCAUGAUGCUAGGAUCAUUACCUUCCGUCCUUUUUACUUCUCUUUAGGCUUCAAAUUCCCGUUGUCAAAGCUCUUCAAGAAGGUGUUCUGUGCCAUGGGGUGUGCUCCGAGCCACUGUACUCAUGUGCUUCAAGAAUUUGAGUCGUUUCUUCAUGUUGGAGCUGACGAUGCGAGAGUUCUUUUAUUUUUUUCGAAGUGAGGCACUUUGAGCGGUACGCCCAAGUUCGUAUCUACAAGGCCAAGCUGUUCCACGGUCUCAGUCAAGGAGAUCACGCUUGACAUGAAGAUGUGUUGGAGGUCAGCAGACGGUGGGAGGGUGACGUCGGUGACGGCCCACCUGUUCCCAUCACCUAUUGUGAUGGUAUGUCUCUUUACGAUUUUUGAUAUGCUCCUUUUAUUUGAAUUUCUUGAAGUGUGGCAGACUAACUUCUAUCUUCUGCUCGUAGUGAGUGACAUUAGCAAGCAAUUGGAGCUCCGACCAGACAUGGCUAAGGUCCGUCGUGCUUUGAACAUCCCUCUAAGGUUUCACGAGUGGCGCUGGCUGUUGAGUGAGUACCGGGAGGAAGACGGUGGUUUUCUCCUUGCCGAGGAUGUCGAAAGGUGGAAGCAGAACGAUCCUGACCCUGAUGAUCUGCUUGGCAGACAGGAAGAAUGUUCUGCUUAAUCGCUCUUAAAGAGAAAGGCUGCUGCCAAAUCUUUGAGAUGUGAAGCUACUUCUUCGCAUGCAAAGGAUGGGUCUCCAUCGAGGAAGAAACCAAGGCUCCCUUCUGCUGAGAAGACUCAAGUGGGGUCUGCUCCCUCAUCAUCUGCCAGGGUUAAGCAUCUCGUGGGUGCAGAUAGCAAGAAGGUUGGUGGUAUGCAUGGUACUCGGGGUGUUCUGCCCAAGCUUCCUGCUGACACGCUCGAAAACCAUGAUAUACUUCGUGAAGUGGCUCGUGCCCAACCUAGUUCUGCCAAGCGUCAAAGAGAUGUAGACAUUCCUCCUAGAAGUUCGAGUUGUCUGCAUCGGUCAAAAGAUGGAGACCGAAGCGGGAGGUCUGCUUAUGAUCCAGCAUUAUUGACUCAUUUGGAGAUGAGGUUGGCGAAGGCUAAGAAGGUGAAAGAGUCAUCUGCCCGGGUUAAGGGUUCUUCCUCGGCGUUGGUAGUUGGUCCCAAGAUGAACAAGUCUAGCUCUGUAGGGGAUGCAUGCGUAUCUGAUCUGCUCAAGAUGAACUUCCUAUCAAACCCGUCCUCUUGUGUUGAGUUGGUUGAUCACAUCCCUCAAGCGGGCGAUCUAGGCACUUUCUCGUGCCUUUCCUUAGAAAAAUGAAGGAAAAUGACAUUCCAUCUGAUUCAAAAAGGACUGGUUUUUGCUACUGAGACUAUUUGGAACUCAUCUGCUAUUGCCCCUCUUCUGUCCAACUCAGCGAGUUGGAGAAGAAGAAUGCUGAUUGGCUAGACAGCUUUCCGCCGAGCAGGCCCGUUACGAGAAGAAGAUGUCUGAUUUGAGGGCGAUGAUAUCUGAGCUGAAAAGCUCCCUUACCGAGAAGGAUUUCGAGCUCAACUCUUCUGCUGCUGAUUUGGCUAGUCGAAAAGAUACCUUCUUUCGUCUUGAGCAUAAGAAUGCUGACAUCUUCCUUAGCUAUAACAAACUCCUGGCUAGAUUUCAUGCCUACCAUAAGUCUGCUAAAGAAUCCAAGACAGAUGGAGCUGCUGAAGGCGUAGCCGGUCAGGUGGAUGCCGAAGAGGCUGCAGCUUAAAAGUCUUCUGCUGGCGUCUCAGAGUAGAUGAAGACUCUUUUUUGUUUCUUUUCAGCUUUUGUAGUUUGCUUUAUUGUUUAGAAUAACUGGUCUUAUUUGACCAUCUUCUUUUUGUUGAACUUGGCUGGUUGGUCUGUUUGUUAGGGAAAUUUCAGUUACAUUUUCCAACUUCAAUUUGCAUAUUUGACUUGUGAACUGCUUAAGUAACCAGCCUGUGUUUUGAUUGCACAUCCCCCUUUAGAGAUUUGUGAGUACCAGGGUCCCCCUUGGAGGACUCCGGCCAUGCACAGUAUAUCUCGUAGGAUGGUUCCCCUUAGGAAGUUGGCGAGUACCAGGGUCCUCUUUGAGAGACUCCGGGUGUGUUCUGCACAUCCCGUAUGAUGCCUUAAUCGUCGCCUUGCUUCUCCCGUAGGACGCUGCUUAUAGGCAACUAUAUGACUAUCCUGCCUUUCUUAGGAAACGGAUAGGAACCUGGAUAUUUCCCGCAUGAAGCAUGGAGACCUCCUUUUAAGAAAUUUUUGGUGCACCAUGCUUCUCCCUUAGGACGCUUUUUUCGCAGGCUGGGUCUCCAAAUGGACGCUUUUAGUCGUUGCCCUGCGUCUCCCUUAGGACGCUCCUUAUGGGCAACUGUGUGACUAUCCUGCCUCCCUUAGGAAAUGGAUAAGACUUGAAUAUUUCCCGCAGUAAGCAUGGCGACCCCCUUUUAAGAAACUCCUGGCGUACCCUGCAUCUCCCUUAGGAUGCUUUUUAAGAGGGCUGCUUCUCCAAACGGACGCUUUUAGUCGUUGCCUAUGUCUCCCCUAGGAUGCUCCUUAUGGGCAACUGUGUGACUAUCCUGCCUCCCUUAGGAAACAGAUAGGAAACUAGAUAUCUCCCUUAGGAAAUUCCUAGCGCACCUUGCGUCUCCCGAAGGACGCUUUUUUAGCUGGCUACGUCCCGAAACGGACACUUUUAGUCGUCGCCCUGCGUCUCCCUUAGAAUGCGCCUUAUAGGCAACUGUGUGACUAUCCUGCCUCCCUUAGGAAACGGAUAGGAACCUGGAUAUCUCUCUUAGGAAAUUCCUGGGGCACCUUGCGUCUCCCGAAGGACGCUGCUUAUGGGAAAAUAUUGUGUUUCGUGGGCAGAUGAGACAUUUUGGAAUGAGAAACUGAACUUAUAUUGAUAUUCAUAAGAUUACAGUCCUUUAUUUGAAAAUGGAAAUAACUUGGUUCAAAAACUUAGAACUUCUAGCAGCUACGAGGAAGCACUAUGGAUAAUACUUUCGGAGAUGGUGAGCAUUCCAUUGUCGUGGUAUUUCCUUCCUAUCCAUGGUGUCCAGUGUGUUGCUUCCUCUGCCCCGGACCUGCUGAUCACAUAAACGCCCUCCCAGUUAGGAUUCACUUUUUUUGACCCGUGUCUUGGUGCAGUAAUGAAAGCCUUAGCACGAGGUCGCCUGGUUGAAACUGUUUGACCUUAGCUCUUUUGUCGUAGUAAGACUUCAACUGCUAGUGAUAGGAGGCGACCCGAAUAAUGGUCUUCUCACGCCUGCCCUCAAGUAAGUUGAGGUUGAGCCUCAUCUGCUCGGAGUUCUGAUCAACACUGCCUACCUUAAGACUUAUAGAGAGGACAGUGAUGUGAGGUGGUAUGAUCACUUCUGUUCCAUAGGCGAGAGAGAAUGGGGUUUCACCAGUCGAUCUUCGCUUGGUGGUGUGAUAAACCCAUGGUACUCUGGGGAGUUCAUCCACUCAUUUCCCUUCAGCGCCUUCCAGCCUUUUCUUUAAGCAGUCCAAUAUGACUUUGUUGGAUGCCUUGGCUUGUCCAUUUCCUUGUGGAUACCUCGGGGUGGACAAGUGUUGUUUGAUCUUGUAUUUCACAAAAAAAGCGGUGAUCUGCUUGCCAAUGAACUGUGAGCCAUUGUCGGUAACCAACGACUGUGGGCAGCCAAACCGGCAUAUGAUGUUUCUCCAGAUGAAUCACUCCACAUCGGCUUCUUUAGUAAAUGAUAGAGCUUCGGCCUCGAUUCAUUUAGUAAAGUAGUCGGUGGGGACGAUCAUCAUUUCUUUCUUGGCGGGCGCUAGUGGCAAGGGAUCCACUAGGUCGAUGGCCCAUUGCAUGAACAGCCAUGGACUGUUUUGCGGAUGAUAGACUUCGGCAGGCAAGUUAGGGAUCGGCUUGUAUUGCUGACAGCGUCACAUUUCUUGGCACAUUCAGCACAGUCGUGACGUAUGGUAGGCCAGAAGUAGCCUAUGUUUAGAACUUUCUGGGCGAGUGACCUGCCCCAGAAUGGUUGCCAUACUCGUCGUCGUGAAUUUUACAGAUAAUCUCAAGUGUUUGAUGGUACUUUAUGCAGGUGAGAUGAAGGCCGGAGUAUGAUCUGUGGAUGAGCUUGUUGCCGUGCAUGUAGUAUCUCUCGGCCUUUUGCUGGACUUUUCUAGCUUCGGACUUGUCCGUUGGCAGGUUUCCAUUCGUGAAAUAGUCGAUGAUGAGGUCUUGCUAGCUGGGGUCCUCGUCAAUCUGCAUGGUAUUAAUCGGCUCUAUUUCUUCAAUGCUUGGUCGGUCAAGGUGUUCGACCUAGAUGGAGUGUUUGAACUGGGUAUCCAGCGUUGAACCUUGGCUUGCCAGUGCGUCUGCAUGCGCGUUCUUUGCCCGGGACACUUGUUGGAUAGUGAAGGUAGGAAAUGCCUUCAACAGCUCUUGGACUCUAUCAAGGUAUAAGAUCAUCCUUGGGUGCUUUGCCAUAUAUUCACCUGAGGCUUGAUUCGUGAUCAACUGUGAGUUUGAGUAGAUGGCUAGCUUUUUGAUUGCGAGCUCCUUUGCCAAGCGUAAGUCGGCGAGUAAUGCCUCGUAUUCUACCUCGUUGUUCGAGACCGAGAAGCCAAGCGUAAUAGCUUGCUCUAACAGGGUUCUAUCCAGGGUGGUGAUAACGACCCCUGCUCCAGCUCCUUUUUGGUUCGACGCUCCGUCUACACGCAACUGCCACAUGUCUCUGGGAUGGCUUGGUUCUGCGGAGGUCCUGUCUGCUUUUGAACUUCCCUCCUUUUGGUUGACUAACUUCUCUUUUUUGGCUGAUGGGGUGAAUUCUGCGACGAAGUAUGCUAAAGCCUGGGCUUUUAUUGCAGUUUUUGGCCCGUAGAGGAGGUCAUAUUGGCUUAGCUCUAUAGCCCACUUCAUGAGUCGCUGAGAAGCAUCAGGGCUGUGGAGGAUUGAUCUCAAAAGAAAGUCAGUCAUGACUAUGACUCGAUGAGCUUAGUAGUAGGGUCGCAGCUUUCUCGCAGAAACUACAAGAGCCAAAAUAAGUUUCUCCAAUUUCGGGUAACGAGUCUCUGCAUCGAGGAGAGCUUUUGACGUGUAGAAUACCGGAUAUUGGGCCCCUAUCUCUUCUCGGAUGAGAGCUGAACUGACAGCUGAGUUGGACUUACCUCACUAGGGACUGGAUUUGAGAGCAUGGAAGGUGAGGUGAGGUAAGUCUUCAGAUUAUGGAAAGCUACUUUGCAGUCCUCAUCCCAUUUCUCUCUUUGUCCUUUCUUCAAAGCUUUGAAGAGUGGUCUGCACUUGUCGGUUGAUCUCGAGAGGAAUCGGUUGAGAACCGCUGCUUUGUCCGUCAGACUUUAUAUCUCUUUCACCGUGGAAGGCGACUUCAUCUCUAGAAUGGCUUUGAUUUGACGUGGAUGUGCCUCGACACCUCGUUGCGUGGCUAGGUAUCCCAAGAAUCGGCCGGAGGAUACACCAAACAGGCAUUUACUUGGAUUCAACUUCAUGCGAUACUGGCGGAGCAAGCUGAAUGAUUGGGUAAGACUUCCGAUGUGAUCUGCACGUUUUGGGGCUUUGACCAGCAUGUCAUCCACGUAGACCUUCAUAGUUUUGCCGAUCUGCUUAUUGAAGAUUUUAUUCCCGAGCCUUUGAUAGGUUGCUUUGGCGUUCUUCAGCCCAAAGGGCAUGACCUUAUAGCAGCAGGUCCCUCUCUCGAUGAUGAAAAAAGUUUUUGCCUUGUCAUCCUCGUGCAUCAGGAUUUGUUUAUAGCUGGACUAGGCGUCCAUGAAGCUAAGCAGUUGAUUGCCAGAAGUGGAAUCCACGAGUUGGUCGAUUCUCGGCAAUGAGAAGUUGUCUUUAGGGCAUGCUUUGUUGAGGUCUGUGUAAUCGACACAAACUCUCCAUUUGCCAUUUUCUUGUUUUGCCACCAAAACAACGUUGGCAAGCCACUCUGAGUAGGAGGCCUCUUCGAUGAAGCCGACAGCUAGGAGUUUGUCAAUCUCGGCCUCGAUGAUAGCAAGUCGCUGGGGUGCGAAGUUGCGUCUCUUCUGCGCCACUGGCUUGCAGGCAGGGUUGAAGUGGAGUCAGUGACAGAUGAUGUUCUUGUCGAUGCCAGACUUGUCUGACGGCAACCAUGCGAACAUGUCUCUGUUGCUCUGGAGGAAGGUGGUAAGCUCCACAUUCUCUUCUGGCCUUAGGCGCGAACCGAUCCACUCUUUCCUAUCUGGUUGGUCAGGAUCCAAGGGUAUUAACUCGACGUCCUCCUUGGGUUUCCAUCCUUCUUCAGGAAAGACCUAUGGACGGAUUUCCUCGACUUGGUCCUGACGCUUUAAUUGCUAUAAGAUAGCAAGAUCCAGUUGCUCAACCUCCUCCAGAUCUGCCUGGCUCACAGGGAGAAACUGCGCUUGUUUACCUUUCUUUAGCCCUUGGGCGGAGCAUUUCCUCGCCAUUGCCUAAUCGUUGUUGAUUUGGCCGACACCGCCCCCAAGGAUUGGGUACCGAAUUUUCUAAUGUGUGGCGGAGGUGAUUGCAUUAAUUUUGCCAAUCGAUGGUCUGCCCAGAAUGCCGUUGUAGGGUAAGACCUUAUUAAUGACCAUGAAGGUUAUGAGCUGAUUAUAAGUGGGGAGUAGACGUCGAGGUCUAUCAUGCCCACGGUAACCGUUGUUGCACCAUUAAAAUCGCUCAGCAACCUAGCUAAUUUGUAAAUCUUUGUCUCCAAUCCCAUCUGUUGAAUGACCUCCAGUUGCAGGAUAUUGGCUGCGCUGCCCUCGUCUGUGUGGAUUCAGUCUACCAUGACCUGAGCAAUUUGAAUGCUGAUGACAAGGGCUUCGUUAUGUGGCAUGUAGAGGCCGAUCAGAUCUUUCUUUUGGAAGCCGAUUACAGGAUCGUCUUCUGCUGGUGGAAGGUCGGUCGAGAUUUGGGAGAUCACAGUGGUCUGUUUGAUCUUCCUCUUUUUUUCCUUUCUGGUCAGCCCAGACUCCUCGGAGUCAGCUAGGAUUGUGUUAAUUCUUAUGACCUUCUGAGGCGGCUCCUUGGCGAUGUCACGAUCUUCUAUCCGCUGGAUGACCUUCUUUGCAAUGAAUUCUGUGCAGUGACCUUCUCUCACGAGUUCUUCAAGAUGUGCUUUCCAAGCGAAGCAGUUGUUCAUAGUGUGUCCGUGCAUUUCAUGGACGGCACAGUAUUUGCUAGUAUUCCUUUUGUCCGGAUCUUCUUUCAAGGGUGGUGGUCUUCUUACCCAAGGUUGUUCUUCACUUGGGCUAAGAUUUGAUGUAUGGAGAUGGUGAACUUGGUGUAGUUCUCUCCUGCCGUAGCAUCCCCUUAUGGGUGCGACCUGCGCUUGUCCUUGUCCCUGUUGCUAAAUCCGUCGCUUCUUUGGCCUGCCCCCUUAGUCGGCUGAUCUUCCUGCUUAGUAGAGUUCUUUGCGGCGAUUCGAUCGUCAUCCCAAAGCGCAUAGCUUUCCGCGGUCUCGUAGACCUCUGCCAAAGUUUGGCUGGGAGUGAUGGUCAGCUCGUGGUACAAGUCGUGCUCAGUCGAAAGGUCUUUCUUGAAAGCAGAGGACGCAAUUUGGUCAUCACAUCCUACAAUGUUGGCCUUUUCUACUUUGAAUCUCUUGAUGUAAUCUCUAAAGGAUUCGUCGAACUUCUUGCGCAGGUUAUACAGGUGGUCAGGGUUCUUCUUGAUUGUUCGGUAAGAGGUGUAUUCUUUGGUGAAUAAGUAAGUCAGCUCCUUGAAGCUGCUGAUCGACCUGGAUGGCAGAGUAUGGAACGAGUCUUGGGCUUCCUCACAAGGUCAUUGCAAACACCUUGCACAUCAGCGCGUCGUCAACCUUGUGGAGGAUCAUGACACUUUUGAAGUGUUUUAGAUGGCUCUCAGGAUCGGAAUCCCCCUUGAAGUGUGUGAAUGUGGGCGUUGAGAAUCGCUUCAGGAGAGCAGCCUGCUCGAUUUUGGCAGUGAAAGGUGUAGAGUAUGCCUGGUCUACCUCAUUUCGUACAUCUUCGAAAUUUCCACCGGUCUUCAAGUCUCGAAGUUGGUCAUUCACAAGCUUCUCUACGUCUUCCGCACACAUUGCUUGUCGGCCACAUUGGCGACCUUCACGAAUUGUUCGAUGCUGACUGACUUCCUCGUUGAUUUCCGAGGAUCGACCUUCUUGUCUGCAUUGCCUAGGUGGAGUGUUGGUGGAUUGCGCCUACGAAAGAUUCUCUGUGGCUUGUCAAUGAGAAUCGGUUCUUCGAGAGUGAGUAACGAAGUGCCUUUCCUCAUGGUCCUUAUUGUGAGGGUUAUCCAGCUGACCUCCCUGGGGCCUAGCCUUUCCUGAAUGCUUCUCUGCGAGUAGACAGUUGAAUGCUUUUCUUCACGAUCCUCGUUGUGAUGGUUGUUUGGCUGACCUCCUUAGGGUCUUAGCCUUUGAUGUACAUUUCCCUGCCUGCCCAAGUAGGUGCGGACGUCGAGUCGUGGGCCCAGCCUUUCGUGCACGUCGUUCCUUAAACUCAAUCUGCUCUGAGUGUGGCUUGCAGAUGCUUGCGACAUGUCGGCAGGUCGAUCACGUUGUUGUCCCUCGACUUGUCUGCCCACUCUUGCUUGACCUGCUUGGUACUCGUUGAGCUGUCUACCGGCCCGUUCAUCCUUCCUUCUUUCCUCGCCUGGUUGUCCAAGGCCAAGGUUUUGAGCAAAGCUUAUUUGGUUGAGGAGCUGCCUCAUUAGAUUGUUUUGGUCGUCCAUUCUUUAAGCUAGCUGGUCAACUCUCAGAUUAAGGUCUGCUUGAUUUCAUGGAUCAGGAGGAGAGAAGUGUGUGGAGCUCAACUGCACAUAGGCUAGGGUUUCAUUAGAGGUGUAUGCGGGAGCGUGUGUCGAGCGUGGAGGCAAUAGAGGGAAUGCUUGGAGUUGCUCCAAGACCGGCCCUAGGUCGGCGGUGGUAACGAGUCCACCUUGAUGGGAAGUUCCACCAUGUUUGGCGGCAGUGACCGAUGCAGUGGUGAGAGGUGGUGGUGCCACCAUGUCGAUCGCGGGAUCGUUGGUGGAGUGGCUUUGGGCCGUCGCAAAUCUAGCCAUCAUGGCGGCUUUGCCUCUCGUGUUCAUGCUUCCAACCAUGGUUGUUUGGAAGGCUUAGGUGGAUUGGAAAAUUAGAGGAACGGAUUCCUUGAGCACGCAUUGAGUAUAACUCGUGCUCUCAAUGAAAGCACCAAUUUGUGGGAGCAAAUUUCCCCACGAGAAUAUUCGGUUCGAAAGAUUCCCCUUUCUUAUUCGCCGCCUCUUUCUCCUCGCAAAAUAGAACAAAUAAGAGGACCACACCCGAGGGGUGUUGGCCAAAGGCCCUCCGAUGCCUAAAUUAGUUCAAGUAUUUGUAAGAAAAACACUAGCUAACUAGGGUAUGGAGAUGUGUUUAAGGUGUAAACCGGGCGGCCGGAACCUUAUGUAAAAGAGAGAGAGAAAUGAGGUGGCUAGGGUUUGAGAGGAAUUUUCUGCAGAGUUUUUAGUAGAGAUUUCAGACGUACCUCAACCAUUGUGUGUGGCCAUCUUUUUAUAGUGGUCUUGGAGGCUAGAGUUUCAGAGAAAUAAUUUCGUAGAUGGAAAGGAAUUAUUCCUCCCCUAUUUAGAAUUGAUUUGAUUAAUUACGGAUUUGAUUUAUUAGGGUAAAUCAAAUCCCUAAUUGUGGUAAGUAUCAAAUCAAAUCCUUUUUUAAUUAGGUAACUGCUCAUUUAAUUGACAAUUGUGGUAGGAAUCAAAUCAAUUCUCAACCUAAUUGGUAACGUUCAAUUUAAUUGGGUAAUUCCCAAUUAAAUUGAGUAACUCCCAAUUAGGUUGAUUAAUUCACACUUAGAUCAAAUAAUCCCCAAAUGGAAAGAAUUAUUUGACCUAAGGUAUGAUUUAAUUCGAUUCCCACAAUAUUUAGAUGCAUAAUUGAAUGCGAAUAAACAUCACUCUCUCCAGUGUGAAAUGGCGAAAAUUCUCUUCAAUCAAAAGUGGGCUUACUUCAAAUUUAGUUGAAGAAUGAUGGUGUGUCUUGCCUGACAAUUGACAAUUAGGUUUAGGAGCGUUCCUCUAGUAGAAAAAUCUAAAUCAUUUGUGGUCAUCCACUCACUUGGUUAGUCUUCCAGAAUCAAAUACCAAAUCAACCCAAAGGAAGCUGCAAUUUUCUGAAUUGUAUACUUGUUUUAAUUCUUCCUAUCUUUUUCUCUCUUUCAUUUUUUUUGUCUCCCUCAAGUUAAUACUUAAGUGAGUUGCCAAAUGGGGGUAAAAAAGAGAGUAGAAGAGAUGAACCCCACAUUUGACUUUAAUAGACAAAUGCCCAAGAGAAGUACCAGUAAGAGCAUCUCCAAUUGGGAGGUGCUAUCCUAUAAUUUGACACACAUUUCUUUUUUCUUUUUUUUCAAUUCUAACAACAUGUCAUCUAUAUCGCAAUAGGCCGUUGUAGUUAAAUUUUCAAAUAACCAAGUUGCUCUCUAUUUUCCAAAGAAGACUAGAAAACAACUUACCAUCUAUCUGGUGCUGCUUCUUCCAAACAUUAGAAAAAACAGAGCUACACCCAGGAGGAGCCCAGGAGAUGACACAAUACUGCCUACUAUGAUUCUUACUUUCUUCACAUUCAAUGAGACUAUAAAAUAUAACCCAAGUGGUCUAACCCCCCAGGGCGGAAAUUGGGUUUAGCAAGUUUAGCACUGAUUGUUGUAUAGUCUUAAACAGUCCUGAUCUCUUGGACCCCUGUAGUCCAAGAGAUUUAUGGUCACCCACCGUUGGAUGUAAAUUCAACGGUUGACUUGAAUCGGGUAAUAAUAAUUUAUGUCAUAUUGCAUUUAUAUAUAUCAUUUUGAACCAUUGGAUUAAUAUCCAACGGUGGGUGACCACAAUCUCUUGGACUCCUGUGGUCCAAGAGAUCGGGACUGUAGUCUUAAAAUAAGUAGUUUAGCGAGUGCAAACUUCGACUUAAAAAAACUCUCAUGUAUAGCCGCGCGGCUAUACUAUUUACAUAUAAAUAUAUAAAAAAGCACCCCCUAGUCACGUGUCACAAAUAGUAUAGUCGAAAACAGUAGAGCCGCGCGGCUAUACUGUUUUUAAAAUAAAAAAAACCAUAUUCGAUUCUCCUUAUAUUUAAAAGGGGUAUAGCCGCAUGGCGAUACUAAUUUUUUUUUUUCAAAAAAAGGGACCCCAGUACUCCUUUUAUAUAUUAUAAUAUAUUGUCUAAUAUUUGGAAUAUUUACUCUAAAAUAAACAAUAUAUUAGGUUCUUUUUGUCUACAAAUUGACCAUUAAACUUCUUAAUCACUCUUAUACUUUCAAUUAAAUCUACUAGGCUAGGUUAUGAUAUUUUCACUAAAAAACUCCUCCUUUUUUUCUUCUCUUUCUCUUCCUGUUUUGUUUAACUUAAGCUUAAGUUUUGUAAUUUUUUUUCCCGCCCUUUUUACAUGUUUGAGUAGGGUACUUUAAUAUUGGGAUUUAUGAACUUUUUUUGUAUUUCUUCUUUAUAUUGGAAUAUAAAUUAUUAACUUUUGAGUCUUUAAUAGUGUAGAUGAUGAGAUUAUUAUUCAACCAUUUUAUAAUAUGAAAUGAAGGACAAUCAUGAUUGUGAUGAAUGGAUUAUUAAUCAAUAUGAAAUGAUAUUAUGAAGUGGGCUAAAUCGAGUAGUUAGUAUCGUAUUGUUGAGACCCAAAAAAUCCAAGGCUAGGCCCAAAUAUAUUAUGAAGUGGGCUAAAUCGAGUAGUUAGUAUCGUAUUGUUGAGACCCAAAAAAUUCAAGGCUAGGCCCAAAUAUAUUUCCGGUCCAAUGCGAUACCUUACCGAGAAGAAACCUUAUUUGGGCACGCGAAAGUUCGUCAUAUGCUCUUGCACACAUGCCAUGCCAAGCAAAUAAGCAACAUGCCACGCUACAAGCUUAAGUGGGCCCAAGCCACGUGAAUGCCUAGGGCCUGCUGAGUGGGUUGUGGUAUGGAUGGUUAUGAGUAUUCACGAGGCCCAUUGAUGGUCUAAGGAGUGGAAGUUUUGGGCUACUUGGGAGCACCAAAACUCAAGCCCAUUCAUUGAGCCCAAACAUAUGGGUAAGCAUGAGAUAAAACCUAGUAGCCCAUCACCUUAAGAAAUCCUAAUAGCCCAUAACAUGUGAGAAAAUCCCACAUCAACCAAAGCUUCCAGCAGUCUGACGAAAUCAAAGGGAACUCACAAGCCGUUGGAAACAAAACAACCCAACACUGUAACACCCCGACCCCAAAUUUCCCCAAAUUUAACCCUUAUUUAAUUAUUUAAGGGUAUUUUAGUCAUAUUUUUAACCGGAGAGAGUUUGGGGCAAUGACUAGUAUUUUUGGAUAGGUCGUACUGAGACGAGUUUAUGGACACGCAGUGAGCUCGAAUCGGAGUUGUAACGAGAGAGAUAUGGUCAAAAGAAGCCCAGUGGCACAAUCGUAAAUAUUUUGAAAUGAGAUUUUUUAUAAAAAUCUGGUUUUCUCUCUCUCUCUCUCUCUCUCUCUCUCUCUCUCUCUCUCUCUCUCUCUCUCGCUAGCGACCUCUCUCUCUCUCCCCCGUCGGUCUCUCCCCUCUUUCUCCUCGUAACUCCGGCCACCGGCCCCGGCUGUGGACGGGGCCGGUACCAAAAUGACCGAGGCGUCGUCCUCUUCCUACCCCAGCCACCUCCCACCGCCAGCCGUCGCGGAUUCGCCGGAAUCUGGAGAUGAAGCGGCCUACGUCGUCCAAAUUUCAAAGCUGCCGAUCUCCCUCCUCCGGCCACCAAUUCCGUCGACCCAGGUAUGGAUUUUGAACUUCUCGAGCUGCUCUAGCUGAUGGUUGGGUAGGAUUAGAUCGAUUCUUAGCUUAGACAACUCGAUUUUCAAAUUGAAAAUCGGCCGAACUUCGGCUGCCGUGAUCGGCCAUUUCCGGCCACUUUUUGGGGUAGGUCCAAGAACAAAAGUGGCUCCAAAUAGGGUGUUAUACCUAGGGUAGGAGUUUGGAGCCGUGGUUUUGAGAUUUUCCGGCGAAGCGUUAUCGCUUUGGGCACCCACGCGCUGCCGGUGCGUGCGGCGGCGCGUGGGCACUGUAGAAAAAGUAGCACUGUGUUCCGAUGAGAUCCUUAGGUUGUCACGAGUGCGUAGGAUUUUGCGGAUCUCAAUUCGGACGUCGUUUGACUAUCGAACGGAUAUUCGCAUAUUGCGCGUUAUUCGGGUUCGAUAGGUUGGGACCGUUGGAUGGACCCAAAUUUAAUAUAUGUUAAUCUAAUUAAUUCUAGGAUCGUGUAGGAAUUCACGGAUUGUGAAUCGGAGCCCCGGAUGUUCCGAAUAAUAAUUUUAAAGUUUGUAUUUUAUAUUAAUUGUCAGAUCGUGCGAUCGUGAGCAAUCUGACCGUUCGAUCUGAACCAAACUUGCAGGACAAGUGUCCUAUACCUUGUAGAACCCAUAGGGACCUUCGGAUCGGAAAUUGGAGGUCGUGGGUUCCGCAAGUCGGUUUGACCAGGGUUAGAGAAGUUUGACCCUUGGUUGACCGUGAGUCUCCCGGAGUAAUCUCACCUUUCUAGGGGAGAUUAUCGGGUACUAGAUGAUUGUGGACACAAUAUUAGAAUUAAUUUAUAUAAUUAUAAUUAUAUAUGGUUGUACAAGGGUACAACAGAGUCUAGAAUGUCAGUUUGGAGUGCUAUACGCACUACUUUAGGUACCUCCCCGGAUGUUGGGAUUUACUACAAGUACCACCAAGUGAAAUUGAGGUCCCGCGUGGCGUAGGUUAUCCAGCGUUGGGAUAGGUCUCAUACGUGGGGUUGGUUGUACCGGCGUAUGGGGAGAUUUGUGAUAUUAUGUUCAGGUCUCACGUGGCGUAGGUUAUCCGGCGUUGAGACAGGCCCCAUACGUGGUGUUGGUUGUACCAGCGUAUGGGGAGCUAUGUGAUAUUGUGUUGAGGUCGCACGUGGCGUAGGUUAUCGGGCGUGUCGACAGACCCCAUACGUGGCGUUGGUUGUACCGGCGUAUGGGGAGAUUUGUGAUAUGAAAUUGAGGUCCCACGUGGCGUAGGUUAUCCGGCGUUGGGACAGGCCCCAUACGUGGCGUUGGUUGUACCGGCGUAUGGGGAAAUAUGUGAUAUGAUGGCAUGGUCGCACGUGGCAUAGGUUAUUCGGCUUGUUGACAGGCCCCAUACGUGGCGUUGGUUGUACCGGCGUAUGGGGAGAUUAUUUGAAAUGCAGAGAAACGAAAUAUGGUAUCGCCCAAAUGUGGAAUUGGGUUUUAGGGAAGAACUACGUGUGGCUUGAUCCCUCAAGGAGGGUACGUAGGCAGCCUAAGGUUAAUAGGUGCAGCCGCAGACUAAAUGUUAGUCAUAAUUGAUAUUUGAAUUGUUUGGUAGUUGGUUAAGAAUUAUUGGAAGGCCGAAGGCCAUUUGUGUGAAUUGCAUGAAAUUAUAUUGUGCAUGCUGCCAGUUGGGAAUAUUAAAUGCGUUUUUAUGCAGGUAUAAAUUUUAGGAAAUGUCCAAUUUAUAGGGGAGACUCUGCCGAAUUUUCGGCAGGAAGUCUCAGUUUUUAGUAUCUGGGCCUGGCAUCGGGAGGAUGUCGGGAAUUCCAAAGGGUCGUCUCGAGUUCUGAAAAAUUCGGUGCGGGUCCUUUCAAACACCUUAUAAAAUAUCCAACGCCGUGCAUCUCUGUUAAAACCAGAUCACAGCCAAACCACCAAAACCAUGCAAACCCAUAUGCUGAUCACCAUUUUUACUAGCACCCUUACCCAUUCUUUCCUCUUCAAGCUUUGGUGAGAAAACAAGAAACAAAAGUGGGCGGAUCUUCACCCACAUGGAGAAAUCCAGCUGCCUGAGGGCCCUGGAACUCCAAAAAACUUCUUACCUACAUGCUCAGGCUAGGGAAGUUUCACCAAAUAAGCAAGAAUGGAAGAAAGUGAAGGAAAAGGGGAAAGGGUGGCUUGACGAAAUUAAGGUUUUCAGCACUUAUAAAAGGAAACACUUUCUAUCCAGCAAAAACAACUCACCCUGGUUGCUGCAAGCCUCCUAGCAACCAUGAGAAUUCAUUGAAGGCAAGCAUCCCCUUUGGAACCCUUCAAUUUCAUGCUUUGUUCUUCCAUCUUCCUCCUUUCUCUCUCUCUCAAAACCCACAUCCAGAGAGAGCAAGCAUCAUCUCUCAUCUUUGGAACCCUUCGAUUUGAAGCCUUGUUCUUCCAUUGCUUCCCAUUUUCUCUUCUGUCAAAUCACCUAGGAGCUUGACGAAACUUUCGUCAAGCUGCUGGAAAUAUGGUAAAGCCACCCAUGCUUCCAUCUUCUUCCUCUCUUUCCAUAAACACACAUCCAAAGAGCAAGCUUCAUCUCUCAUCCUCUAAACCUCUGCAAUUUCAAGCCUCAUUCCUCUAUCUUCUCCCAUUUUCAGCGGUAGUGAGAAUGAUUUCUGCGUGUGCAUGGGAAGGAUUGUAACUCAGAUGAGGAGGAGAUGGUUUGGAGUGGGGUGAGGCAGUUGGAUAGAGCUCUUGGCCUUUUCAAGUUUGGAUGGGAAAGAGCAGGGAUGAAAGAAGCUUUACAACUGCAAGGGCAUAUAUGGUGCGUAGGGGCUGAAGGCAGAACACUUACAUAUAGAGGAAACACAUUUUUUGUCCAUGGGAUUCAUGUUUGACAAACACUUGUCUUAGACUAUGAGUUCAAAUUUCAAAACCUUUUUUUUUUCUUUCUGAAAUCAGGACCAGUGUGGAGAACUAGCAAGGAUUGGAGAAACAGAUUUUUGGGCGUCACUUGACCACAGAUUGUUGAUUGCUCAAAUGUGUAGAAUUGGCCAUCUUAAAUGUCAAAAUGAUUUAUCAAUUGGGGUUUUUUUAGAAACGUUUAUGUUUGUCAAUAGAGACAGAAGUCAGAGAACAUAAACCUUUCUCAGCAAAUUGAAAUUCUCAGUGCAUGCUCUGUUCUUCCAUGGCUUUCAAACCUUCUCUGCCACGGUGAAAUGGAUCGAUAGAGAUAGUUUAGGCCGUUCCAUUUGUUUGAUGAAGCAUUCGUUCUAGGGAUUCUGUAUAUUCAUAACAAAAUCACUAGAAUGAUUCUUAGAAAUUCAUCACUGCUAAAGGCAAUGGGUUCAGCAUAAUAACUUCUUAGUCUUGCUUCUUGGUCCUUUAUUUUCUUUGCAUAAUACUCCAAGUUUACCUGGGUUCUACAGAGAAAAUCUCGUAGAUACCUCUUUUUGUGGUCUUCCAUGGCAUUUAAGUGCUGCUUUCCAUGGUGAAGUGGGCCUAUAGAGACUACCUGAGGUGUGUAGGCUUUGUCAUUUCCACGCCGUAAUCGCUCAGGAACUCUGUAGAUACACCUUCAAGGGGGACAAGGGAGACAAACUAUCCAAUUCCUUGCGCCUUACAAAUAGAUCGCAUGGGUUUUCUAUUUCAUCUGCAGCUUCAUCAAUUCCUUCCAUUUUUCUCCUGAUCAUCAUGCGCGGUGAUUCAAAUAUUUCAUAAUGAACAUUGAAAUGAGAUGCUACAAGCAAACUUAUGAAAAGAAACAGAAAUACCAAAAAGACAAAUCAAUGUAGAUGGUUUAGAAAAUCUAAACAUUGCAAUUAUACUCCUUUGCCCAACUUCUAGGAGCAAACGUACACAAAGACCUUAUUGCUUCCAACUUUUCCAACAGAAUUUCAUAUGAAUUGCUCCAAGUGAAAUCCGUAUGAAAAAUCGGUAGUUGGAUUUUCAUCCUGCUUUAAUAUGAUUAUUUAACUUCUAACAAAAAAACUCUUAUUACUUGAGCAAGUAAAAUACUAUUCCAGGUUUCUCCUAGUUCUAUAUGCGCUUAUAAUUGGUAUACUCUAUAAAUACCAUAAUCUGAAUUUCUCUGUUUUGAUUACUUUAAUUUAUUACUUAUGUUUUAAUUAUUGUUUACUUAGUGAAUUAUUAGUAUUUAAGAGAAGGCCUUCCAUCGAUUAGGCACCACGUGUCUAUAAUAAGUAAAGCCGUCCGGCUAUACUUAAAAAAAAAAAAAAUUGUAGUAUAGCCGACCGGUAUAGCCGCGCGGCUAUACUAUUUAAUACAUUAUAUUUAAACGGUAUAGCCGCGCGGCUAUACUAUUUAAUAAAAUAAAAAACAAAAGAAAAAGAAAAAUUACCCUCCUAUUUCAUUAGUUUGUACUUUAUAGAUACUAGCCCCUUGACACAUGCUCACGCAUGUGCCAAUUGGUUUUCUUUUUCUUUUUUAUUUUUAUUUUUAGAAUUAAGAAAAAAUAACAGGAUAGUUAUGUUCCAUAAAAGUAGGACCUAUUAUCUUAUUUUGUUUUUAAUUUUAAUUUUUUUAAUAUUAAAAAAAUAUGAAUUUACGAUAUUAUCCUCAUUUAAUUAAUAAUUUCAAUUCUUAAUGUUUGAAUUAACAAAGGGCAUUUUCUGGUAUUUUGAAUGUUUCACCAUUCUCUGCCUUUUGCUUUAUAUAUAUAGAUUAAUUUGCCAGUUUCAAGAUAUCCAAAGUACAUAUUAGACUUUCACUAUAUAAAUUUCAAUAUAUAUUUUUUAUAACAUGUGUUGUUCUUAUUCAAUAAUAUGUGAGAAUUAUUUGUAUAAUACGUGAAUUUUGUGUGUCUUACUGAAUUUUUUUAAAUACGUGUAUUAAACGUUACAAAUACGUACAUAUAUGUACAACACGACUAUUGUAAGUUUGCUAUAUAAAAAAAAGUGAGAUGUAUCUAGAACACGAAUGUAUUAUCGAAAAAUAUAUAUGUAUGUAUAUAUAUAUAUAUAUAUGUAAAAGCCUAUAGCCUCUCACCUAUACUAUUUAUUAAAGACAAUUUAAAAAUUACAACAACAAAAAAACCAGUACAGCCACAAAGCUAUACUAUUUUAAAAAAAAAAAAUAGAAAAAAUAUCAAGUACUACACAGGGCAAAGGCCCAGUGUAAAAUAGUAUAGCCGUACGGCUAUACGUUUUUAAGAAGAAUUUAAAAAACUAAGUAUAGCUCACCGACUAUACUAUUUUUUAAUAUAAAAAAACAACCCCAUCCAUUAGGCGCCACGUGUCAACAGAAGUUUAUUUUUAAAAAAAAAAAUUAAAAGACAAGGAGUAUAGCCGGGUGGUUGUACUAUUUUUUUAUUUUAAAAAGAAGACAGUCCAUCGAUUAGGCGCCACGUGUCCAUAAUAAGUACAGCCGCUCGGCUAUAUGUUGGAUAUUUUGAAACUAGCAAAUUAAUAUCAAUAGCCGGUCGUAACCUAUGCUGUCCACGUCACUCAUGUUUUACCAGAGUUAAAGCAUCCACAAUGAGCUCCCCAAACCAUCUCUUUAGACAAAUUUUAGGGAGAAAUUGGAAAAGUACAACUCCAACCAUGCUCCCUAUCCACCAACUAAAAUAGGGAGACCUCUAGGAGCUCCUAAAUCUGAGGAGAGGGAAAGGACUCUUAGUGACUCCCUAUAAUUUAAUGUUGCUUUGUUUUAUGCAUAUUUUAAACUUUUAAUUAAAUCAAAUUAUUAUUUUAUAUUAUUUUGUAUACAGAUGGACCAAUUAUAUUAAAUUAAAAAAUAAUUAAAGUAUUUGUGACUCUCUAAACUAAGGAGUAUGAUUAGAGUUCAAAUUUUAUAAAAAGCUCUUAAAAUAGCUUUUGUGUGUUUUUAGCUAAAUUUUAACUAAAAAAUUUGAAGAUUCUUUAUUUGGGUUUCUUUCAAGACGAAAACCAUAUCCACAACAGACAUCUUUGGCUGUUCAUCACAAUUGAGAGACAAUGAAGAAGACAUAAGGGAGAGGCUGCCAAAUACUUAUCACCUUAGCCACCACCAACACCACAAGACCAAUAUGUGUAGGCCAGGAGGCUUUCCAAUUUUAAUAUAUAUAUAUAUAUAUAUUAAAAAAUAAAAUAAAAAUCAAUCUAUUAUCAUAUAUAUUAUAAAAUAAAGAUUAUUGCUCCAUCCUCCAUGCACUUGCGUGCCCUCUUACAAAGUAUGAAGUAGAUUUUGUUAGCUGGAUUUAUAAGAUCUUUUGUUUUUUGGAAAUUUUCUGAAAUAAGGAAAAUCAAGUAAAAUUAAUAAAGCAUAAAUUGGAAAGGGAAAAUAUCUAGAGGAUGCAUUGUAGGAUUGCUCAAGCCAAUAAUUGUACCCUCUAAAUAUAUAGGGACAUAUUUUUUUUGUUUUCAUGACAUGUCGUCCUAAAAUUAUUGUUCUUAGCGGGCUCUCCACCCCCUCUCGAUUGAAAACCUAUUGUGUAAAUCUUCAAUCCUGAAUUAGAAAAGUACAACUCCAACCAUGCUCCCUAUCCAUCUCCUAAAAUAGGGAUACCUCUAGGAGCUCCUAAAUCUGAGGCGAGAGAAAGGACUCUUAGUGUCUCUUUAUAAUUUAAUGUUGCUUUGUUUUAUGCAUAUUUAAACUUUUAAUUAAAUCAAAUUAUUUUUUUAUAUUAUUUUGUAUACAAAUGGACCAAUUAUAUUGAAUUAAAAAUAAAUUAAAGUAUUUAUGACUCUCUAAACUAGGGAGUAUGAUUGGAGUUCAAAUUUUAUAAAGAGCUCCUAAAAUAGCUUGUGUGUGUAGGGGUCUUUUUCUUCUGGCAACUACAGAUGGGUUGGGCUACCGUAAGGAGCAAACUGAAGAAAAUAUCCCCUGUGUCUGAGUUCAAAGAUUCGGCCCCAAAAUAUUUCGAAAAGGCAGUAAAGCCUUAGGAAACACCUUAGUUACCUUCACCAACGAAAAUGACGGCUGCUUACAGGUAGAUUCUUAGUGCUUACAGAUGAAUUCUUAGCUUAGCAUGAGGAGAUCGUGGCAUGGAAGCAAAGUUAGCAUGAGUUUAGCACUAAAGAGAAAAUUAUGUGUUCUUGGGAGGAAGAAGGGGUGUCCAGGUAAAUGGGAAAAGGUUUUGCAAGUAGAUUUGGCUAAGAGAGAAGGGAGAGAGAGAAGAGGGUGGCUAGAGUGCUUCUUCCGGCAGCUUGACAGUGACUCUGUCAAAUGUUAGAGCAAUCUGCCAUAAGAGGGAAAAUGGGGAAGAAGGAUGAACAGUGCACAAAAUUGCUAGGUUUUUGCAAGUAAGAGAGGAAGCUUGCUCUCUGGAUGUGGAUGAUCCGUUGGGUAGAAGAGGCCCCAUUUUAUAGCCGCUGGAAACUAUCAUUUCUCAAGAAACCCUAAUAGUUUCUACCCAAUUUGGUCAAGCUUUUCCCUUCCUUUCUCAUCUCCUCCCUUGACUUUUCCUAUCUUGGUGAAAUUUCCUCUGUCUAUUUGCACAAAAUCAGGAGCUCAAGGCCUCCCUUUCCCGCAACUGUUCAAUGGGAGACUCCAUUCUUAGCUAUUUUUCUUCUUCUUUCCUUCCUCCUUCCCUGACCAAAUCUGAUGAAGGAAAGCAAAUAGGUGCACACAUUGGUUUGAAGGGUGCUUCUCCUUCUAGCAGCUUACAUGCCAAUAUCCCUUGGGUCCUUGCAUGUUUUUUGCUUUGAAACUUGUUUCUUCCUUCCCGUCAACUCACGUGGUCUUCCAUGCUUCUUCAUGGCUUUAUCUUUCAGCCAAAAGAUGGAGUUUUUACUGCUUGCUACUUUUAAUUGUAUGGGUCUUCUAGGAUAGGAAGUCAACCUACCAAACAAAUGGGCCACCUUUAUCAAAUAUUGGGCUGUUGGGGUUAGUUUUAGUGGGCCAUUUUGACUGGGCUUUUUGGUUGGGUUAUUUAAGUUAUUUUCCCUUUUGUGCUCACCCAUGUAUUUAGGCCUAAGAAAUGGGCUUGGGCUCCGAGUCUCCCAAGCAACCCGGAACCUCCAUUUCUUGGCCCAUUAAUGGGCCUCAUGACAACCUAUUACCAUCCAUACCACAACCCACUCAAGCAAGCCCCGGGCAUUUGAAUGGCUUUGGCCCACUUUAGGCUUGUAGUGUGAUUGGGUGUGGCAUAACGAUUUCUCGCUUGGCAUGGCAUGUUGCUUGGCAUGUUUUUUCAUUACGAUGCUUGAUGGAUUUGUAGAGCUACCUAUUUUUAUGAUCUUAAUCUUGAUUCCUAGCAUGACAAAUUUAUUUAUUUGGCAUGGCAUGCGGAGCGUGACUUGUGCGUGGCGAGUUUUGUAUGCUCCAACUUGGGCCUUUCCUAAAUAAUGUAUCAUUUUGGGUUAUGAAUUCUUUCGGGCCCAACCGUGAAUUUUUUGGGUUUCAACAGUGUGUUUUUAGCUAAAUUUUAACUAAAAAAUAGGGAGCAUGAUUGUAGAUCAUCUUAUAUACCUUAAUUUGAAGAUUCUUUAUUUGGGUUUCUUUCAAGAUGAAAACCAUAUCCACAACUGGCAGACAUCUUUGGCUGUUCAUCACAAUUGAGAGACAAUGAAGAAGACAUAAGGGAGAGGCCGCCAAAUACUUAUCACCUCAGCCACCACCAACACCACAAGACCAAUAUGUGUAGGCCAGGGGGCUUUCCAAUUUUAAUAUAUAUAUAUGGAGUGAAAAAAAUAAAAUAAAGAUUAUUGCUCAUCCUCCAUGCACUUGCAUGCCCUCUUACAAAGUGUGAAGAAGAUUUUGUGUGCUUCAAGUCAUUGACUAGAGCUGAAACAUGGUUAGCUGGAUUUAUAAGAUCUUUUGUUUUCUGGGAAUUUUCAGAACCAAGGAAAAUCAAGUAAAAUUAAUAAAGCAAAAUGGAAAGGGAAAAGAUCUAGAGGAUGCAUUGUAGGAUUGCUCAUGCCAAUAAUUGUACCCUCUAAAUAUAUAGGGACAUAUUUUUUUUGUUUUCAUGACAUGUUGUCCUAAAAUAUUUGUUCCUAGCGGGCUCUCCACCCCCUCUCGAUUGAAAACCUAUUGUGUAAAUCUUCAAUCCUGAACGAUGCUCCUAAAACUCAAGUGUCCCAGGCCAAUUAUUGCUCUCAUACCACUUGUUGCAAUACACAUCCACUCAUUCUCAGGGAAAGAAACCCAUCGAUAUUAUCUCAAAUUUAACCACUUUAGUCUAUUAUGAUUAACUAUGUAUUUUAUGGAUCAAUGCAGUUGUGAGGUUUUAUACCCAAUUAGAUCGACCAAUACAGAGAUCACAUGUGGACUGAAAAGCGCCAUCGGUAGGGGAGUGUUUGGCACCCUUUACUGCCGAGUGCAACACAAGACCCCUUACCAGGAACUUAUCUACUAGGACACGUGAAGCCACCACAAGUAAUAUCAACAGUCCCACAUCGAAGUUUAACAUAACAUGUACACUCCCCAGGACUGAUAAAAGUGGGCACAAGUCCCAAAAAUGGGGGAACUUGGACUUUCAGCAAUUCAUCCAUUAUUAUGUCCAAAUUACUAUACACUCCGUACUUAUUCUUACUUAAGCAUUGGAGAGCCUUCGGCCGGUACCACACCAGUGCCUAAGGGCUUACCGAGCGUUCUCUAUCUUGCAUAUUGAUCGCUCUACUGAAGCCCAUAAAGAGUUAAAGGUCAAGACAUCACUAAGUUGAGCCCAAAAGUGCUGAACCACAUCAAAAAUAUGUAUAGAUUGAAAAAAUAAAAUAAAAAUCAAUCUAUUAUCAUAUAUAUUAUAAAAUAAAUAUUGGAUAAAUUACUCAAAUGGUCCUCAAACUUAUACUCGAUUUACAUUUUGGUCUCUCAAUUAAAUUAUUUGUUCAAAUGGUCCAUCAACUCUAUAUUAUUUCUGCAAAAUCUACAAAGUGGUGGGAGGCAGACCAACAAAAAAAAUUAGCGAAGGCUUAUAACUCUGGUAAAACAAGAGUUACUUGGAUAGAAUAAUGUUACGUCGUACUGAAGAUUUUUGGGUUUCUUUAAUUGGUUAAGUGAAGAUUCUUUAUUUGGGUUUCUUUCAAGAUGAAAGCCAUAUCCACAACCACAACCACAACUGGCAGACAAUCUUUGGCUGUUCAUCACAAUUGGGCGACAAUGAAGAAGACAGAAAUUGGAGUACUGUAUGUUAUCACCCACACCACAAGACCAAUAUAAGGAGGAUGGGGAGGCUGCGGAAUACUUAUCACCUUAGCCACCACCUACACCACAAGACCAAUAUGUUGUAGGCCAGGAGGCUUUCCAAUUUUAAAUUAGAUAAAUCGGAAACUGUUUCGAUAUCCAAUUGUAUUCUAUAAAAUCAAUGAACACGGUGCUUCAAGAAAGUAAUAAAAUUUCAAUAAUUCAAUUGAGUGGUCAAAUUCAAGUGAUUUUUUGUAGUGAUGAUCUUUGAAUGAGUAUCUAUAAAAGAGACGGUUUGGAUUAGUGAAAUACAAUAUGGAGUGGGCCCUACCAGCAAUCCACGACAAAAUGUCUGCAAGCUUUCGUAAUAUAAGGAGGAUGGGGAGGCUGCGCAAUACUUAUCACCUUAGCCACCACCUACACCACAAGACCAAUAUGUUGUAGGCCAGGAGGCUUUCCAAUUUUAAUAUAUAUAUAUAUAUAUAUAUAUAUAUAUAUAUAGGGAUGUGAUUUCUCUACUCCCCUUUUCUCUACUUAUACUCCCUUUUGCUUUUAAAUACUUUUUAAUCAAUUUUUUUUCCGCUUUCCUAUUAAUAUUCUACCAUUUCCCUACAUUAAUUUCUUUUUACUUCACUUUUAUAUUAGUUCUUUUUCUUUAUACUUAAUUUUUCAACUUGCACUCCAUUUUCAUUAUUUUUUUCCUAAUCGAGUAAGAAAUUAAGUUUUUUUUCCCCAUUUAAUACUGAAAAUGGAGUGUAAGUUAGAAAAUUAGGUAUAAAGAAAAAGAAAUAAUAUAAAAGUAAAGUAAAAAAGAAAUUAAUGUAGGGUAAAGGUAGAAUAGAAAAGAGAAUGAACAAAAUUGAUAAAUAAAUAAAAAAGGUUUAAAAAGCAAAAAGGAGUGUAAAUGGAGAAAAGGGGAAUGAGGAAAUCAGCUCCAUAUAUAUAUAGAUUGAAAAAAUUAAAAUUAAAAUCAAUCUAUUAUCAUAUAUAUUAUAAAAUAAAGAUUAUUGCUCCAAGGAAAUGACAUCUUUUGUUUUCUGGGAAUUUUCUGAACCAAGGAAAAUCAAAUAAAAUUAAUAAAGCAUAAAUUGGAAAGGGAAAAGAUCUAAAGGAUGCAUUGUAGGAUUGCUGAUGCCAAUAAUUGUACCCUCAAAUUAUACAUGGACAUAGGGGUGGGCAUUCAAAUAGGCAAACUAGAAAUCCGAGCUGAACCGCACCUAGGAAAACCGGAAAAAAAACCGAGUUGACCAAAAAGUCAACAACUGGUCAAAAAUCGAACCGGACCGAUUUGGACUGGUUUUGGAUUCAGUUUAUAUGCAAUGCUACAUUUUUAGUCUCAUAACUAAUAUUUAUCCAAGUUCAAUUUCAAAACAUCUUUCUUUUUUAGCUUUAAUAUUUAUUUUUAUAUGAAAUUAAAUAAUUUAUUAAUUUUCAAGUAAAUAAAAUAAAAUUUCAGUUGAAAUUUAUAUUAAAAAAAUAAUUUUAAUAAUCCAGUUCAAAACCAAACCGGACCAUCCAGCUGUGAGGUACAUUUCUCCCACAUGCCACAAUUGUAUAUUCACAAUUACGUCUGAUACAUCACAUCAUGCCACUUGCCUCAAAUGAAUUUAAGUGAGUGUGGCAGUGGAAAGUAAUUAAGCUCUAUAUUGGUGGGUGGACUGUUACUUCUGGGUUCCCCUCAUCAUUCGUCUAUAAAAUGGUGAAGGCAGUUGCUAUUGUUACCAUAAGAGCCAGCUCCGACUUCCUUUAAUUUCUUGCUUCAUAUCCACUAGCUACAUCUGUUACCAAGUUAAUUUCAGUCCUAAUGGGGUUUCAUCUCCCACUCAUCUUUGCUCUUCUCAGUGUAAGCUCUGCAAUUUGAUUAACUUUUCCAUUCUCUCUCAUUGUACUCUAUAUAAACGAAAGUUUUGUGUUCCUAUAAUUCUCUCCGAUUUUAUUUAGUACGUACUUAAGUGUCGUCCACUAAUUAAUUACACUUUGUGAUUUGAUUUUAAUUUGAGUUCGAAUUAAUGUUGCAGCUAGCAGCAGUGGCACUGGCAAACCAUGCUGCUCAACCAGCACCUCAACUUUACUGGAACUCCGUCCUGCCAAACACACAGAUGCCAAGAUCUAUCAGUGAACUUCUGCAUCCUGGUUUGUGUUGAGCUCUUUAGAAUCUUAGAUAUCUCUUCUACCUGCCAUUUUACUAAAAUAUGUUCCACCACAUAUUUAUCAGUUAACCACUGUUAUUACAUGAGUGACACAUAUUCACAAAUCGGCUGAUCACUUAUUUUCCAUUAUGACGUUGAUAUAUAAUUUGCAGACUCCACAAAUGAAGAAAAGAGCACAAAUGACGUUGGCAAACCUGAAACUUUCCCAUUGGGCAAUAAACAUUACUCCAGUCAAAAACAUUAUGGAAGAGGCAAACCUGAAACUUUCCCAUUGGGCAAUAAACAUUACUCCAGUCAAAGACAUUAUGGAAGAGGCAAACCUGAAACUUUCCCAUUGGGCAAUAAACAUUACUCCAGUCAAAGACAUUAUGGAAGAGGCAAACCUGAAACUUUCCCAUUGGGCAAUAAACAUUACUCCAGUCAAAAACAUUAUGGAAGAGGCAAACCUGAAACUUUCCCAUUGGGCAAUCAGCAUUACUCCAGUCAAAAAAAGUAUGGAAGAGGUGCUUCUCCAUCCGACAAUCAACCACCAAUUCCAUAGAAAUUCAAACACGGCUACUUUCUUGCCACGAGAAAGCGCUCAAUCGAUCCCCUUCUCCUCUAACAAACUACCAGAAAUUUUCAACCAUUUUUCAGUGAAGCCAACAUCUGAGGAAGCCAAAACAAUUAAGCAAACAAUCGAAGAGUGUGAAGCUCCAGACCUUAAGGGAGAGGAAAUAUAUUGCGCCACAUCUUUAGAAUCAAUGGUUGAUUUUAGCACUUCGAAGCUUGGAACAAGAAACGUUGAAGCAAUCUCGACGGAGGUAUUGGAAAAAGGAGCCACCAUGUCCAUCCAAAACUAUACAACAAUGCCGGGACUGAAGAAGUUGGCAGGUGACAAAGUCGUUGUGUGUCAUAAGCAGAACUAUCCCUAUGCUGUGUUUUUCUGCCAUGCAAUAAAACAUACAGCAGCUUAUGCUCUCUCCCUGAAAGGCGAUGAUGGGGAGAAGGUUAAAGCAGUAACCAUCUGCCAUCUAGACACAUCAGAAUGGGACCCAGAGCAUAUGUCCUUCAAAAUCGUCAACGUUAAGCCCGGAACCAUUCCCAUCUGCCAUUUCAUUUCCACUGAUGCUAUUGCCUGGGUUCCGAACCACAAAUCUGCAUGAUCAUCACUUAGCACUAGUACUGUGCGUAUAAUAUGCCUGUAUAAUUAUCUCCCUACUUAUUUCUGCCUGUUCAUCAUGUGGUGUAAGAUAUAUGUUGAGAUGAAGUUUUUGGGAUUAGUGGUCGAAAUUAACCCGAUCAUGUUUUCUCUUGUAACUAUAUAGACUUCAACUUGUACUCAUAAUAAAGCAUGCUAUAUUUAUGAAGAGAUAUUAAUCUUCAGGCAAAUAGAUAUUAUGAAAACAUAUAUAGCAAUUUAUCCAGAAGAAAUAUUAUGAAAUGAAAAGAAUAAAAAGUAAAAAAACAGAAGGAAAGGAAUUCGCACCUGCUAUGUAUGAAAGGACCAAGAUUGUUUUCCCUUUGGUUAAUGACUAGAAAAGCUCACUUGCAGAUUGCUUUCUCUGACCGUAGAUGCAACAGAAAUUUUCUCUUAAUAAUAGCACAAUGAUCGGGUAAUUGUAAGAACAAGUUGAUUUAAAAUUCCUUGACCCAAAAAAAAAAAAAAAAUCAUUUCAAAUUCAGGUCAACCCAUAGAUUUCUUGCCUUUUUCUUCUUCAUCACGUUGGGCUUGUCUUCUUCUUGAGGAUUGUAUAGGCCCAGGAAAUGCUUUGAGGUAGUUUUUGGCCUUGGAAGUUGGGACCCAACCCAACUUCACAAAAAGAAAACAGAUUUGCCAAAAAUCAAAUUUCAAGUCUCUCCUCAGAUCACUAAUACAGAUCAAAUUUUGGAUUUGAUGAACUAAAGUGGUUUUACUUUCUCUGUCAGUGUUUGAUGACUUAAUUUGUUAUUUACUUCUUUUUUUUUUUUUACUUGAUCUUUGUAGGGGUUUUUUUCUUCCGGUAACUUAAACGGGCUGGGCUGCCGUAAAGGGUAGAUUGAUGAAAUUGUCUCCUUUGUCUGAGUUCGAAAAUCAAGCCCCAAAAGCGCUUCGAAAGGGCAGUAGAGCCUUAGGAAGCGUUCUAGUCAUCUUCACCAACUAAAACAACAGCAACUUACAGAUGAUUUCUUAAGGCUUACAGAUAAAUUUUCUAGCUUGGCAUGAGAGGCUUGUGACAUGGAAGCAAAAUCAGCAUGAGUUUAGCACCAAAGAGGAAAAUAUGGCUUCCUAGGGAGAAAUGGGAGUGUUUAAGGUGAGGAAGAAGAGGUUUGCAGGCUGAUUUGGCUGAGGAGAGAGAAAGAAAGAACAAUGUUCUUCCAGUAGCUUGACAAAGCUUCUGACAGAUGUGAAAGUCGUCUGCCAUAAGAGGAAAAUGAAGAAGAAUGGUGAAUAGUGCAUGAAAUUGCUGGGUUUUUGCAGGUAAGAGAGAAAGCUUGCUCUCUGAAUUUGAGUUGGUUUUUGGUUGGGUAGAAGAGGCCCCCUUUUAUAGCUGCGGGAAACCAUCUUUUUUCAAGAAACCCUAAUGGUUUCUAUCCAUUUUGGCCAAGCUUUUCCCUUCAUUUCUCUUCUCCUCCCUUGACUUUUCCUAUCUUGGUGAAAUUUCCUCUGCCUAUUUGCACAAAAUUAGAGAUUUUGAGGAGCUCAAGACCCCUUUCCCGCAGCUGCCUCAGUGGAGAAUCCCCAUUUUCAGUCAUCUUUCUUCCUUCUUUUCUCCCAUCUUCCAAGGUUAGGUCUGAUGAGGGAAAGAAAUGGGUAUGCACACUGGUUUGAAGGGUAUUUUUGCUUGAAACUUGUUCUCUCCCAUGUGCUGGAGCUUCCCAGCAACUUACACACAUGGAUAUUUUGGCUUUCAUCGUGGCUUUUGUUUUCAGCUAGGUGCUGGAGAUUUCGCAGAUAUUUUCAUGAGUUGCUUGGGCCUUCUAGGACAAUAGGUUGGUUUAUCAAGUGAAUGGGCUAACUUCAUCAAUUGUUGGGCUAUUUUGGUUGAGUUAAUGGACUAUUUUGGUUGAAGUAAUGGGCUAUUUUGGUUGAAUUAAUGGGCUAUUUUUCUCUCUUUGUGCUCACCCACAUAUUUGGGCCUAAGAAAUGGGCUUGAGUUCCGGGGCUCCCAAGCAACCCCGGGACUUCCAUUUCUCGGCCCAUCAAUGGGCCUCAUAUCAACUUAUUACCAUCCAUAUCACAACCCACUCAAGCAAGCCCUGGGCAUCUUGCGUGGCUUGGGCCCACUUAAGCUUGUAGCGUGACGUGUUGCUUAUUUGCUUGGCAUGGCAUGUGUGCAAGCGCAUAUGACGAACUUUAGCGUGCCCAAAUUGGGUUUAUUCUCGGUAAGGUAUCGCAUUGGGCCGAGAAUUUAAUUGGGCAGAACUGUGGAUUUUUGGGCCUCAACAAUCUUAUAUAUAUUGGUUUUCUUUUUUUCCUUAAUAUUCACCACCUUUCUGUUGCAUAAGUAUUUCAGUCUUAACGGGUUUCCAUCUACCACUCAUCUUUGCUCUUUUAAGUGUAAGCUUUUUUUUUUUUUUUUUAAGCACAAGAUUAGAGGGGAGGGGGAUUUCUCAAUGUAAGCUUUGCAGUUUCAUAAUUAAUAUUUCCAAUAUCUCACUGUUAGUAAAAUAUGGAACAGGAAAAGUAUGAAUAAAAUACACACAUGUUUUAUUUAGCAAAAUUUUGACAAGAUACAACUGAAAAGUUUGGCCACUAUAUAAUAUUUUGAUAUAAUUUCUACACUUCUUCUCAAAAGAUUAGAUCACUUCACAUCUUGUGUAUGUGAAAACUAAUGUAAAAAGUUGAAACUUUAUCGUAAAACCUCGACAAAAAUGAGCUCUACUAGAAAAUGUUCAAUUUGGAUUCGUUGAUUUAAAUGGCAAUUUGACACUUGAUAGAAAUUUUUACAUACAUGUGUUAGUGUUUGAUCACUUCACAUGUUACUUACUAUAUUUAUUCCACUCAAGUUAGGUAAAUAUUAUUAUCAAACAUUUCAAUUAAUUUGUGAUUUUUUUAUUAUUUAAUCAAUUAUGAAUUAAUGGAUUCUUCUUGUUGUUUUGAAGACCAAUAAAAAAAAAAGGGUAAGGAUGGCUUAUAACUCUGAUAAAACAACAGUGACGUGGACAGCAGAUGUUACACCGUACUGAAGAUUUUUGAAGAUUCUUUAUUUGGGUUUCUUUCAAGAUGAAAACCAUAUUAUCCACAACCACAAUGAAGAAGACAGAAAAUGGAGUAAUUCAGAUGUUACCAGCCAUCCACGACAAACUGAAGUCUGCAAAGCAUUCGUAAUCUAAAGGGAGACUUUGGAAAAGCCCAAAGGAGAGAGAAAAUUUUUAAAAGAAGCAAAAAUGGACAAAAUUGCCCUUAUUUAUUUUUUGAUUUCCUAAGAAAUCCUUUACAUUUGCAUGUCUUUGGUUUGAAAGUUGAGAGGUUAUUCUGUCUUUUUUCAAAAAGCUUUGGCUUUUUCCAAAAGUGAAAGUUUUUUUAUGGGUAAAACCUAAAUUUACUUAAUCCCUAAAAAGGAUGGGGAGGCUGCGCAAUACUUAGCCACGUGUAGGCCAGGAGGCUUUCCAAUUUUAAUAUAUAUAUAAAUUGAAAAAAUAAAAUAAAAAUCAAUCUAUUAUCCUAUAUAAAAUAAAGAUUAUUGCUUCCAUGGGCAGUGCUAUGCACAGGACAGUGCCUGCCCAGCACAAAUUUUUUUUAAAUAAAAAAAAAAAAUCUACAUAUGUUAUAAGCUCAUCCAAAAAAAUAAAAUAAAAUAAAAGUAAAUUCUACAUAUAUGUUGCCCAUCUAGGUGGUUCCAUAUCUUCUCUCUCCUUCUCUUUUGGCUAUUAGACUUCUUGUUUCUCUCUCUCUCUUUGCUACCUCACAUCAGCAAGUUUCUCCCUCUCUUUUUUUGGGGUCAAAUUCUUCCUCUAUUGACAAAAUCUUCUAUUAUCUUGGGUGGGCAACUUGGCAACAACAUCUUCUCUUCUCCUUUUGUCAACAACAAGUAUUAUUCUCAUUCUCUCAUUUGCUAUAUAUCUUUAAUUAUAGUUUUAAUUUAAAAUUGAGUAUUCUAGGGUUUAAUUAGGGAUGAAUUAUAAUUUUAGAAUUUUGUUGAAAUUAAUUAAGGCUUCGAUUAGGGGUGAAUUAUUCUACUGCUUUGGUUUGGAAUUUUGUUAAAAUUGAGUAUUAUAGGGUUUAAUUAUGGAUGAAUUAUAAUUUUUGAUUUUGGUAUUAUUGAGAUGUUAUUAUGAGAAUUUGUUUCAUUUUUUUAUUGGUAUAUUUGAUUAAAAUUCUUUCUACAUAUUAUUCAUAGGCUAUCUUUUAUUAUGUCGGAUCACAAUCGGAAUCCCAAGAGAACAAAGAAUUUGAAUAGUGUUGUUUUGUAUUGCAUUGCAUUUACUUUUGGUUUUAGUUUUGCUUUUAGUGUAAAUUACUCAAAUGGUCCUCAAAUUUGUACCCGAUUUACAUUUUGGUCCAUAAACUAAAUUAUUCAUUCAAAUGGUGCACCAACUCUUUAUUAAUCAGUGCUUUGGUCCUACCGUUAUGUUUUCUAUUAAAUUUAGUCAUGUGAGCAGCACAUGCUACAUUUGUAGGGGUAAAUAAGACUUUUGACCACUUUAUCACCUAUGUAUCACCACUUUAUAACCUAUUUGGAGAACAUAGGUCAGUUAUGGACGGUUUUACAAUUAUAUUUGACGGCAACAUUAACAUAAUGUAACAGUGGGAUCAAUGGAGCGAUUAAUAUAGAGUUGAUGGACCGUUUGAACGAAUAAUUUAAUUGAGGGACCAAAACGUAAAUUGAGUAUAAGUUUGAGGACCAUUUGAGUAAUGUACCCUUCGCUUUUAUAUUUGUUGAACUUUUAUUUAUGGAUAGAUAUGCAUUUGAGGGUAAGACCCAUUAUGUUCCCCCUGACUUGGUGUAUCUUUUUAUGUUUAUUAAUGAAAUUCACUCGAACUGUUGAGUUUAGUAUGUAAGUUUUGCCUAACCGGCUUUUGAAUCCUAGAACCGCCACUGUUGCUCCAUCCUCCAUGCACUUGCAUGUGCUCUUACAAAGUGUGAAGUAGAUUUUGUGUGCUCCAAGUCAUUGACUAGAGCUGAAACAUGGUUAGCUAGAUUUAUAAGGACCCAUCUCUCUAUUUCCUAGACAUAUACCCAUCUCUCUAUAAAUCUAUAUGUAAAACUCAAUUUCAAACUUAAAUGACCAGUAAGAUAUAAGAGGUCAUAGUAUUCCUAUGUUUUUACAUCGUUGCCACCAGACUUCUUAUUUUAUUUAUAAUUUAUUUCAAGCAUUUCAUUAACUGCCAUAAUUGUAAUUAAUACUCCAUAUUAAUAGCAUAUCAAUCACCCCAUUUCUUUUGAUUGCCAUUCCCUCUAACAUAUCGCCCCUUAAAAUUGAAAACCAAAAAAAAAAAAAAUGUAAAUUACAUAUCCAAUAAUGUACCUAUGAAAAAUAUAAAUAUAAAUAUAUACGUAUAAAAAUAUAGGUUUAUUAUUUACCAAAUAAAAAAUAUAAAAAAACUAGGUCAGUUGCUUUGUAAUUGAAAUUUCUAUACAUUUUCCACAAAUUAAAAAUAGGUACACAAUAAUUUAUAGAAAAUAUAGGUGCAUUAUUUAUCCAUAGGUAAAAAUACCUAUAAAUGCACAUAGGUAAAUUAUUUACCCAUAUAUUAUUUUUUUGCUAAGGAUUUACCUUAGUUUUUAGUAGAUUAAUUUACCUACCUAGAGGCAUAGGUAGCUUAAAAAAAUUGUAGCACCUUAGUUGGUUGCAUACUAAUUUACCUACCUAGAGGCAUAGGUUGCUAAGAAAAAAUGUAGGUAAAUUCAUGUACCUAAACACAUAGGGGUCAAAUAGAGAAUAACAUGUUAUUUCCCUUCGAACAAAUUAAUUUCAAACCAUAACAAUAAUUGAAUUCGGAAAUUGGUAUAAAUAAAAGGAAAUAAAUAAGCUAUCAAUUUGAAAAUUAAAAUAAGAAAUGAUCAAGUAGUCAUAUUUGAAAAAAAAGAAAAGAAUAUAUUCUUGGUUUUUAUAGGAACAACGUGUAUAUUCAAACCAAAUGGCAGUAACUACACCAAGCUUUAAUUACUUUUUUUUAAGGCCAAAAGUCACUUUUGGUCUCUGUAGUUUGACACUUCUAUUACUUUUGACGCUGUAGUUUCAAUUCCGUCAAUUUUGCCAUUGUAGUUUCAUAUUUGUAGCAAUUCAAGGACAUGUUAAUAUUAAUGUCAAUUUGUUUAAUGAUGCAAGGGGUAAUUUCGUCAUCCCAAAAUCCUUGAGCAUAAAAGCUUGUCUGAAAUUCUCCCCAUUUCAUAUUAGGGCUCGAAAUUCAACCACUAAUCCCAAUUUUUGAAGAACCCUAUACCCAAAUGACCAAUUUCAAGCCCUAAUAACAAAUUAGGGAAGUUUUAGAUGAGCUUUUAUGCUCAAGGAUUUUGAGUUGAAGAAAUUGCCCCUUGCACUGUCAAAGAAAUUGAUAGGAAUACUGACUUGUCCUUGAAUUGCUACAAAUACAAAAAUACAGGGUCAAAAUUAACAGAAUUUAAACUAUAUGGUCAAAAGUGGUUAAAGUGCCAAACUACAAGGACCAAAAGUGACUUUUAGCCUUUUUGUUUAAAUAAGGAAAAAACUUACCUAUUAAAUCCUUGGAAUCUAUACAAAAUUGAAACACAGUUAAUCAGCAUUGAAUUGCAGCUAAUUUCUUAAACAAGGGUAUUAUAGGAAUUUAAAAAGUAUAACAUUUAAUCCAUUGAGCUUGAUUAGGAAUCUUGAUGAGUUGGAUCCUAGUUAUAUAGUUUCUCUUAUAAAAAUCGGGUUUUAUUUAUAGACAAAUAAAACAAUGGGUUGUAGGUAAGAAAAUAUUAAUUUGAAGGGAAAGUGUCACAUCCUGGGAUCGGCUCCGCCGUAGCACGAUAUUGUCCGCUUUGGGCCCCCCUCUCUGCCCGCACGGUUUUGUUUCUGGGAGCUCACGAGCAACUUCCCAGUGGGUCACCCAUCCUGGGAUUGCUCUGGCCCCCAACUCGCUUAACUUCGGAAUUCCUAUGACUCCGAAGCCAGUGAGCUCCCAAAAGGCCUCGUGCUAGAUGGAUGCGGGUGUGUACAUAUAAGACACAUCACCCCCUCUCCGUUGGUUGAUGUGGGAUCUUACAGAAAGAGUCAAAUUUACUAAAUUAAUAAAGCAUAAAUUGGAAAGGGAAAAGAUCUAGAGGAUGCAUUGUAGGAUUGCUCAUGCCAAUAAUUGCACCCUCUCGAUAUUGAAAAACCUAUUGUGUAUUAUUAUCUUCAAUCAUGAAUGAUGCACCUAAAACCCAAGUGUCCCAAGCCAACCAUUGCGCUCAUACCACUUGUUGCAGUACACAUUCACCCGUUUUUAAAGAAAGAAAUUCUACCAAUCGAUAUUGUCUCAAAUUUAAUCACAUAGGUCUAUUAUGGUUAACCAUAUGUACUUUUAUCGGCCAUAUAGAGGUACCUUUUUCCAACGUGCAACAAUUGUAUUUGAUUCACAAUUAUGUCUGAUAUACAUCACAUCAUGCCACUUGCCUCAAAUGAAUUUAAUUGAGUGAGGCAAUGGGAAGUAAUUAAGCUCUAUAUUGGUGGGUGGAGUGUUACUUCUGGAACCCUCAUCAUUCGUCCAUACAAGGGAACAAUUCCCUUCCUUCUAUAAAAUGGUGAAGCCAGUUGCUAUUGUUUGUUAGAGUUUUAGGAUCUGAGUGUUAGAUUUUGUGAGAAGAGAGAAGAGAAUUUAGUGAAAACUUCCAAUACUGCUCUGCUAUACGUGUAGCAGAGAGAACAUUCUGUUUUGUUAUAUAUUUUCAGUACAACAACACACACUUGGUGUGAGAAGAAAAAUGACUGUUAUGCACAGUACCAGCUGGAUGCUUUCCAUCAAAGUAAUCUCAGCCAUUCACUAUCUAACCAAUCAAGCUAUGACACCUGGACUAAGUAUAAAGAAAUACAACUAAGCAGAAAACAAGACUCUUAAUCCUGAAAUCAACUUAAGCACUUAUAAUUCAACACUCCCCUUUAAGUCUUGAGGUGAUUUCACUCCAAGCAUGCCUCUGAGAUAAUUGAAUCUGUCUUUGGCCAGAGGUUUGGUAAAAAUGUCAGCCAAUUGUUCAUUUGUAGGACAAUAUUCCAGAUUGAUUACCCCUUCUUGCAAUGCAUCCUUGAUGAAGUGAUACCUCCUGUCAAUAUGCUUUGUCUUCUGGUGGAAUACAGGGUUUUUAGUGAUUGCAAUUGCUGAGAUAUUAUCACAAUGCAAUGGAGUAGCUUCAGUUUGAAGCUCUCUAAAGUCUUCUAGCACAAAACGGAGCCAAAUAGCUUGAGUAGUAGCCUCAGCUGCACUGAUGUACUCAGCUUCUGCAGUAGACAGUGCAACACAGUUCUGUUUCACUGAGGCCCAAGAAAAUACUCCACUUCCAAAACUAAACGCAUACCCUGAUGUGCUCUUGCAAUCACCAACUGAUCCUCCCCAAUCACUGUCACAGUAACCAACUAGAAUUGAUCUUUUGCCUUUCACAUAUUCAAGACCAUAGUCCAGAGUUCCUUUGAUGUAUCUCAAAACCCUUUUAGCUGUUCCAUAGUGUCUAUUUGUAGGACAGUGCAUGAAUCUAGCUAGCAAGCUUGAGGCAUACAUGAUGUCUGGUCUUGUAGCAGUUAAGUACAGCAAGCUACCAACAAUGCUUCUGUAUUGUUCUUCAUUUGCAGCUCAACUCCCAUCAUCCUUAGCUAGUUUCUCAGUGGCAACAAGGGGUGUUGUCACAGGUUUGCACUCAGUCAAACCAAACUUGCUCAACAAGGUGCUAGCAUAUUUCUUUUGAUGUAGAAAUAUACUAGACUCAGUCUGAAUAACUCCCAUGCCAAGAAAGUGAUGAAGUAAGCCCAAAUCAGUCAUCUCAUACUUAGCCAUCAUGUCUUCUUUGAAUUCAGCCAACAAUGCUUGACUGCUCCCUGUAUACACAAUAUCGUCUACAUAGAUAGACACAAUUAGAAUCUCCUUAUCUCCCCUUACUUUGGUAUAUAAGGUUGUUUCACUUAAGCUUUUCACAAAACCACAUUGAGUGAAGUAGCUGUCUAUCUCUCCAUACCAAGCCCUUGGGGCUUGCUUCAGACCAUAAAGGGCUUUAUGCAAACGAUAAACCUUGUCUUCUUUACCUUUAAUUACAAAACCUUCAGGCUGACUGACAUAAACUUCCUCUUGCAGCACACCAUUAAGGAAAGCAGACUUCACAUCAAGCUGGAACAAUUUCCAAUCCUUUUGAGCAGCUAGAGCAAUAAGUGUUCUAAUGGUGUCCAAUCUGGCUAUAGGUGCAUAAGUCUCAUUAUAAUCCAGUCCAGGCUUCUGAGCAUACCCCUUAGCCACUAAUCUUGCUUUAUUCUUUUGCACUGAGCCAUCCAAAUUCAGCUUUGUCUUGUACACCCACUUAACUCCAAUCACUGGUUUUUCAGUUAGUCUAUCUACCAAUUCCCAUGUUUCAUUCUUUUCAAUCAUCUGCAGUUCAUCUUCCAUAGCCUUAAGCCAAGAUUCAUCCUGAGCAACAUCAGCAUAUUUUUCUGGUUCCAUGAUACACAAGUUACACUGAGCUAGAACAUCAUCUAGCCUUCUCCAUUUUAGAGGGGUGUGAUCAUAAGCUUGAGUUCUCCUUUCUUCACUGCUUAUAUCACCUGGAGUUGAUGAAAUGCUCUCUUGCAUAUCCAAAGUUUGAGGUGUACCAGUAGAAUUCUCAUUAGAACUGUCAGAUUUCAAGUCCAAAUCAACUUGGUUUUCAAUUGAGUAUGUUGUCAUAACUGAACCAUUUUUGUUUGUCCAAUGCCAAGCAUUUUCUUCAUCAAAUGUCACAUCCCUUGAUAGUAAAAGCUUGUUAGAAACAGGAUCAAAAACUCUAUAUCCUUUUUCACAAGUUGCAUAUCCCACAAACACUCCCUUUGUACUCUUAGGAUCCCGCUUGUGUCUCAAUUCAGUUGGCACAUGAACAUAACACAGAGAACCAAACACUUUCAGAUGUGCAAUUCCAGGCUUCCUUCCACUAUAUGCUUCGAAUGGAGUAAUGUUGUUGAGAGCUUUGGUAGGACAUCUGUUCAGCAAAUAGAUAGCUGUAUGCACAGCUUCUGCCCAUAGGAAAUAAGGCAUUCCCUUCUCAUGUAACAUUGAUUUUGCCAUCUCAAUGACAGUUCUAUUCUUCCUCUCAACUACUCCAUUCUGCUGAGGAGUAUAGGCCAUUGUAAGCUGCCUUUGAAUGCCAUUAGCUUCACAAAACUCCAAAAAAUCAGUAGACAUAAACUCUCCACCCCUGUCACUUCUUAUGCACUGAACCUUGUGUCCAGUUUGUAAUUCAGUCAUGGACUUGAACUUCUUGAAACAAAAGAAGGCUUUUGACUUGUUUCUCAAGAAGUAUACCCAAAUCAUUCUUGUGAAAUCAUCUAUAAUCAGCAUGAAAUAUCUGUUCCUUGCAACAGACUCAUUUCUCAUGGGACCACAGAGAUCCACAUGUAUUAGCACUAGUACUUUGCUUGCUCUUUGAGCUUGAUCUUUUGGAAAAACAUUUCUGUGCUGUUUUCCAAAUUGGCACCCGUCACACACACCACUUUGUUCUUCCAAUUUUGGUAAACCAUGUACCAUUUCUUUAUCACUUAGCUGCUUCAAUCCUCCAAAAUGCAGAUGACCAAAUCUCUUGUGCCAAAUCCAUGUGGAUUGAAGAAAACUAGUCUUCAUUAGUAACUGUUUUUCAGCUAGAAAAGAGACAGGAUAGCAUCUGUUACUCUUCAUUUGCACCUUUAUGAUGAGAUAAUCCAUGGAUGGGCUAUCAAAUACCCUGCACAUCCCUUCUCCAAACACUAGACAGUACCCAUGUUCAUCCAUCUGCCCAACACUUAGCAGAUUUUCUUUCAAUCCUGGCAGAUACAUUACUUCUCUGAUGUAUUUCCUGCCCUUUGCUGUAUCAAUACUCAGUGAGCCAAUACCAGCUACACUCACUAAUGCACCAGUUGGCAUUUGUACUCUCCCAGCUACAUUAGUUCUCACAUCAACCAGCAAAUCUAAAUUUCCUGUCAUAUGAUUGCUGCAGCCACUGUCAAUGUACCAUUCAUUGGUUUUGAUCUCAGUGGUUGAGCAAUUGGCAUAAAACAGGUUUCCUGUAACCUCCAUUUGAUUUACACAAUUAGCCUUCUGCACAUUUUUGCUCACUGUACAGUCUCUAGCAAGAUGUCCAACUCUGUCACAGUUAUAGCAUUUUGGUUUUCCCUUAUACCUGCACUCACCAAAAUGAUGCUUUGAACACACCUUGCAUUGAGGCUUUGUGUUUUCCUGAUUUGAGAACUGUGUUGAAGUGUGGUUCUGUGCAGAAUAAUUAUUCUGCUGUGUCUUGUCUUUUGCCUCCCAUGACUUCCCUUUAGAGUUCCAGCUUCUCUGUGACUUAGAUGAACCAGACUGAGAAGCAUUUUUGUUCUGACCCUUUGAAUUCACAGUGAAUGAGGCAAAUGCCUUCUCAGCUGUAUCAACACUAUGCAUUUCAAGCCUUUGCUCCCGACUCUUCAAAAUGGCAGUUACUUCCUGCAAAUCCACAGUUUCUAGUGUCUUUGUGUUUUCAAUCACAAUGCAUAUAGGGUCAUACUUCUUACUUAGACUAAUUAACACCUUCUGAACCUACCUCUCAUUUGACAGAACUUCACCAAAUGUUUUCAUUUGGUUAAUCAAUUCAGUUAGUCUAGUAAGAUAUUCAGAUAAGGUUUCACUAUCACGCAUCCUACUGUAUUCAAACUCACGUCUAAGGUUUUGAAGCUUUACCGAUCUAACAUGCUCUCCACCAUGAUAUUCUGAGUACAGCAGAUUCCAAGCCAUCUUUGCAGAGUCAGCAUUGGCAAUUCUGGGAAAAAUCUGAUCAGAAACAGCAUUUUGAAUGAUACCCAAGGCCUUCGCAUCCUUCAUGAGAAUCGCAGCUGUUUUCUCAUCAACUUCUUCUUCUGAACCAUCCUCAGAUUCCUGCUUCGUCUUUGAAUCUGGGAUUAAAAACCCCUUCUCUACCAAACCCCAUAAACCAUAUGAUCUGAAUAUGGUUACCAUCUUAAUCCUCCAAAAUUCAUAGUUCUCACCUGAGAAAAUGGGGAUUCUAGCCUCUGAACUUCCAGAUCCAGCCAUUACGAAUUUCAGAUUCGCCUGGAAACAAGAUGUUUUCAGAUUUGACCCUUGAUCGAGCUCAAUCAGCUUCGUGAGCUUAGAAUGAGCUCACCUCGAUCGAUUUUCUUCACAGAACAACGCCCAGCUUCAGAUAAUCAAACUUGGCUCUGAGGCCAUGUUAGAGUUUUAGGAUCUGAGUGUUAGAUAUUGUGAGAAGAGAGAAGAGAAUUUAGUGAAAAUUUCCAAUACUGCUCUGCUAUACGUGUAGCAGAGAGAACAUUCUCUUUUGCUAUAUAUUUUCAGUACAACAACACACACUUGGUGUGAGAAGAAAAAUGACUGUUAUGCACAGUACCAGCUGGAUGCUUUCCAUCAAAGUAAUCUCAGCCAUUCACUAUCUAACCAAUCAAGCUAUGACACCUGGACUAAGUAUAAAGAAAUACAACUAAGCAGAAAACAAGACUCUUAAUCCUGAAAUCAACUUAAGCACUUAUAAUUCAACAUUGUUACCAUAAGAGCCAGCUCCGACUUUCUUUAAUUUCAGUCCUAACGGGGUUUCAUCUUCCACUCAUCUUUGCUCUUCUCAGUGUAAGCUCUGCAAUUUGAUUAACUUUCCCAUUAUCUCUCACUGUACUCUAUAUAAAGGAAUAAGUGUCGUCCACUAAUUAAUUACACUUUGUGAGAUUUGAUUUUAAUUAGAGUUCGAAUUGAUGUUGCAGCUAGCAGCGGUGGCACUGGCAAACCAUGCUGCUCAACCAGCACCUCAACUUUACUGGAACUCCGUCCUGCCAAACACACAAAUGCCAAGAGCUAUCAGUGAACUUCUGCAUCCUGGUUUGUGUUGAAUAAAUAUAGUAUGUUACUGGAGUACGUAUGGCAACAUAUUCACAAAUGUGUCACGUAUUUUCCAAUAUGACGUUGAUAUAUAAUUGCAGACUCCACAAACGAAGAAAAGAGCACAAAUGUCAUGAAUGCUGUUGGGAAUGGAAAGCCAAUUGACCACAAGGGCAACCUGAAAAUACUGUACUACCACAGCUUGCACGACGCCCAUUUUCUUACAAGAGUGAUGAUCGUCCCACUGACAAUCAACUCCAUUAUAAAAACGUAGCUAUUUUCUUCUUGGAGAAGGACAUGCGCCCUGGCACAACAAUGAGCUUCCAAUUCCCUAGAAAUUCAAACACGGCUACUUUCCUGCCACCAGAAAGAGCUCAAUCGAUCCCCUUCUCCUCUAACAAACUACCAGAAAUUUUCAACCAUUUUUCAGUGAAGCCAACAUCUGUGGAAGCCAAAACAAUUAAGCAAACAAUCGAAGAGUGUGAGGCUCCAGGCAUUAAGGGAGAGGAAAUAUAUUGCGCCACAUCUUUAGAAUCAAUGGUUGAUUUUAGCACUUCGAAUUUUCGAACAAGAAACGUUCAAGCAAUCUCGACAGAGGUAUUGGAAAAAGGUGCCACCAUGUCCAUGCACAAGCAUACAACAAUGCCGGGACUGAAGAAGUUGGCAGGUGACAAAGUCGUUGUGUGUCAUAAGCAGAACUAUCCCUAUGCUGUGUUUUACUGCCAUGUAAUAAAACCAACAGCAGCUUAUGUUCUCUCCCUGAAAGGCGAUGAUGGGGUGAAGAUUAAAGCAGUAGCCAUCUGCCAUCUAGACACAUCAGAAUGGAACCCAAAGCAUUUGGCCUUCCAAAUCCUCAAAGUUAAGCCCGGAACAAUUCCCAUCUGCCAUUUCCUUCCCACUGAUCAUAGUGUCUGGGUUCCGAACCACAAAUCUGCAUGAUCAUCACUUAGCACUGUACGUAUAAUAAGCUUGCACCCCUGUAUAAUUAUCUCCCUACUCUACUUAUUUCUGCCUCUUCAUGUGGUGUAAGAUAUAUGAUGAGAUGAAGUUUUUGGGAUUAGUGGUCGGGUUGCCUUAAAAACACAGAUUACAGAAACUGCUUGAACUUAACCCGAUCAUGUUUUCUCUUGUACUCGUAAAGCAUGCUGUUGUGGUUCUACUUAAUUUCGUUCUCCCCAAUGUUUGAGUGUUUAAUUGUUACGUUGGAUAAUGCUUGUAGUUAGAGAAGCCUUCAUUUAUAUCAAAGUCCUCAACUUGUAAAGAUAUCAAUGGUCCUAGUGCUGCCACGUGUAAGAAGAUUGAAGAAUAAAGCUGUUGAGAUAUUGUUAGACCUGUUAUGCAGUUUAGGAAAACUGUUAGUAUUGAUAAGAGAAGGUUAGAGAUGUUAGAGAGGUUAGAAAACACGUGAACAAGGCUUUAACUCAGCUGAUAUAAAGUCUGUAGUUGUGCUCAGUUGAACUUAAUGAGAAAUACAACAAGUCUCUUCUCUAUCUCUGAAAUUCUCUCUGCUCUCUCUGCUUUACUUCUUUUGUCUCUGCUCUACAUUUUUUUUCAAUCUUCCUAUCUUAACAAAACUAUCAAGAAUUAAUGCAUCCAGAAACAUAUAUACCAAGACGCAAAACAACAUAUUUUUCAUGCUCUGUCUGUAACACCAAAGCAAACUUCCUUUAUCACAAAAGGAUCAAAUUCCAGUACUAAUCUAAUCCAUCAUGUAAAGCAUACAAUCUACAAGUGCCUCCCUUAAUUUGUCCAUUGGAUAUAUAUGUCACUUUUUGGUAAUUUGGUAUAGCAGCACCACGUAGUCUUGAAAUAGUAGUGCGGCUAUACCAAAUAUACCAUUUGCCCCUGCAUUUAACAGAAAAGUAAACAAAAUUGACGGUAGAACUAUUUGUCCUAACGAAACUGCAGUUGAAAGACCAUGAGAACGAUUUUGAAAAUUGAGGGACUCAAAUGAAAAUUGGGUCUAAGUUCAAGAACCAAUAAAACGAUUAACCCAUAGAUUUUGGAUCCAGUACCACAUCCCAAAGAGAAAACCACAAGUUUGCAAGCAAGUUUGUCCAUAAUAACACUACGUACAGUAUGGGCAGUGCGCUAGACUCAUCUCACUUUCUCAACCUAUCCUAUAGUUGUCUAAAAGAGUUUCUAAUUUAAUGUACUGAGAUUUACGAAAGAAAUAUCAGAGAAACAAUUUUCAGGCAAUAAAAAAAUGUCUUGGCAAGAAAAUGUACAAUUUGUUACAUAACUUAUUAAAUAUGAACAGUUGAAAGAAAAAAGAAUCUGGAUGAGGGAUUUGCAAAUUCCUAUGGCCCAAUUACCUUUUUUUCUUUGUUGUUUUUUUUUUUUUUUUUUUGGUUCUUUUGAUCCAGUAGCAUAUUCCAAAGAAUGAAAACCACAGGCAUGCAAUGCAAGCUCUUUUCCCACGUUUUCCUCUGUUUUUCUCCUAUCAUGGAAGUGAUUAAAACACACCUCUAAGCUUGUUUUGCGUUUGGUAGCCGAGUGUAAAAGCUCAAUGCAAGAUAGUUUGAGGUAGAAUUUUCUCCUAUUUUAUUAGGACAAUGAUAAUUAAAAAAAAGUGUGAUUCAUUGAAUAUUUGCGGGGUUUUGUUCAGACCUGACAAAGUUCUAAGUCAACACAUCAAAUUCCUUUUUCCAACAUGCAACAAUUGUAUUUGAUUCCCAAUUUUUUCUGAUAUACAUCACAUCAUGCCACUUGCAUCAAAUGAAUUUAAUUGAGUGAGGCAAUGGGAAGUAAUUAAGCUCUGUAUUCGUGGGUGGAGUGUUACUUCUGGAACCCUAAUAAUUCGUCCCUACAGGACUCUAGAACUCUCAAACUUCUUACAAGGACUACUUAACUCUAUAGCUUAAUGCAUAUAGCAUAUAUAUGCAAACACAAUUAGAAAUUCUACAACAGAAGCAAGAUCAAUCUCACUAUGCCUUCUAAACAAACAAACAAAUAAAACAAGCAUAUUAAUUGCUUUAAUCACUCUACUAACAUCAACACAGCACACUUAGUUUACUAACAGAUGAUAUAGAAAGGAAAAAAAAGGACCAAUAGGGAGAAAAUGGUGAACUAAGGAGAGACUAAUACUUCUGGUCCUUAGAAGGCAUAACAGAAAUAAUAGAGCACACUGCUUGAAUGCAAGUCAGUAUUAGGAGCAAAACAGCUGCAAUGAAAGAAAUAGUUGCCCAAGGUGUAUUGAAAUAAUGUUGCCUCAAAUUUGCCUUCCAUUUGUUCCAAGGCUUUCUGCAGUAGCUAUUAAGGCGCUCAGAAAGAAUAGCAAAGUAGAAGCUUUCACGAUACACUGCAAUUCCUUUUCCGAGGUUGUUAAUCAGAGUGCACACCUCAUUGUAGUCACCAAGCAUAUUUUUGACAAUCCCAUCCUUCAGAAGGAACUCCACAUCCUUUUCGGUGUUCACAAACUCAUCCAUGAGUGAAACAUAAUCACUUAUGUAAUUCUUACGGCAAUGGCACUAUUCAAAGGCAAUGAGGUUACGGAGUGUGAGCUCUGUGUAAUCGUGUAUUUUUAGUUUUGGAAUUUCUAGAAUCCCAUCGUUGAAUUGUGUUAACGCAGCUUUCCUUUCCUAGCCUACACGGAAGUCAACUUCACAAUCUCCUCCUAGCAAUUAGUCUUUCCUGCUGUAAAUCAGAUUUCCUACUGUAAAUCGGAUUGUAUUCAUGUCUAUAUUAUUUCCUACUUUAAGUAGAUAUCUUGUACUAGUAUAAAUAGGGACUUUGUGUAAUCUGUUAAAUACAAGGAAAUAUAUACUCUGCAUGGUAUCAGCCUAACCUAGGGUUCUCUCUCUCUCCCUUAUUCGAUCCUCUUCUCCUUUAGGUCCACCUCAUGGCUUUGUCUGAAUCCACCAUCUCCCUCCCAAGCCCCAACUCUUCUAUUUUAUCAAGCUUAUUGACUCCAACUAUCUUCUUUGGCUCCGCCAACUCAAACCCUUUUUAGUCGGCCAUGACCUCUGGAAAUUUAUCGAUGGCAUUCAUAAACAACCUUCUGCCCACACCUCCACCUCUACCACCGCAACACCCACAACCACCACCACUCUUACCCAAAUCAAUCAUGCCCAUGCUCAGUGGUACCAACAAGACCAACUCAUUGUUAGCUACAUCACCAAUACACUCUCUGAGUCCAUUCUCUUUCUCACUGUUGGUUGCACCUCUGCCCGGGAUCUCUGGGAGUGUCUCCAACGCCACUUCUCUCAAUCCAGUAUGGCCAGUGAAUCUACUCUUCGUUUUAAACUCAUGGAUUUGCAAAAAGGCUCUGAACCCACUUAUGCUUACAUUCGUCAUGCUAAGUCCUUUGCCGAUUCACUGGCUGCCAUCAAUGAACCUGUCUCCCCAAAAGAACUUGUCACUACUGUGCUUUGGGGUUUAAGACCCUAUUGCAACAUCCUCGUCACAGCAAUUCUCAAUUUCCCUCUGCUUCCUAACUUUGCUAAUCUUCGUGCUCGUUUGUUAGCAUUUGACGCACAGACUCCUUGAAUCUCUCCUGAUCAAAACACAGCGCAAAUGGCCACCCAAUCCUCUCCUCACACCACCGGUCAUACUUCCUUCCCUUCUCACCGUGGUGGUGGCUCUUCCAACAACAGGCGUGGUGGCCUCGGUGGCUGGCGCAAUAGCGGCCGGGGUGGCUGGCGCAGCUUCUCAUCUUCCUGGAGCAACCCGUGGAAUGGCUUCCAGCAGCUCCAAUGACCUAAUCAACCAUGGCCUCCUUUUGCUCCAAGUUCUGGAUCUCAAAGCAACUGGCCUUCCUUUCAGCCUCCUUGGGCCUAAUCUGCCGCUUCUAUCAAACACUUUGCCCGGCCCAACUCAGCUCCUGGUGUCUUGGGACCCGCUUGGUGCACUACCUGCAAUACCAAUCACAUACUACUACAAUAUGUCCUCAUCGCUACAAUGGCCCAGAAUCCUUUCUUUGCUAGGGCUCAAUUCAUGUAGCCACCUGACUCUACUUGGUACCCUGACACAAGUACCACUCAUCAUAUGAUUGGUAGUCCUUCUAAUCUCCAAAAUCAAUCCUUCUAAUCUCCAAAAUCAACAGCCAUAUCAGGUUCAUAAUUCUGUAUUUCUUGGUAAUGGAGAUUCUCUCCCUAUCUCUCAUACUAGCUCUCUCUUUUGUCUUCCAUCUCUUCGUACUAAUCUUCUUUUUGUUGCCCAUUUUACUUGUGAUAAUUUAGUUUUCUUUGUCUUUACUCUUGACUUUUAUCAAAUCUAUGACUUAUGUACUGGUUCGUUACUCUUUCAGGGCCCUUCUAAAGAUGGUCUUUACCCACUUUCCAUCUCCUCUCACUCAUCCAUAGUCCCCCAUGCCCUUACCACCGUGCACUCUCCUGCUUGGCAUCAUUGCCUUGGCCAUCCAUUCCAUCGUGUGCUCUCUCAUUUAGCGCCAUCUCUAGGCUUUAAAGUUUCUCAUGCUUUCUGUAAGGAUUGUGCACUUAGCAAAUCCACCAAACUGUCAUUUCUUAGUAAUAAAACCUUUGCCCCAUCUCCCUUUUAUUUAAUUCACUCUGAUGUAUGGAUGUCCUCGGUCAUUUCUGUCACUGGUUAUCGCUAUUAUGUCUUGUUUACAGAUGACUUUUCUCGUUACUCCUGGAUCUAUCAUAUGCACCGUAAAAAUGAGGUCUUUUCUCACUUUCAAACCUUUCUUGCUAUGGUUAAAAAUCAAUUUCACACCACUGUACAAAUUCUUUAAAGUGACAAUGGCACUGAAUAUGUUAAUAAUGCUUUCUCUGAUCUUUGCAGUCAACUAGGCAUCCACCAACGUUUCACAUGUCCCCACACUCCCCAACAAAAUGGCCUAGCUGAACAUAAACACAGACACAUUGCCACCAUGAUCUGUCCCCGGUCAUUUAUUCAACCAUCUUGACCUUUUGCUUGAUCAUUUUCCACAAGCAACCGUCCACGUACCCCAAUAAUUUAAAAGGGCUGAUGAUCUUUAAUUUGGUGAAAGCUUCUAUCUACCUACCGUGCUAUAUAUGAGCUAUGCAAUCGUGACCGUGUUACAUGACGUCCCAAUGUCGUAGGGAUAAAAAAAUAAUAGUCAUGGUUUUCUUAUUAAUGUCAAUACAUUCAUAGCAAAGAGCUUGUAGCUCUAGUGGUUAAGAGCAAUUACCCAUGCACUUGAGAUAUUUUGUGUUUAAAUCCCCUCUUCCCCAAUAUUUCUUGUAUAAAAAUAAAAAUAACAAUAAUAAUGACAUUAAUGUUGUAUUCUAUAAAGUGUUGGACAUGUUUUAUACCCCUUUCUUGCAAAUUACAGUUUGCCACGUGUACAAAAAUAAUAGAUAAGUGUUGGACAUCAAGAGCACUUACAUAUAGGUUUAAUAGGUAAGUUUUGAAUAUUUCUGUAUUUAGCUUUAAAUAUUGAAAAUCAACCUAUUAGCAUAUUAAAGAUUUGUCCAUAUUCGACGUACAUUCUCUUAUUUUUCUCUCAUUGAAGUAAAUACAAAACUAAGCACAUAGUGGGAAAGUGCGUCACGAUUAGGGGUGGGUUUAGUCUAGGUUGGUUCAUUUUUGGGCUCAAUUUGAACACCGAACUGUAAGCUUCGGUUUGGCUAUUUUGGAAACCGAAACCAAACCAUAAUUGAUGAAAACCGACCACUUCGAUUACCUUCUGGUCUUCCAACCAGAAGAAAACUCAAAACUUUAACCAUACCAAGUGCAACAGAAUUACACCAGGCUGGAUUCAAGUUUAUGAUGGUUAAAGAUAAAAACUUAUUUGACAUACAAUUUGAGAAUGGAAUCCUCAAAAUUCCACACCUGCGAAUACGGGGUUUAACAGAAAUUUUCUUCCGCAAUCUUAUUGCCUAUGAGCAGUGUGAGCUUCAUGAUCAUUACAUCAACGACUAUGUCUUCAUCAUGGACCGCCUGGUCGACAGUGCCAGGGAUGUGGAAUUGCUUGUGAAGAGUGGAAUUCUUGAAUCUAUGCUACCGGACAGCGAGGCAGCAGGGGAAUUUAUUAAUUCUCUUGACUUGGGGCCUAUUUUAGGCAAGCUUGAAACAAGACUAUUUCAGUUCACCAUGGGCUGGCCUGUCUAUUAUUGUAGCCGCUAUACUAGUUGUGCUCACAUUUAUUCAAACAGUGUGCUCCGUAAUGGCGCUGUAGGUUCUUCAUUUCCUCAAUUUCAUGUUUAGUGGUUGCAGAUUUGUUGCUCAUGUACGUGUUUAUCUAAAGUUAAAUAAGAGUGAUUGACUGGAUUGACUGUUAGUCUGUUAGUUUGUUUUUCUGGGGUUUUUCCCCCCUGUUCGUCAAAAAAAAAAAUAAAAGAGUGAUGGCUUGUGCCUAUGAAAAUUACUUAGGAGUAUGCUCCACAGAGCCAAAAUAAAUAAACUAGGGAAGUGGAGGUUCUUCUGUUUGUAUAUAAAUGAGCAAUUCAAACUCUCAGUGCCAAGGGAGUUACCCUUGAUACAUUUGUUAAAAAUUAUAUAUUUGGUCUUACAUCAAACAAAUAAUUUGAAGGGCUUUUUUGACAACUGCUGACAGCGUUUGGCAGAAAAGUUUAGAAGCGCUUCUACGCUUCUAGAUCAUAAAAGUGCUUUACCAAAAAGCACUUAGAUUUCUUAUGAAAAUUUCAACAUUUUUAUAAUAAAAGCGCUUGCUAGAAGCACUUAUAAGCAGAAGUGCUUCAUAGAGAAGCAGUCCCAAACGAGCUUGAUUUUCAAAUGUGCUGCUUAAGAAGAAAUUUAAUACGUUUUGAAAACAAAAAAAAAUACGAAAUUUAAUACGUUUGUUUUACAAAUUGUAUUAAUUGUUAUCAAUAAUACUUGUGCACACCCACAACAUACUUCUUUCUUUCUUUAUUUUCCUUCAGUACAGUUCUGCCUUUCUUUAAUUAUUUUUAACGAAUGCAAAGAGUUUGUCACAAAAUCAAGGAUUGAAAAAAAAAGAGAGUAAAUUAUGUGCUAGAGAAACUUUCCUGCAGAAAUUGAAGAACAACUCUAGUUUCUCUCUUUCGCCUUGUACUCCCGCACUGAGGUUAGUAUUGUUAUAAUGUGCAGAUUAUACGGUCACUCUUGUAUAAUGGCGAGAAGGCUCUAAUUAUAUUUUUGAACCUCUUUGACAGGACCCGCCCCGAAUUUCCCGAAACCCAAGACGAAUUCUGUGGAAAUUCCCUACAUCACCCCGAUGUUGGGCCCACUUCUAAAACUAUAUCAUUUUUCCUAAAAAGGAAUAAGGGCACGAGACUUUCUACCGAAAUUUCGGCAGAGUCUCUCCUGUAAAUUGAACAUUUCCCAAAAUUUCAACCUGCAUAAAACACAUUUUAUAUUACCCAACUGGCAGCAUGCACAAAAUAAUAACAUGCAAUUCACAUAAACGGCCUCUGGCCCUCCGGUAAUUCAGAGCAAUGCAAACUAGCAACUCUAAACCUAAUAAAACAACAUAAGUAACAUUUAGCCAGCGGCUGCACCCAGGCACUACCCUAGGCUACCUACGUACCCUUACUAAGGGAUCAAGCCACACGUAGUUCUUUCAUACAAAAUUUCCAAAUCCAUCAACAUGCAAUCAAUUACAGAAUCCCAAACAAAAUCUUUCUCAAACAUCAUUAGUUCCCAACUCAGUAUAAUAAUCCUUAAUUCAUCUCUGUAAUAAUCACAAUAUCUCCCCAUACGCCGGAACUACCAACACCACGUAUGGAGCCUGCCUGUACGCCAGAUAACCAACGACACGUGGGACCUCAUCAUCAUAUCACAUAAUCUCCCCAUACGCCGAAACUACCAACACCACGUAUGGGGUCUGUCAACACGCCGGAUAACCUACGACGUGUGACCUCAACAUCAAAUCACAAUAUCUCCCCAUACACCGGAACUACCUACGCCACGUAUGGGGUCUGUCCACAUGCCGGAUAACCUACGACACGUGGGACCUCAUCAUCAUAUCACAUAAUAUAUUAACGAUCAAGAAAUAUCACUACGGUCAUUUAAUCCUCCUGGGAAGGUAAAACUAUCUCAGGAGACUCACGGUCAACCAAGGGUCAAACUACCUCAUACUUGGACAAACGAGCCCACGGAGCCCACAACCUCCGUUUUACUAUCCAAGAGUUCCUAUAGGUUCUACAAGGUUUAGGAUACACGGCUUGCAAGUUUGGUCAAGAUCAGACGGUCGGAUCGCUCACGAUAGGACGGUUACUGCAAACCUAGCCCUAGGGUUGGCAUUUUCGGAGUAUCCGAAACUCCGUUUUACGAUCUGUCGAAUCAUAGACGAUCCUAAGGAUUUGCAGACUAACUAUAAUAAAUUCAAGACCAUCCAACGGUCUAAACCUAUCGAACCCGGAUAACGCGCAAUAGGCAAUAUCCAAAUUGAAAUCCGAGCACACCUACGCACUCGUGAGGACUAGGAGAUUACAUCGGGACAUAGUGCCCUUUUUCUACAGUGCCCAUGAGCCGCCGCACGCACCAGCAACGCGUGGGUGCCCAAAGCGAUUAUGCAUCGCCAAAAAAUCUCAAAACCACGGCUCAAGACUCCUACCCUAGGUAUAACACCCUAUUUGGAACCACUUUUGUUCUUGGACCUACCCCAAAAACUGAUCAGAAGUGGCCGGAAUGGCUGAAAUGUAAUUCAAAAAUCAAGCUACCAACGCUCAAAAUCGAUGCAAUCCUACCCAACCAUCAACUAGAUUAUGAAGAAUGGAUAAAUUUCCAUACCUUGAUCGCCAACAAUGGCGGCCGGAGGAGAGAGAUCUGAUCCGGCGAAGUUCGAGUGAAAACGGCCAAAAAUCAUCUUUUUCAGGCGGCUGGAGGGCGACCGAUGUCAGGGAAGGGCAGGGUCGUGACGCUAAGGCUGAGCCUGUCCUUUUGGCACCGGUCCCUUCCGCAGCCGUGUCCGGUGGCUGGAGUUUCGAAGAGAGAGAGAGAGAGAGAGAGAGAGAGAGAGAGAGAAAUCUGAUUUUUAUCAAACCUUUUUGCCAAAAUUACGGUUAUGCCACUGAGGGUAUUUUGAUAGUAUCUCUCUCGUUACAACUUCGAUUCGAGCCCACCACGUGUGUACGGACUCAUCUAACUGUGUUGUACGCAACGGUAUAGUCGAAAUUCCCAAAUUAUUUCCUUGUCAAAAAGUCAACUUUAAACAUUAUAAAAUAUUUUAGGGAAAAAAUGGUAUUUUCUCUCAAUAAAUUAGUAACUAAUUUAUUUAGGACUGGGUCAUUAUACUCUUUUUCGCUUCAAUGGAUGGGAAAAAAUUUUAUGUAAUAUCCCACAUCGACCAACGAAGAGGGGGCGAUGUGUCUUAUAUGUACAUGCCCGCCUCCAUCUAGCAUAAGGCCUUUUGGAAGCUCACUGGCUUCAGAGUCAUGGGAACUCCGAAGUUAAGCGAGUUGGGGGCUAGAGCAAUCCCAGGAUGAGUAACCCACUGGGAAGUUGCUCGUGAGCUUCGAGAAACAAAACCGUGAGGGCAGAGAGAGGGGCCCAAAGCGGACAAUAAGGCCUCGUGCUAGAUGGAGGCGGGCAUGUACAUAUAAGGCACAUCACUCUCUCUCCGUUGGUCGAUGUGGAAUGUUAGAAUGGAAUUGUUACCUUUGGUGUGGAGGUGUUCUAUCAUUUGAGCAAGAAAUUCCCACAUAUUCUUCAACUAUUUUUCAAGCAUGCAUAUUCCUCCCUAUCAAUCUUUGGUUUCUUCCUUUACUGUGCAUAGUAAGGAUCCAGUCAGGGACGGACCGUCGCUAUGACUAUCCUGGGCUAUAGCCCAGGCAAAUUAUUUUUUUUUCUAGUCUAAAAUAGCAAUCCCACCGCUUGCUGUAGUACUUGUUCAGUUCGUCACAAACAUGAGCAUAAUAGAAGUUAUCAACAUCUAUAUAGGAACCCCAAUGAAAAGGCUGUUAACUAAUAAUGAAGUUAACCCGUCAAUUUUUCCGCAUAUCAGAUAUCUCUCAGAAUAUGCGAUUCCAUAUUCAAUAAGCCACUCCACAUGCCCUGAGGUUUUCAUCAAACCACCCAUUAAGGAAACAUACUGACUCAUGUAAUUAUCAUUACUCAUCGGGUAAUGCAAUUGUUCAAAGGCAAGGACAUUUCUCAUUAUUUAUGUAGCGAACCCCAAUGGAAAUGGUGGGAUCUUCAGAACCCCAUCGGUGCUACUGAAUUGUAUGUCAAAUAUGUUUUCACCUUGUCACGCCUCAAACUUGACUCCAGCGUGCUGUAAUUCUGUCAAGCUGGGUAUGGAUGAUGGGAGUUUGAUGCAGGAGCAUAGGGGUGGAUCAAGAUAGAUAUUUACUAUUUAAUUAGUUAUUUCAUGAUAUAUUGUUAUUUUCUUAUUUAGGUAGUUUUAUGAUAUCUUUUAUUAUUUAUGUGUGAUUUUAUAAUUAAUUAGUAUACUUUUGGACCAAGUAGCCUUGGUGCUCAAGUCUUGUAAAGCCUAUAAAUAAGGCUAAUGUAAUAGUUGUAGAAUAGAUGUCGAUGAUUAAUAAAAUCGUUUAUUUGUGGCAUGGAUUUGCUACGAUAUAUGUGAGUUUGCACUAGCCCUAGAUUUCAGUGCUCGUGUAUGUGGUUGGUGACCUGUGUCCGGAUCCCGAUCCCCAUCAAUUGGUAUCAGAGCUAUGGCUCAAGAUCUGCUAUAUCGGGGAGGUUUUUGGAUGGAGGGUCGUUUUAACAACUACAACGACAUGGAGGAAAUUAGGAGGAUGCUACGGCAACUUAUGGAACACAUUGCUCGCAUUGAAGCUCGAACCCAGAUAGGUAAGAGUUCUGACGGGGAGGGAUGUGUGAACCCUUAUCUGAACCGAGUAGCUCGCAUCGACACUCUAAGCCGUGAGAGUCUCGACGGGGAGUACGAGGGAGAUAGCCCUUUUCAUUAUUGUGCUCCGCUGUGUGAGUCAAGUGAAGAGGGGCACGGUUAUUCUCAUUGUGUCUUUGAAGGUAUAAAUGAAUUUAGUAAUUUUGGUGCAUCUUGUUAUUCAUCAAAGUUAUUAAAUUUGGAUUUACCUCCAUUAUUUGAUCCUUGCAAUUGUGAAAAUUGCAAUAAAAAUUGUUUGGGUGUUCAAAGCAAUUUUGAUAAGCAAUUUAUUGACCAGAACAGUGAAGAGAUGAGAAUUGAGAAAACUUUCGAAGAUAUUAUUGAUUUUAUGGGCAUUAAUAUUUUCACUUGGAAGGUUGCCAAAAAUCUGGUUGAUUUUGUCAAUCGGUUGAAGAUUCUAGAGAGAAACAUUUGCAUUGCUAGAGGGAGUAAGAAGUCAAGAAUAACGAAAUAUUCCAAAUAUCUUUUUAUUUGGAAAGGAAGGUUUCAAUUGGAUGCUAAAAGAUCCAAAAUUAAUAUGCAGCAAUUGAAGAUUCUACUCGGAUUUUCCUUAAUCAAAGGCUUGAAUUCGAGGACGAAUUCUUUCCAACUAUGGGAGUCUGAUGCAGGAGCAUAGGGGUGGAUCAAGAUAGAUAUUUACUAUUUAAUUUGUUAUUUCAUGAUAUAUUGUUAUUUUCUUAUUUAGGUAGUUUUAUGAUAUCUUUUAUUAUUUAUGUGUGAUUUUAUAAUUAAUUAGUUUACUUUUGGACCAAGUAGCCUUGGUGCUCAAGUCUUGUAAAGCCUAUAAAUAAGGCUAAUGUAAUAGUUGUAGAAUAGAUGUCGAUGAUUAAUAAAAUCGUUUAUUUGUGGCAUGGAUUUGCUACAAUAUAUGUGAGUUUGCACUAACCCUUGAUUUCGGUGCUCGUGUAUGUGGUUGGUGACCUGUGUCCGGAUCCCGAUCCCCAUCAGAGUUCCCCUCCAGCUUUUGAUUCCAACGGUUGAUAGAGUUUAAAUAUUUUCCUGAAAAGAUCAAUAAUAUGUGCCACUGAUCUAAAAGUCUCCAAAUUGUCUUCCAAUUUGUCAACAGGCAAUAGAUGUUCGAAGAAACUGAAAGAAAUACAAAUUAUUGAAAGCCCCUCAGUAAUGCUGUUAUUGUCAGCAUUAGCAGGGAGUGUAAUUUUCUGUGGGUCGAAAAGAUCCUCGAGAAUGAAGAAUGGCAACUGAUUUUCAAGCAACCACGUAUCUGUCCAUGCAUCUUGCAACAUACCUGGUUUGUCAAAUAUGCGGUCAUUUUCGUCCCAAAAUUUGAAGUAGUCCUUCAAUAAGGGCUCAAUAACGAAGGCGGCGCCCACUAGAAUGAUUGUUACAAAUUCAUCACUGCUAAACUUGAUGGGUUCUCCAUAACAACGUCUCAAUCUUGCUUCGUGGUCCUUUAUUUUCUUAAUAUAAUCCUCCAAACUCACAUUGGUCCGACCUAUAAAAUCUUGCAGGUAUCUCUGUUUGUUCUCUUCCAAUACGACAUUCAAGCCUUCCUUUCCAUGGUGAAGUGGACCUAUAGAGACCGACUGCCUGAGGUGUGCAGAGCUUUUCAUUCACACAUACGUAGAUAAAAUGUCUGGGGGCUCAGAGAGUGAUGAAUGUGCAACAGCUAAUGGGAGGGUUUAUAUUCCUGAAGUAAGAAAUGAGGAAACACCAGCAGUUGGGAUGAAGUUUGACUCGCUUGACCUCGUUUACAAUUUCUAUAAUAGAUAUGCAUUCUUGGCUGGCUUUGGUAUUCGACUUCAUUCUAGCUUUUGGGGGAAAAAUAAGAAAGAGAUUUUGAGGAAAGAAUUUGUAUGUUGCAAACAAGGUGCAUACAAGAAGGAUGAAACUCGGGAGAGAAAAAGACAACGGGGAAUAAGUAGAUGCAAUUGCAAAGCAAAGAUUGUGGUUGUGAAGACAAAUGGGAGCAAGAAGUAUACCAUUUCUCUUUUUGCAGAGGGACACAAUCAUAAGAUGACACCCUCAGAAAGAAUGCAUUUAUUGAGAUCACACCGUCAUAUUUCAGAUUCUACAAAAGUACUCACAAAACAGUUGGGUUCAGUUAAUAUUCCCAUUCAUCAGAAGGUAAGUAUAUUCGAGGUGCAAUCCGGAGGAAUGGAUAAAAUCGGUUUUAUCAAAAAAGAUAUCUACAAUCUUGAAUGUAGUGUGAAUGGGAAGCUGAGGAACCACGAUGUUGAACUAGUGACCGAGUAUUUUAUGGCUGAACAGAAAAAAAAUGAGGCUUUUUAUUUCAAGAUUGAGGGAGAUGGGCAUGACAGGUUUAGUCGAUGUUUUUGGGCAGAUGCAACUUCUAGACGGGCGUAUGGGUUUUAUGGAGAUGUUGUUGUAUUCGAUACCACAUUCAACACGAAUCGAUACGACUUGACAUUUGCACCAAUGUUGGGAGUUAAUAACCAUGGUCAGACAAUUGUCUUAGCAUGCGCAUUUUUGAGCAAGGAAACGACUGAGUCGUUUGUUUGGAUGUUUGAGGAGUUUAAGAAAGCCAUGCCAGGUGGGGAACCUAAAACGAUCAUUACAGAUCAAGAUGCGGCAAUGGCCAUAGCGAUUUCAAUAGCCUUCCCGAGUACAUUUCAUCGACUUUGCAUAUGGCACAUCACAUCAAAGUUCUCUGUUAAGUUACCACGUGACGCUUAUAAGGAGUAUUGGCCUGAAUUUCAGAAAGCCAUAUGGGAUACUGACAAUAAGGAUGAGUUUGAUGCAAAAUGGAAUAUUGUGGUUAUAAAGGCUGGUUUGACUGACCAUCCAUGGCUAAGUUCAAUGUUUGAUUUAAGGGAAUCUUGGGUUCCAGCCUACGCACGACAAUUUUUUGCCGCUGGAAUGUCAAGCAGCCAAAGAGCGGAAGGUUCUCAUGGUUUUUUCAAGCAAUACAUAUCAAGGAGAAAUUCGUUGAUGGAUUUCAUAAUACGAUUUGAGAGGGCAUUUUCUCAUCAACGUGAAAAAGAGUUAGUUGCUGAUCACGUAGAUGCAUUUGAAGUGGCUCAAUGUCUUCUACCGAUGCCAAUGAACAAACAAAUGGCUACCUUGUACACAAGGACAAUGUUUCAAAAGUUUGAGCAAGAACUAAUACAAAGUACAGCAUGUUUCCUAGAGCUCAAAACAGAGGAUGCAUGUAAAGUUGUGUUCAACGUGAGCGAAAGGAAAAAUUGGGAAACAAGAGUGGCAGAAGUCGUAUAUGUCAAAGAUUCUGACCACGCAUCGUGUAGCUGCAAAAGAUUUGAAUUUGUUGGAAUUAUUUGCAAGCACAUCCUAGCAUUGUUCAGAAGGGACCAGAUUGAAUAUAUGCCCGAUAAAUAUAUUUUGAAGAGGUGGAAGAAAACUGCGAAAUGUGGAUUGGUGUCAGAUGCAAAUGGCAACGAAAUUAAAGACUGUGCAGAUCCUGGCCUUCUAAUAAAGCGGAGUACAAUGUCUCGACUUGCUUCAAAUGUGGUUGAGGAUGCAUUAAUGAGUGAAGAAGGAUGUGAGCUACUGUCAGAGACUCUAAAAAGUUUGCAGGUGAAGUUGAAGUUGCUGAAGGAUGGACCAAGUAAUAACGAAGUUGGAGGGUCCAGCUCUCAAACACAAUAUAUGAAAGACCCUAAGAGAGUGAGGUGCAAAGGAAGGUCGAAAGGAAUAACGGGAGCAAAGGAAAAGGCAAUGAAGCGAGGGAUUAGACACUGUCGGGAGUGUGGACACAUUGGUCAUGAUAGAAGACAAUGCCCAGCCUUGAACACACCGUAAGAUGCUACCACUAUUUGUAAUAAUAUCUAAAAUAUGAAAAGGUAAAAUUUUUAUGUGCUUGUGUUUGAUGUUUAUGCAGGACAUCACCGUCGAACAAUGACAAAUCAACUCCAAUACAUCGUAGUGACCCAUUAUUCGACGAUUUUGACAAGAUGCACAGACCAACUGAAUGAUUGAUAUUUGUAUUAGACGAAAUGUGGUUGUUAUGAAGAUUAAUGAUCAAGUGAAGUUUUAUAGAUUCAGUUUUUGAAUGUUAUUGUGUUUUUGUUCAUGUCCACCGAUGAGCUCUUACUAUGUCCACUGGUAAUUGAAAUGAAAAUUUUCUUGGUUUCAUUCUUCCAAGACAUUUGGAGACAUGUUAAUUUUACGUCUUCUCCCUAUUUAUAAAUUUUCAUAGACAUUUGAUCAAGUUUGAAAUUUGUAGUUAUGUGAAGAAGCAAUGACUCUUACCAUGUAAAAUGGGCAGUUUAGGGUGAAAUUUGUUUUAACAGAGAUUCAUUUUUCAAUUCCUCAGGGUAAUGCAGCAAUUACAGCAGCCAGCUGUUGUUUCCAUUACCAGUAAUCAUUUCCAGCAGCAGCCACUUUUUCCGACUGGUUAUUAGGGGCACGAUUUUGUACACUUUUGUAAGUGAAGGAUACUCGAAGCACUUUGUUGGAACAGAGCAAAUAGAAACCAGCGGGUAAAAAAAAAACAUAACAUUGCAGCUAAUUACAUUUCGAUACAUAGGUGAAAAAUAUUAAAGGGUACACUAACUUACAUAAAUACUCAUAAUUCCACACACAAAAGAACAUUUGAUUGCAAAACAUAUUAUGUGCUUCCUCAUAGCAAUACCACGAUCUCCCCAACCAACUGAACAACGGUAGCCACAAUCACUGGGUCGUACUCGUCAGCUUCUUCUUAGCAGGUCUCACAUGCUUAUGGCCACUCAUAUCCCUAGUGAUAUACACGAAAUAAAUCUUCAGCAAUAUUUGGAAUUUUAUUAUAUAUAAAUAAACCAUAAACCAUUCAGUAAACAAUGUAUAGCACAUGUUAUGUAACUUAUGACUCACGUGUCAGUUUUUUUUUUAACACAUUAGUACUCCAGCUCUUUAAUGUAAAUGGACAUGAUAAGGAGCAUUUACUGAUUCCCGGCUUUCUAUGAUAUUGACUGCUUCUUGAAUAAUAUUUCCAUAUUUGCAAAAUAUAAUGUUAGACAUUAUAACACAUGAUGACUUGCAAUACAUAGUCCCAAUAAUUAUAUAUCAAGCAAAUGAAACUGAUAUUUGUGUUAUUUUAAGUUAGAUAAUGACAUUAAGGGAGUAUAUGUGCAAUACCACGGUCACCCUCAACCAACUGAACAGCGGUAGCCGCAAUCACUUAGUCGUAUCGGUCGGCUUCUUCCGAGCAGCUUUGACGUGCUUAUGCUCAUUCAUGUCACCCCCAUCGUCUAGUAUCUCUCUCACAGCAUCAGGGGACACAUAGUUCCAAUCAUAACUUGUAUGAGUAGUUGCCGCAAAUGCUCGGAAUUUGUCGAAUCCUUCGUUGAAUGCCAACUCCAGUUCAGUAUGGUGCUCUUCGCAUCGCAUAUGGUUCAUCAAACAACCUUUGAUUUCAUCAUUCAUUACUGUAUCCAACUCCUCAGCUUUCAGCUUCCUGCUAUGACUCAGCUUCAAGUACUUGUUCUUUUGGGAUAACGCUUUGUUCACCCUAAUGUUAAGAUCAGCCAAAAUUGCCUCGUCUUCAACACAUUUCUCGUGCCAUGAAUUGAUCAGUCUGGAAUUAUAAUCCAGCUUGCCACUGACUGCAUGUAUUGCCUGUAAUGGAUCAUCGGAGUCCCCCUCACUCCCAAAUGAUGUUGAAAAAGGAAGGGGUCGGCGAGUACAAUGUGGAAAUAGAACCUGCCACUCCAAUUUGUCAUCUUCGAUUGUGUUGUUGGCGCCUGAAGAGGUUGACAUGCUUGAAUAAUCCUCUUUGUUUUGGGAGGAUGAGGAUUGCAUAUGCAAUUUCGUUUGAGAAAGGGAACAUAGGUUUAUAGACCAACAUACCAAAGCUUGUGUGUAGUCAACAUAUGUACUUUUUGGCGGGAAUUUUUUAAAAAUAGGUGUUAGGUUUUGCUUUUCAAGCAUGUCAACCUCACACUCUCCUGACACCACUGCUAGUGGUUGAAACAAAGUCAAUGGAAGUGACAUCUACUUAGUUAACUCAACCAAACUAGUUAGGAUUAAACUUAGAUUGUAUCAGACCAAAAAAUAAUUUCUACUUUGUCAACCAAAUAUUUUUUGGCGGGAACCCUUUUCUUGGUAUUACUAUCACCCCUUUCAUAUAAAAUCUCCUUCCACACAAAACUCACUCCUCCACCGAAUCUGUCUCCAUCUACCGAUACUCUCUCAAGCAAACAAACUCAUUCCCCCCAAAGAAUGAGCAUAAGCACAACCAAGUUUGAUGUGAGCAUAAUAAACACCCCUCCAAACAAAGACCGGCUUCGACACGCAAGUGAGUCACCGGACAAGCAAUGUCACAUUGCUAGACAGAAUGACCAUUUUGUUGGAAGUUUUGAGUCUGAAAGAGUUGUUGCUUUUUGGAAGGAGAGGCAUCUUCAACUUGGUGAUGAAAUCCAAAGGGCAAGGGCACGUUUGGAAUUUGUGGAAGGCCAAAUUGAAGAUGACAAAAGGCAGGCCAAUCUGGAUAGGGCGAAGUUGUAGCGCAUGAAGCGUAGACACAAACGACUUCGGAGUGUAGCUGUUCAAAAAUACAAGAACUCAUCUAAUGUAGUGGAGUCAAAGAAGCGUGUGAUGCAAGCUGGAUUCGACUACUUCCGAUCCUAUGCAAAACUCGUCGUACCCGGGUUUGAUUGGUCAUCUAUUACCGUUUCCGACGUCACCAAAUAUACUCAGCAAGGGAAGUAACCAUUUUGGUUCUCGUGUUUUAGCAGAGGCAAAUAAGUGGAAUUGGAAUUUUGGUUACACUCUGCUUCAAAGCUAUUUUGAUGCUAACUACUAUGGAAGAUUUAAACCUUAAUAUUUUGAUGUCUUUAAUUACGAAAACAGAAGAUGCAAAGAGCUCAUCUACUUCAGCCAUAUGUUGCUGCCAUGUCCAUUUGUUUUUGAUCACUUAUCAGAUUUGGACAUGGUUGCAUCAUAUGCAAUGUUGCCUUUAUUUAUUAUAUGUUAGGACAAGGUUUAUGGAAAAGCUUUUGUGAGUGCGUUUGUGACAAGGUUAUGGAAUUAUUAUGUACACUUUAUAUAUUGUUUUUUGUACUGGUUCAUUUCCUACUAUUUCUUGCUUUCUUUAUAUUUUAUGUUUGUGGAAUCCCUCUCAAAGUUAACAUAUACUGUGAAAAAAAUAUUAUGCAACUGAUUAUAUAAUCACUCAUAUAGACUAGGACAAAUAUUCACUAAGGGUUUUAAACUUGCUUCACUUGUGUGAUGUUAUUGACAAAAAGUAUGGCAUUAUUUAUGUGAUUUGACAUGAUUGAAAAUAUAUUACUGAUUCCCAAUGCGGCGUCAUAUGGACAACGUAUUGAAUACCUGUGACGUGUUAAUAACUCAAGGUGCAGUUGCAUGUGGACAACUUCUUGAAUACCUCUGACGUGUUGAAAACUCUAGGUGCAGUUGCAUGUGGACAACUUAUUGAAUACGAACUGACGUCUUCAAAGCUCUAGGCGUAGUUGCAAUGAUGGCUUCAAAGCAUGUGCAAUUAUUUUUUAUGUACAUUAUUAUAACAAAACAUAUUAUUGUAUAUAGUGAAACUAAAUAUUGUAUUAUUAGAAAUUAUAUUUCGAAUAUUAUCCGAAAUAUACGUGUUAACGUGAAUUUGGGUUAAGAGGAAAGUGAGUUAUGUACAAAUAAUUUUCAUUUUCUCAUUUUCCGGGCAUUUUUUGGAUUUUCGUAGAAUUUAUUACCUAUGUCCACAGAUUGUUGCACUAAAAAAGCCAAAAUAAUAGCAAGAGGACACCUGGAGCGAUCUCAGCCCGUCACUGAUGACUACUUGCACAAGUGUACGUCAGUCAACAUGGCCACACCCUCCCAUUUUACCCUAAAUUAUUAUUUUAUUACUUUUCCUUACAAAAAUCAGAACUAAUUACACACAAAAUAAAAAAAUUAUCCGAAAAUUGCUACGAACUCAUUGACACUCCAUCUCCGUUGCUGAAUUCUCCGAUUCAUUGUUACGUAUUUGUAAAAUUAAUUCCCAACAUUAACGGGAGAUGCUUGUUGAAGUAGGUUAUUCAAGUUGAAGUUAACAAACAUCAAUACUUAGGGUUAAGAGGAAAGUGAGUUAUGUAACACAAUUUGGAUUAUUUCAUUGCGAGACGAAUGAUUUAUAGGUUCUCCUAGUUUUAUGACGUCACAAGUAGGCCGGAGUAAUUUUUGGGGCAUUUUUACGAUUUUCCUACUAUUUUUUACCUAGUUUCAAAGAUUUUUGAACAAAAGAAUCCAAAAUGUAAAAGAAGAUGACACCUGGCGCGAUCUCAGCCCGUCACUUUUCACUACUUGCACAAGUGUACGUCAGUCAACAUGGCCACAUCCUCUCAUUUUACCCUAAAUUAUUAUUUUAUUACGUUUUGUCUUGGAAAAUUCAUAACUAAAUACACAAAAAUUCAAAAUUAUUUCUGAAAAUUGCUACGAACUCAUUGACACUCCAUCUCCGUUGCUGAAUUCUCCGAUUCAUUGUUACGCAUUUUUAAAAUUAAUUCCCAACAUUAACGGGAGAUGCUUGUUGAAGUAGGUUAUUCAAGUUGAAGUUAACAAACAUCAAUACUUAGGGUUAAGAGGAAAGUGAGUUAUGUAACACAAUUUGGAUUAUUUCAUUGUGAGACGAAUGAUUUAUAGGUUCUCCUAGUUUUAUGACGUCACAAGUAGGCCGGAGUAAUUUUUGGGCCAUUUUUACGAUUUUCCUACUAUUUAUUACCUAGUUUCAAAGAUUUUUGAACAAAAGAAUCCAAAAUUAACAAGAAUAUGACACCUGGCGCGAUCUCAGCCAGUCACUUUUGACUACUUGCACAAGUGUACGUUACCGAACAUGGCCACAUCCUCCCAUUUUACCCUAAAUUAUUAUUUUAUUACCUUUUUUCUUGGAAAAUUCAUAACUAAAUACACAAAAAUUAGAAAAACGAUCCGAAAAUUUCUACGAACUUAUUGCGAUUUCAUCUUCCUACUGCAUUCCCUGUUUAAUGGUUAUGCUACAUUAGUAUUUUAUUAUUAUUUAUCCACAAUUAUUAUAAUUAUUAUGAUAUUACUUUUUAGGCUGUCCAUUUGUUAAUUAUACCACAUCCAACUUGUUGAAAACAAUUUUAUUUUCCGUGCGAAUAGGCCAUUUGUAGUGCUUAUCGGUUUCUCUGUUCUUCAAUUUGUUAAUUUUUUUAUUUUUUAGGUUGAAGGGAUGUUUUGAAACAUAAUAUGGAAAUAUACAAGUCAUCCAUUGUACUCCUUCCACACAAAAAAAUAGUCUACGUCAUUCACUGUUCAACACCCUAGGUUAAGACACGUGUAACCAAAUCCGUUCGGAUAUGCUAAGUGGGAAAAUGUCAUUCCCAAGCACUGGUGAAAAGACACUUAUUUACUCCAUGCAUGACUUUUGGUUUACCAAAUAUGAAGAUUGGGGUCGGUGAGCAAAAUAUCUGUGUCAGUAAAAUGUCAUUCCUAGCCAUCUAUGAUGUAAGUAAUAAUUCCGCUAUAUAAUAAAUAUUAUACAUUUAUAUAUAAAACGGUUUAUGACAAAAUACCAACAUUUGAACAACAUUUAAACUGAGAUAGGUAUAACGUAGCCAGCCAACCUAGAAGUGAAGAGAAGCAAGUCCACAAUGCAUCAAAACUGUAAAUUCGUACUAAAACUAAUGCAAAAAUACGUGAUUCCCUCGCACAACUUACUCACGCAGGAUUUUGCACCAAAAAAUACUCUCACGGUGCCAUUUGCAUCGGUUGCAGCAAGUCCAAAACGCAGGAUUUAUCUUGUCUUCACUAGGCCACCCUGGAAUAACAAAAUACCAUUCAUUGUUGUUACAAGCGCUGCACCGAUUGAACUUAAUCUUCCCAUAGUCAAACAUAUCUACGAUAUGUCUUGCAACAAAUGCUCCGCGACAUCUUCCUGUUAAAGCAUCCCUGGUUCCUUUCAUAUCAAUGUUGUUACGUUGAUUCAAAGAACACAAGAAUUGUAAUGCAUCCUCUUUUGACUGACCAAUUCCGGACAUACCAAGUAGUCCAACUACAUAUGCCGCUUCCAUAUGGCCUGCCGUGGCUGCAAUGCGCAUCCCAUACAACGCUUCCACCUUACCGUCUGUGAAAAAACCUUCGAAUGCUUCUCUAAAUAUGGACUCAGGGUUAUCGCAAGCCCUGCAUUGUUGCAAGAAAUGCUGGACUGCAGGUUUGGCACGGUAGCAGAUAGGAUGGUGUGGGUACUUUGCCAUUGAAAUGGUGUUCCACACUUGUGGACUGUUUGCCAAAAUGUUGAACAAUCGGCACACACAUGCCAUACGGAAGAGAUCUUCCGAUGAUUCGGUUGCCACGUAUAACAUCACUUGAAACCAAGCGGACUCCGGGAUAAAGGCUUCGGGCAUAUCGAAAUGGAGAUGCUUCCUUCUCUUUCCUCCGACUGUAGUGAAGUGUUUCGAAUUCAUUGAAAAGUUUUUGGAAUGGAACGAUUUGAGGAGUGGCAGAGGGGAUAAAUGAUAAUAUUUGGGGUACACGUUCUACUUCCGAGCCUCUGUUUAUAGUGUUUUGAAAAGGUGUUUCCAGUUGGGGUUUUUCCAAGUUGACCCUUUUGAAAGAAACUGAAUCCAAGUGAAUUAAAACUUAAGACAAAAGAAGGGAAAACGUCAUAACGGUGCAUACAGAGUCAGACAGUUAAAAAGUUAAUUAAAUGGCUAUUUGCAUAGCCAUUUUUGGGUUUAUCCCACUAUCAAAUUCAUUGAUACAAAUGUGAUGGAUUACUGACUAGUGACAGAAGGUCCCAUCAUAUACUUUUUCAUUUUCGCACACCCAACUAUCCCUAGUAAUGUUAUUAAAAUGGAACCAAUAAUGACGGAUUCUUAUCCAACUAGUUGCCUUAAUGAAAUAUAAAUAAAUUAAUAAAAUUGAAGCAGUGUCCCGUCAUUAGUCAGAAAAUAUAUUUGGUAGUGAAGUAGUUUCUAUUGCUUUUCGGGCUAAAAGAUGUCACAAUGCUGACGGUACAGGUGUCGACAUCGUGACCAACCCACCAAAUGAUCCCAAAAAAAAGUAAUAUAACUCGAUUUGGGCAGAGAUGAGAGAGAGCUGAGUGACAAGUUUAGGGUUAUGAGUGAAGGGGUAUGAAUGACAACUAUGAGUGAGAAGGUAUGAGUCCGAAGAGGUUUCAGUGAGAAGAUUUGAGUGAGAAGAGGUACAACUGAGAAGAUUCAACAUGUCUUCGUCUUCAUCUCCUGCUCAAACAAAGAGGUGUCAGUAUUGUGGAGCUACAAUGGUGCUUCGGGUUUCAAAAUCUGAAAAAAAAUCGAGGGAAGCCAUUCUGGAAGUGUCUAACCUCCUAUGUAAGUUUUAAUUUAAAGAAUAUGUAUGUGGGUGAAAAAAAACCUAUGUCUAACUCUGACAGAAUUAUAUUCCAUAUAUGAUGCCUGCAAUUAGGGAGCCACCAGUUGCAAUGGAUUCGAAUGGGUUGAUGUAACCUCCGCUGAAGCAGAACAUCAAGAUGACACGUAUGAUGUUAGAGUGCUGAACAUGCUGAAGUCCAUUAAGGACUUGGUAUUAGUUUUAUUAGUUGUAUUAAUUGUCAUUUUAUUUGUUCUUUUAAUGAUCAUUUAACUGCACGGUUUAAAAGAUUGUGAAAGUUCUCUCGCACAAGACAUAUUGCACGCACCACCAAUGAGACCCUAAACCCAUUUUGUAAUAUUUGGUAACUGCAUGUAUUUCGCAUGUUAUUGAAUGUUUAUUGAAGGUUUAUUGAUAGUUUGCUGCAUGUAUAUGGAAUAUCAUUGCCCCAAAAUUGGAUGUUUAUUGGGGCCACAAGUAUCACUCAAGUAAGAAUGAAGGGGAGAAACGGACCUUAUUCUUUCUUAUAGUAGGAAGAACAACUGUUAAGUUUAAUAUCCUAUUCAAUACGACUUCCCUAUGGUUGGUGUACUUGGGGACUGAAGUAUAUUGCAUCAUUAUUGUGGGCAAGGGCAUGUCUAUUGUGUGUGUUAAGGGAGUAUUGUGUGGGCAAGGGCAUGUCUACUGUGUGUAUAUUGCAUGUCUACUGUGUGUAUAUUGCAUAUCUAUUCUCUGUAUAUGGCAGGCCAAGUUUGUGUAUAUUGUUUGUCUGUUGUGUGUGUAUUGCUUGUCGGUGCGUUUGUGAAUUGUGGUUCAUUUUGUGUAUAUUGUCUUUGUUUCUACUUUUAUGCUACUGAGCUGCGGAAAACCUCGCAUGUUUAGACACCUAUUAUGAUGCAACACAUUGCGAUUAAUGGUGGCUUGCAUCAACAAUGACAUAUCACUUUGCAAUGAUGUAAUACACUUAAAAAGCCGUCUUCAAAUCCCAAUUCACAUAUGCAGUCUUAAAAUUCUAAUUCAAUGCAGUUUGGUUAACAAACAUGUAAAUGUCAUGAAGGAGUUAGCGGUAGAAUUCGAUAAGGACCCGUACGUCUCUAUUGUGUAUUUACAUUAGUUUGAGAAUGGACAUUCCCAAAACCUUCUCAUGUACCAUUUGUCAUCUUCAACCAAUAUCAUGGGAAGUAAGCAUCUCCCCUUGUUAUCUCCGCAGCCAAUUUCAACCGAAAAAAAGGCAUGUUGUGCGAGGUGCAAGUAGCUAACGGAAGCUUAGCGCUGAAAAGCUCAAUGUACUUUAACACAAACAUGCCACAAUCGCCUCUGAAGCAAAACAAGAACUCGAUCAAUUCAACUAAUGACAUUCUAAUGUAAUUGACAAUUGAAAGUAAUAAAAUUAAAUUGCAAGUUGUGCUUACUCAUUAGACUGUUGUGGAACAUCCACACGCUCUAUUGGCCACGGACACCACCAAUCUCGGCUGCAAUUGUUUGCAUAAACACCUUCUUCAUAAAAGUCGAUGGUGUUGAGAAGAUUUGGAAGCGUAAUUGAUAGCGGGCCGAGUUCUUCCUUUACGAUGUCAUCUGGAAUUAGUGAAACCUUUGAAUCGUACACUUUGAUUCACACAAUACCAGAUCAAACANNNNNNNNNNNNNNNNNNNNNNNNNNNNNNNNNNNNNNNNNNNNNNNNNNNNNNNNNNNNNNNNNNNNNNNNNNNNNNNNNNNNNNNNNNNNNNNNNNNNNNNNNNNNNNNNNNNNNNNNNNNNNNNNNNNNNNNNNNNNNNNNNNNNNNNNNNNNNNNNNNNNNNNNNNNNNNNNNNNNNNNNNNNNNNNNNNNNNNNNNNNNNNNNNNNNNNNNNNNNNNNNNNNNNNNNNNNNNNNNNNNNNNNNNNNNNNNNNNNNNNNNNNNNNNNNNNNNNNNNNNNNNNNNNNNNNNNNNNNNNNNNNNNNNNNNNNNNNNNNNNNNNNNNNNNNNNNNNNNNNNNNNNNNNNNNNNNNNNNNNNNNNNNNNNNNNNNNNNNNNNNNNNNNNNNNNNNNNNNNNNNNNNNNNNNNNNNNNNNNNNNNNNNNNNNNNNNNNNNNNNNNNNNNNNNNNNNNNNNNNNNNNNNNNNNNNNNNNNNNNNNNNNNNNNNNNNNNNNNNNNNNNNNNNNNNNNNNNNNNNNNNNNNNNNNNNNNNNNNNNNNNNNNNNNNNNNNNNNNNNNNNNNNNNNNNNNNNNNNNNNNNNNNNNNNNNNNNNNNNNNNNNNNNNNNNNNNNNNNNNNNNNNNNNNNNNNNNNNNNNNNNNNNNNNNNNNNNNNNNNNNNNNNNNNNNNNNNNNNNNNNNNNNNNNNNNNNNNNNNNNNNNNNNNNNNNNNNNNNNNNNNNNNNNNNNNNNNNNNNNNNNNNNNNNNNNNNNNNNNNNNNNNNNNNNNNNNNNNNNNNNNNNNNNNNNNNNNNNNNNNNNNNNNNNNNNNNNNNNNNNNNNNNNNNNNNNNNNNNNNNNNNNNNNNNNNNNNNNNNNNNNNNNNNNNNNNNNNNNNNNNNNNNNNNNNNNNNNNNNNNNNNNNNNNNNNNNNNNNNNNNNNNNNNNNNNNNNNNNNNNNNNNNNNNNNNNNNNNNNNNNNNNNNNNNNNNNNNNNNNNNNNNNNNNNNNNNNNNNNNNNNNNNNNNNNNNNNNNNNNNNNNNNNNNNNNNNNNNNNNNNNNNNNNNNNNNNNNNNNNNNNNNNNNNNNNNNNNNNNNNNNNNNNNNNNNNNNNNNNNNNNNNNNNNNNNNNNNNNNNNNNNNNNNNNNNNNNNNNNNNNNNNNNNNNNNNNNNNNNNNNNNNNNNNNNNNNNNNNNNNNNNNNNNNNNNNNNNUUUUCCUCUCCCUCAUCUCUAUUAUUUGGCCCUUCACCCCCUUCAAUCCCUUCAUCUUCUUUUUCCUCUCCCUCAUUUCUGUUACUUGGCCCUUCAUCCCAUUGAAUGUCAUCCAUUUCCCCAUAUCCCUUAAAUAGAUGUGAGACGACACAACGAUUCGUCCUCUGUUUCAGUAAAGCUAGGUCCCUCCUUACUUCCUGCUCAAACUGAGGACCUAAACAUUGGUCCAAUAGUUUUUCCAUCCGUAUGACCUUUAAGUGAAGGACGUCUUUUUCCCGCUUUUCUUGAAACAACUCGGACCUCAACAAGCUUACCACCUUGUUCAACUCAUCAAGAUCACCACAUGAAGAAGGAAUUGACUCUGCCGAGACAACAGCAGGGCGAUCCUGUGGCCAACUCCAAUAUGGCUGUCUCAUUUCCUCUUCACUUAGACAUAGCGCCCGCAACUGAACUGACUGUUUCAGAAUACAGACAAGAGUCAUAUUAAAUCAUUCUACUUCAUAAUUUCAUUCAAUCUUAUCAAUAGUUCUAAGGGCUGCAAACCAAACCUCUUUGCUCUGGAAAAAAUAAUUGUUCAACUUUCUCAUCUCUGGAACAGACGUAGUAGUUCUCCAUCGCAAAAUACGCGGGACAGCGGUCGGAUCAACAACCUUGCAGUAAUUCAGGUCCGCCAUUCUAGGAAUUAAUUCAUAUACCCAAAUCUACACAAUUCACAGGACAAAAGUCAUUAUUUAUGUUUUAAAGAAAAACAAAACAUAACUGACAUGAACAUUAUUACCAUGUACCUGGAAAGCAUACGUGAAACCUUUAAAACUCCAGCCACUCCUUUGCGCUUCACUAUGCUUAUCCUUCUUGCCCUUCUCAUUUCUCCGGCUUGUUCCCGUUACCUUACUUUUCCCCUUCCCUCUUCCCUCUUCAUUUUCCAAGCUUUUCACAUACUUUGUUGGUGCAGAAAAUAGACUGUCUUGGGUUUUGUCAAAGGACACCGAACCCCACGGAUACCUGUUGAACGCAUCCAAGUCCUCUACAAGGGUCAGGUAAUUUAGAUUGAUGUUCAAAUGUUUGUCCCUUCCCAAAACCACUAACUCAGCAAAGUAAACAAGAGGUAGCUUGAAGAUGUCAUCUUCCUCUGUGCACCUCACAAAUGCUUCUUCUAAAGCAUUGCAUGUAAUUCCUUCGUCUAUAAAAUAUCUUUUCUGAAGUCUGAUUUCAUUACUCUCUCCACUGGAAACUUCAGGCACUUCCCCAAAACGAAGCCCUGUGAUCAAACAGAAAUCCUGACGAGUGAACUGAGCAACGUCACACCCUAAUAAGAAACUCAGUCCAUCCAAGUCUUUCACACCCUGCCCCGCUACUCUACGCAACACAACCCCAUGCACAAUCUGUCCGCUAAACUGAAUCUUAUCUAUAUUCAGAAGAUGGCCAAAGCAUGAUGUCUUGAAUUGUUCUAAUUGUUCCGCACUCAACUUCGCUCGAAUUGCAGCUAGAGAUGAAUUUGCAUGUGAGCAGUUGUUCACCCGUGAUGAAUAUACCUCUGCCUCUGGCCAUACCAGCUCCACGUUGGAUCCCAUUUCCUCAAAUACAAUGUGAAAUAACGUGAACAUAUAUACUACCACGUAUUUGCACAAUCACAACUAGUCAACCAGGCACAUUACAACUUUUACAAAGUACAUGAGCAUAUGGAUUACUCAUCACAGGCUUUAACAUCAUCAAAGCAAUAUGACAAUUUUUGUGCAAAUACCUGUUAAUGCAAUGAUUAUGUGAAUUACAAACAAUUUCACGUGUUUUAUUUAUGGAUCCAUACUCGUGUGAGUGCAAUGUAGGCAAGUUCUGCACUUCACACACAUGACAAUUAUUGUCAUCUCAUACACAACCCAAAAUAAAUAAAUAAGAAAUAUAGUGGAAGGAAGCAAAGCAAAGCAUGUACUCUGCUAUCUGCUUGCUAAGCAAUUGCCACAUCCUUCUUUCUUUCUACCUUUUUCUUCAGUCACCCACAAUCGUCAUAGAUCAACCUUCAUUUCAAAUGCUUUGCACUUUUAUUCAUGAGUUUAUUAUUAUCUGUUCUCAUUUCUCAUAGGCAAAUUUAGUAACAAAUGAAAUAAUAUUUAUUUCACAAAAUAUAUAAAUUCUAGUGCCAGAGAGGUACUCUUCACUCUGCACUGCUUCAAAUGUGGAAGGUUUUGAGAUGUUAUUGACAUGUGAUUGACUUUAUUUUCAUUCGUUUUUUAACAUAUACCCAAGCAAAAAUUAACAUGCAAUUGAAGCACAAAUAAGAGAUGCCAAAUCCAACAACAUUGAUGGUACAAAUUGGGGAAAACCAUUACUCUAACCCUAAACUCAAAUUCCUUACAUUACUCAUCAAAUGCUUUGCAGUUCUAUUCAUGAGUUUAUUAUUAUCUGUUCAAAUGUUUCUCAGGCAAAUUUAGUAACAAAGGAAAUCAUAUUUACUUCAUAAAAUAUAUAUAUAUAUAUAUAUAUUCUAGCGCCUCUUCUUAAUCUGCACUAUGCACUGCUUCAAAUGUGGAAGGUUUUGAGGGCCUCCUCCAAUUCAACACCAUUAUCUUAUUCAUAUCAUUAUUGACAUGUUAUUCACUUGUUAUUGACUUCAUUUUCAUUCUUUUUUUAACAUAUACCUAAGCAAAAAUUAACAUGCAACUGAAGCACAACGAAGAGAUGCCAAAUCCAACAAAAUUUAUGGUACAAAUUGGGGAAAACCAUUACUCUAACCCUAAACUCAAAUUCCAUAAAUUACUCACCAAAUGCUGGUUAUUGCAAGGUGUCUGUGUGGGGUCUUUCUGUUUCUUUGCUCCACAAAUGGAACCUACCACUUCCAACGAAUACAGCUUUUCCCCUUCCCCUUCCACUGCUUCGCCUCUUCACUGAUUUGGAAUCCACACCUUUGCCCCUUCUACUCCAAAUAAAUACUUUCUCGGGGUCUGGAGAACGGAGUGGCGAAUCGUUGCCUUCAACUGUCGUUAGCCGUUGCCUUCAUUGGGUAUCUCAGACCUCUGUGUUUUAGAGAGAUGAGUUCUUUCUGUUCAAACUUCGAACUUGCCUCUUCUUCUUCUUUUUCGGACGUGUUUCCCUCUUCUUCUUCUUUUUGGACGUGCUGGAUAUUCAAUUCGGGUUUGGGUUCCUUACCUACCCAAUUGUGAAACUUUAACUCAAUUCUCCCCAGCCCUUGGAUUAAUCUGAUGGCUAUAAAGUGAACCCCUUAUAACUUACCCCUUAUAACUUUCCACUCAUUAUAGUCUUGGCCAGGUAUGGCGGCCAUGCUAGUAAGUGUUGGGUCUUUGACCCAACUUAAGCUAAAUGGGUCAUAAGAUGACCGAUCAUCUUAUCUCAUAAGGAUAUAUAAGUCAUGUUAUGAUUUAGGAUUUUAUAGGGUUUCCUUUGUAAGAGGUAAGAGAGAAACAAGCUCUCUCUCUCUCUACACAAGGAGGUCAGCCAUAGCAAGGGAAAGGCUCCUAGCACUCUCCUCUCUCUUAUUAUAUCAUCCUUCCAAGGACAGCUUUGGUAUGGUAAAGUUGGAGGUUGCACACUUUGUGCACUUUGGUAAGAACUCAUCCAAGGGAGCCAAGAUUAAAUUGGUUAGCUGUUGGAUUAAAUUGGUUAGCACGAUUCAACGGUUAAUAGAUAAAACUUCACAUAAAAGUCAUAUAUAAGGCCCUCACUAUAGAAUGACUCGUUAGUUUAGUCUCUUGUUACAUAUCAAAUGUUAGAGAUAUUUUUUAAUAAGGAUCUGCCAUACCACAUAGUUGGAUAAGACAUUAUACACGGCUUUUGUAAGAGCAUCUCCAGCGCUCCAAACUAGCCCAAGCAGCAGGGGGGCCUAAGUCUAGGAAGCAGCUCCAGCUCGCAAGAUUCAACCCAGGCAAGGUGUGGAACCCACGAGGAGAUCUAGCCCGUCACCUUGCCUUUGGGUUUCAGUCAAGCUGAUGUCAACGAAAGAAUUUCAAAUUUUUUUUACCGUUACAAUGUACGCGCCAACGAUAAAUUUUCUUUGGAUUUCUUGCAUUGAUCCACAGCUACCAAAAACCAACAGCUACAAGCCACGUGGCUUCUCCAGGAGCCUCCGAUCCAAAAAUCAUGUCAAAUCUAACGGCAGUCCAUUUUUUGGCUAAAAAUAUCAAAAAAUUAUGGAAACAUGUUCUAUAAAUUCCUACAAAUAUUAUUCACUUCCCACACCAAAUCUUCAUACAAAUUCAUAUCCUUUCAAUAUUUUUCACUUUCCAUACAAGAUUUUCUACUACUAAGUUUCGUUUGUGUAAAAAUACAAAUGACCUCUUCUAUCGAAGCCGGAGGCGCGUGUACAACCGUGGAAGAUAUUUUGUUGCGUGAGUGUUGGGUCAAAGUUGGUCAUUCCCUGAUCACGGGCAAUGAGAUGAAGUCCUCUCGUAGGAGUUUCUGACAUCGCAACGAAAGUAAGAUGUGAUAUGAAAAUGUAAGGAAUUUGAUGAGAGGAAUGGGAUUUGAGGAGUUUGAUGUAGGAAUUGAUGUAGGAAUUGAAUUUGGGAGGUAUGUAUAUAAGAUUUGAGGGUAUGUGUUUAGGGAUUUUGAUAAGAGGAUUUGAGGAAUUUAGAUUUGAAGGAUUUGGAUUUGGGGAAUUUAAAUAUGAGGAAUUUGAUUAGGGUUUGGGUUUGAAUAUGUGAAAUUUGAUAUGAGAGUUUAGAGACAACAGAUGAUCGAUUGCUCUGAUACCAUGCUAAAAUAUGAUAUGGUUUGAAUACUUUAGGUUGAGUUUUAUUCUUUUCCAUAAAAAGGUAUAUAUAGGAGUUUACAUGAGUGCUUUACAAAGAAAUAGAUACAAUAAUCAAUUAGGAUAAUAUCUCCUAAUUAUACAAUAAUUUGUCAACUAUAUAGAAUAGGAAAGUAAAUUCCUUAAUUAAUCAAGAAAAUAAAUCUCAUUGAUUAAUUAGGAGACUAACGUCAACAUUUAUAAGCCAUAAAAGAGCAGAAAAAGAGGUACUUAGGAGAUUUUAUACGUCGGACUAAGGUAAGCUUAAAGGACUAUAUCAAAAAAAUAAGGGACCAAGAAGCAAGACAGAGAAGUUGUUAUGCAAACCCAUUAAGUUUAGCAGUGAUGAAUUUGUAAAAAUCAUUCUAGUGGAUUCUGCCUUCACUAUUGAGUUCUUAUUGAGGUUCUAUCUGAAAGGAUCUGGACAUGAAGGAGACCGCUUAUUAAACAAACCGUGGAUGUUUACAGCCUGACAUGUGGUUGCUUGAAAAUCAGCUCCCAUUCUUUAUUCUUGAGGAUCUUUAUCACACAUACAUAAUAACCGACUCUUUUAGGAAUUAUUACAGUACUCAUGAUCAUGAGAGGCUUUCAAUAAUUAAUAUUUCUAAGAAUUUCUUCACAGCCGGAAUAUUGAAUUUGGAGGGGAAGGGAGACAAAUGGAACAGAAUAUCAUCUUCUUCUAGUGUUGGAAAUUUUAUAUUAUUUAAUAAUAUUUAAUUUCUAUUGUGAAUGAAAAAUAAGUUUCUUUAAGAAACGUGUGUCUUAGGCCAGUUUUUCUAACUGGUCGGCUUCCUUAGAUUUGUGCCUAUUGCUUUUCAAAGUAUAAUGAUGCAAUGGUUGUAUCUCGUUCAGGCAAAUGGAAGGUAUAUAGCAAUUUAUAGAACAAUACAGUAAUCCAGAAGAAAUAUUAUGAAAUGAAAAGAAUAAAAAGUAAAAAAAGAGAAAGAAAGGAAUUCCCACCUGCAAUGUAUAUGUAUGAAAGGAAGGACCAAGUUUGUUUUAAAAUGGUAAGAACAAGUUGAUUUUAAAUUGGGUUCAGAUCAACUCAUAGAUUUCUUGCCUUUUCUGUUCUCCUUCCUUGGACAUGAACUGUUUAAUCUUGGACUCUUCCCCAUCAUGUUGGGCCUGUCUUCUUCUUGAGGAUUGUAUAGGCCUAGGAAAUGCUUCGGGGUAGUUUUUGUGUUUUGGGCAUUGGGACCCAACUUCACAAAAAGAAAACAAAUUUGACCAAAACACAAAUUUGAAGGACAUUGAAAUUGUACCCGUAGGAUAGAUUAAAACACUAUAAGGGAGGUAAAUAGUACGUUUACAGAGUUUAAGUGUAAUAAAGGAAUAAAAACAUGCCCAGAGAAUUGAUAAGUGAUAUCAAUUCUUGAAUAUACGUGAAAAUUAUUUUAUGUGGUUAAACCCCACCUCUGGGGAAAAUCCACGGAACUUCUUAGUCCAACUUCUAUCACUUAUCCUAGACACAUUCUAGAUAAUGUUUGCCAACCUCUUCGUAACUCAACUUCUGUCACGAGAUGAUCUUUCAACACUUUAUGUCGAACGCAAUACUGGUCACGAUUUCUUCAAGCUCGCCGGAGUUCUUCCAAUUCUCCUUAUAUUGAAUCUGAUACUAGUCACGAUCGAUUCAAGCUCAUCGGAGAAAAAUCGCCACAACAAUCUUGGUGCCCUCAACCGUAUGAGUCACUGAACAUGCAAAUGAAUACAAUAUGAAUGAUAAAAGUGUUUGAUAAAUCACCAAGUUAUGGAACACUUGAUGAUUUAUCUCAAAUAAAAAUUCAGCUUUCCAAAGUUUAUGAAUUGAAAAUAUGACCGUUAAAGCUCUCUAAACAAAGAAGACGAAGGUCUUAUUUUAUAGACUUUUACUUUACAAGAAAGAAAACACGUUGAAAACCAAAUCUCCAAUUUCCAAGGCUUGACAGAAAAUCACAAAAUUAUCUUUCCUAUUCUAGAGAUUGGUCACAUGAAGUCCAACCAAUAGGAAAUGAGAUAUUUAAGAAAGGAAGAUUUUGAUCAAUAUCAAUAUCAAAUGAAUUCUUAUACGCCUAGUCAAUUGUUAUGGGUAUCUUGACUCCUUGAUAUUGUGAUAUGAUUGAAACAUGAUUUCCACGUUAGAAAAUUAAGGGGAUGUUAAAACAUGAAGGUAAUAGGAGAAUCAAAUUGAUUUGGGCCAAAAUUGCCUAAAAAGAAAACACUCCUUAAUAAACUUCAAUUUACUUUUAAAAAUAGUAAAACGUGAUUGAAUCGUUCUUUAAAACAAUUCCCUAAUAUACAUGCAUGAUAGUGAUAUCACUUACCUUUGAAUCAGAUGGCUUUCACGGGUCAAGCCACAAGUUUUUGUCUUGGGGAUUGCUGAGCUUCAUCAAUCCUGCCAAUGUCAAUUUUGCCCCUAAGCUCUCUCAAAGCACGUUUACAACCUAUGCUAACAUAUAUUAGAGUUUAUGUUAGUAUCAAGAAAAUGCCAACACUAAUUUCGUAACACGUAGAAAUUGUUAGAGAUUGAAGUUUUUAUCAUUUUUUCUUCCAGACUCUCCACCACUCACUAAUAUAGUUUACUCAUGUGAUGAGUUUACAAAACCUAUUUCUCUACUCUCACAAAGACUAUACUUAGGGGGGUGUAUUCAAUUAGGAUUCUAAAGCGUUUAAAAAGAUUUUGUUUAAGUGCCAGCUUUCAUAGAACUUGAUGGAACUUUAUAAUUCGUAUAGAACUUGAUAGACUUUCAGAAGACUUCUGUAUAAUUUUUUAAUAAAACUUUCUUAAGCUUUCAUAGAACUUGAUAGGCUUUCAUUCCAAACUUAUGUAGAUGGUAUAUUUCAUUUUAUCCCCAUCCUUGACAUUUAAAGAAAGAAACUUGAAUUUUUUCAAUCAAAUUUGUUUUUGUUACCAAAGCAGCAAAAACAAAAAGUACUUGUUUGCGAUGGAAGAACAUAUGCACAGUUCAAAAUGAAAAGAAUAAGAAGCAAAGUACCUAUUUGACCAAUGAAUGCUGUGUCAACUAGAGAAGCAAUUGGAUCGGCUGUCAAAGCCAAUGCUGCAGGCAAUGCAUCGAUGGUCCAAAUUGCAAUAAAAAAAUAUUUUGAAUAAUGGCUCUUGCAGACAAAGACCACAUAAAUUCUGAACUGGUCUAGCUUGAAUAAUAAGGUUAGAUUAGCCAAUUGAUGAGAUUAAAAGCAAAGCAAGUUGAUGAAUUUAUCAUCAACUAUUUAAUAACCACAGUCCUGAUCUCUUGGACCCCUGUAGUCCAAGAGAUUUAUGGUCACCCACCGUUGGAUGUAAAUUCAACGGUUGACUUGAAUCGGGUAAUAAUCAUUUAUGUCAUAUUGCAUUUAUAUAUAUCAUUUUGAACCAUUGGAUUAAUAUCCAACGGUGGGUGACCACAAUCUCUUGGACUCCUGUGGUCCAAGAGAUCGGGACUGUUAAUAACCAAUAGAGUAUUUAAACAUAAACAACAAUGUUUGAUCAACAAAACAAAUAGUCCAAAUAUCAUCCAAAAAACAAUAACAAAAAAUCAAUCAUUCCAAACAAACUAGUCAUUCUCAAAAACUCUCAAAAAACCCACUCAUUCCAAAUUGUAGGAUAUCCAAUUUGAGCACUCCUCAGGAGACAUUUUCAAAAAUGCAUCCUUUUUUGUGUUACUAUGCAACAAAGAGAGUGCUUUAUAACGAGCAUGUUCAUCCAAAUUUGGGGUCUCCUUAAUGGCAUCCCAUAUAUAACUCCGCUGCUCUCUCUCUUUUUCCCUUUUUGCCAAUAGGUUAUGGACCUCCCGGAAGUCGAUGACAAUUGAAUCAAUGCUAAGGCUAAUUCUUCCCAUAGCUUGCUGGGUGGUCACAUUUGAGAUAGCAUUCCCUUCCAAAUAUGUUCUAGUUCGUUUCCUCUAGUAACAAGCAUAAAUCCUAGUAACAAGCAUAAACCCUAACCCCAACCUAUAACCUAAUAACAAGAAGAAAACCCAACGAGGUAUUGAUCAAAGAAAAAUUAGGGAGCAUACCUUCACAGAUGGAGGAAGGAAGCUGUUCGUCUUCGCAGAGAGAAAAUCUAGGGAAAGAGAAAAACGUCUUAUGAAAUACUUGGGGGGGAGGUUGGAUUUAUUUUGGUCUUUUUUAUUUAUAACUCUCCCCUUAAAACCUACGUAAAUUUAUCACUUAAUGAAAUCCUUCCAAAUAUAUGACCUUUCGAAUACACCUAGAUUUGAUUCAACUUUUUUAUAAUCAUAAUUGAAUACACCCAUAUUUGAAUGGACUUUUUAAAAGUUCAUAUAGGUCCGAAAUGAAUAUACUCAAACUUGUAAAACCUCUUUUAAAGUUUGUAUAAAUCCAAAUUGAAUACACCUGGAUUUUUAAAAUCUUUUUAAACACUUUAUAAUCCUAAUUGAAUACACCCCCCUUAUUCUCAAAAGACUAUAUUACUUUACCUCUAUCUCUGUGAAAUGUAAAAAGUUGAAACUUUAAUGUCAAACCUCAACAAAAGAUGAACUUUCAUCAGUUACGUUGAAUUUGGAUUUGUUGAACUUAAGUGGUUUUAUUUUCUUUGUCAGUGUUUGAUGACUUAAUUUGGUAUUUAUUUCUUCUUUUUUUUCCUUGGAAAUGUGUUCCACCAACGUGAGGAAGAAAAAUAUGCACAAAUUAAUAUAUUUAAUAGAAGCCCAAGAUUUCGGAUGCAUAUAAUUUCUACAAAAAUCUACAAAGUUUUUUACUUUACAAACUUCUUAUGUCUACCAAUUUCUACUAAAAUUAAUUUCUCUGUGGUGCUCAAAUUCAUCAUAUGUGUGUCGUUAAUUUUAUUGAAAAUUGGAAGUUCCCAUCAUUUUUGUUUUUUGGGAAUUUUCUGAACCAAGGAAAAUCAAGUAAAAUUAAUAAAGCCUAAAUUGGAAAGGGAAAAUAUCUAGAGGAUGCAUUGUAGGAUUGCUCAUGCCAAUAAUUGUACCCUCUAAAUAUAUAGAGACAUAUUUUUUUUGUUUUCAUGACAUGUGGUCCUAAAAUUAUUGUGUAAAUCUUCAAUCCUGAACGAUGCACCUAAAACUCAUCCACCCAUUCUCAGGCCAAUUAUUGCACCUAGUGGGCUCUCGACCCCCUCUCAAAUUUAACCACAUAUUUUAUGGACCAUCCAGCUGUGAGGUACAUUCCCCCCACAUGCCACAAUUGUAUAUUCACAAUUACGUCUGAUACAUCACAUCAUGCCACUUGCCUCAAAUGAAUUUAAGUGAGUGAGGCAGUUGGAAGUAAUUAAGCUCUAUAUUGGUGGGUGGAGUGUUACUUCUCGGUUCCCCUCAUCAUUCGUCUAUAAAAUGGUGAAGGCAGUUGCUAUUGUUACCAUAAGAGCCAGCUCCGACUUCCUUUAAUUUCUUGCUUCAUAUCCACUAGCUACAUCUGUUACCAAGUUAAUUUCAGUUCUAAUGGGGUUUCAUCUCCCACUCAUCUUUGCUCUUCUCAGUGUAAGCUCUGCAAUUUGAUUAACUUUUCCAUUCUCUCUCAUUGUACUCUAUAUAAACGAAAGUUUUGUGUUCCUAUUGUUCUCUCCGAUUUUAUUUAGUACGUACUUAAGUGUCGUCCACUAAUUAAUUAUACUUUGUGAUUUGAUUUUAAUUUGAGUUUGAAUUAAUGUUGCAGCUAGCAGCAGUGGCACUGGCAAACCAUGCUGCUCAACCAGCACCUCAACUUUACUGGAGCUCCGUCCUGCCAAACACACAGAUGCCAAGAUCUAUCAGUGAACUUCUGCAUCCUGGUUUGUGUUGAGCUCUUUAGAAUCUUAGAUAUCUCUUCUACCUGCCAUUUUACUAAAAUAUGUUCCACCACAUAUUUAUCAGUUAACCAUUGUCAUUACAUGAGUGACACAUAUUCACAAAUCGGCUGAUCACUUAUUUUCCAUUAUGACUUGAUAUAUAAUUUGCAGACUCCACAAAUGAAGAAAAGAGCACAAAUGACGUUGGCAAACCUGAAACUUUCCCAUUGGGCAAUCAACAUUACUCCAGUCAAAAACAUUAUGGAGGCAUACCUGAAACUUCCCCAUUGGGCAAUAAACAUUACUCCAGUCAAAAACAUUAUGGAAGAGGCAAACCUGAAACUUUCCCAUUGGGCAAUCAGCAUUACUCCAGUCAAAGACAUUAUGGAAGAGGCAAACCUGAAACUUUCCCAUUGGGCAAUAAACAUUACUCCAGUCAAAAACAUUAUGGAAGAGGCAAACCUGAAACUUUCCCAUUGGGCAAUCAGCAUUACUCCAGUCAAAAAAAGUAUGGAAGAGGUGCUUCUCCAUCCGACAAUCAACAACUCCAUUAUAAAGACUUAGCUAUUUUCUUCUUGGAGAAGGACAUGCGCCCUGGCACAACAAUGAAGUUCCAAUUCCCUAUAAAUUCAAACACGGCUACUUUCUUGCCACGAGAAAGCGCUCAAUCGAUCCCCUUCUCCUCUAACAAACUGCCAGAAAUUUUCAACCAUUUUUCAGUGAAGCCAACAUCUGAGGAAGCCAAAACAAUUAAGCAAACAAUCGAAGAGUGUGAAGCUCCAGACCUUAAGGGAGAGGAAAUAUAUUGCGCCACAUCUUUAGAAUCAAUGGUUGAUUUUAGCACUUCGAAGCUUGGAACAAGAAACGUUGAAGCAAUCUCGACGGAGGUAUUGGAAAAAGGAGCCACCAUGUCCAUCCAAAACUAUACAACAAUGCCGGGACUGAAGAAGUUGGCAGGUGACAAAGUCGUUGUGUGUCAUAAGCAGAACUAUCCCUAUGCUGUGUUUUUCUGCCAUGCAAUAAAACAUACAGCAGCUUAUGCUCUCUCCCUGAAAGGCGAUGAUGGGGAGAAGGUUAAAGCAGUAACCAUCUGCCAUCUAGACACAUCAGAAUGGGACCCAGAGCAUAUGUCCUUCCAAAUCGUCAACGUUAAGCCCGGAACCAUUCCCAUCUGCCAUUUCAUUUCCACUGAUGCUAUUGCCUGGGUUCCGAACCACAAAUCUGCAUGAUCAUCACUUAGCACUAGUACUGUGCGUAUAAUAUGCCUGUAUAAUUAUCUCCCUACUUAUUUCUGCCUCUUCAUCAUGUGGUGUAAGAUAUAUGUUGAGAUGAAGUUUUUGGGAUUUGUGGUCGAAAUUAACCCGAUCAUGUUUUCUCUUGCAACCAUAUAGACUUCAACUUGUACUCAUAAUAAAGCAUGCUAUAUUUAUGAAGAGAUAUUAAUCUUCAGGCAAAUAGAUAUUAUGAAAACAUAUAUAGCAAUUUAUCCAGAAGAAACAUUAUGAAAUGAAAAGAAUAAAAAGUAGAAAAACAGAAGGAAAGGAAUUCGCACGUGCUAUGCUAUGUAUGAAAGGACCAAGAUUGUUUUCCCUUUGGUUAAUGACUAGAAAAGCUCACUUGCAGAGUGCUUUCUCCGACCAUAGAUGGAAGAGAAAUUUUCUCUUAAUAAUAGCACAAUGAUCGGGUAAUUGUAAGAACAAGUUGAUUUAAAAUUCCUUGACCCAAAAAAAAAAAAAAAGUUCUUUUCAAAUUCAGGUCAACCCAUAGAUUUCUUGCCUUCGUCUUCUUCAUCACGUUGGGCUUGUCUUCUUUUUGCGUUUUGGGCCUUGGAAGUUGGGACCCAACCCAACUUCACAAAAAGAAAACAGAUUUGCCAAAAAUCAAAUUUCAAGUCUCUCCUCCGAUCACUAAUACAGAUCAAAUUUUGGAUUUGAUGAACUAAAGUGGUUUUACUUUCUCUGUCAGUGUUUGAUGACUUAAUUUGUUAUUUACUUUUUUUUUUUUACUUGAUCUUUGUAGGGGCUUUUUUUUUUCCGGCAGCUUAAACGGGCUGGGCUGCCGUAAAGGGUAGAUUGAUGAAAUUGUCCCCUUUGUCUGAAUUCGAAAAUCAAGCCCCAAAAGCGCUUCGAAAGGGCAGUAGAGCCUUAGGAAGCGUUCUGGUUACCUUCACUAAUUAAAACAACAGCAACUUACAGAUGAUUUCUUGAGGCUUACAGAUAAAUUUUCUAGCUUGGCAUGACAUGGAAGCAAAAUCAGCAUGAGUUUAGCACCAAAGAGGAAAAUAUGGCUUCCUAGGGAGAAAUGAGAGUGUUUAAGGUGAGGAAGAAGAGGUUUGCAGGCUGAUUUGGCUGAGAAAAGAGAAAGAAAGAACAAUGUUCUUCCGGCAGCUUGACAAAGCUUCUGACAGAUGUGAAAGUCGUCCGCCAGAAGAGGAAAAUGGAGAAGAAGGAUGAAUAGUGCACGAAAUUGGUGGGUUCUUGCAGGUAAGAGAGAAAGCUUGCUCUCUGAAUCUGAGUUGGUUUUGGUUGGGUAGAAGAAGCCCCCUUUUAUAGCUGCGGGAAACCAUCUUUUUCCAAGAAACCCUAAUGGUUUCUAUCCUUUUUGGCCAAGCUUUUCCCUUCCUUUCUCUUCUCCUCCCUUGACUUUUCCUAUCUUGGUGAAAUUUCCUCUGCCUAUUUGCACAAAAUUAGAGAUUUUGAGGAGCUCAAGGCCCCUUUCCCGCAGCUGCCUUAGUGGAGAAUCCCCAUUUUCAGUCAUCUUUCUUCCUUCUUUUCUCCCAUCUUCCAAGGCUAGGUUUGAUGAGAGAAAGAAAUGGAUAUGCACACUGGUUUGAAGGGUGUUUUUCCUUGAAACUUGUUCUCUCCCAUGUGCUGGAGCUUCCCAGCAGCUUACACACAUAGAUAUUUUGGCUUUCAUCGUGGCUUUUGUUUUCAGCUAGGUGCUGGAGAUUUUGCAUAUAUUUUCUUGAGUUGCUUGGGCCUUCUAGGACAAUACGUUGGUUUAUCAAGUGAAUGGGCUAACUUCAUCAAUUGUUGGGCAAUUUUGGUUGAGUUAAUGGACUAUUUUGGUUCAAGUAAUGGACUAUUUUGGUUGAAAUAAUAGGCUAUUUUUCUCUCUUUGUGCUCACCCACAUAUUUGGGCCUAAAAAAUGGGCUUGAGUUUCGGGGCUCCCAAGCAACCCCGGGACUUCCAUUUCUCGGCCCAUCAAUGAGCCUCAUGUCAACUUAUUACCAUCCAUACCACAACCCACUCAAGCAAGCCUCAGGCAUCUUGCGUGGCUUGGGCCCACGUAAGCUCGUAGUGGCAAUGUUGCUUAUUUGCUUGACGUGGCAUGUGUGCAAGUGCAUAUGACGAACUUUCGCGUGCCCAAAUUGAGUUUCUUCUCGGUAGGGUAUCGCAUUGGGCCGAGAAUUUAAUUGGGUAGAACCGUGGAUUUUUUGGGCCUCAACAAUCUUAUAUAUAUUAGUUUUCUUUUUUUCCUUAAUAUUCACCACCUUUCUGUUGCAUAAGUAUUCCAGUCUUAGCGGGUUUCCAUCUACCACUCAUCUUUGCUCUUUUAAGUGCAAGCUUUUUUAUUUUUAUUUUUUUAUGCACAAGAUUAGAGGGGAGGGAGAUUUCUCAAUGUAAGCUUUGCAGUUUCAUAAUUAAUAUUUCCAAUAUCUCACUGUUAGUAAAAUAUGGAACGGGAAAAGUACGAAUAAAAUACACACAUGUUUUAUUUAGCAAAAUUUUGACAAGAUACAACUGAAAAGUUUGGCCACUAUAUAAUAUUUUGAUUUAAUUUUUUUUAUUUUUUUAAUAUAUAUUAUUUUUAUUCAAUAAUAUGUGAAAAAUAGGUGUACAAUAUAUGAAAUUUGUAUGUAUUAUUGAAAAAUUCGUAAAAAAAAAACAUGUUAUUAAAUGUGAAAAAUAUGUACGUAUAUGUAUAAAACAUGUAUUGUACAUUACUUUUUAACAAACUUGUAUUUUACCUAGUCUUUAAACCGUAUAUGGAAAACGGAAGUAUUAUUGAAAAAUACAUAUGUACGUAUAUGUAUAAAACAUGUAUUGUACAUUACUUUUUAACAAACUUGUAUUUUACCUAGUCUUUAAACCGUAUAUGGAAAACGGAAGUAUUAUUAAAAAAUACAUAUGUACGUGUAUAAUAUGAGUAUUAAACAAAAAAAUGUGCUAAGUACUUAUCUUUUAAUUUAAUAAUUCAUUUCAUUUUGUGAUCUCAUACGUAGUAAUGAGAGUUCAAAUUAAUGUUGCAGCUGACAAUGGUGGCUCUGGCAAGCCAUGCUUGAUGCAGGAGUAUAGGGGUGGAUCAAGAUAGAUAUUUACCAUGUAAUUAGUUAUUUCAUGAUAUAUUGUUAUUUUCUUAUUUAGGUAGUUUUAUGAUAUCUUUUAUUAUUUAUGUGGGAUUUUAUAAUUAAUUAGUUUACUUUUGGACCAAGUAGCCUUGGUGCUCAAGUCUUGUAAAGCUUAUAAAUAAGGCUAAUGUAAUAGUUGUAGGAAAAGAGAUGUCGAUGAUUAAUAAAAUCGUUUAUUUGUGGCAUGGAUUUGCUACGAUAUAUGUGAGUUUGCACUAGCCCUAGAUUUCGGUGCUCGUGUAUGUGGUUGGUGACCUGUGUCCGGAUCCCGAUCCCCAUCAAUGCUGUUCUCCCAGUACCUCAACUUUACUGGAACUCUUUCCUGCCAAACACAAAUGCCAAGAGCUAUCAGUCAACUUCUGCAUCCUGGUUUCUAUUAAGGGACUUUUCGUGAGCUUAUCAUCUACCCAAAUUUUACUCAUCCGACGUAAUUUUAAAAGUGAUUUGAUCCUUUGGCAAAGUAAUCUUGAACUACAAAAAAGGAGGGCACUCGAAUAGGCAUGCCAUUUGGUAUUACCCACCUCUAAUUUCUUUUAAAAUUUUAGUAAUUGAUUUUUAAGAUUAGAAAAUGGGAAAGUUCAAAACCGAAAAAGUUGUUUCAGUUUUGGCAAGUAUCGGAAAAGACUAAAAUUUUCCGACUUUAUUAUUACUAGAAACAAAGUCGAAGUAUUCACCAAUCAUGUGGCCUUCCAAGUGCUCAAGGUUAAGCCAGGAACCGUUCCUAUCAGCCAUUUCCUUCCCAAGUAUGAUCAUGUUGUCUGGGUUCCAACCCACAAAUCUACAUCAGUACCUGAACUAAUCAGUUCUACAUGAAUAUUCAUUCAUGGCAACCUUGGGCUAAGUAUUUGAAUUUAUGCUCAUAAAGCUUUAAUGCUUUUGAGGGCCAAUCGUUGUCUACAUAUGGUAUUGUAGCAUCUUUAGAUGGAAGAGGUCAGGGGUUCAAUUCUUGUUUUCCACUUCUUUAUUUGUUGGUUUAUCGAGUGUAGAGUGGAGUUGCACCUAUAUGUUCGUCUCUCACCCCAUCAUUUACCAUUGAUAUAUAUUUAAUAGAAGCCUAAGAUUUCGGAAGCACAUAAUUUCUACUUUACAAACUUCCUGUGUCUACCAAUUUCUACUAAAAUUAAUUUAUCUGCGGUGCUGAGAUUCAUCAUAAUUUUAAUAGAAAUUGGAAGUUUUCAUCAUUUUUGCUUUAAGUCUCUACUCCACUCACUAAUAAAGAUUACUCAUGUGAGUUUACAAAACAUUUUUUUUUUCUACUCUCUCCUGAAGACUACACUUCUUCUCAAAAAAUUAGAUCACUUCACAUCUUGUGUAUGUGAAAACUAAUGUAAAAAGUUGAAACUUUAUCGUAAAACCUCGACAAAAAUGAGCUCUACUACAAAAUGUUAAAUUUGGAUUCGUUGAUUUAAAUGGCAAUUUGACACUUGAUAGAAAUUUUUACAUACAUGUGUUAGUGUUUGAUCACUUCACAUGUCACUUACUAUAUUUAUUCCACUCAAGUUAGGUAAAUAUUAUUAUCAAACAUUUCAAUUAAUUUGUGAUUUUUUUAUUAUUUAAUCAAUUAUGAAUUAAUGGAUUCUUCUUGUUGUUUUGAAGACCAACAAAAAAAAAAAAAAGGGUAGUGAUGGCUUAUAAUUCUGGUAAAACAACAGUGACGUGGACAACAGAUGUUACGCUGUACUAAAGAUUUUUGAAGAUUCUUUAUUUGAGUUUCUUUCAAGAUAAAAACCAUAUUAUCCACAACCACAAGCACAUCCGGCAGACAAUCUUUGGCUAUUCAUCACAAUUGGGAGACAAUGAAGAAGACAGAAAAUGGAGUAAUUCAGAUGUUACCAGCCAUCCACGACAAACUGAAGUCUGCAAAGCAUUCGUAAUCUAAAAAGGAUGGGGAGGCUGCGCAAUACUUAGCCACGUGUAGGCCAGGAGGCUUUCCAAUUUUAAUAUAUAUAUAGAUUGAAAAAAUAAAAUAAAAAUCAAUCUAUUAUCAUAUAUAUUAUAAAAUAAAGAUUAUUGCUCCCAUGGGCGGUGCUAUGCACAGGACAGUGCCUGCCUAGUCCAAAUUUUUUUUAAAUAAAAAUAAAAAUCUACAUAUGUUAUAAGCUCAUCCAAAAAAAAAAAAAAAAAUAAAAGUGUUGUAAAUUAUAAGGUGGAGCCCACAUGUUGGAAGGCUUUGCCUACAAAAGGGUUCACACCCUCCCUUUGUAAUUAGACAUUGAGAAUACUAAGGAAGACAGAAAUGAAUAGAGAGAAAACAUUCCCUUCUCUCCAUCUCAAUUCCCUCUCCAAUUCCUCUAGAUUUAUAACACGUUAUCAGCAGCACGAAUCGCUUUCAAACAAUACCAGCUGAAUUUUAUGAUGAAACCCAGAUCUCUCAUCCAUCUCUGCUGCUCCACUACUUCAAAAUAAAUCCCACAGAAAAAGAAAAAGCCUCAAUGCUCUCUCUCUCUCUCUGUCUCGCUUGGGAGACUUGGACAAUUCCUCAUCCCCGUUACUGACAAUUUCAACAGCUUCAGGGGAAGCUAGUUUAUCUUCCUCUGCUCACGAAACCAUGACUCUUUCAGAGCCAAACAACAACACAAUAGACAACGCAUGGAGACCAGACUGGAGCUCGUCGGCUAAGGCACCGACGAUCCGACCCUACCCGUAUGGACCUUCCGGAUGUGGUUCCUGGGUCUUGUCUCAUGUGCCCUCCUCUCAUUUCUCAACCAAUUCUACAAGCAGCAGAGCUUCAAAUCAAACAGAUCAUGGCAUCGCUUUCACACCUCCCCAUCUUCCUCUUCCUCCUGUUCACCGCUUUCUAUUCUACAGCUUCGCAGUCCUUCAUCGGCGCAUCCAAAGGCGACAUACCGGCGCUCGCCUCAGAUCCGAACGCGGCGGCUCAGUGGGUGAACUCGAAUGUCCUCGCCUUCUACUCGGCCAGCAACAUCGACCUCAUCAACGUCGGCAACGAGGUCCUUUUUCUCCAACGACCAGGGCCUCAUCUCGCAGCUCCUCCCCGCCAUGCGAAAUGUCCAAUCUGCCCUCUCCGCCGCGUCCCUCGGCGGCAAGGUCCGUGUCUCCACGGUCCACUGCCUCGCCGGAUCGGGAUCCUUCCUUCAAGUGUUUCUCUGUCUUCGACUUGAAAAAGAAGGUCAUGGCAGGCCUAUGUAAAAAUUGCGAAAAGGAAGGCAAUCUUCAACCUUUUCUCCUGUCUCUCUCUUGAUCAAUUCAUGGAAGGCACAUUUGGGUCUUCCGGGGGCUCAUCAAAUGAGUCAGCAAUGUCAAAGGUGGAGGUGGUGGAGCAAGACUACGUGGGGAUGUCAUAUGAGGCAACCUCAUACCCAGCUGAGGCAGAGCUUGUGCUGGGCCUGGGCCUUGGCCUGAGCCUUCGUGGUGGUGGUGCAGGGAAGCAGCCAAAGCCAUGUGCAUGGGGUGAGCGUGGUAGAAUCUUGACUGCUAAAGUUAGGUGCUGAGUUACACUGUGUUCUCUGCUACUGACCCUAAGAGGAGUGCUAGAAACUUCCAUGUUCCGCCAUCAUUUCGCUUUCACUGUUACAAGGCACUGGAGUAUGUUUAAUUGAAAAGUGAGAUACACAGCAAGUUGAUCAGCCUAGUGGAAAGCAAAGGAUUAUUGCCAGGGAUAUGAACACCCACCGAAAUAAAGGGAUAAGUACUCUUUUUCCCUUCGACCAGUUUUUUUUUGUCCCACUGGGUUUUUACUGGCAAGGUUUUUCACGAAACAUAUUCCGUAUCAUUUGUGGUCUCUAAGAGGGAGUGUUGUAAAUUAUAAGGUGGAGCCCACAUGUUGGAAGGCUUUGCCUACAAAAGGGUUCACACCCUCCCUUUGUAAUUAGACAUUGAGAAUACUAAGGAAGACAGAAAUGAAUAGAGAGAAAACAUUCCCUUCUCUCCAUCUCAAUUCCCUCUCCAAUUCCUCUAGAUUUAUAACAAAAAGUAAAUUCUACACAUAUGUUGCCCAUCCAGGUGGUCCCAUAUCUUCUCUUUCCUUUUCUUUUGGCUAUUAGACUUCUUGUUUCUCUCUCUCUCUUUGCUACCCCACAUCAGCAAGUUUCUCCCUCUCUUUUUUUGGGAUCAAAUUCUUCUUCUAUUGACAAAAUCUUCUAUUAUAUUGGGUGGGCAACUUGGCAACAACAUCUUCUCCUCUCCUUUUGUCAACAGCAAGUAUUAUUCUCAUUCUCUCAUUUGCUAUAUAUCUUUAAUUAUAGUUUUAAUUUAAAAUUGAGUAUUCUAGGGUUUAAUUAGGGAUGAAUUAUAAUUUUGGGAUUUUGUUGAAAUUAAUUAGGGCUUCGAUUAGGGGUGAAUUAUUCUACUGCUUUGAUUUGGAAUUUUGUUAAAAUUGAGUAUUAUAGGUUUAAUUAUGGAUGAAUUACAAUUUUUGGUUUUGGUAUUGUUGAGAUGUUAUUAUGAGAAUUUGUUUGAUUUUUUGUUGGUAUAUUUGAUUAAAAUUCUUUCUACAUAUUAUUCAUAGGCUAUCUUUUAUUAUGUCGGAUCACAAUCGGAAUCCCAAGAAAACAAAAAAUUUGAAUAGUGUUGUUUUGUAUUGCAUUGCAUUUACUUUUGGUUUUAGUUUUGCUUUUAGUGUAAAUUACUCAAAUGGUCCUCAAAUUUGUACCCAAUUUACAUUUUGGUCCAUAAACUAAAUUAUUCAUUCAAAUGGUCCACCAACUCUUUAUUAAUCGGUGCUUUGGUCCUAUCGUUAUGUUUUCUAUUAAAUUUAGUCAUGUGAGCAGCACAUGCUACAUUUGUAUGGGUAAAUAAGACUUUUGACCAGUGGCGGAUCCACGUUGGGACAAGAGGGGUCGGACGACCCCUUGGAAGGCUGGAAAUUUGGCAAGGGAGUCCAUGAAAGCCCCCUUGGACAGCUGCUGGAAGCCCCCUUGUAUGCACACAAUGUGCUCGACGAAAUGCCCCAACGAAAUGUCCUGCGCAGCUGUGCUGCGCCUUGCGCGUAAUUUUUUUUUAAAACCAGCCUUGCCAAACGACGUCGUUUGGUCAAGGCUCAGUCAAAUUUUUUUUUAAUUAACCUGGCCUCAAAACGACGUCGUUUUGGGCCAGGUUUAAAAAAAAAAAAACAGAACAGUACACACGCACAGCAGCUCUGCACAGAUUCAUUUUCUCCAAACCUUUCAUUCCCAAUUCCACAGCCCCUCUUCCCAUCCUCUCAAACCCUAACCUCCCAACCUCCCAACCUUGGACAACCUCCAUCAACUCUUCACCGGUGGCCCAAUGCCGAUCACCACCACCUUCUACCGCCGUCCGCCGCCCAUUUUUUAAACUACAAGUAAGUAAGCAUGGAAAAUCUGAUAUUAAUAAUUAUAGUGAUAAUAUAUAUUGUUGAUAUUGAUAUUUUUUUUUUAUGUAAUGAAAUUUAUGGAUAUGAAUCAUAUUGAUUGAUUGAGUUUAUGCUUGAAAUUUAUGGAUAUGAAUCAUAUUGAUAUUUUUUUUUAUGUAAUUAAAUUUAUGGAUAUGAAUCAUAGUGAUAAUCAUAUUAAUGUAGAUUGAUUGAGUUUAUGCUUGAUUGAUAAUAUGAAUUGAUUGGGUAUAUUAAAUAUUGAUUGCUAUUUGAUAUGAUAAUUUGGUAUAUUGAAUAUUGAUUGAUAUGGGUUUAGGGAGUAUAUUGAAUAUUGAGAGUGGGUUAUUGAAAUUUUCAUAUUCAUAUGAUAAUUAGGAUAAAAAUUAAUGAUUGAUUGAAUUAAUUGAUUUGUAGAUUUAUGGAACGAUUCUUUAAAAGAAAAUUAUCUACGGAUAGUUCUUCUCUGUCUAAUCCGGGUAGUUCAAAUGCAAGACCAAUUGAAGUAGAUGAGAUCUUAGCUAAUCUUCAAGCAGACCCUGGACUAAGAACUCGAAUGGCGGAUUAUAGUCCUAAUAUUAGGGAUGAGAUCCGAAGAGCAUAUCUACAAAAGGGACCUUGUCAACCUAGAAGUUAUAAAUUCCCACAAACUAAUCAAUCAGGAAUUAAUAGACGCUUCAUUGCUCAUUGGUUUGAUGAUCAUGAUUGGUUGGAAUAUAGUAUUGCUAAAGAUGCUACGUUUUGUCUUCAUUGUUAUCUCUUCAAAUCUAAUUUUGAUCAAGUGGGUGGUGAUGCAUUCACUGGGGUAGGCUUCAAUAAUUGGAAGAAGGCGAAAGAAAGAUUUAACCUUCAUAUUGGACCGGUUGGUAGUGUUCACAACCAAGCUAGAGAAGUUGCUUACAAUUUGAUGCAUCAAACUACACACAUUGAAACAAUUGUGCUCAAGCAAACAAGCCAAGCUCGCACGGCUUAUCGCACUUGCUUGAAUGCAUCACUUAAGUGCACUAGGUAUUUGUUGCGGCAAGGGCUUUCUUUUCGUGGUCAUGAUGAAAGUGCACAAUCAAGUAAUAAAGGGAAUUAUUUAGAGCUCUUGCAAUUUCUUGCGGAUCAUGAUGAAAAAGUUAAGGCCGUUGUAUUGGAAAAUGCUCCGGGAAAUUUAAAGUUAAUAGCUCCUUCAAUUCAAAAAGAUCUUGUCAAUUCUUGUGCCAAAGAAACCAUUGAUCUUAUCUUGAGUGAUGUAAAAGAUAGAUAUUUUUCAAUAAUGGUGGAUGAAGCACGUGAUGUUUCAAUAAAGGAGCAAAUGGCAAUGGUGUUGCGUUAUGUGAAUGACAAAGGACAAAUAAUUGAAAGGUUUGUGGGGGUUCAACAUGUAACCGACACUACUUCAAGUGCACUAAAGGAAACAAUUGAUGAAUUCUUUUCUUCCGCGAAUUUGAGCUUUUCCAAGCUACGAGGACAAGGUUAUGAUGGAGCUAGCAAUAUGAGAGGUGAGUUCAAUGGCCUUAAGAGAAAGAUUUUGAGAGAACAACCUUGUGCAUUUUAUGUUCAUUGCUUUGCUCAUCAACUUCAACUAGCUCUUGUUGCGGUAGCAAAGAAAAACAUUGAUGUCAACUCUUUUUUCACAACGGCUAAUAGUUUGGUUAAUGUGGUUGGAGCAUCUUGUAAGCGUCGCGAUGCACUUAGAGCACAAUACCAAGAAGAGCUUGUGAGAGCUUUUGAAGAUGAUUGUCUUAUAACGGGGCGGGGCUUAAAUCAAGAAAGGACUCUCAAACGUGCCGGCAAUACACGAUGGAACUCACAUUAUGGUACGUUGAUUAGUAUCAUUUCUAUGUUCCCAUCUGUGGUGAAUGUGCUUCAAAUGAUUGUUGAUGAUAAUCUUAAUGAUAGUUCGGGUGAAGCCUAUAAGUUAAGGAGAGAAAUACAAUCUUUUGAGUUUGUGUUUCACUUAUUUGUAAUGAAAGCUAUAUUGGGAAUAACAAACACUUUGUCUCUAGCAUUGCAAAAGAAAGAUCAAGACAUUGUGAGUACAAUGAAUUUAGUGAAAACAUGCAAGGAAAACCUGCAGUUGAUGAGGGAUAAUGAGUUUGAAGAAUUGGUUGGGCAAGCAUCCUCGUUUUGUUACAAAUAUGAUAUUAUAGUUCCUACCAUGGAUGAGGAAUAUGUAAUUCCAGGGAGAUCAUGGCGUAAUGCUCCAAUGAAGACAAAUUAUCAUCGUUAUCGUGUGGAGAUCUUUAUUCAUGUAAUUGAUGGGCAACUUGCGGAAUUAAAUGAUCGCUUCAACGAGGUAAGUACUGAGUUACUUACUUGUUUGGCAUGCUUGAGUCCAAAAAAUAACUUUGUGACUUUUGACAAACGAAAGCUAGUUCGUCUUGCUCAAUUUUAUCCUUAUGAUUUUUCGGAUAGAGACUUAUUGAUGCUUGAAGAUCAACUUGGUGUUUAUGUUCAUCAUAUGCGUUCGAGUAGUGAUUUUUCUCAAUUGGAAGGGAUUAGUAGUCUUGCGGAAAAAAUGGUGGAGAAAGGAAUGCAUGAAAUAUUUCCUUUUGUAUUUGCUUCUUACAUUGGCUUUGGUUUUACCGGUUGCAACUGCAUCAGUGGAGAGGGCAUUUUCCGCUAUGAAUAUUAUUAAAAAUCCACUUCGCAACAGAAUGGGAGAUCAAUGGUUGAAUGAUAGCUUGCUUGUUUACAUUGAGAGAGAUGUUUUUGCUUGUAUUGAUAACGAAAUUAUAAUGCAAUGUUUUCAGAAUAUGAAAACUCGUCGUGGACAAUUGUAACUUGUAUUAUUGGUUUUGUUAUGAAUUAUGAAUGAAAGUACUAUCUUUCUAUCUUUUUAGCAUUAUUUUCUUUGUAGAAAAAUUUCAGAACUUUUACACUAAGCCCCCUUGGCUACAUAAUCCUGGAUCCGCCACUGCUUUUGACCACUUUAUCACCUAUGUAUCACCACUUUAUAACCUAUUUGGGGAACAUAGGUCAGUUAUGGACGGUUUUACCCUUACAUUUGACGGCAACAUUAACAUAAUGUAACAGUGGGAUCAAUGGAGUGAUUAAUAUAAAGUUGAUGGACCAUUUGAAUGAAUAAUUUAAUUGAGAGACCAAAAUGUAAAUCAAGUAUAAGUUUGAGGACCAUUUGAGUAAUUUACCCUUCGCUUUUAUAUUUGUUGAACUUUUAUUUAUGAUAGAUAUGCAUUUAAGGGUAAGACCCAUUAUGUUCCCCUGGCUAGGUGUAUCUUUUUAUGUUUAUUAAUGAAAUUCACUCGAACUGUUGAGUUUAGUAUGUAAGUUUUGCCUAACUGGCUUUUGAAUCCUAGAACCGCCACUGUUGCUCCAUCCUCCAUGCACUUGCAUGUGCUCUUACAAAGUGUGAAGUAGAUUUUGUGUGCUCCAAGUCAUUGACUAGAGCUGAAACAUGGUUAGCUAGAUUUAUAAGGACCCAUCUCUUUAUUUCCUAGACAUAUACCCAUCUCUCUAUAAAUCUAUAUGUAAAACCUAAUUUCAAACUUAAAUGACCAGUAGGAUAUAAAAGGUCAUAGUAUUCCUAUGUUUUUAUAUCGUUGCCACCAGACUUCUUAUUUUAUUUAUAAUUUAUUUCAAGCAUUUCAUUAACUGCCAUAAUUGUAAUUAAUACUCCAUAUUAAUAGCAUAUCAAUCACCCCAUUUCUUUUGGUUGCCAUUCCCUCUAACAUAUCGCCCCUUAAAUUUGAAAACCAAAAAAAAAAAAUGUAAAUUACAUAUCCAAUAAUGUACCUAUGAAAAAUAUAAAUAUAAAUAUAUACAUAUAAAAAUAUAGGUAUAUUAUUUACCAAAUAGAAAAUAUAAAAACCUAGGUCAGUUGCUUUGUAAUUGAAAUUUCUGUACAUUUUCCACAAAUUAAAAAUAGGUACAUAAUAAUUUAUAGAAAAUAUAUGUACAUUAUUUAUCCAUAGGUAAAAAUACCGAUAAAUGCACAUAGGUGAAUUAUUUACCAAUAUAUUAUUUUUUUGCUAAGGAUUUACCUUAGUUUUUAGUAGAUUAAUUUACCUACCUAGAGGCAUAGGUAGCUUAAAAAAAAUGUACCACCUUAGUUGGUUGCAUACUAAUUUACCUACCUAGAGGCAUAGGUUGCUAAGAAAAAAUGUAGGUAAAUUCAUGUACCUAAACACAUAGGGGUCAAAUAGAGAAUAACAUGUUAUUUCCCUUUGAACAAAUUAAUUUCAAACCAUAACAAUUAUUGAAUUUGGAAAUUGGUAUAAAUAAAAGGAAAUAAAUAAACUAUCAAUUUGAAAAUUAAAAUAAGAAAUGAUCAAGUAGUCAUAUUUGAAAAAAAAGGAAAGAAUAUAUUCUUGGUUUUUAUAGGAACAACGAGUAUAUUCAAACCAAACGGCGAUAACUACACCAAGCUUUAAUUACUUUUUUUUAAGGCCAAAAGUCACUUUUGGUCCCUGUAGUUCGGCAUUUCUACCACUUUUGAUGUUGUAGUUUCAAUUCCGUCAAUUUUGCCAUUGUAGUUUCGUAUUUGUAGCAAUUCAAGGACCUGUUAAUAUUAAUGUCAAUUUGUUUAAUGAUGCAAGAGGUAAUUUCGUCAUCCCAAAAUCCUUGAGCAUAAAAGAUUGUCUGAAAUUCUCCCCAUUUCAUAUUAGGGCUCGAAAUUCAACCACUAAUCCUAAUUUUUGAAGAACCCUAGACCCAAAUGACCAAUUUCAAGCCCUAAUAUGAAAUUACGGAAGUUUUAGAUGAGCUUUUAUGCUCAAGGAUUUUGAGUUGAAGAAACUGCCCCUUGCACUGUCAAAUAAAUUGACAGGAAUACUGACUUGUCCUUGAAUUGCUACAAAUACAAAACUACAGUGUCAAAAUUAACAGAAUUUAAACUAUAGGGUCAAAAGUAGUUGAAGUGUCAAACUAUAAGGACCAAAAGUGACUUUUAGCCUUUUUGUUUCAAUAAGGAAAAAACUGACCUAUUAAAUCCUUGGAAUCUAUACAAAAUUGAAACACAAUUAAUCAACAUUGAAUUGCAGCUAAUUUCUUAAACAAGGGUAUUAUAGGAAUUUAAAAAGUAUAACAUUUAAUCCAUUGAAUUUGAUUAGGAAACUUGAUGAAUUGAAUCCUAGUUAUAUAGUUUUUCUUAUAAAAAUCAGGUUUUAUUUAUAGACAAAUAAAACAAUGGGUUGUAGGUAAGAAAAUAUUAAUUUGAAGGGAAAGAGUCAAAUUUACUAAAUUAAUAAAGCAUAAAUUGGAAAGGGAAAAGAUCUAGAGGAUGCAUUGUAGGAUUGCUCAUGCCAAUAAUUGCACCCUCUCGAUAUUGAAAAACCUAUUGUUUAUUAUUAUCUUCAAUCCUGAAUGAUGCACCUAAAACCCAAGUGUCUCAGGCCAACCAUUGCGCUCAUACCACUUGUUGCAGUACACAUUCACCUGUUUUUAAAGAAAGAAAUUCUACCAAUCGAUAUUUUCUCAAAUUUAAUCACAUAGAUCUAUUAUGGUUAACCAUAUGUACUUUUAUCUGCCAUCCAGAGGUACCUUUUUCCAACGUGCAACAAUUGUAUUUGAUUCACAAUUAUGUCUGAUAUACAUCACAUCAUGCCACUUGCCUCAAAUGAAUUUAAUUGAGUGAGGCAAUGGGAAGUAAUUAAGCUCUAUAUUGGUGGGUGGAGUGUUACUUCUGGAACCCUCAUCAUUCGUCCAUACAGGGGAACAAUUCCCUUCCUUCUAUAAAAUGGGAGCAAUUCUCUCACUGUACUCUAUAUAAAGGAAUAAGUGUCGUCCACUAAUUAAUUACACUUUGUGAGAUUUGAUUUUAAUUAGAGUUCGAAUUAAUGUUGCAGCUAGCAGCGGUGGCACUGGCAAACCAUGCUGCUCAACCAGCACCUCCACUUUACUGGAAUUCCAUCCUGCCAAACACACAAAUGCCAAGAGCUAUCAGUGAACUUCUGCAUCCUGAUUUGUGUUGAAUAGAUAUAGUAUGUUACUGGAGUACGUAUGGCAACAUAUUCACAAAUGUGUCACGUAUUUUCCAUUAUGACGUUGAUAUAUAAUUGCAGACUCCACAAACGAAGAAAAGAGCACAAAUGUCAUGAAUGCUGUUGGGAAUGGAAAGCCAAUUGACCACAAGGGCAAACCUGAAAAUACUGUACUACCACAGCUUGCACGACGCCCAUUUUCUUACAAGAGUGAUGAUCGUCCCACUGACAAUCAACUCCAUUAUAAAAACGUAGCUAUUUUCUUCUUGGAGAAGGACAUGCGCCCUGGCACAACAAUGAGCUUCCAAUUCCCUAGAAAUUCAAACACGGCUACUUUCCUGCCACGAGAAAGAGCUCAAUCGAUCCCCUUCUCCUCUAACAAACUACCAGAAAUUUUCAACCAUUUUUCAGUGAAGCCAACAUCUGUGGAAGCCAAAACAAUUAAGCAAACAAUCGAAGAGUGUGAGGCUCCAGGCAUUAAGGGAGAGGAAAUAUAUUGCGCCACAUCUUUAGAAUCAAUGGUUGAUUUUAGCACUUCGAAGCUUCGAACAAGAAACGUUCAAGCAAUCUCGACGGAGGUAUUGGAAAAAGGUGCCACCAUGUCCAUGCACAAGCACACAACAAUGCCGGGACUGAAGAAGUUGGCAGGUGUCAAAGUCGUUUUGUGUCAUAAGCAGAACUAUCCCUAUGCUGUGUUUUACUGCCAUGUAAUAAAACCAACAGCAGCUUAUGUUCUCUCCCUGAAAGGCGAUGAUGGGGUGAAAGUUAAAGCAGUAGCCAUCUGCCAUCUAGACACAUCAGAAUGGAACCCAAAGCAUUUGGCCUUCCAAAUCCUCAAAGUUAAGCCCGGAACAAUUCCCAUCUGCCAUUUCCUUCCCACUGAUCAUAUUGUCUGGGUUCCGAACCACAAAUCUGCAUGAUCAUCACUUAGCACUGUACGUAUAAUAACCUUUACCCCUGUAUAAUUAUCUCCCUACUCUACUUAUUUCUGCCUCUUCAUGUGGUGUAAGAUAUAUGAUGAGAUGAAGUUUUUGGGAUUAGUGGUCGGGUUGCCUUAAAAACACAGAUUACAGAAACUGCUUGAACUUAACCCGAUCAUGUUUUCUCUUGUACUCGUAAAGCAUGCUGUUGUGGUUCUACUUAAUUUCGUCCUCCCCAAUGUUUGAGUGUUUAAUUGUUACGUUGGAAUAGGCUGCUAAUGCAUGUAGUUAGAGAAGCUUUCAUUUAUAUCAAAG